GAGCAGUCAUCAACAACUUCAACACCAUGGCUGAAUCGUUUUUGUUUAGCAUCGCAGACAACGUUCUGGGGAAGAUCGGCUCUGUCACUCUCCAAGAAAUUGGCUUAGCAUGGGGCGUCAAGACUGAACUGCAAAAGCUGGAAGCCACCUUAACCGCUAUCAAAUCCGUCCUCCUGGAUGCUGAGGAGAAGCAGUGGAAGGAUCGACAGCUACGUGAUUGGUUGGGAAAGCUCAAACAUGUGUGCUAUGAUGUGGAAGAUGUGCUCGAUGAAUUUCGGUACCAAGCUUUGCAGCGCCAAGUGGUGAGUCAUGGCAGCCUUAAAACAAAGGUACUUUGCUUCUUUUCAUCUUCAAAUCCGCUUCCAUUUAGCUUUAAAAUGGGCCAUAGAAUCAAGGAGGUGAGGGAGAGGUUGGAUGGCAUUGCAGCAGAUAGGGCUCGAUUCAAUCUACAGACUUGUAUGGAGAGGGCUCCUAUGGUGUACAGGGAGACCACCCACUCAUUUGUGCAUGCUUCCGAUGUUAUCGGAAGAGAUAAGGAUAAAGAAAAAGUUUUAGAGCUUUUGAUGAAUUCAAGUGAUGAUGAUGAGAGUAUUUCAGUCAUUCCCAUAGUUGGUCUUGGAGGUCUUGGAAAGACUACUCUUGCUAAACUAGUGUAUAAUGAUCAGUGGGUAGUUGGGCAUUUUAAGAAAAGAAUAUGGGUUUGUGUCUCCAAUGACUUUGAUAUGAAAAAGGUGAUUAUAGAUAUUAUUAAAUCAAUCAAAACUACUGUGGAAGGGGGGAGUGGUCUUGGUUUGCCAAACCACAAUGAUUUGAAUAUGGAGCAAGCACAAACUCUUCUUCGUAGGACUUUAGGAAAUGAAAAAAUUUUUCUUGUCUUGGAUGAUAUGUGGAAUGAGGACCGCCAAAAAUGGAUUGAACUCAGAACUUUUUUAAUGAAUGGUGCAAAGGGCAAUAAAAUUGUUGUAACAACGCGGGGUCAUCCGGUGGCUUCGAUCAUGGGCACUGUUCAAGCAUAUAUUUUAGAGGGUCUUCCCCAUGACUAUUGUCUGUCUGUGUUUCUAAAAUGGGCAUUUAAUGAAGGGCAAGAGAAACAACAUCCAAACCUUGUAAAAAUUGGGGACGACAUUGUAAAGAAGUGUAAUGGAGUUCCUUUGGCGGCAAGGACUUUGGGGAGCCUACUUUUCUCAAAAUUUGAGCAAAGGGAUUGGUUAUAUGUGAGAAAUAAUGACAUAUGGAAAUUAGAACAAAAGGAAGGUGAUAUUUUACCUGCUUUAAGGUUGAGUUAUGAACAAUUGCCCUCUUACUUAAAAUGUUGCUUUGCAUACUGCUCAAUUUUUCCCAAGGAUGAAGUGCUUAAUAAUUUAAGUUUGGUUUGCAUGUGGAGUGCACAAGGGCUCAUUGAACCAUCCAAAAAGAAGCAAGAGUUGGACGACAUCGGAAACAGAUAUAUUAAAGAAAUGUUAUCGAGAUCCUUCUUUCAAGACUUUAAGAUCAUCAAUUGUAUUUUACAUUUAAAAUGCAUGAUCUGAUUCAUGAUCUUGCAUCAUUCAUAUCACAAACUGAGUGCACUGUCAUAGAUUGUGUAAGCCCAACUGUCUCUAGAAUGGUUCGCCAUGUGUCAUUUAGUUAUGAUUUGGAUGAGAAAGAAAUCUUAAGUGUUGUUGGUGAGCUAAAUGACAUUCGUACAAUUUAUUUCCCCUUUGUGUUGGAGACAUCACGUGGCGAACCAUUUCUUAAAGCUUGCAUCUCAAAGUUCAAAUGCAUUAAGAUGCUAGAUUUAGCGGGUUCGAACUUUGACACAUUGCCAAAUUCUAUCAGUAAUCUAAAGCAUCUCAGACUUCUCAACCUUAGUGACAAUAAGAGGAUAAAGAAACUUCCAAAUUCAGUAUGCAAGUUGUUUCAUCUGCAAACGUUGUCGCUUUACAAAUGUGAGGGAUUCAAGAAUCUGCCCAAGGAGUUUGGGAACCUCAUCAGUUUGAGGCAUUUAUGGAUCACCACGAAAUAGAGGGCUUUGACAGGGAUAGGAUGCCUGGAAUCUCUUCGUAUUUUAAGGAUUUUCGAAUGUGAAAAUCUAGAAUUUCUGCUUCAAGGGACGCAAAGCCUCACUAGCCUUCAAUCAUUGUCUAUGCGCGGUUGUAGGAGUUUGGAGACUUUGGCACCUAGCAUGAAACAACUGCCCUCGUUAAAGCAUCUCUUGAUUAGCGAUUGCGAAAGGCUCAAUUCACUGGAUGGAAAUGGGGAAGACCACAUUCCAAGGCUCGAGAAUCUACGGUAUUUGUUGCUUUCAAAAUUACCAAAGUUGGAGGCAUUGCCAGAGUGGAUGCGCAACCUCACAUCCCUUGACAAAUUUGUGAUUAAAGGAUGCCCUCAAUUGACUGAAAGAUGCAAGAAAACAACAGGGGAGGAUUGGCAUAAAAUCUCUCAUGUCUUAGAGAUAUAUAUUGAUGGCAUCAAAACACCAGAAAAUUAAGCAAGGUAUAAAAAUAUCUCAUGCACAACCUUUAACUAAUUAAUAUAUCUUAAUUCUUUAUAGUGUCUUGACAAUUCCCUAAUUCCUGUUUCAGGAGAUCCACUCAGAGUGAUGAUGAAGCCUAACAUGGAUUUGAGCAAGACACAUUCUUUUUUCCUUUUUUACUUUUUGCCUUUCAAGUAAAAGCAGUUUAUUCAUUUAUGUAAUUUCAUCAAUUGGGGGAGUGUUAUUGAACGAAAGUCUGGAAUCUAUUUAUUUUCCGUAAAUAUAAAGCUUAAGCCACUUCUUUUCAAUAUUUUACUUGGUAUCAGUUUGUUUUGAAUUGAUGGAAGUGGACUUGUUCAGCCCAAAGAAAUGUGGUGAUUGAUUUUUUAUUUUCUUUUCUACUUAAGGUGGUUUUGAAAGCCUAAGACUUGGCUUCAUUGUUCCACAGUCAUAACCUCAAAAGGCAUAAGUAAAAUCUUUAUGUGUCUAAUUUCGAUAAUUAUAAAAAAAAACUGAGCAAAUUUAAAGCCUUUGAGUUUGGAAAGUGUUACACGCAUGCUUUCAUUUUCCUUGAGCAAUCAGUUAUUUUUAUUAUUUAUUAGUUUUUGGGUCAUGACUUGCAACCCCUGACUUAUUAGAUGCAUACGUUUCUCCUAUUAUGCAUCUCAUUUAGUACUUUCAAAAAUCAAAAGUGAAAAAUAAAAAAUAAAAAUCAUCAAAGUUAAAAAAAUAAAAAAUAAAAAAUCUUCUUUCUUUAUAUUACAUAAUUAUGCAAUAUCUUUGUUUUUUUAUUUACAAGAGAAAAAAUUAAUAUUUAUAAAAAAUUAUUUAUGUUUUCUGUUUUUAUAAAUACUAAAACAAAAUUUGUAUCCAAAUGAUAUCUCAAUUAUUUAUUUUUUUAUAUUUUUAACCUAUACUAAAUUCAUUAAAAUUUGAUUAAUUAUUUAUGUAUAAUUUUAAUAUAAUUAUUUAAUUAUAGUUUUCACAAGUCCAUGUGCAAAGUCAACAAGAAUGGAAGAUCAAUUGUGACAGUUUGUGCAAUAGUGGGUUCAAAAGAAUCCCCCAAACUGCAUUUCGUGCCUGUUUUUAAUCCCAUUUUCAAAAUUAAAAAAAAAAAAAAAAAUUUAGUCUACAGGGUAAUUUCACAAAACAUUAAAUGUAGGGGGUUGGUAGUUGGUAAGGAAGGUAAAUUGGCACGUGAUUGAAGAAAGGAGAAUUGUGUUUUGGGCUAGCUCGCCCCAAAAAUUAACAUUUGGUCCAUAUAACUUUCAUAAUUGAUGAAAAGAAUAUAAAAUGUUAAAAGACUAAUAUAUACUUCAAAUUUCUAUAUAUUAUUGUGGACCCCGUAUUUUGGCUCAUGCGUUUCCCACUCGAUGGCGAGCUCGAUUUUGAUUUAGAAAAAUUAUGAUUUAUUAAUUAAGAAAAUGACUUAGAGUCGCCACUUAUUUUUGUUUUAUUUUUAAAGGGUAAACAAAAUAAGAAAGAAAACCCUAAGUAUGACUCCUUAUUUGGAAAAGGUGGUCUAUGAAAAACCGGAUCGGCUUUGGGGGUCAGGUUACUUAUCAGGAAGGUACGGUAAAGACCGUAGCACCCCUUUAAGUCCUUAUGACGGGUCUCUACUAAUAAGAUGAGCAAACAUGACAAUUGAUUAAUCGAGUAUGGAUACCAAAGGAAUGUCACUCAAAACAAAAUAACUGAAUGAACAAGAGAGGCAAAGAAUGUACCUGAGUGAUGAAGUGAUGAACCGGUUUACUUCAAGGGAAACAAAUGUUAGCAAUCAAACAUAGAAUAAUCGCAUGCAUGUCAUAGAGUUGAAUAGAGUAAAUCAAUCAUGUAUAGUAAUCAAAUAAAUAAAUCAAUCAAUCAAUCAAUCAUGAAAUCACAUAUGUCGAGCCCCCACCAAAACCCAAUUUGUUUUGCAUGAAUUAAUAUCACAGAUUCCAUUACUCUGGAACUAUGCAAAAUUCAUUCAUGCUUAUUAAAAUCAAGAGGAGUAGAAGAUUGUUUGAAAACCAUAGUGGAAUUAAAACUAUUUGAGAGAAAAUUGGAUUUUUGAAAUUUAUUUGAAAAAUUGGAGUCUCGAAAAUUACUUGAAAAUCGGAGUUUUGAAAAUUAAAUUUAAGAAUUGGAUAUUAAAUUUACAAGAAAUUUGAUUUUGGAAAUUAAAUUUGAAAGAAAUUGGAGUUUUAGAAAUUAAAUUUGAAAGAAAUUGGAGUUUUAGAAAUUAAAUUUGAAAGAAAUUGGAAUUUCAAAAAUUAUUUGAAAAUUAGAAUUGUGGAAGUUGGGAAUUAAAUUUGAAAAUUGGAAUUUGGAAGAGUUAAUUAAAGAUGGAAUUUAAAAUAAUAAUAAUAAUAAUAAUAAUAAUUAAAAAUAAUUAAAGUCUAGGAAGUCAAAGUUUUGAAAAUUAAAUUUUUAAAAAUGAUAGUUUCGAAAAUUUAAAUUAAAUUUGGAGCUUUGAAAAAUUAAAUUAAAACUAGAGUUUUGAAAAAUUAUCUUAACAUCAAAAUUUUAAAAAUUAAAUUUUUAGGCAUCAAAAGUUAAAGAAAAAAGAAGAAAAAAAAUAAGAAAACAAUAAAACAAAAAACAUAUAGCCUUAAAAUGGCCCAACGUGUACAGACUGCAUAUCUUUGAAUGAAUAAACAAAUAAAAAAACACCACAAAAUGCUAAUGUUGCAGGCUUCCACUUUAGCUCAUUUAUUCUUUUUGCUUGACAUUUGACAUUAAAGCAAUUAAAAGACCAACAAUGCAUCCAUCCAAUAUUAUCCUAAUGGCUGGACUGCAACUCAUCUUCCCACAAACCAAAUACUAGUGGCAGAAAUUGAAGUAACACUAACCUUACCAGCCAGCCUUCAUCACCCCGCAUCCUUUGAACCUGCACAAACAGAAAAACACAAUAUGUAAGGCCAAGUUUGCACUAUAGCUUUUACCAUCUCUACUAUUCUUCAUAAAUUGAUGCAAAGCCUCUCCACCGUAGCCGUUUUGGGCAUAUCCAGCAAUGAUAGCUACCUAUGAGAUGGAAUCACGCUAAGGCAUAACUGCACAUAGCUUGACACCAUUGCUGUCCAGGUGAAGAUGUCCUAAACUGGAGACUCCUCAAACAAUCCUGAUUUUCACUCAUGAAAUCUCCAUCCGAAAAGCUCCCUCUCUGCUCACCCUUAGAAAAUAUCUUCCUCUCUCCGUUUUGUUUUUUUUUUUUUUUUACUCUCAACCCGAACCGUCCAGAUUUUUCUCUAUCCCCAACCUCCGAAAAAAAUCUCUCGCCAAUAGACAGCCCCUCCUUCAUCCAGCUUCAGGUUUUUUUCCGCGCCCCCCCUCUGAAAAAUCAUCCACCCGAAUAUGAAGACCCCCUCCCCCCAACCUUUACCUGCUCUCUAUUUUCUUGUUCGGAAAAAGGUCCCGUCUCAACCACCAGCAUGGGAAGUUGGUGGUCCUUUGCCAUGUGUCCCAUGCGGCUUGCUCUUCCGGAAACCGGCCCCUACUCCAAAAAUGAAAAUCAGCCAGCUCUCGGGUAGCCCAAAAAGGGGUCUACAAAUAUGCCCCUCUUCGAUAGAGUUCGCGGGUGUAAUGAAAUAUGAACACUAGAGUGAAAAGAAAGUGUGAAUAGUAAGUGAAAUGAAGUGAACUCUACCGAAGAACUAAGAGACUCCCAAUGAAACACAGACUCAAAAGGCUAACAGAUGAACAUAAAGGCUCUAAUCCUAAGAGGAAAGGAUGUCCUAAAAUGCCUCUGAAGCCACACUAAGGACCCAGACUCCCUCUAAGACGUCUCCAAAAGUGACUUGAAGAUCAAUCGCAAAAAUGAGUAAUGGUUGAACCACCCUGAAGUACAAGAAAGAAAUGCGUCCAAAGGAGACUCCCUAUGUGAACUACAUGAGAAUGCCAAGUGUAGGAUGCCUAACAACAUGACUGAAAUACGUGUCGUGAUCUCAAAAGAUUGUGUCAUGUGUAGUGGAAAGGAAAUCCAGAAGAGCAAUGACGAACAAGCAGUAAGCUCUAGGUAACCGAGUGGGGAGAAUGACUCUGAACAACCAAAAUGGAGGAAUAAUGGUGACUCAGAAUACAAAGAAGACUCAACUAUGCAGGAGUGACUUAGAGAUGAACAAGACUCAACUCAAUCCAGCAAAACAAUGACCGAUCGAUAUAGGUGCGGUCCCGAAACUCUAAUUGAGCUCGAACUGACAAGAUGAUGACCAAUUGAUAUGGGUGCGGUCCCGACUCAAACUUAAACAUACAAGAUGAUAAGAAGAUGGCCGAUCGAUAUAGGUGCGGCCCCGAAAACUUGAACUAACACGAAAAAUGACCGAUUAAUAUAGGUGCGGUCCUGACUCAAACUGAACACGAAAAGUGAUAGGAACAUGGCCGAUCGAUAUAGGUGCGGCCCCGAAAACUCGAACUAACACGGAAAAUGAUCGAUUGAUAUAGGUGCGGUCCCGACUCAAACUGAACACAAAAAGUGAUAGGAACAUGACCGAUCGAUAUAGGUGCAGCCCCGACUCAAGCUGAACACGAAAAGUGAAAACUCGAACUAACGCAGAAAAUGACCGAUCGAUAUAGGUGCGGUCCCUACUCAAACUAAACGAAAAUGACAUGAAGAUGACUGAUCAAUAUAGGUGCGGUCCCAGACUCUAACUCAAACUAACAAGAUGAUGACCGAUCGAUAUAGGUGUGGUCCUAGAAACUGAAAUAACAUGACAAGGAGAUGGCCGAUCGAUAUAGGUACGACCCUAGACUCUAACUCAAACUGACAAGAUGAUGACCGAUCGAUAUAGGUGCGACCCUAGACUCUGACUGAUAAGACAAUGACCGAUCGCUAUAGGUGAGGUCUCGACUCAAAAACUCAAACUGACAAGAUGAUGACUGAUCGAUACAGGUGCGGUCCCAGACUCUAACUCAAACUGAUAAGAUGAUGACCGAUCGGUCCUAGACUCUAACUCAAACUGACAAGAUGAUGACCGAUCGAUAUAGGUGCGGUCCCGACUCAAACUAAACGAAAAUGAUAUGAAGAUGACCGAUCGAUAUAGGUGCGGCCCUUAACUCUGACUGAUAAGACAAUGACCGAUCGAUAUAGGUGCGGUCCCGACUCAAACUCAACUCGAACUAAUAAGAUGAUGACCGAUUGAUAUAGGUGCGGUCCCGACUCAAACUCAAACAGACAAGAUGAUAAGAAGAUGGCUGAUCGAUAUAGGUGCAGCUCUGAAAACUCAAACUAACACGGAAAAUGACCGAUCAAUAUAGGUGCGGUCCCGACUCAAACUCAAACAGACAAGAUGAUAAGAAGAUAGCCGAUCAAUAUAGGUGCAGCCCCAAAAACUCAAACUAACACGGAAAAUGACCGAUCAAUAUAGGUGCAGUCCCGACUCAAACUGAACUCAAACUGACAAGAUGAUGACCGAUUGAUAUAGGUGCGGUCUCGAAUCAAACUCAAACAGACAAGAUGAUAAGAAGAUGGCUGAUUGAUAUAGGUGCGGCCCUGAAAACUCAAACUAAUAGGGAAAAUGACCGAUCGAUAUAGGUGCUGUCCCGACUCAAACUGAACUCGAACUGACAAGAUGAUGACUGAUUGAUAUAGGUGCGGCCCCGAAAACUCAAACUAACACGGAAAAUGACCAAUCGAUAUAGGUGCGGCCCUGACUCAAACUGAACUCGAAUUGACAAGAUGAUGAUCGAUUGAUAUAGGUGCGGCCCCGAAAACUCAAACUAACAUGGAAAAGGACCGAUCGAUAUAGGUGCGGUCCUGACUCAAAUUGAACUCAAACUGACAAGAUGAUGAAUGACCUGAUCAAGUGGCCCAAAACCAAUGGAUAACCCAUAUAAUGAUGCAAGCAAACCCGGUCGGAGGGGAUAUGCCCCAGUAUGACAACUCAUGAGGAUCAACAACUAAGUCAGAAGGUGAAUGAAAGUCUACUGAAAGGUUCGAUACUCUCGGAGAAGGGGGUAUGCCCCAGUAUGACCACUCGGAGGGGUCAACAACUAGAUCGAAAAGUGAAUGAAACCUGUGGAAGGUCCGAUGCUCUUGGAGAGGGGGUAUGCCCCAGUAUGCAAUGAUGAACAGACAGAGAUGCAAAAUGCCUCAAAACUACUGUACUCUGAAAUAUGCUCAUCCAUCAGGUAAUGAAAAUGUCCAACCUCAAAUAGGUAAUGCCAAACAGGACCAUGUAUCGUGACACCAUGCUGACACUACAAAACUAACGGAUGAAUAAAACAAUGAUCACCAAUGCUCGAAAUGCAAAGAGCAAACAAAAAUCAACACUCAUUGUGCCAACUGUCAAAAUGAAAGCAUCAUCACUAAUAAAUCGGCAAUUUGUCAGGCCCCUGCCAUCAUGGAAGAUGUUGAACCCAAAGUCCGAAAGAUGUAUGAAAACACAACCAAAGUGAUCAAGGACUGAUCCACGUUUCCUCCUAAUCGAGAUAGGGGUGAGGUCAGGUGUCACGGUGGGAUGUGUACGAUAAAAUAAGGUGAUGAUCAGGCUCUGGUAUGAUAGGAGGCAUGAAAGUAUCCAGGGCGAAAUAACUAAGUACGAGAUGAAAGGUAUGUAUCCGAGAUCGUCCAAGUAUGCCGAGAAGACUAAACCUGAGGUAUCAAUAACUCCAUAAUCCAUCGAAAGCAGCAAUCACAAACAGAAAGUCGAGUCUCGAUGUCAAAACCUCCAACAAGGUGGCUAUGCCCCAAUAUGAAACGAGGACAACAUGAAAUAAUCUAAUGGUCUCUAUAUCACUCGUCAGAUGCUCCAACGUCGAGAAUCAGUCUGAUCUCCCUCCAAAAGAUGGAUAUGCCCCAGUGUAAGGGAUCCAAUAGGGUGACUAUGCUCCAAUGAAAAAUACUCUCCAUCUUGGCUACUGAUUACUACCCAAAAAGUGCUAUUUUGCGCCUUUAAUUCAUUAUGUUUUAAGCACUUUUGUGUAGUAGUUCUCCAUUUUUAUUCCAAUUGGCAUGUUAAGGACCUAGCAAUGACUUUUAAUCAUAUUUAUGGCUAGUUUUAGUGUUUUUGACAGCUUUUUGGUUCAUUAAGAUAAGCCAAGUAAAGGAGAGAAGCAAAGAGGAAAACAGAGUGAAGAAAAUAGAGGACAGCAGCUGCAGUCUUUCUUCGCACUUUUGGAGCACUUCUCGAAGUCCAUUUUCUACAUGAUAUAUACCAUUAUAAAGCUCACGAAGUCAAGAAUCCAGCACUUCAAACCGUGUACGAUUUGGAGCUGAAAUGAGGAAGAUAUGACCUUCGGAAGACAACUGCAUCAAGCUAAGUGCGAAUCUCGCACAACAGCCCAUGCAAGUGCUAAUUUCGCACCACCAGCCAUGCAAGUGCGAAUUUUGAACAGCCCAUGAUUCUUUCCUGUGAAAUCUCCUUUGUUCUGCCGACUCCACAUGAGAUCUUUUCUUUUGUAUUUUUUGAUGUAAAUUCCUUUCUUAUCCCUGUAAGUAGCCAAUCACAGGCUUUGCUUUUGUAAAGACUAUAAGAGGGGUGGAAAUCAUCUCUCGAAAAAAACUAACAUAUUGUAUAUUUUACACUUAGUGAAAUACAGGGCUCUCUUUGCUUUCCUUUUCUCUCUACUAUUUUCUUUUUCUUGGAAGCCAAACAACCUCUGAGGAUGUUUUCCCAGAGGAUGAGAGGCUAAACCUUUGGUUUCUUGGAGUGAAGGAAGCUAGGUGAAAAGUCCAGAUGCUAAAGUGGAAAACUCUCGUGCAUUAAAUACAGGUAGUUGGAGUUCAUAAAUGGCUUUUAAAUCUAAAGUUUUGCUUUAAAUCCCUUAGAAUCACUUUGAAUGGCCAAUACAUGAUAAGCUUUAGGUCUCUGUGGAUACUUAUUGCUAGAUCCACAUCAGACCAUUAGUUAUUAUGUACGAGCCAUUGGAAAGUGCGUCAAGGUGAAGACCCAUAGUGUCUAAAGCCAUUAAUGGAACUUGACUACCAUUUCUAUUGACUUUUUAUGGAUUAAAUCUUCAUUGUUAAACCUAUACCGGUUCGGGAAACAACCAUCCUUUAUGUUGUUGUCCCCAAUACGAGGAGAAAAAUCCGGAAUUUCCCACUUUGCAUUCUGAACUUGAUCAUAGCAACCUUUAGCUCUGGGAGACUUUCUUUAUUCCAUUUUUACCUAGUUUUUAUGUUGGUUUAGUUUCAAACACCACUUUUAAAACAAAUUUUAUUUUCUUUUAAACUUUAAGUUUUUUACAAAGGAAAUCAUCAGAUUCAAUUUCUAAUCUUGAGUCUAUCACUGGUAGAGUGAAAACCCAUCCCAGAGUUCGACCCUAGAGCUGCUAUACUAUAAUAGCUUUGCUACGCUAGUAUGAGGUCAUAGGAUUUAUAAAUGUUUUUGAUUAAAAUACCCGACUGGGCACGAAUCAGCUACACCCCAAUAUAAAGUAGUGUAUCCGAGUCAACAAAACAAUCAAUCCCUACUCCUAGUGCCAAAAAUGGAAACAUCCCAAAAUAAUCCAUAUGAAUCGGAAACCCCUAGCUCUAUGAGUACGAAUGAAUUGGCUAUGACCCAGUAUAAACUGACUGAAAUGACUAUGCUCUGAGAUAAAUCAAAGUCCAUCACCGAUGAGGGGGCUAUGCCUCAAAAUAAAUCAUCUCAAAAAUCAACCAUCAAUGAGUAAAGUGUGUCCCAAUGUAGAGUAUCGAGUAGAGUGACCGUAUCUCCAAUAAAAGUGCUCUCUGAAAUGGCUAUGCCCCAGUGUAGGGUCAUCCCACAACUCCUAAUCCAUCAUAAUCCAUGUAAAGAAAUGAAUUGACUAUGCCUCAGUGUAAGGCAUCAUCAUGAAAGAAAACGUCAUCAAUGAGCGGGGUAUGCCCCAGUGUAGAUACCGCCGCCUCUGAAAAUCCAUCACUGAUAAGAAGGGUAUGCCCCAGUGUAAAUCAUCAUCUCAACUCCUCAUCCAUCAUGCUAUGAGAAAUAAUCUCUGACCAAGCUCGAGUAUUGCCCACGUGCGAACUAUCAAACACAAUGUGAAGUAAUGGCCUCAGGGUGGUCUUCAGACACGGGACGUAACGUAGGCUAAGGUAAUAGGGUGAAAGAAAUGAAAGGAAACUAGGCUAAAAAAAUCCCAAUGAUAUAUUCCCCAUACCCCUCGUGCAUGAGAUGCAAUACGUAGAAAACGUCACGAGUCCCAGACCUAGGGGUUCACACGAAAAGUGAUGAUAAAAGAAUGGACACAUCGAAUAAACAAGUAUGAUGUGUGUGUAUGCUAAACCCAUGUCAAACAUCAAGCAAGAUAAAAAAAGAAAGAAAUAAAAUGAAGUAGGGUGAAACAGAGGGAUAAAAUAAAAAUGAAAGAAGACGAAGAUAUAGAAAAGUGAGUGAUGGUUAACCUGCAUCAAAGCAUGGAAAGUAGUCACAUCCGAAAUAGAUAGAAUGAUGGAUAGAGCAAGGAUCCAGAGAUACUAAAGAAAAUAUCGCUCGUCUCUCUCAUGAAAAUCGAAUGAAUGACUCAUACUCUCACCCAAAAUAUACAUCAAGAUGAAUCUUAGAAAGAAGCUCUCAUACAAACUCUCUCUAACACAUGACCUCGAUGAAGCAAACUAGUACGUCCAUACACAUGCCCAAUGGUGAAUGAUAAAAUGAACAAUGCACUAUAUCUUUUUUUUUUUUUUUCGUUUUUUUGUUUUUUGUUUUUUUUUUGUUUUUUUUUGUUUUUUUUUUUGCGCAUGCUUUGAUCAAUAAUGAAUGAACUCCCAUGAAAAUACAUACCCAAAUGAUCAAACUCUCUCCAAAAACGAAUAUAACACGAAUCCUCACUAACAAGGCAACCUCUCAAACUGAAAUCUCUGAACCACUGCUCAUAAGGUGAACGGGGGGAAGAACGUGACAAUCCUCCAUACAGUGACGUAUGAAAAACCACCACUCAAGGUGAAACAAGGAUAAUGUCGAGUAAGCAAUGACGAGAGAAAAGACAAAGAACGAAUAUCACAAGUGGUGAUAUGUGAUGCCGGAAAAAGUGAUGAAAUGAUGUCAAAGAGGAAACUAUCACAAUGAAGAGUGAGGAAUGAGGCCUGAAUAUGUAUGUCAGGUCUAGAACUCAUGAUGUAUCCAAUCAAAGCAUGUAAACACUAUAGGGUCCCCAACCCGGUGUAAUAGGUAAAUGAGGUGAUGAAAGAAAAUGUUAUGAUGCUUGUGUGAGGCUCAAUGGGCUAGCAACGGGUAACUCUAUAUGCGAGGGUGAUAAAGUAAAUAGGCUCAUGAAAUGAUGGCCACCCAUCCUUUGACCACAACCUCGAACAUCGUGCUUUCGAGAUCUCACAUGGUCAAUACUAAAGAUUAGCAUCCAUCCAACAUAGUCAUGGCGACUCCUCUGAAAUCGUGCGAAAGCUCCCACUAAUGCUCUAUGAUAACCAUCAAUGUCAUAUGAAAAUCAACUCACUCUAUCAUCACAAGCCACUCACCAUCAUCUCAUAAAAAUCACCAUCUCUAAUCAUCCCAACUCUCUGAAGUCGCAUCUAACGACUCAAAUUUGGAUGCUCCAUGAUAACCCCUCUGCCUCAACAACAUCAUCAAGCAGUCAAACCGCUCUCUCAUCGUGAUCCAUCUAUCAUCAUGCAAAACUCACCUUAGGUCUAACCAUCUCAGACACUUCCUGGUCAGAUCAAUGAAAUGAUGGAAAGGAAAGACGAUGGUACUGUAGCAUGCUAAGGCGAGCAAGGGUAGUAAAGUCGUGUAAUGGUACCAAGGGGUGGUGUCAUGUUAGGCUCAAAAUGGGUAGGUCAUCAAGCCUACAAAGUCAGGAUAUGGAUAUAGAUACGGUACCACUCAGAUUAGAAGGUGAAACAGGUCACAGUCUCGAACUCCCUAGGUUGAUCUCCUAAUCCUGGGUCCAUAGGCUCAAUAUCCUCCAUGAUAGGUCAGACUAAAGUGAUCAUGAUGCAUAAGUGAAAAUAUGUCUCAAAUAAAAAGCGUAGCACACAUCAACGCAAGAUAUGCAAAACAUACUUAUUAGAAAAGAGAAUAACACAUACUCAAAAUAAAAAGAUCAUAUCACUAAAUGAACCAAAUGAGUACAUCAUGUGUGAAGCGAUAGAGGACUACAAAAGACUAGACUCUCAGCAUGAACUACAAACAACGACUCUGAACCAAACUGGACUUGACAAAGCGACUCUGAUGAGCUAAACACUGGACCCGACAGAACUGGAACGACUUUGAUGACGACCAUAAAUCAAAAUGGAAGGUGCUCUGAGCUAAAUUGCUGCAAAAUGAUGUACCCAUGUCAACUAAAACAAAGUCCCCAACCCGAGGUGUCCCAAAAUACCAUGCGACCAUCAAUACCAUCAACAUCCAAAUCAAUCUAUUGAAGACUAGGAGGAGGAGGAACCGGAUGUGUAGAAUGCGUAGGCAGAGAAUUGGUGGUCACACUUAGCCCAACCAAGUUGACCAACCCCGAAUCGAUCAAGUCCUGUAUCGCAUGAUGGAGUGCCAACAACGCUCAGUAUCAUGUCCUUGAAUCUGAUGAUACAAGCAAUGCUCAUGAGAGCGAAAAUGUGGAGGAAUAGGAUGUGGUAAAGGGCGUGGCGCCAAAGGAACGAUCAAACCACCAUCUCUGAGCUUCUCAAAAGCUUUAGUCAAAGUCAUGCCCAAGGGAGUGAACUGUCUCGCUGGCCUCUGUGCAUAUGGUCUAGGUGGCGGGUGAGUAGCGGCUCUCGGAUGCGGUGGCCGUGGCUGCAUGCUAGUCUGAGCAAUGUAAGGCUCCUAAACAUAAUCCAACUGAUACUGAUAUUGUGGAUGAGGGAAAUGAGCUCUGACUAGAAGAGGUCUGUAAGGCAAGUGAUGUGCGGGCCUCCGAUACUGAUGGCUAAUAGCGCCAACCUCUCCAGAUCUACUAAAUGAUCCAAUCGGCUUCUUCCCCUUACUGUUAGGGGAAGGAGUAGCAUCCGUCCAUAAUCCUCGAGCGAUGGCCUCCUCAACACUGAAAGCUGCCUGAACCAAACUCUUGAGGUCCUGAAAUGGGAUGCCCACAAGACAUCUCACGAACCUCGGCUGUAGGUUCCAAAGAACCAUAUCAAUCUGAUCCUGCUCCUUAGGCCUGUCUAUCAUACCAACCACUUUUGCCCUUCAACGAGUGACAAAGGAAGAAAUAGACUCAUCUGGCCUCUACCUGGUGGCCUCCAACUCUCGUCUAGAUACAUCAAUAUCGGCACUGAAAGCGAACUAAGUCAGGAACUCAUGAGCCACAUCCUCCCAGGUGCGAAGUCUCGAAGGCUCAACCGAAGCAAUGCGGGGUGAUGAAGGCUAGCUAGUAAGUUUAGUGCUACUUCAAUUUUUGCCACUAGUAUUUGGUUUGUGGGAAGAUGAGUUGUAGUCCAGCCAUUAGGAUAAUAUUGGAUGGAUGCAUUGUUGGUCUUUUAAUUGCUUUAAUGUCAAAUGUCAAGCAAAAAGAAUAAAUGAGCUAAAGUGGAAGCCUGCAACAUUAGCAUUUUGUGGUGUUUUUUUAUUUGUUUAUUCAUUCAAAGAUAUGUCUGUACACGUUGGGCCAUUCUAAGCUUAUAUGUCUUUUGUUUUAUUGUUUUCUUAUUUUUUCUUCUUUUUUCUUUAACUUUUGAUGCCCAAAAAUUUAAUUUUUAAAAUUUUAAUGUUAAGAUAAAUUUUCAAAACUCUAGUUUUAAUUUAAUUUUUCAAAGCUCCAAAUUUAAUUUAAAUUUUCGAAACUAUCAUUUUUUAAAAUUUAAUUUUCAAAACUUUGACUUCCCAGACUUUAAUUAUUUUUAAUUAUUAUUAUUAUUAUUAUUAUUAUUAUUAUUUUAAAUUCCAUCUUUAAUUAACUCUUCCAAAUUCCGAUUUUCAAAUUUAAUUCCCAACUUCCACAAUUCUAAUUUUCAAAUAAUUUUUGAAAUUCCAAUUUCUUUCAAAUUUAAUUUCUAAAACUCCAAUUUCUUUCAAAUUUAAUUUCCAAAAUUCCCACUCUUAAAUUUCAUUUCUAAAAUUCCAUUUCCUAAAUUUAAUUUUUAAAACUCCAAUUUUUUUCAAAUUCAAUAUACAAAAUCAAAUUUCUUGUAAAUUUAAUAUCCAAAAUUAUGAUUCUUAAAUUUAAUUUUCAAAACUCCGAUUUUCAAGUAAUUUUUGAGACUCCAAUUUUUCAAAUAAAUUUCCAAAAAUCCAAUUUUCUCUCAAAUAGUUUUAAUUCCACUAUGGUUUUCAAACAAUCUUCUACUCCUCUUGAUUUUAAUAAGCAUGAAUGAAUUUUGCAUAGUUCCAGAAUAAUGGAAUCUGUGAUAUUAAUUCAUGCAAAACAAAUUGGGUUUUGGUGGGGGCCCAACAUAUGUGAUUUCAUGAUUGAUUGAUUUAUUUAUUUGAUUACUAUACAUGAUUGAUUUACUCUAUUCAACUCUAUGACAUGCAUGCGAUUAUUCUGUGUUUGAUUGCUAACAUUUGUUUCUCUUGAAGUAAACCGGUUCAUCACUUCAUCACUCAGGUACAUUCUUUGCCUCUCUUGUUCAUUCAGUUAUUUUGUUUUGAGUGACAUUCCUUUGGUAUCCAUGCUCAAUUAAUCAAUUGUCAUGCUUGCUCAUCUUAUUAGUAGAGACCCGUCAUAGGGACUUAGAGGGGUGCUACGGUCUUUACCAUACCUUCCUGAUAAGUAACCUGACCCCCGAACCCGAUCCGGUUUUUCACAGACCACCUUUUCUAAAUAAGGAGUCACACUUAGGGUUUUCGUUCUUAUUUUGUUUACCCUUUAAAAAUAAAACAAAAAUAAGUGGCGACUCUAAGUCAUUUUCUUAAUUAAUAAAUCAUAAUUUUUCUAAAUCAAAAUUGAGGUCGCCAUCGAGUGGGAAAUGCAUGAGCCAAAAUGCGGGGUCCACAAAAUGGAGACUCCACUGGGGAUCUUUUAGAGGGUCAAGCUUGAACUUAAGAUGAAGCAAGUGUGGCGUUUGAUGAGUCGAUCAGUGGGUACCUAUUUCUUGAUUGCACGUUGAGAGUCCUUGGUAUCAUUGGAUGCAUGUUUGGUUAUUGUACUCAUUUGGGGCAUGGACAUGCCAAUUAUGAUGAUUGAUUAUCUUGAUUGAGCAUUCUGAUUGUGGUAAUUUUUCUUGUGCUUCAUAGCUAUAUUUGUUUGGGGCAUUCAUAUGCUGAUUAUGUUGAUUGAUCAUCUUACCUUGCUUAGAAUAGUGACUUUGAUUUUGCCUUGUUUUGUUCUGAUCACUUCACAUGUAUAGACUCACCAUUGUAUAUCAUUUGAUUCGACAUCAUUGAUUCUCUUGGUUGUAUAUUAUCUUGAUUAUCAUGGAGCAUGCUAUCAUUGCCCGACAUUCUUCUUGAUUAGCUUGUGUGUAGAUUUGGAUGACAUAUACCUGUUUUGCAUGACUGUCUAUUGCAUGACUUCUCUCGUCCCGUGUGAUUGCAUGAGUUGCAUGUCUAUGUGGGACACACACUUAUCCCCUUAUUUCCAAGUCCCUAGUCUCGAUCGACAUUAUUUCCCUUGGUCUCGUAUUUGAUACUAGACUUGUUGCUUUGUUUGCUCUUCAACCGAGCUAAUGAUUAGGAGUAGGGUCUAGCGAUGGGCUAUAUCUAUGUUUGGGAGCAUUCUGGAGGUGGUCAACAUAUUGAUGCUGAUUGGAGUCCAAACUUUGAAGACUUGUAUAGCCCAGAGCUAGAUUUCAAGAUAUUUGUGUGGUCAGUGUGUUUUCUUUUAGUUUCAUAGGGUUUUCGGAUGCACCCACACCACUCACUGUGCACUCUAGUUGACCAUUAAGCGUUGAGAGUUUGAGAGGCUUCACCAUAGGAAACCCCCUGGGAUGUCGAGGUAGUGCAUGUGUGGAGGUGAUGACCACCUUGCAUGGAAGCACCCCGUCUCUUCGGAGGCGUUCAGAGGGUUGCGUACCGCCGGAGAGUAUGAUCGCUUCUGCUAGGGAUAUUUUAAAGUCCACCCAUAUCCAUUUAAAGCCAUCUUGACCUCGUAGGUUGAGCCGUAGAUCCUUCAAUUAAGACUCCCUUCCUCACACGUGGGUGCAUCUAAGGGCUUUUAGAGCUUCUGUAGUCAUAGUUCGGAUUCAACACUCCCUCUUUUUUAGUCUUCAGUUGAGAGUGCUCAGAGAUCGGUUUGAGUUUGAGUAUUGGUUGGAUCACCUUUGUCGUGUCACCUUGGAUUAUGCUUUUCACUCUAUGAGUUUGUCAUGCUUUCUCUUUAGGGAUUUCGUCUUUCUUUCUUGGUUCGACACAUCCUUUCACUUUGUUGUCACUUACUUGAUGCUUCGGGAUAUGUUCAUUGAUCAUCUUUUUACACUGUACACCUAUCAUGGGCUCAAUACCUCAUUAUUUAUUGGAUCCUUGAUUCAAUUUUCGACUCGAAGCUCAUAUUUUCAUUCCAAAAAGGUGAAAGGCACGUUUUUACAUUCACUCUUUUUUCGAGAGAGUCGCCUUGAUCACCUUAUCAUUUUUUCUCUUAUGGAGCUCGAGUUAAAGGUUGAUUCAAGUAUAUAUGUUUAUUGAUGGAGUACUGAUCUCGUGAUAGUGUGUUUUUCACACCUCUUUUAUCUCGGAUUAUUGAUGGAGAUUCUCUGGUCACAUUUGUAGCCAUCUCGCAGUGGAUACCUUUAUGACUCUAGAGUUUUCGUCAUAUAUCCAGAUUUUGGAUUGCCAUCUCAAGACCAUGUGCUUGCAUGAUUGUAUUAUCGUCCUUUAGAGUUUUAUCUCGUAUCCUUCAUCCGUUUUGUUUGCAUUGUAGGGAGUCAGUUUAGGAGUCGGUUGAGUCUGGAGUCACAUUCUUGGAGGAGAGUAGGAGGUCGAUUGAUUAGAGCAGAUUCAUAUCCAAGUUCAGACAGUUCAGCUGAGAUGUCGGACGAGCUAGCUUCCACACUUGCUUCUAUUUAGGAGUUCAUGGCAGGGGUUAGUAGACGUUUGGAUCAAAUAGAGAGUUCUCGCCAGGAUCAUCAUCCAGUCGGCAUUAGCACUGACGAUACAGUUCCCCAUGUACCUCACACAGCGCAGGUUUUUCCACUCGGGACUUCACAUGGCGUUCCAUUCCAUCUAUCAGAUCAUUGUGAGACUGCUCCACCACUUGCUGUCACAGUGCCACCUCCCAUGGUUCCUACUAUUGAGGAUACUCAAUUAGCCAAGUAGGAGGCCAAGGUUGAGAGGCUUGAGUCCAUGAUGAGACAGAUCAGAUUACAGGACAGAGGUUUGACUUGGGAUGACAGAGACGACAUACCGGCGGCUAGCUUGCCCACCAAGUUUCGCAUGCCAGACAUCGAGCGUUACAGUGGGAUUGGUUGUCCCAAGAUCCACUUGAGACUAUACAGCAUAGUCAUGAGGGCACAUGGUAUAGAUGAUGCGCAAUUGGUGGCCCUCUUCCCUAUGCACCCCGAAAAUGAAGACCCCCUCCCCCCAACCUUCACCUGCUCUCUAUUUUCUUGUUCAGAAAAAGUUCCCAUCUCAACCACCAGUAUGGGAAGUUGGUGGUCCUUUGCCAUGCGUCCCAUGCGGCUUGCUCUUCCAGAAACCGGCCUCUACUCCAAAAAUGAAAAUCAGCCAGCUCUCGGGUAGCCCAAAAAGGGGUCUACAAUUAUCUUUUAAGGAUAUAAAAUAGUGAUGGACUAAAAUACCUAAUGACCUUUCACAUAAAUUUUUUUUUGUCUUUAUUGCACCACUAUUCAUGUAACCAUAAUAAUUCUAUUUUAACAAUUUGGAUUUUUCAUUGUUUUUAAUUUUUUUUAUAAAUAAUUAAAAAUCAGCAUUAUUUUCUAUUUUAAAUUAUAAAUAAAGAAAAAUUAUGUUCAAAAACUAUUUUAAAAAAUACUUUCUAAAAAAAUGGUAAUAUGAUUUAUAUUUUUUAUGUUUUAUUUUUGAAAAAACAUUUAAUUAAAAAAUAAAAACUAUUUUUAAAAAUGAAGAUUGAAAACCUUGUUUAGUACUAAUUUUUUAUAUGAAAAUAAUAAAAAGAAUUAAAUUCAUUGAUUACCCAUUUUUAUUUUUUUCCAUUAGUUAUUUUAAUAAUAAAAUAAAAUAAAAAAUAGUAUGUUUAUAAUUAAACAAAGAAUUUGCUCAAUUAUAUGUUUUUGUGGGACUAUCUUUUACAUGAAAAAUAAUUAAAUAACUAAAUUAUAUAUAUUUAUUACUCUUUUUAAUUUUAUUUUCUUUAUUUAUUUUUUGUCUAAUAGAAAAUUUUAAUAUAUCCAUAAUUAACAAAGUAAUAAAUCAAUUGUGCACAUUUUAAUCUAUAAAAAUAAAUUACUUUCUAAUUUAAAUAAAAAAAUGAAAUAAGUAAAUAAAUUUGGGGUUAUUUUUAUUUUUUAACAUAUCUUAUAUCAAUAUUUUUUAUGGUUAAAUAAUUUUUAUUUUUAUUUUUUAUUUCUUCAAUUCCAAAAAUAAAAUGAAAUAAAUAAAUAAAUUUGGUAUUUUCUAACUGAUCUUAUAUUCAUAUUUCUUAUGGUUAAAUAAAUUUUUUAUUUAUUUUUCUUUAUUUCCAAAAAUAAAAGGAAAUAAAUAAAUAAACUUGGCUUAAAUAAUUGUUUUAAAGUAAUUUCUUUAUCUUAUUUUUAAUUCCAUUUUGCAUUGAAAAUAAAAUAAAAUAACAUUUUUAUUUGAGUCACUGUACAAGGUAUUUACACUAAGUGUAUAUGAUAAAUAUACUAACUGUAUAAGGGUGUAUAAGACUAUUAUUUGUGAAGGAUUUGAAGUGAUUUUGAAAAACUUGUUUGUUUAUUUUCCCUCACCGGGGAUAAAUGAUAUUCCUUACACACAUUGGUUAAGCGUACAUUCAUCUCAUGCACUUUAUCUAACUUGUAUAUGGUUAUUUGAAUAGGUACCUUAUGAUGAUUGUAAAACAAAAUUAUACAACAAUUUUUUUUCUUUUUUAAAACCAAACCAAUGCAAACAUGAUUAACCAACCUAUUAUCAGAUAUUCAUGAGAUGAUGUAUGAAAUUUGAGUUAUUGUACAAGGGUAUUACACUAACUGUACAAGACAAAUUUAUCAAUUGUACAAGGGUGUACAAGACUACUUUUUGUUAAGGAUUUUAAGUGAUUUUGAAAAGCUUUCCCAUUUUUUUCCACUCAAAGAUUUUUCCCCCACUCAAAUUCUCUUACUCAAGAAUUGUUUCGAAUUUUAUUUUUAAAUUUCAUCAUCAAAAUUUUGUAAUUGCAUAACUGUACAUUUCCCUUAUACAGUUAGUGCAAUAUAAUUGUACAGUGGCGCAAUAAAUGAAUAAAUGAUUUUUUUUUUCAUAUAAAAAAAAUAGUACUAAACAAGGUUUUCAAUUUUCAUUUUUAAAAAUAGUUUUCAUUUUUUAAUUAAACGUCUUUUCAAAAAGAGACAAUAUAGAAAAUAAAAAUUAUUUUUAAAAAUAAAAACUAGAACAAUAUUUUAAAACCAAACUCAAAUAUAAUCUAUAUAAUUUUUAACUACUUGUUUUCAUUUAAAAUAAGUAAAUAUACCUUUCAACCCUUUUAUAUAAGAAAAAUUCAAUUUUUACUAUGUAGUUGAUAUCCCGACUCUUGGUAGCUUGGCAUGUAAGGGUAUCAACAAAAUUUAUACCUAAGGUCCUUACACUAAAGUAGCAAAGCUACUAUAGCAUAGUGGCUCUAGGAUCGAACACUGGGAAGGGUUUUUACUUUAACUGGUGAAGUUCGGAGGAUGGAGUGAACUUUUCUUAAUAAAAAUUAGGUUAAAAUGAAAACAUAAAAAGAUGAAGGUGUGUAAACUAAACUAACAUGAAAAUAGGUUAAAAGAUGGAAAAAGAAGUUUCUCAAAGCUUUGGAUGCUUAACUCACUGUGUAAAAAUGGAGAUUUUGGAACUUUUCACCUCGAGUUGGGGAAGCAACUAAGGUGAUGCUUAUUUCCCGAACCGGUAUGUGUUUAACAACUGAGUUUUAGUCCUUGAAAACUUACAAAAAGGGUAGCUGAACCUCAUAAAUGCUCUUUUAAUGAUAUAGGUCAUCUCCUCGACUUGCAAUACAAUGGCUCGUAGGAGAUAACUAAUGAACAUCAGUGGAUCUAACAAUAAGAAUCCACUGAGACCAAAAGGUUAUCAAGUAUUGGCCAUUCAAAGCAAGUCAGAGGGAUUAAAAGCUUUACUUUGAAUGAAAACGUUUAUGACGCUCAGCUACUUACAUUCAUGGCUUGGAAAUCUCCAUCCUGACACGGGAGCUUCACAUGGCAUCCAUUACUUCAAGAAACUAAAAGGUUUUAGCCUCUCAUCCUUGGGGAUUUCAUCCUCCAAGGAUGUUUGGCUACUAAGAAAAUGAGAAAGAAAAGAGAAAAGAAACGUAUGAACAAAAGUGCUCUUAUAACUUAUAAAGUUACAGGUUACAAGAUUCCAUGAUGCGUGUCUGAGGCUCUUCACCUCUAUUUAAAGACAAUAACAAGCUAAAUUACAAGAGCUAUUACAAAAGCAACCUAUUCAUUGGUUGAUUACAAGGGUAAAAUAGGUAUUUACAAAGCUAAAAAUCAAGCAAAAUAUCUUGGAGAACCGGUAGUGGAAUAACAUCAACAACGUCUCAAAACAGGGGAUUCAAAGGAAUUUCGCAAUGUGCCUAAAUCCACCUUGCGAAAUUUUCGCAAGGUGUUUCUUCAUGGUGCGAAGUGGCAAAAUUUCGCACCAUGAAGAAAAUCUCCUUGCGAAAUUUUCGCAAUGUGAAAUUCACCUUGCGAAAUUGGUCAUUUGACAUGAUGCAGUUGCCUUCCGAAGGCCAUAUCUUCCUCAUUUCAGCUCCAAAUCAUACACGGUUUGAAGCGUUGGAUUCUUGACUUCCUAGGCUUUCAAAUGGUAUAUAGAAUGAAAAAAAUGGACUUCGGGAAGUGCUUCAAAAGUGCGAAAGAAGACUGCAGCUGUUUUCUUCACUCUGUUUUCCUCUUCUCCAUUGCUUGUGCUCGUGUUUCCACUUGAAAUUCAAGCCUGUAAUCAACCAAAAUCCUUGCUUAACUCGCCCAAAUAGCUCCUCCAUCAAUUGGCAUGCUUGAAUUGGUUCAUAAGCUGAUAAAAACAUGUAAACUUGCCACAAAAUGGUUAAAACCAAUUACUAAGGACCUUAAUGAAUUAAUUGGGUUAAAUGAAUAUGAUUACUACUCAAAGGUGCUUAAAACCAUUAUUAUUAGGUCUACAAAAUAGCACUUUUUGGUAGUAAUCAGUAGUGAUAUAAUCCACUUCUAAAAUUAAGUCAUAUGAAAACACUUUAAUUGAGUACUUAAAAUCGUUUCAAUCACAACAAAUUCAAACACAAUAUAAGCAAAGUAAAGAGAUAGAGUUUAAAGAAUUCAAACUUGGGUUUAUAGUGGUUUGACACUUCCUUGCCUACGUCCACUCUCCUCAACCUCCUAACCGAGUGAGGGUUCCACUAACUUGAAGCUUCAACCAAGCUUCCAAUCUUCUUACACUUGGAUUCUGGCUCCAAUGGGCUCUUACACAACCUCUUCAAGAUUCAACCCUCUUGAAGGCUUUAACACUCAGAUUGUUACAAGAUAUAAUCACUCAACCUAGCUUAAGGAUGGCUCAAAUACAAGACAAAGCUAGGAAGACACACAAGAGUGCAUUAAAGGAUAUGCAAGUGGUGAUUUAAUGCACUAUGAAGGAAAUGAGAGCUUUUUGAUCAAGAACAGGUAGCUAGCCUUUUGAAUGCAAGUGUUCUAUUGUCAAUAAAUGAAGAGGAGCUCUCAAUUUAUAGGUUUCUAAGCUCGGGAGUCAAAAACAACAAAAGGUAACCUUGUCCGGUUGAGUUAGGGGUUGACUAGUUCACUAGCCGUUGGAGCAUUUAAUGCAUGACAGGUUACCAUUGCCUCAACCGGACCUCGAUCAGUCCUCGAUUGGUCCUCGACCGGACCUCGAUCGGUAAGGGAAUCACCUCGACCGGGAAGAGAAGGCUACUGGGAGAGAAAACGUUUUUGACCUUCCUCGACCGGUCCUCGACCGGACGACCACAACCGGUUGACCGGUUCCUCAACCAGUUGAGUCGGUUGGGCAUAGCCUCAACCGAUUGAGCCUUUUUGGGCCCGAAACUCUAUUUUUUUUAUUCCUUUCUUUUCUAACACUUAGGCAAGGUCUUUAGGUAAAAUAUUAAGCCAAUUUUGAAACAUUUUGCCUAAGGUACAUUAGUUAAAAACUCAGGUUUUAAUGAAAUCGACGUUUUAAAGAAUAAACCGAGUUUUCAAAGAUGCAUGAAACGUGUGAAAAUCCUAAGUGCACUCAUGCAUUCAUCUUACAUUAAUUUCCUAUGAUCACAAGUCUUUCAAGCGUCUCGAUCUUGUAUCCAUUUGGUCCUUUGAUGAAUUUUCGAGUUUAUACCUGAGAUUCUUAAUCAUUAAACCAAUUAGUCACUUAACCAUGGUUUGUUAUCAUUAAAACCCGAUUAGGAGAACCCUUGGGCUAACAAUCUCCUCUUUUUUUAUGAUGAAAAACCUUGGUUAUCUAGGAGAGAAAAAAAAUCUCCCCCUCAAACCAAUCAUUGAUAAUCAAAUGAUUUUUAAUAGGAAGCAAUGUAAAACACGAAAAUGAACAAUGGUUCAUAAAAAAAUAUCAUAUCAUAUAUAUAUGGAAACGAAACCUCACAUGUACAAACAAGAUAGAUAUGACUAUGAUGACAAUGACAUGCAUGAGGGUCUCCUAGAUCCUAUAAAUUUCUCCCCCUUUGGCAACAUAAAAAAGAAACGGAGGGGGAUGUCUAGAUAGUCUCAAGGCUGAGGAGGUGGAGGAGGAAACACAGAGCGGAGAUAUGCCAUCAUCUCCUCAUGCUGACUCGCCUAACGACUCUCAAUAUGAUCAAUGCGCUGCUGGAGAUGCUUGAAUGUAGUCUGCUGCUGAUCCAUACCCUCCUUUAUGCGUUCAAAUCGCUGCUAGAAGUAAUCAAACCGAGAAGUGACUCUAGUAUGAUACUGAUCCAGGUGAUCCUCCAUAGAGUAGAAGCGAGAGUCAUGGACUAAGGCAAGCUCCUCCAUAUGAGUCCCAAGGGAGCUGAUUUGAGCGGAGACAUCCAUCCAAGGCGCAUGAUCAGGAGCGAGAGGUGCCUGAGAUGGUAGCUCGGUAAAUGAAGGCUGAGAUGAUGGUCCUGUUGUGAAAGACGACUCAAUCAUCAUAGGCUUUGAGAAGGUAGCCUCAACAUGAAUGCCCUCUAACUGAGGUGGAGGCGGAAUGUCAAGCUCGGGCCCUCUUUGCUCAAAGUCCCUUUGAGGGUCCAACCCAUCCUCCAUCUCUCUGAUCUCGGCCUUUUCCUCUACUCCGGGAUGUAUCUGAUCCUGUCCCCGGGCCUGUCACUCGACUUUCUUAACCUAGGAGCCAUCGGGUGCCUUCUUGAACUUCAUGCGCCCCAAAGACUGCUCAUCAUAUGUAUCAUAGCUGGUGGGGGCCUCGAAAUCCGUCUUUUUACUCAAGUCGACCUCGAAAUCCUUGAAUACUCGGGUAAGGAAGUGGCCAUAGGGGAGUACUCAUGUCGUGCUCUCAACGCAGGAGAUCAUAUGCAUCAUCAUCAGAUAUCCCACGUGAAUCCGUCUCCCGAUGAGGAUCGAGUCCACAAUAAAAGCCUCGAGGUAGGAGACCUCGUCUCGAUGUCCUCCACGUGGCAAGAGAAUAGAGCAGAACAUGUGGUGAAGGACUCAGCUGGUCAUGGUCAGGCUGUGUGCCGAUGGUUUGCCCAUCCCCUAAGCAUCGGCAAGUUCGCACAACCUCUGAACAGCCUCUCUAGGCGCGAAUCCUGGCACAGUGGGCCACGCCUUGGCCUCAUACACUCGGAGUCCAACUGAAGGGAUGUCGAGAAUGCUGCAGAUACUCUCGGGACUCAAUCUGAACUCAACUCCCCUCACAAUGGACAAUACGAGUCCUCCAAGCCUGUAGGUCGCCCGGGAAUAAAAGGCCCUCACCAGAGUCGGGAAGAUAGGCUCAGAAUAGUCACAGCUAGCAGCCAUCCCAUCCAUCCAAAUAGCCCCUCAAACCUGAAGUGUUGAAGUUGGGAGAAAUUGACACUUCUCCCUGGGACGGCUUUCCUCUGGGCAAAUUUUUGCUUGCAGCGCUAAUAGUCUUCAAUCGAACUAAAGAGGGUCGUGUCAUACCUCGCCUUUCGGCGAGCCUCUGUCUGCUUGGGCUGAGAAGGCUCAGCAGGGCAUUUGCCCUGAGCCCUGGAAGUGCUUGUCUCUCGUCUUGGUGCCAUCCAAUGGAACAGAAAGAAGAAGGAGAAGGCCAAAAUGAGAAUGAAAGCAAAUAGUAAGAAGCAACCACCAACCCGAACCCCUAGAUGCACGGAGAUGGAGCUGAACAGACCCUGAGGCGCGCGAUAUAGAGAGAAGAUGCUCCUAAAAGCUGAAACCCUGGGUUUCAAAUCAAAGCCCUAGCUAAAAUCCCUCCCAAAAUCAAGUCCAAGCCUUCAAUCAGUCCAAAAUCCAACCCAAAAAGGCCUCUGGAAGCAGGUAUGUGAAGGGGCGACAAGCUAUGGAGAAGAAAAUGUGAUAAAUGAAGCACGAAGAGGACUUUUUAAAUUCCCAGCCCCGACGAACCGGUCGACCGCCUGGUCAACAGUCAACGGUCAAUUUUUCCAAAUUUUGUUGCAUUUUCUUGUCUCGUGAUCCUCCCCCUGCCCUUUUCAGUUGAAAUCCCCAAUUUUUUAUGUCCAAUGCCACGGGAAUUUUGAUUUUUGGUCAAAAUUUGACCUCUUUCCUAGGAUUAUUUCUAUAUGAUGCAUAUGAUAUGGAUUUCACGCAAUCAUAGGGUAUAUUCAAUUGUAAUAUCAACAAGAAUUCAUCAAGCAAUCAUUUAAUCAUAAAGAAAUCACCCCUAGUUGUCUUCUAAUAUCAACAAAUUGCUCUUCACUUAGGGGUUUUGUAAAAAUAUCGGCAAAUUAAUUUUUUGUGCUUACAAAUUCAAGUGUAAUGUCACCCUUUUGUGCAUGGUCUCUAAGAAAAUGAUGUCUUAUCUCUAUAUGCUUAGUCCUAGAGUGUUGUACCGGAUUUUUUGAAAUUUUUAUGGCACUAGUGUUAUCACAUUUUAUAGGAACAUGCUCAAAAAUCAAAUUGAAAUCACUAAGUGUUUGUUUCAUCCAAAGAAUUUGUGCACAACAUAAACCGGCUGCUAUGUAUUCAGCUUCCGCUGUAGACAAAGCUACCGAAUUUUGCUUCUUACUAUGCCAUGAAACAAGUGAGUGUCCUAGGAAAUGACAAGUGCCACUAAUGCUUUUCCUCUCAACUUUACAACUGGCAAAGUCGGCAUCCGAGUAUCCAAUUAAUUCAAAGUUAUCACCCUUAGGAUACCAUAGCCUUAUGUCCAUAGUCCCUUUUAAAUAUCUAAGAAUUCAUUUUACAGCACUUAAAUGAGAUUCCUUAGGACCAGAUUGAAAUCUAGCACACAAGCAUACACUAUACAUGAUGUCGGGUCUACUAGCGGUCAAAUAUAGUAAAGAACCUAUCAUGCCUCUAUACAUAGUUGAGUUGACGGGCUUACCUUUGUCAUCCAUGUCAGGCUUGAUGGAUGAACUUAUUGGAGUCUUCAUUGUUUAGGCUUCCUCCAUAUUGAACCUUUUGAGGAGAUCUCUUAUAUACUUUGCUUGAUUGAUGAAGGUUCCUUCCUUUAGUUGCUUGAUUUGAAGUCUAAGGAAGAAGUUAAGUUCUCCCAUCAUGCUUAUUUCGAACUCACUAUGCAUGCAUUUAGAGAAUUCUUCACAAAGAGAGACAUUACACUACUAUAAAAAUCGAAAUUAAUGACGCUUGAUUCCUUGACACUUCUAAAAAACGUCAUUAUUUAGAUUAUAAUAUGAGAUUCAAUGGCGCUUAUUAGAAGCGUCAUUGUUUACUAUAGUAUUUUUCAAUCCAUGGCGCUUAUUAGAAGUAUCAUAGUUUGAUAAGGCUUAUUUGAAUAUUAUUCGGUACAUAAUGGCGCUUAUUCAAAGCGUGAUAACAUUAAUCCCAUAACUUGGUGCUUUAGAGAAGUGUCAUUGAAUUAUAGGUAUAAAUAUACCUCCCUAAAAUAUUCCCCCUUCCACAAUCUCUCAUCCACCAAACAUUCUCUUUGCCAUUUCAAACCCUCCCAAAUGCUCAUACCAAAUAAACUUGUGUACAAAACUGAAUAGGAUCUCUCAUCCACCAAACCCAUCCUUCUGAAUACUUUCCCAAAAUCCCCUUUGUCAUUGUUAUCGUUACCAUCAUAGAGAGAAAACUUCAAUCUUGAUAUCGAUGAUGGAACCCUAGAUUCUCUUGAUGUUUUCCCGAGUUGGUCCUUCUGGUGGAAGAAGUUGUGGCUAUUCACGGAUGAGUACUUCUUGAUCCUCGAAUCCUUUCACUUUUUUUUUAGAUCCAAACAGCACUAUGUCAAGUACCACUGAUUUUUCUUUUCCAUUUCUUUCUUUGUGAUUUUGUUUAUUUUGGUUUCCUUGUUUUUGAUAUUUGUGUAAGAAAAUGUACUCAUUUUUUUCUAAGUUCCUAUUUGUUUAUUUGGAAAUGAGUUUUUUCUAUUCUUAUGAUUGAUUUUUUGUUCUCCCUUUUAUUUUAUUUUGGGCUUGGGACUUUGAUGGGCAUUGGGGUUGGGUUUUAGGGCUUGAAAAUUGCUUGUGGUUAUGUCAUGUGGAUGUUGGAUGUGAAAGAUUUGUGCUUUUUGAUCCUCGGUGACGUUUUUUGUUGAAUGCUCUGUUGACAUUUUGGUUUCAUUUGAACAGGGGAGGAUUGAAAAUGGAUUGAUGGGUUUGAUUCAUUUGUUGGGUUUUUGGGGUUUGUGGAUUGGUGGUUGAGGUGGGAUCUUUUGGCACAUUCUAGGGUUUGUGUUGUUCUUGCUGUUCAUAUAUAGGGAUUUUAGGGUUUUGAGAUUGGGAUUUUGGAAGUUGAAUUGAUGAAUUAGGUGGAGGUUGUUGAAUGGGGGUUCAGACUAUGGGGUCUCAAGGUGGUGGUGGUGGUGGUGGUGGUGGUAGUGGUAAUGGUAAACAAUCUCAGUUUCAGCCAUUGGCAUGGAAAAACUCAAUGUAUAGUUUAACACUUGAUGAGGUUCAAAAUUAGUUAGGAGACUUGGGGAAACUGCUGACUAGUAUGAACCUUGAUGAGCUUCUCAAGAAUGUGAUUACUACCCAAAAAAUGCUAUUUUACACCUUUAAUUCAUUAUGUUUUAAGCACUUUUUUGUAGUAGUUCUCCAUCUUUAUCCCAAUUGGCAUGUUAAGGACCUAACAAUGACUUCUAAUCAUAUUUGUGGCUAGUUUUAGUAUUUUGACAGAUUUUUGGAUCAUUAAGACAAGCCAAGCAAAGGAGAGAAGCAAAGAGAAGCAAAGAGGAAAAUCAAGCAAAGUGAAGAAAACAGAGGACAGCAGCUGCAGUCUUCCUUUGCACUUUUGGAGCACUUCUCGAAGUCCAUUUUUUGCAUGCUAUAUACCAUUUCAAAUAUUAGGAAGUCAAGAAUCCAACGCUUGAAACCGUGUACAAUUUGGAGCUGAAAUGAGGAAGAUAUGGCCUUCGGAAGACAACUGCUCCAGGCUUAUGCGAAAUUCGCACAACACCUUGAAAUUCGCACAACACCUUUAGCUUGUGCGAAACUCGCACAACACUCGCACAACACCUUCAGCUUGUGCGAAGGUUGUGCGAAACUCACACAACACUCACACAACACUCGCACAACCCAUGCGUGGUGCGAAUUUUCCUCUGUUUCUCCACGCACGCACCACAGACUUCCCAGAUAUUUUUAGCUUGAUAUUUUCUCGUGUAAAUUCCUUUUGUAACCUUGUAUUCAGCCGACAUAAGGCUUUAUCUUGUAAUUUUGCUAUAUAUAGAGGUGCACAAUGCCUCCAAAAGAUAUGGGAUGAUUGGGGGAUCGAUCCUCUGUACAUUAACUUAGAAAUAUAUAAAGCUCUAUUUUUCUCUCUUCUCCUGUUCUUCCCCAUUUCUAUUUUCUUAGUAGCCAAACAGCCUCUGAGGGCUUUUCCUCAGAGGAUGAUUGGCUAAAACUUUUAGUUUCUCAAAGUAUGGAUGUUAUGUGAUGACUUGGAUGCAAUCCCAUGGAAAUUUCUCGCACCUAGAAGGUAAGGUAGUCGUUUUUCAUUAAAGGUUCAUUAAUGCAAAGUUUGGUUUUUAUUUCCUUUGGACAACUUCCAACGGCCAAUACUUGAUAAGCUUUUGGAUUUCUAUCCAUUAGUUAUCUCCUACGAGCUAUUGGAAGGUGAGGUUUUCAAUUCCAAGUUUUGCAUUAAUCCGUUAGAACUAAUUUCAAUGGCCAUUGAAAGGUGAGUUUAUCACUUGGAAUGACUUUGAGUUGCCAAUAUUUGGUAAGCUUUUGGCUUUAGACCAUUAGUUAUCUCUUACAAGCCAUUCAAAGGAAGUCUAAGGUGAAUAACCAUUGAUGAAAUUCACUACCAUCUGUUUUUCCAUUUUAAAGGAUUAAAACUUGAUUUGCUAAAUCCAUACCGGUUCGGGAAGCAAGCAUCACCAUAGUUGCAACCCCAAUGUGAGGAGCCUAUCCUGAGAUUUCCAAUUUGCAUAAGAGCCAGAGCAUAGCUAUCCUAUCUUUGAGAAACUUGUUUUUAAACCCUUUCAUUUUAGUCUUUAAUGUUAGCUUAGAUUAGUUUAAAUCUUUCUAAAACAUUUACAUCUUCUUUUAAAGCUAACAUCCAUAAGAAAAUCACCUAUUUUCCUAAUUUGAAUAUCACUAGUGUUUGCGAAAACCCUUCCCAGUGAACGAUCCUAGAACCACUAUGCUAUAGUAGCUUGGCUACUUUAGUAAUAGUAUUUAAGGUAUAAAUUUUGUUGAUACGCCUUUAAAGCUAAGCUACCAUGAGUCGAAUCAGAAUGUGUGGACGGUUGAGGCUAAUAAUUCUGUGGGUAUGGAUGCUGAGGGUGUAGGUUUGAGUAACCAAUCUGCUCUGCAACGAGAGCCUAGAAAAUUGACAAGUGCUCUUAGCAAGAAGGCAGUUGAUGAGGUCUGGUGAGAUAUACAAGGGCAUGGCAAGAACAGUGAAGAGAAGAAAUCUCGGGAGAGGCAGCCUACUUUGGGGGAGAUGACUUUGGAGGAUUUCCUGGUAAAGACAGGAGUUGUUGCUGAACCAUCAGAUAAAAAGAUUGAUGGUACUGUUAUUGGGGUUGAUCCUAAUGUAAGGCCACAAUUCCCACAACAGGGUUAGUGGAUGCAGUACCCACAACCACAAUUUCCGCAUCCACAACAGAAUAUGAAAGGGGUUUAUAUGCCAGGCCAGCCAAUGCCGCAGCCGCUACCCAUGGGACCUAGCUCUGUCAUGGAUGUUAUAUAUCCUGACAACCAAGUGGCCUUAUCUUCUCCAUUGAUGGGAGCUUUAUCAGAUACACAGGCACCUGGGAGGAAAAGAGUUUCCCAAGAGUCUUAGAUAUGAUUGAGAAAACUAUUGAGAGGAGACAGAAGAGGAUGAUCAAGAAUUGGGAAUCUGUUACCAGUUAAAGGGCCAGGAAGCAGGUUGGCUGUCAGUUUUCUGUUUUUCUGAACUCCACCGCACUGUUGAUUAUUACCAAAAAGUGCUAUUUUGUAGACCUAAUUAUAAUGGUUUUGAGCACCUUUGUGUAGUAAUCAUAUUCAUUUAACCCAAUUAAUUCAUUAAGGUCCUUAGUAAUUGGUUUUAACCAUUUUGUGGCAAGUUUACAUGUUUAUAUCAGCUUAUGAAUCAAUUCAAGCAUGCCAAAUGAUGGAGGAGCUUCUUGGACAAGUUAAAGCAAGCUUUUAGCUACACCAAAGCAAGCCAACAAAAGGAGAGAAGCAAAGAGAAGCAAAGGGAAGCAAAGAGGAAAACAGAGGACAGCAACUGCAGUCUUCUUUUGCACUUUUGGAGCACUUCUAGAAGUCCAUUUUCUACAUGCUAUAUACCAUUUCAAAUCUCAGGAAGUCAAGAAUCCAACACUUCAAACUGUGUACGAUUUGGAGCUGAAAUGAGGAAGAUAUAGCCUUUGGAAGACAACUACUCUAGGCUUGUGCGAAAAUUUCGCACAACACCUUCCAAAUUCGCACAGCCCAUGCGUGGUGCGAAUUUUCCCCUGUUUCUGCCGACUCCACACGAGAUCUUUUAUUUUGGAUAUUUUUGUAUAAAUUUCCAUUCUUCUCCUUGUAAUCCACCAAUCAUAAGAUUUAUUAGCUAGGAAGGUUGGAAAAACUUCUCUAUUUAUAUCCCCUUGCAUCCGUUGUAACAAAUUGAUAGAUAGAUAUAGAAUACAUAUUACGUUUGACACUUAGAAUAUCUACAGAGCUCUCCCGUUUCUAUUUUCUUAGUAGCCAAACAGCCUCUGAGGGUUUUUCCUCAAAGGAUGAUUGGCUAAAACUUUUAGUUUCUCAAAGUAUGGAUGUUAUGUGAUGACUUGGAUGCAAUCCCAUGGAAAUUUCUCGCACCCGGAAGGUAAGGUAGUCGUUUUUCAUUAAAGGUUCAUUAAUGCAAAGUUUGGUUUUUAUUUCCUUUGGACAACUUCCAACGGCCAAUACUUGAUAAGCUUUUGGAUUUCUAUCCAUUAGUUAUCUCCUAUGAGCUAUUGGAAGGUGAGGUUUUCAAUUCCAAGUUUUGCAUUAAUCCGUUAGAACCAAUUUCAAUGGCCAUUGAAAGGUGAGUUUAUCACCUGGAAUGACUUUGAGUUGCCAAUAUUUGGUAAGCUUUUGGCUUUAGACCAUUAGUUAUCUCUUACGAGCCAUUCAAAGGAAGUCUAAGGUGAAUAACCAUUGAUGAAAUUCACUACCAUCUAUUUUGCCAUUUUAAAGGAUUAAAACUUGAUUUGCUAAAUCCAUACCGGUUCGGGAAGCAAGCAUCACCAUAGUUGCAACCCCAACGCGAGGAGCCUAUCCUGAGAUUUCCAAUUUGCAUAAGAGCCAGAGCAUAGCUAUCCUAUCUUUGAGAAACUUGUUUUUACACCCUUUCAUUUUAGUCUUUAAUGUUAGCUUAGAUUAGUUUAAAUCUUUCUAAAACAUUUACAUCUUCUUUUAAAGCUAACAUCCAUAAGAAAAUCACCUAUUUUCCUAAUUUGAAUAUCACUUGUGUUUGCGAAAACCCUUCCCAGUGAACGAUCCUAGAACCUCUAUGCUAUAGUAGCUUGGCUACUUUAGUAAUAGUAUUCAAGGUAUAAAUUUUGUUGAUACGCCUUUAAAGCUAAGCUACCAUGAGUCGAAUCAACUGUUAUUUAGUUUUUUCAUUUCAUUUCUUCUUUUGUUUUGCAUUCUUAAUAAGCUUAGAGUUGAUGAUGAAUAGGCUUACACAAAUGAACUGGAGAACAAAGUUUCACGUCUGGAAGAGGAAAAUGAAAGGCUAAGGAAACGAAAGGUAUAUAUUUUCUUCUAAAAUAAAAUGCAUAUUGGUUAUUAUAAUAUUUUCUUCUAAAGUGGUCUAACAGCAACCCCUCUUACACUAUGGAAGGUAAGUUUUCUUUUUAAUUUCUAGGUGAUGCAGUUUUUAUUUUGAAAUUUGUCUUGAUUUAUCUCAAUUUGUUUUAGUUAGUUUAUAAUUUUUUCAUUAUAGCGCACUGUACUUCUACAUCUAUAAAUUGAAAUCUGACAACUUAAAAACCAUUUUAAAUUUUUCUAACUAUUCUAUGACAUUUUAGACUCCUUGAACUUGAUUUUUGAAUCUUUCUUGGGUCAAACAUGGUUUUCCAAUUAGGAGAUUUAAAUCAAUUUUUCAGAAGGUUCAAUUUUCACUCUGUUUUUUACAUUUAGUCUUGUUUUACAAAAUUAAAUUACUAAACGGUCUCUUUAAUUUAUUUUGACAUUUUAUUUUAAUGUAUACUCCUUAAAUUUAAUUUUUGAUACAUAAAAUAUCAAUAAAUAAUUUCUGAAAUGAGAGAUAUAAUUUUUUCUUCUUGCACACACUGCACAAGUGCUCUUCUGAAUCUGAGAGAUGUUUAUUUAUUUUUAAAUAUGUUGUGAAUGUGAUAUUUCUCUGAGAUUAUUUUUCAUAUAAAAUAGACAUAUUAAUAUAGUUGUGUGAUUUUUUUUUAUGAUUUUAAGACAUUUCUAAGUUAAUUAUAAAAAUCAAUUUUUGAAUACCUUAAAAGAUGCUCUGUUCUGGACCUAUUAUCAUCGUUAUGUAAUCUGGUACUAAAUGAGGGCUGGUUAAUUAAUUUGGUCACUUGGAUGAUACACUAUACAUAUAGGAGAUGCUCUCUAAAAAUAUUCUUGAUAAAACUUAACUUCUAGGUAUUUGUUUUAGAUUUAUUUUUUACAGUCUUCUAUUCUAAUCAUUUGCUGACUUUUUUCUGUGAGGUAACCCCUUUCUGAAUAAAUUUGUUAUUGAUUGGAAUAUAAUCGAAUAAUUUGGCCUAUUGGAUGUUUAUCUAGACAUGUUAAAGAUGUUACCUAAUUUUUAUUUUGGUGAGAUAACAUUUCUUGAUAUUUAUUUGGAGUUUAUUUUGUGAACCGAUUUUCUACCCUUUUAAUAAUAUUUCCUUGGCUUUUGGUAAUUUAGUCACUUUUGAUCAUACUUGUGAACUUUCCUUGACUUUAGACAUUCUAAGUGUAUAUAUGUAGGUUUAGUUUAUUUAUUUAUUUAUUACUAUUUAAUCUUAUCAUUAUUAUCGGUGAAUUAACCUCAUUUUUAUAGAAUCACUGACGCUUGCUACACAGGUACGCUCUGUAUCUUCCCAUUCUAAGUGUAUAUAUAUAGGUUUAGUUUUAUUUAUUUAUUAUUAUUAUUUAAUCUUAUCAUUAUUAUUGGUGAAUUAACCUCAUUUUUAUAGAAUCACUAGUGCUUGCUACAUAGGUACGCUCUCUAUCUUCUCAUUUUAAAGUUCCAUGAAUAUGUUUGUCAUUAAGAACUCACUACUACAAAAAAUUAAAUUAAUAACACUUUAUUUCUUGAAGCUUGUAAAAAAUAUCAUUAUUUAUCUCUAAAAUUAAUAAUUAUUGAUGCUCACACAUUCUUGGCUCUUUACAAGGAGAAGCAAUGGCGUUUUUAAAUAAUGGCUCUUUUGUAUGGAUGUUGUAUUGAAGAAGACAGACGGAUUAUGGUUUAUGAAUGUAUCAAAAAUAAGAGCCUUGAUCAAGCUCUUUUUGGUGAGAAUGCUUAAAAUAUUUUGCAUCUUGCACUUUAUGUUUUUAUUUUUUAUUUUAUUUUAUUUACCACACCUAUACUGUGUUCUGAUAAAGAAUUCAAAUUAUAUUUCCAUUAACUUUAAAAAUUUGAUGUUUCUCUCUAUUUCUUAAUUUGGGGGUUGCAACAAUUAUUUGGCUUGUUUUAAUGAUGUAGGAGAUGAAUGGACCUUAAAAGAUUCAAAAUACUAACUUAAACUAUACCAAUGGUAAUUUUGGCUUGGGAAUUUGACAGUGUCAAUGAUUGAUUUUCCAUGUUUUCUUUCUAACUAUCUAGAAUUUUAAUUUUAGUUGAAUGUUAAUAGAAAUAUUAGACACUAUCACAUCUUAUCUCUCUUCUUCAUGUUUUCAUUUAUUAAUUAUAAUUUAUAAUUUUUCUUUUUUUAAUAUAUUUAUCUAUCUAUUUAUAGAUCACUCUUCUCUUCCCAACUUCGAAGAGAGAGAGAGAGAGAAAUAGUAAAGGAUAGCAAGGGAUAGAGUGUUCUACUCCACCAUCUAAGUAUGUGAUGAAAAGUGAGUACAAUUAAACUCUCGUUACUAUUUUUAUUAUUUUUGAAAUUUCUAUGGCUAUUCUCUUGUGUUUGAUCUAAUUCCACUACUCCUAAUUUACCAUUCCUCAAGGCUGAAUCACAAAGGCUAAAUCACAUUUAUUUUUUAAAUUUCUCCUUAGAUCUAGCAUAAAUUUAUUAAAAUUGCAUAAUUGUUCUAUCAUUUAUUUCAAAAAAACAUUCAAAUACUUCUUGAACUUUUAGGUUGAAUAUAUAUUUGGUUAAUAUUUAGUUUUGUGAUUGGGUUACUUAAUUAUUUUCAUUCUGCAAGUUGUAUUUUCCUUAUUGAUUAUUAUAUUACAUAGUGUAGUUGGCUUAUUAAAAUUUAAAUGAGUCUAAAUCUCCUAAGUUGUAAUAACAUCAUAACAGUAGUUGUUAGCAAAUUAUUGAAGCUCCUACCUGUAGUACAUAUGUUCAGGUUCUUGAGUCGAUUAAUAAGAGUUACUUGGUCAGCCCUCAACAUUAGUAGAACUUGCAACAAAUUUCUUCCUAGUUUCAUAAUGUUGUAAUAUUAAGUCCUCUUGAACAUAAUAGUGAGAAGGUUUGUCAUUAUCAAUUAUUUUGUUUAUUUUGGGACAUGCUAAAAUCUAAUUGUUUAAUUGGUUGAUACUGUGAGUUGAACCUGUGAAUUUUUUAAAUUAGAUAUAAAAUGCAAUAGAAAUUAAAUUGUAUAGAUAGUAAGGUUGGUGUGGCCGGGAUCCUCAAUGGACAAAGCUUUUGCUCCUCCAUUGCCUAUUAGUAGCCUCUACAUAGAAAAGGUGCAUGUUAAGGUUUGACUUCUUACUAUCCCUUGUUCUUGUUUUGUUUUAAGUAUUAAAUAUUAAUCAAAUUAUUGCCAAAAGUUACUCUAGAUGGCUUAUUGACCACAACUAAUACUAGUAGGGAAAUACAAAAGUUUAACUAUUCUAUAUAUGGGUUCAUAAAUUUGUGUUCUCGACAUGUUUGGAUUUUUCUAUCUUUUCUAAAAUAUUUGUUUAUAAUAUUAAUAAACAAGAGAUCCAACUUUCAAUAUUUGUCAAUAAUAUAUCUUCAUAUUGUUCAGUGCAAUGAGUUGCGCUAAUUAGACAAAGUGGUCUUCUAUUACGGAUAUAGGAAAAAAAAAACAUGGCUAUCAUUCUAUAUGAGAACAAGGAGUAGGAGGAAAUGAUUGUGACAACUAGGAGUAAGGGGUUAAGUGCUAAUAAGAUAUAAUUCUAUUUGUACUAUAACUUUAUAAUUUAAUUAUUUACUUUUAUAAUUACAUAAGAUUUUUAUGAUAUCUUAAAUCAACUAUUGUCAUGUUUCUUGGUUUUGUUAAAAUAAAAUAUAAAAAUAAGUCUAUACUUCAAUUCUUAGGAUUUUUAUCAUACCUCAUCUAGUAAAUUACAAGCUCCUCUUAUUAUCAAAAUAAACAAAAAUCAAAGGAACUAGUAAAAAAUAAAAACUAGUCAAAUAAAUAAAAAUAUAAUUUAAUAAUAACAUAGUGAUAACGUGAUGGUUUUCAUCAUGUUUGGACCUUGGUAUUUUUUUUUUAUUGUGCAUUAUAGGACUUAUUCUUGUAUUCAAUAAUGCUUUAAGAGUUCACCAUUAAAUGUCCAAACGGAGCAACCCUAACUCAUAUAUACACUUUAUAAUAAGCAUUUGAUGCAUAUUUAUUCACUUAGAGUCUAUGAGUUUGUUAAAGAUUUAAUUUAACUAUUAACUUGUACUAAAAAUACAAUAUUUUAUCCCAUAAAAACAGAAUUUAUUUCUUCUAUGUUGUUGAAUAAAAAAUCAAUUUUUUUUAAAAAAUUUUAAGUACAUUUUUUUCCUUAUUUUGGGGAAAGCAUAAUAUAUUAGUUGAAAUUGUAGUUCGGGGUAUUUUGUUGAUAGAGUACAAAUUUAUUUAUUUAGUUUCAACUCAUUGGUCUCCUUAAUGAAAUGUUUUGUAUGUCUAGUUUUACUUUGAUGAAUUCUUUUAUGAGGUCUUUUUUGAAGUAAUGCUCUAAAGGUGCAACAUAGAGAUGGCAAUGGAGAGCUUUUUAUCUACAUUAGAAUAAUCUAUUAUAUUUUAUUUCGAAAAAACUUCAUAAUAUAAUUUUUUUUUUCGUAUAAUGAAUUGAAGAAGCACAAUCCAUAUAUGUAAGAGGCUAAGGGGAUUCAUGUAAGCAAACUUGAUAACCUAAAUUAAUUUUGUGAAGGUUAUAAUUUCAUUUAUGCUUAUUAUUUAUUGUAUGUAUAUAUAAUUUAGAUGUUUUCUAUUCUUCCUUAUUUUUAUUUACAGAUUGCAAAGGAAAUUUGUUUGCUAAAAGAAGAGAAAUCAUUGUGUUAAAGAAGACGAAGUCAAAAACCAUGAAGAUUACAUCAGUGAACUCAUUAGGAGGUUGAACUAUGCUUUUAAAGAUUAUGGUUUAUUUUAGUCUUGGUACCAAUGUUUGUUCUUAUGUUAGAAUUAGAAAUUCUUAUUGAAAUAUUUUGAUAUAAUUAACAAGUUUAUGUGUAAUUAAUAUAUAUAGGUGGUUACAUUAAUUGUUUAAACUAGGUUCAUGUAUAUCAAUAUUUGGAUAUAUUUUAAUUAAUAAAAUUCGAUUUUAUUUUAUUGGUUGUAAUUGUUUUUUAAUUUAAUAAUAUAAGAAAUCAAUUAUUUUAAUAACGGAAUUAAAAUAUUAUUUUUUAAUAGAAAUUGUUCAAAGAUGACGCUUUUAUAAGCGUCAUUGUUAACAUGAAACAAAGAAGACAUUUUUAAAAGUGUCAUUAAUAAGAUUAAAUCAAAGAUGACGUUUUCAUAAGUGUCAAGAGUGGUAAUUUUAUAAAAAUUAUUUCAAUAAAAAUGUUCAAAGAUGAUGCUUUCACAAGUGUCAUUGUUGACAUUAUUCAAGGAUGACACUUCUUAAAGCGCCAUUAAAAGCAUUAAUAAAAGAUGACGCUUCUUGGGAGUGUCAUUGUUAAUUGUAACAUUUAAUGACAGGGGCGGAGAUGACACUUUGAGGAAGUGUCAUCUUUUACCUUUCUUGACGCUUAAAAAGCGUCAUUAUUUCACCUUUUUCUUGUAGUGUUAGUAGCUCCAAAAAUGAUAUCAUCAACGUAUAUUUGUACUAAGAGCAUGUCAUUUUCUUUGGUUUUUAUGAAAAGAGUUGUGUCAAUUUUUCCCAUUUUAAAACCAUUUUUCAAAAGAAAUUUACUCAAUCUUUCAUACCAUGCUCUAGGUGCUUGUUUGAAACCAUAAAGUGUCUUUUUAAGUCUAAAAACAUGAUUAGGAAAGUUAAAACUUUGAAAACCGGGUGGUUGUUCAACAUAUACAUCUUCAUUUAUAAAGCCAUUUAAGAAAGCGCUUUUCACAUCCAUUUGAUAUAAAACAAAGUCUUUAAAACAUGCAAAGACAAGUAGCAUCCUAAUGGCUUCCAAUCUAGCUACGGGAGCAAAGGUUUCUUCAUAAUCUAUCCCUUCUUCUUGAUUAAAACCUUGGGCUACCAAUCUUGCUUUAUUCCUUAUAAUUAUGCCAUUUUCAUCCAUUUUGUUUCUAAAGACCUAUCUAGUUCCAAUAACACUUUGAUUUUGAGGUCUUGGCACUAAUUCCCAUAUUUCACUUCUUUCAAAUUGGUUUAACUCUUCUUGCAUGGAAAUCAUCCAAUUUUCAUCAACUAGAGCAUCUUUUAUAUUUUUAGGUUCAAUUUGAGAGAUAAAAGCAAGAUUAUUGCAAAUAUUUCUAAGGGAUGAUCUAGUUCUUACCCCACUGGAUGGAUUACCUAUAAUUUGAUCUUGUGGGUAGUUGAUGACAAACUUCCAAUCUUUAGGGAGGUCUUGGUUUGAUUCACCUUGCACUUGUUGAGGAGGAGGUAGUGCCAAGGGUCAUUCUUCUUUCUUCGGAUCCUCUACAACUUCUUCUUGUUGAUUUCUAUCUUCAAUUUUUAAUUUUCCCAUGGAGGUCUCCAAGCCUAAAUUAUCAUCAAAGCUCUCUCUUUCUUGGAGAGAAUUGUUAGAUUCAUAAAAAAUAACAUGGAUGGACUCCUCAACUACCAUGGUUCUUUUGUUAAAAACUCUGAAGGCUUUACUUGAAGUUGAGUAACCAAGAAAAAUUCCAAUAUCCGAUUUUGCAUCAAAUUUUUCAAGAUUGUCUUUGGUGUUUAAUAUAAAGCAUUUGCACCUAAAGACUUUGAAAUAGCUAAUGUUGGGUUUCUUGUUUUUCCAAAGCUCAUAGGGAGUUUUAUUAAGAAUAGGCCUUAAUAAAAUUCUAUUUAAAACAUAACAAGAAGUGUUAACUGCUUCAGCCCAAAAGUAUUUUGGUAAAUUGUUUUCAUUUAGCAUGGUUCUAGCCAUUUCUUGAAGAGUUUUAUUUUUUCUUUCAACUACCCCAUUUUGUUGAGGAGUUCUAGGAGUUGAAAAGUUGUGAUUAAUACCAUGCUCAUUGCAAUAGUCUUCAAAAUUAAUAUUUUCAAAUUCUCUCCCAUGAUCACUUCUUAUACAAGUAAUUGUAAAACCUUUUUCAUUUUGAACCUUGUUGCAAAACUUUGAAAACCCAUAAAAGGCUUCAUUCUUUUGACUUAAAAAUAAGACCCAAGUGUAUCUAGAGAAUUCAUCCACAAUAACAAAAGCAUAAGAUUUUCCUCCAAGGCUUGGUGUCCUAGAGGAACCAAAUAAAUCCAUAUGCAACAAUUCGAGAGGUCUAGUUGUUGAAAUGAAUUUUUUGUUUUUAAAAGAGUUUUUUAUUUGCUUUCCCAUUUGACAAGCUUCACAAACUUUGUCUUUUUGAAAAUUUAUUUUGGGAAGGCCUCUAACAAGUUCAUCUUUGUUGAGUUGGGAAAUGAGGUCCAUGUUAGCAUGUCCCAACCUCCUAUGCCACAACCAACUUUGAUCAUGCAUGUCUGAAAAAGCAUCUAUCAUGACCAUCAUAUUUUGAAAUAUUUAUUGCAUAAACAUUAUCACAUCUAUGGCCCAUAAAGAUGGUUUUAUCAUUUUGAAUAUCUUUGAUGAUGCAAUGAGAUGCUUAAAAAAUCACUUUAAAACCUUUGUCACAAAGUUGACUUAUGCUCAAAAGAUUAUGUUUUAAACCAUCCACUAAUAAAACACUUUCAAUAAGAGAGGAUGUUCCAUUACCAAUGUUGCCUUGACCAAUGAUCCUUCCUUUUGAAUUGUCUCCAAAGGUAACGUAUCAUCCUUUUCUCUUUGUAAGGAAAACAAACUUGGAUUCAUCCCCAGUCAUGUGUCUUGAGCAUCCACUUAUCCUUCUUUGAUCCCUACAAAAUAAAAUUAAAGUUGAUUUAGGUACCCAUAUCUUUUUGGGUCCUUGAGGGUUAGUGACCUUGGAUUUCUCAACCCAAACCUUUUUAGCUUUAACAUUUGAAGUCUUUUGAGAACCAUUUCUUAAGGGACAUGUACUACUAAUGUGCCCUCCUCUUCCACAAAAGUUGCAAGUGGUGGAAGGACUUGCACUUGCGGAUUCUUUUACAAAGUAGUUUUUAAAAUACUUUUGAUUUUUUGAUGAUUUGAAUCCUAGCCCUUGUUUUUCAAAGACACAUUUUUGGCUAGCUAAGAUCAUUUCAAAAGAUUUUUGUCCAUAAGAGAAAAUUGAAAGAGAGGAGGUUAACCAUUCAUUUUUCUUUUUCAAAAUCUCAUUUUCACUCCUUAAAAUCUCAUUUUCUUUUUCAAGAUGAGUUUUAGAUAUUUCUACAAUUGAAAAUUUUUCUUUCACUUCUUCAAGUUCCUUUUCAAGUUCUUGAAUUUUCUUUUUAAGAGAAUUAUUUUUCAAACUAAGUUUUUCAAAAUCCUCAUAUAAUUCUUCAAAAACUUUCAUCACUAAAGUUAGAGUUUACCUCAUCCAGAUCAUCUAUUGCCAUGAAGCACAUGUUUGCUACUUCCUUCUCAUUUUCUUCUUCGGAGGAUUCUUCACUUUCACUCCAAGUGGCCAUCAUUGCCUUCUUCAUCCCUCUCUUGGCUUCAUUCUUGUAGAGAGGACAAUCAUAUUUGAUGUGUCCCGAUUUUUUGCACUUGAAGCAUGUCAAAUCUCUUUUCUCUUCUCAUUUCUCCUUGUCACCAUGGGAUGAAGAUUCCUUUUUAGAAGGAUCCCUUCUAGAGGUGAAUUUCCUUCCUCUAAACCUUUCACAUCUCAUGUAUUUGUUGAGCUUUCUUAUGAUGAGGGCUAGAUCAUCAUCUUCAUCACUUGACUUUUCUUCUUCAACAUCUUCUUCUUCCUUGGUUGUAGCUUUAAAGGCUAUGCUCUUCUUCUUUUUGUCUUCACUCUCUUGUAGCUUCUUUGUCAAAUUGAUCUCAUAUGUCAUUAAUGACCCUAUGAGCUCUUUCAUAGGUAGCUUAGUCAAGUCUUUUGCUUCUUGAAUUGCGGUGACCUUGGUAUGCCACUUUGAUGGGAGAGACCUCAAUAUCUUCAUCACCUUCUCGGAUUCCUUAUAGGUUUUCCCCAAAGCUUCAAGACCAUUGACAAUGUCAGUGAACCUAGUAAUCAUCUCAACAAUAGUCUCAGUUUCUUUCAUUGAAAACAAUUCAUAGUUAUGAACAAGUAAAUUGAUUUUUGACUCUUUCACUUGAUUAGUUCCUUCAUGAGUUAUUUCAAGCAACCUUCAAAUUUCUUUAGCCGAUUUGCAUUGACAUAUUCUAUUAUAUUCAUUUCUAUCCAUAGCACAUUGCAAAGUAAAAAUGACUUUAGCAUUUAAUUGAAAGUUUCUUCUAUCAAGCUCAUUCCAUUCUUGUUUGGGUUUUGAAACCAAAACUCCAUCAACUAGUUUAGUGGGAAAAAUUGGGCCAUCUUCAAUGACAUCCCAUACAUCUAAAUCAGUAGAUUGCAAAUACCAAGUCAUUCUAGUUUUCCAAUAGGGAUAGUCGGGUCCCAUAAAGAAUGGAGCUCUAUGUUUUGAAACAUUUUCAGCUUGGGAUGAGCUUGACGGAAUAGCCAUUUCCUCUUAGAUGAUUAAGUCUGAAAAAAAAUAGGUCUAGCUCUGAUACCAAUUGAGAAAACAAAGGCUAUGCUUAGUUAAGAAAAACACCCAAAAGUGGAGGGGGGGGGGGUGAAUUAGGUUUUUAAAAUCUUUUCAAUCACAACAAAUUCAAACACGAUAUAAGCAAAGUAAAGAGAUAGAGUUUAGAGAAUUCAAACUCGGGUUUAUACUGGUUCGGCACUUCCUUGUCUACAUCCACUCUUCUCAACCUCCUAACCGAGUGAGAGUUCCACUAACUUGAAGCUUCAACCAAGCUUCCAAUCUUCUUACACUUGGAUUCCCGCUCCAAUGGGCUCUUACACAACCUCUUCAAGAUUCAACCCUCUUGAAGGCUUUAACAUUGAGAUUGUUACAAGAUAUAAUCACUCAACCUAGCUUAAGGAUGGCUCAAAUACAAGACAAAGCUAGGAUGACACAUAAGAGUGCACUAAAGGAUAUGCAAGUGGUGAUUUAAUGCACUAUGAAGGAAAUGAGAGCUUUUUUAUCAAGAACAGGUAGGUAGGCUAUUGAAUGCAAGUGUUCUCUUGUCAAUAAAUGAAGAGGAGCUCUCAAUUUAUAGGUUUCUAAGCUCGGGAGUCAAAAACAGCAAAAGGUAACCUUGUCCGGUUGAGCUAGGGGUCGACCGGUUCACUAGCCGUUGGAGCAUUUAAUGUAUGACAGGUUACCGUUGCCUCAACCAGACCUCAACCGGUCCUUGAUUGGACCUCGACCGGUAAGGGAAUCACCUUGAUCGGGAAGAGAAGGAUAUUGGGAGAGAGAGAAGGUUUUUGACCUUCCUCGACCAAUCCUCGACCGGACGACCACAACCGGUUGAACCGGUUGGGCAUAGCCUCGACUGGUUGAGCCUUUUUGGCCCCGAAAACCUAUUUUUUUUAUUCCUUUCUUUUCUAACACUUAGGCAAUGUCUUUAGGUAAAAUAUUAAGCCAAUUUUGAAAUAUUUUGCCUAAGGUACAUUAGUUAAAAACUCGAGUUUUAAUGAAAUCGACGUUUUAAAGAAUAAACCGAGUUUUCAAAGAUGCAUGAAACGUGUGAAAAUCCUAAGUGCACUCAUGCAUUCAUCUUACAUUAAUUUCCUAUGAUCACAAGUCUUUAAAGCGUCUUGAUCUUGUAUCCAUUUGGUCCUUUAAUGAAUUUUCGAGUUUAUACCUGAAAUUCUUAAUCAUUAAACCAAUUAGUCACUUAACCAUGGUUUGUUAUCAUCAAAAACCGAUUAGGAGAACCCUUGGGCUAACAAUAUUUAUUUUAAACAGUGUUUUAAUCAUUAAAUUAUUUACUUCUAAAAUGUAAAAGAUAAAAAUAAAUGUAAAAGAUAAUUUUUAUUUAUUUAAAUUAAUAUUUUUUUAGAAAGUAUUUUCCAAAAUAGUUUUUGAAUCAUUAAUAUAGUUUUUGUUUAUUUAUAAUUUAAAAAUAAAAAAUAAUGUUGAUUUUUCAAUUAUUUAUAAAAGAGUUUAAACAAAUAAUGGAAAAUCUAAAACUGGUUAAAUAAGAAAGAAUAGUGACACAUGAAGAGUGGUAAAAUAAAGACAAAACUAAGUCAAAUGGAUAUUUUUAUCAAUUACUAUCUCAUAUCCUUGUAAUCAAUUAUGGGUGUUUGGAGGACUUUACCUUAAUUAUCAAGCUUAUGGGUUGAAAACAUAAUUUUCCCUUUAUUAAUUUCAGAAGUUAGAAGACAAUCAUUAAAGUCAUAAAAAAAAAAAAAAAAAAAAAAGUCUUCAUUUUUUAUAUUAUAUAAUUAUGAAACAUUUUUAUUUUUUAUUUUUUAUUUUUACUAGAAGGAAAUUGAUACUAUAAUGUUUAAUAUUUAUAAAAUUUUUAAAAAUAAUUUAAAAGUUAUUUAUGUUUUUUAUUUUUUAAAAAUAGUAAAAAAAAUUAUCCAAAUAAUAUUUUAAUUAUUUAUUCUAUUUAAUUUUUUAAUUUAUAUUAAAUUAACUACAAUUUGGUCUAUUAUUAAUGUAUAUCUUAAUCAUAUGAGUCACUAUUAAACGGACUAGGUCUAGUUAAUCCUAUGAUUUAUAUGUUGAUUAGAUCUACCAACACUAACAAGUCCUAGUAGGAAUAGAAAGUAACUGCAACCAACCACUUCGCAAGUUUGACAACAAUGGUAACAUUAAUAUAUAAAUUUACCAAUGGUAAAUCUGAAAGACUAUGAAAUUUGGUUUUCAAAUCAAUUGAGAAUUAAAAAUAGAUAUUAUCUUGUUGAUAAGUUUCCUGAAAAAAGGGAAACAAAUCUCCAAUAAAAAAGAGAUAAUAGAUAAUAUUUUGUUUGUAAGAAGAAAAUUUGAUAAUAAAUUUAGAAUUAAGCAACUAAAUCAUGAAAAUUAAAAAUUCAAUUCCCUAUUUUUACCUAUUCCUUCAAGGAUAAAACAUUUGUACAUGAGAAAAAAAUGCUUUAUAAAAAAGAAAAGAAAAGGUUUCACAAAAUUUUUCUAUAAGUUCUAGAAAUUACAAAAGAACCAUAUGCGUGUUCUUCACCUUUUGACAAAGUUAUUUAGGAAUAAGUCACUUCAGAGUCUUAAUUGAUUUUCAAAAUCAAAAGAACAAUGUCAUUGUCUACUUUUAGAUUAUGAUCAAAGCGAAAAAAUAAGGGAAAAAGUAUUUUUUUGUAAAAGGUAUUUUUUAUAUAAUAUUGUCUAUUUUUACAAGACUUUAUGAAAUUUGUGUGUGCAGUGGAUUCAAAAGAAUCCCUAGAUUUCAUUUUGUGCCAAUGUUUAUAAGUCCAUUUUUAACAUUAAAAAAUUAAAAUUUUAGUUUACAAUUGUAAUUUUAAAAGAAAAUUUGAAAAUAUUAAAUUACGAAGAGACGGUAGAGUAGCAGUUGAUUGAGGGUUUUUUUCUAAGGUAUUUUGUUUUAUUAAAAGGCAUACUUUUUCACCAAAUAUUAAAGUUAUAUUUGAUUCACAAAAUAUUAAAGAAAGAAAAAAUUAUUAAAAAAUAGUUUUUAUAUUUAAUUUCAUUAUAAAAAUAUAUAAAAAAAUAAAAUAUAAUUAAAAUCAAUUAAAAAUUUAUUUAUAUUUAAAUUAUUUAAUCUCUAUAUAAUAAAAAUAAUAAUUUAUUAACUUCAAACUUUUUUUUUUCCUCAUUUUCCCAGUUCAAAAGUUAAAAAAGAAAAGCACUCAUUAGCCAUUACCUCAAAAUUGGAUGCUUUUAAUUGAUUUUUCAUAAUUUAAUGAUUUUUUAUGGGUAUUCAUUUCUAAAGAAAAUAUUCUUUUCCUUCUUCCAAAAUAUAAAAUUCUCAAUCUAAUACUACAAUUUAGAGUUAGAAGCAAUUUGGUCUACGUUUUUCAUCUCAAAAAAUUGAGUAUAUAUUCUUACAAUAAGCAAGUUGGAACAAGAUUUUCAGGGCAUGCCCUUUGUAGUGCAAUGCACCUAAAUUUAGUGGGGUGUAAUACCUCAUUGAGGAAGGGAGCAAUGGUACUAAUUCUGGUUGCUCAACAGUCAGCCACAAAAGAUUGCACAAUAAGGUUUAUCAACAUAUCUUGAAAUUUAUCAAUUCUAGUUGACAAUUAUGUUUUAUUUUUUAAAUCCUUUGAGACCUUUUUCUUUUUUUUUUGGUAAUGCUUAGGUUCCAAAAAAUAUUUUUUUCAUGGUUAUUUUAUGAAAAAUAUAAAAAAAAUUAAAAUUAAUUAUAACUUUAUUUAUUCUUAAAUUAUUUAAUUUUUAUAUCAAAAGGUUAAAAUAAAUAAAAUAAAUUUAAAUUAACAUAUAAAAAUUAUUUAUUCAUUUUAAAUUUAUUUUUUAUUUUUUUUUCUUUUUUUUUUCUUUCUAAUUUUCUUAUCCUAUACAUGUGCGUUUUCUGUAAAGCACAUUCAAUAAUGAUGUUUAUGAUUCAAAAUUUUAGAAACAGGUUUGGAAGUCAAUUAUAAGUAGGUGAAAUUGUUGAAAGAUUUUUUUGCACAUUCGAAGUGAUUUCUACCUCUUUAGUAGCUUUGGUGCUUUUGGAUCUAAUUAUGUCACCAAUCAACUAUUGGAAAAUUUAAAUAAAAUUAGAUGAGUGAAAUUUGAAUAUAAAGUGUUAAACACAAGUUGGAGGUUUUUUUCUCUAGUCCAAAGACCUUUGCAAUUAAUCGAGUGGAAAAUUAAAAAAAUUAUAUAAUUCAACCUUGAUUGUCUUAAUUAAGCAUAUGGGAAUUGAACAUAGAAAACUAGUGUGGACCCCGCAUUUCGCAUGAUACGUUUCCACUUGAUGACGAAACUCGCUUUUUAUUUGAGAAUGAUUUAUUUCUUUAGAAAAUGAAUUGGAGUUGCCACUUAUUUUUGUUUUAUUUUUAAAGGGAAAACAAAAUAAGAAAGAAAAACCCUAAGUGUGACUCUUGAAGGAAAAACAGGUUUGUGAAAAACCGAGUCGGGUUCGGGGGUCAGGUUACUUAUUGGGAAGGUAUGGUAAAAACCGUAGCACCCCUCUAAGUCCCUAAAAACGGGUCUCUACUAAAUAAGAUGGAGCAAACAUGAUAAUUGAUUGAUUAAACAUGGAUACUAAAUAGUAAUCAAAUGUAUGAAAAUAAGACACGCAUGAUAACAAAUAAAUUAAUAAACAUCGUCGGGUACAAGGCGUACCUUAGUCACAAGCUGAGUGCUAUCAUAAGAGACAAGGUUAGUGUACAAAUACAGAAUAACCGCAUGCAUGGUCACAGAAUGAGGCAAACCAAUCAAGUAUAUCAAUCAAAUAGUCAAUGAGAAAAUCACAUAUGUUGGGUCCCACCAAAGCCCAAUCGAUCUCGCAUGAAUUAAUCUCACAAGUUCCAUUAGUCUGGAAUUAUGAAAAUUGUCUUCGUGGUUAUUGAGAAUCGAGAAGAAUAGAAGAUUAUUUGGAAACAAGAGUGAACUUAAAACUAUUCGAGAGAAAAUUGGAUUUUCGAAAUUUAUUUGAAAAUUGGAGUCUCGAGGAUUGUUUGAAAUUUGAAGUUUUGGGAAUUAAAUUUGAGGAUCGGAAACUUGGAGAUUAAAUUUGAAAGAAAUCGGAAUUGAUAAUUAUUUGAGAAGCAGAAACUGUGAAAAUUUAAUUAUAUAAAUUGGAAUCUUUGUAAAUUGUUCGAGUCGAAGGUGGAAUUCUUUUGAAAAUAAACAAAUAAAAUGCUAAUAAUAAUAAUUAUAAUAAUAAUAAUAAUAAAUAAAUAAAUAAAUCAAUAAAUGUGAAAAUUGGAAUUUUAGAAAUUGAGAGUUAAAUUCAGAAAUUGGAAUUUUGGGGGUUAUUUAGAGAUGAAAUUUUAAAUAAAUGAAUGGAAUAAUACUAAUAACAAAAGUAAUAAUGAUUAGAUAAAUAACUGUGAAAAUUGGAAAUUGAAUUUAGAGAUUGGAAAUUUGAAGAAUUAUUUAGAAAUGAAGUUUUAAACAAAUGAAUAAAUAAAUAACUAAAGUAAUAGUGAUAACGGAAAUAAAAGUGAUCAACAGAAUACGUGAAUGAAUAAAUAAACGGAAUAAUGACAAUAACGAAAAUAAUAAUGAUUAGAUAAAUAAUUGUGAAAACAAGAAAUUGAAUUUAGGAAUUGGAAAUUUGAAUAAUUAUUUAGAAAUGGUGUUUUAAAUAAAUGAAUAAGUGAAUAAAUAAAUAAAUGGAAUAAUAGUAAUAACGAAAAUAAUAAUGAUUAGAUAAAUAAUUGUGAAAAUUGGAAAUUGAGUUUAGAAAUUGGAAAUUUGAAGAAUUAUUUGGAGAAAGAAUUUUAAAUAAAUGAAUAAGUAAAUAAAAAAUAAAUGGAAUGAUAGAAAUAACGGAAAUAAUAAUGAUUGGAUAAGCAAUUGCGAAAAUUAGAAUUUUGGAAAUUGGAAAUUAAAUUUGAAGAUCAGAAUUUUGUGGAAUUAUUGAAAAAUGGAUUUUUAUUUUUAUUUUUAAAAAAAUGAAUGAAUAAAUAAAUAACAAUAAUAAUAAUAAUAAUAAUAAUAAUAAUGAAAAUAAUAAUAAUUAAAUAGACAAAUGUGAAAAAUCAGAUUUUGCUAACCUAAAAUUCUAAGGAAGGAUAAGCGUAUGAAGAAUGAAGAUUAUUGAAAGAACUAAAAAUUGGAAAACUAUUUGCACAAAGGGAUUGGGGGAUUAUUUUUAAAACCGAAAGAAGAAAUUUGGAGAGUGACACAUGGCCCAAAGGUUGCCAUGCAAAAGGUGGCCAUGCUAAAUGAUGUCAAAGAUAGAGAGAAUGAAACCCAAAGAUAGAAGGAUGCUGGCAGGAAUGAGAGCUUCAUCCCAUCUCCUUUGCUCGUGCCAUAUGAGAAUCCAAACUUCCUUGAAAUCACAAGACCCAGACCCUCCAUCCUUCUUGCUGGUAAACAUAGGCAAGAUUGAACUUGCCACAAUAGUGUCUAUCAAAGUGGCUGGCCAUGAAGGUACUCACACAGUACUCAGAAUCAAGGCAAUCCCUUCUCAACCUCUGUGUAGGACCUCAGGCGCUACCAAAUCUCCUAAAAGCAAUUGUUGUUAGGAAAGAUGCAUACCCUAGCCUUAUAGUGCAUUCACCCAAGCGCCCACGACGAACACAAGGGGAGUUGAUGGACACGACCAACCCUCCAAUCUGCUAACAACAUGGGGUUGAUUACACAAAAUUUUUUGCGCCGAUGGCAAGGAAGGAUAUAGUUCGAAUGAUUAUUGCUCUUGCAGCUCAAAAGAAUUGGACAAUUUACCAACUAGAUGUGAAAUGAACCUUUCUCCAUGGAAAGCUAAGUGAAGAGGUGUUUGUUGAGCAACCAAGAGGCUAUGAGUAAAAGGACAAUCCGCACAAGGUGUACAAAUUGAAGAAAGCCUUAUACGGACUCAAACAAGCUCCACGAGCUUGGUUUAGUCGUAUAGAAGCACACUUUGUGAAUGAAGGCUUUGAGAGGUGCCACAGUGAGCAUACCUUGUUCGUCAAAAGAAGCAAAGAAGGUAAAAUUUUAAUUUUGAGUUUGUAUGUUGAUGACCCCAUUUUUACUAGAAAUGAUGAAUCAAUGUUUUAUGAGUUCAAGAGCUCUAUGAUGCAUGAGUUCGAUAUGAGUGAUUUGGGAAAGAUGAGGUAUUUUCUUGGAGUUGAAGUGUUGUAGAAGACUGAUGGCAUUUACAUCAGUCAAAAGAAAUAUGCCUUUGAUGUGUUGAAAAGAUUUGGGAUGGAGGAGAGCAAUUAUGUCCAUAGUUUGAUUGUUACAGGUUUUAAAGUCUUCAAAGACGAAAAUGGAGUCAAGGUUGAUGCAACAUUCUUCAAGAAAAUGGUAGGGAGUCUCAUGUAUCUAACAGUAACUCGACCUGACUUGAUGUUUGUAGUGAGUUUAAUUAGUAGAUACAUAGGGCAGCCAACUAAGCUUCACUUACAGACUGCAAAGAGGGUGUUAAGAUAUUUGAGAGGCACAACAAAUCUUAGGAUCUUCUACAAGAAGGGAGGGAAUGAUAAAUUGGUUGCCUUUACUGAUAGUGACUAUCCCGGUGAUUUGGAGGAUAGGAAAAGCACAUCAGGGUAUGUAUUCAUGUUGAGUUCCGAAGCUGUGUCUUGGUACUCUAGAAAGCAGCCUAUUGUUUCACUCUCCACAACUGAAGCUGAAUUCAUAGCUGCAACAUCCUGUGCAUGUCAAGCUAUUUGGAUAAGGAGAAUCUUGGAUAAGCUCAGUCAUACACAAAGUAAUUGUACUACUGUGUUUUGUGACAAUAGUUCAACAAUUAAAUUAUCAAAGAAUCCAGUGAUGGAUGGACGAAGCAAACACAUAGAUGUUCACUUUCAUUUUCUGCAUGAUCUUACUAAAGAAGGAGUAGUGGAAUUAGUUCAUUGUGGUACACAAGAUCAGAUUGCAGACGUGAUGACUAAGCCUCUCAAGCUUGACAUGUUUCUGACGCUGAGAGAGUUGAUGGGUGUUCGUGAAGUUCCAGAUGUAAACUAAUUGCUGUUAGCAGUUAGUUUAAGGAAGGGUGUCAAGUUUAAGUUUUCUGAUUGUUUAGUUUUUUUUUUUUUAAUAAUCCCUAUUAAGCAGGGUAGUUUUCAGCUUUGACUUAUUCUCUACUCUUUACCAUGUUAUUUGUUAGUGUAAAAUGUGGGCUGUUUUUCUUAUCAAUUAGUUAUUGUAAGGCUAUUUUAUUAGCUAAGGUUGUUGAUCAAUAGAUGUGGAUUUUUCCCAGUUUUGAUUCACAACAUUCUGGUAUCAGAGCCAAGUUCAAAGCACCAGCUUUUGUAAUUUACAGCAGCAAGAGAGAUGACAACUGAAGGGAAUUUUGUGCAACCUGCUAUUCCUCGAUUUGAUGGUCAUUACGAUCAUUGGAGCAUGUUGAUGGAAAUUUUUUUAAGGUCUAAGGAGUACUGGAGUCUUGUGGAGACUGGUUAUGUUGAGCCAGAAAGCGAAGCAAUAUUGACAGAGGCGCAACAGAAGAAGCUUGAUGAGAUGAAGCUGAAAGACUUGAAGGUGAAAAAUUAUUUGUUUCAAGAUAUCGAUUGAACGAUUCUAGAAAUCAUCCUACAUAAGAACACAUCCAAACAUAUAUGGGAUUCCAUGAAGAAGAAGUAUGAGGGCAAUGAAAGGGUGAAACAAUCCAUUAUUCAAGCUCUUCGCAAAGAGUUUGAAACUAUUGAGAUGAAAUUUGGUGAAGGUGUCUCUGACUAUUUCUCAAGAGUGAUGUCUGUAGCCAAUAAGAUGAGAGUUCAUGGUGAACAAAUGAGAGAUGUUACAAUAGUAGAAAAAAAUACUUCGAUCAUUGAGUGACAAAUUCAAUUAUAUUGUUUGUUCAAUUGAAGAGUCAAAGGACAUUGAUCUCCUAUCAAUUGAUGAAAUGCAAAGUUCCUUAAUUGUUCACGAGCAGAAGUUCCAUAGGCACAAAGGAGAAGAGCAGGCACUCAAGGUAAUUCAUGAAGAAAAUGUAGAAGGAAGAGGUUAUGGUCGCGGAUCCUCUCGAGGAAGAGGCAGAGGUAGAGAAUACUAAUCCUUCAACAAAAAUACUAUAGAAUGCUACAAGUGUCACAAACUUGGACACUUUCAAUAUGAGUGCCCAAGUUGGGACAAAGAGGCUAAUUUUGCUAAGCUUGGAGAAGAAGAAGCGAUGUUGUUGAUUUCCCAUGUUGAGAUAAAUGAAGCAAAAAAGGAGGAUGUUUGGUUUUUAGAUUCUGGUUGUAGUAAUCAUAUGUGUGGAGAUAAAACUCUCUUCUCCGACUUCAAUGAAUGCUUCAAGAAGAUGGUGAAGCUGGGAAACAACUCAAAAAUGACUGUGAUGGGUAAGGGUAAUGUAAGGCUAAAAGUGAAUGGAUUCAAUCAUGUAGUCACCGAGGUUUUUUAUGUGCUUGAGUUGAAGAACAAUUUACUGAGCAUUGGGUAGCUACAGGAGAAAGGUUUAACGAUUCUUAUUUAACAUAACAAGUGUAAAAUCUAUCAUCCUGAGAAGGGCUUGAUCAUUUAAGCAGAGAUGUCUGCCAAUAGAAUGUUUAUUUUGUUGGCUGCGCCACAACCAAAGAAACCAACUUGCUUUCACACAACUAUAGAAGACUUAUCACAUCUCUAGUAUUGCCGAUAUGGACACUUGAGUCACAAAGGAUUGAGGACUCUUCAAAACAACAAGAUGGUGAAUGGACUACCACAAUUCAAAGCUUCAAAAACUAUAUGCAUUGAUUGCAUGGUUGGAACGCAGCAUAGAAAUCCAAUUCCAAAGAAGAGCACUUGGAGAGUGAUGACUUGGAUGCAAUCUCAUGGAAAUUUCUCGCACCCGGAAAGUAAGGUAGCCGUUUUUCAUUAAAGGUUCAUUAAUGCAAAGUUUGGUUUUUAUUUCCUUUGGACAACUUCCAACGGCCAAUACUUGAUAAGCUUUUGGAUUUCUAUCCAUUAGUUAUCUCAUACGAGCUAUUGGAAGGUGAGGUUUUCAAUUCCAAGUUUUUCAUUAAUCCAUUAGAACCAAUUUCAAUGGCCAUUGAAAGGUGAGUUUAUCACUUGGAAUAACUUUGAGUUGCCAAUAUUUGGUAAGCUUUUGGCUUUAGACCAUUAGUUAUCUCUUACGAGCCAUUCAAAGGAAGUCUAAGGUGAAUAACCAUUGAUGAAAUUCACUACCAUAUGUUUUGCCAUUUUAAAGGAUUAAAACUUGAUUUGCUAAAUCCAUACCGGUUCGGGAAGCAAGCAUCACCAUAGUUGCAACCCCAACGCGAGGAGCCUAUCCUGAGAUUUCCAAUUUGCAUAAGAGUCAGGGCAUAGCUAUCCUAUCUUUGAGAAACUUGUUUUUACACCCUUUCAUUUUAGUCUUUAAUGUUAGAUUAGAUUAGUUUAAAUCUUUCUAAAACAUUUACAUCUUCUUUUAAAGCUAACAUCCAUAAGAAAAUCACCUAUUUUCUUAAUUUGAAUAUCACUAGUGUUUGCGAAAACCCUUCCCAGUGAACGAUCCUAGAACCACUAUGCUAUAGUAGUUUGGCUACUUUAGUAAUAGUAUUUAAGGUAUAAAUUUUGUUGAUAUGCCUUUAAAGCUAAGCUACCAUGAGUCGCAUCAAAUGGCGCCGUUGCCGGGGAAAGUAGCUUUGCUACGCUAGUAUGAGGUCAUAGGUUUUAUAAAUGUUUUUUAUUAAAUGACCCGACUGGAGUUAGAGUCGAAUCAAAUGGCGCCGUUGCCAGGGAAGGUGCCACAAGCACAGUGAAGCAACCAUUAAGGGUAACUUGUGAUCUUCAUCACAAGUUUGGUGAGUUUUCUUAUAAUUUUUUUUUAGUUUAGUUUUUAUUUAGUUAAUUUUUUUUUUAUUCUCUUUUCUUUUAUUUUUGUUUUAAUUUCAAUUUGUGCAUUCCUUGUUGGAUUCGAGACCAAGAGGGAACCCUGGUACAAGUUGAAGAAAAGAGCCUUAGUUGAAUAUCAUUUUUUUUAGAAAUGGAAAUUCCACAUGAAGAUCAAAGCUCUCAUUAUGAUCAUGAGAAGGACAAAUUUGCAUACUUAUCCAUGAGAGAUCGGAUUGAAUUAGGGAAAAGGCAAGUUCAACAAAGCCAAUGGGGUAGUAAGUAUGCUUUGAAUGGAGAUGAUUCAUAUGAGCAUACGGUAGGGGAGUGCCCUACCAUUCCAACUAUGAGAGACAUGUACGGUUACCAAAGCUCCUACACCUCAAGUUGGAAUAACCAUCCCAACCUUACAAGCCAACCUCAAUCUCAACCAUCAAUGAGUACAUCUUCAUUGGAGCAAGCCAUUUUGAAGAUAAGCAAAGUCAUGGAGGACUUUGUAGGUGAGCAACAAAAGAUCAACUCUCAUCUUAAUGAAAAGAUUGAUAAUAUGGAGAGUUCAAUGAAUGUAAGAAUGGAGGGGGUUUAUAAUGAUCUAUCACUAAGGAUAGAAAAAGUUCGAGACCCCAUUGAGAAGCUCACCAAUCUCGACAUAGCAAGGGGGAAAAGGAAGCUUCCUCCUCAACCCCACCAUAACCUUCAAGGAACCAAUGCAAAAAGAUCAAGGAAAGUGUUGAAGAUCGACACUUUGGUGGGGGAUUGCUAUGACAACUCUAUGGACCAACCUUCCAUUGAAAAUCAUAAGGUUCAAGAUGACAAAGGGUUACUUGAACCCUUUAAAGCAUCCACUUCUCCAGGGAAGAGAAGAGAAACGAAUUCCCUUAGACCAAAUGGGAAGGAUGCCAAUUUUGUUUGGGAUCCAGGGGGAAUUCAGCAUGAAGUGGGUGUGUGAGUGAGGAUGAGCUAAAUAGUUCAUUUUCUUUUUGGGGUACAUGCUAUUAGCUUCAUUUAAAUUCUAUGCUUUCUUUAAAUUUAUGCAUGUUUUAGUUUGAAUUCUUAGCUUUAAUUUUGUUUUAAUAUGUUUUUAAGAUGAGUUUUGAAGUGUUCAUGCAGGUAUGAUGCUUGCAAAAAUCAAAGUUAUGGUGAAAACAAGGGAAAACAGGGGAGAAAAGCCAAAACAGAGCAAUUCGCACCACCCCAUUUCGGAAACUGUUGGGAACAUUUCGAUCACUUCCUGAAGUUCAUUUCAUGCCUACUAUAUCUCGUUUCAAAUCUUGGGAAGUCAGGAGUCCAUAGGUUCAAACGGUGCUCGAUUUGGAGUUGAAACGAAAAAGUUAUGGCCGCUUGAAGACGACUGUGCAAAGCUGAACGGGAAUGUUGCAGCCGCACCCCAUUUUGCUACUGUUGGACACGUUUUUGGAGCACUUUUUGGAGCUCAAAUUAUGCAUACCAUAUCUCUUUUUGAAUCUUAGGAAGUCAGGAGUCCAGUGCUUCAAACGGUGUGCAAUUUGGAUUUGAAACGAAGAAGUUAUGGCCAUUUGAAAGAAUCCAAUUUUGCAUUUGGGCGGGUGAAUAGUGCCUUGUGCGAAAUUUUCGCACAACAUAUUGUGUUGUGCGAAACUCGCACAACACUCGCACGACACCCCCUUGUGCGAAUUUUUGAGCUUCUUCAUCCCUACCCUUCCCAAUCCCAAGCCUUUGAGCCUUGUCCUCAGCUGCUCAAAGUGGGGCCCACUCAUCAUUUUUGUAAAUAUUUAGUAUAAAUUCCUCUCUCAUUCAAUUUUUGAAUUUUGAAACAGGUGGUUCAACCUUCUCAACUCCAAGUCCACAUCACAUGAGGUACCACUUCCUUCCUCCUUAUUUUCGAUUCAAACAUUGAGGACAAUGUUCAUCUCGGUUGGGGGGAGAGUUGAGGAAGUAAGUAUUAGUUUAAAUUUUUAUCAUACUUAGUUAAAUUAGAUCCAUACUUUGAGAAACUAAAAGUUUUAGCCAAUCAUCCUCUGAGGAAAAGCCCUCAAAGACUGUUUGGCUACUAAGAAAAUAGAAAUGGGGAAGAGAAAAGAGAAACGAGAGAGCUCUCUAUAUAUCUUAAGUGUUAAAUGUAAUAUCUAUUCUAUUCUUCACGAGGUGAUUUCCACCCCUUAUAUAGUCUUUACAAAAGCAAAAGCUUGUGAUUGGUUAGUUAAAAGGAUAAGAAAGGAAAUUACAUCAUAAAAUACAAAGGAAAAUAUCUAAAGUGGAGUCGACAAAAACAGAGGAAAAAUCGCACCACGCAUGGGUUAUGCGAAUUUCGCAUAACACCUUGUGUCGUGCGAAAUUUUCGCACAACCUGGAGCAGUUGGCUUCCCAAGGCCAUAUCUUCCUCAUUUCAGCUCCAAUUCGUACACGGUUUGAAGCUUUGGAUUCUUGACUUCCUGAGCUUUGAAAUGGUAUAUAGCAUGUAGAAAAUAGACUUCGGGAAGUGCUCCAGAAGUGUGAAAGAAGACUAUAGCUGCUGUCCUCUGAUUUUUUCACUUUGCUUUCCUCUUCUCCAUUGUUCUUUCCUUGCAUACUUUGAACGACUUUGGCAAAGGGCUACGGAGCUCCAAAGCUCGGUUCUUCAUGAAUUUGAGCUUCCAAAAGCUUUUCCAUUACUUGUCCAAGUAGCUCCUCCAUCAUUUGGCAUGCUUGAAUUGAUUCAUAAGCUGAUAAAAACAUGUAUACUUGCCACAAAAUGGUUAAAACCAAUUACUAAGGACCUUAAUGAAUUAAUUGGGUUAAAUGAAUAUGAUUACUACUCAAAGGUGCUUAAAACCAUUAUAAUUAGGUCUACAAAAUAGCACUUUUUGGUAGUAAUCAGAGAGCUUCUUCGAAACUUUAGCUCAUUCAUGCUGACAUAUGUGGCCCUAUCACACUGAUCUCAAACAGAAAAAAUAGGUAUCUAAUUAGCUUCAUUGAUGAUUUUAGUCGAAAGGCAUGGAUUUACUUUUUGGUUGAAAAAUCUGAAGCUUUAGUUAUCUUAAAACAAUAUAAAAGUUGUGUUGAGAAAGAAAUAGGUUCCUAUAUUAAGUGUUUGCGUAUUGAUCGAGGGGGUGAGUUCACUUCACAAGACUUUAAUGAAUUUGGUAAUGAAAAUGGCAUCAAGAGGCAGUUGACAGCAGCUUACACUCCGCAACAGAACGGAGUUGCAGAGAAGAAUCGGACCAUCAUGAACAUGGUUCAAAGUAUGCUUUCAAAGAAGAAGCGUCCAAAGACUUUUUGGCCAGAAGCUGUGAAUUGGAUAGUGCAUAUUCUAAACCGAUGUCCUACUCUACCAGUGAAGAACAUGACUCCGGAGGAAACUUGGAGUGGAGUCAAGCCUUCAAUUGAACAUUUUCGAGUGUUUGGUUGUAUCUCACAUGUUCAUGUACCUGAUAUCAAGAGAACCAAGUUGGAAGAUAAAAGUUUUACUUGUGUGUUGUUGGGAGUUAGUGAAGAGUCUAAAGCUUAUAGGCUUUAUGAUCUAAUAGCCAAGAAGAUUGUAAUUAGAAGGGAUGUAGUUUUCGAAGAGGACAAGUCUUGGGAUUGGGAUAAGAGCUAUAAAGAAUAGGUGGUAGCUAUGUUGGAAUGGGGAGAUAAUGAAGAAAAUGUUGUUGCAAAUAAUGAAGGUGAGGCCGAGAGUGAAAAUGGAAGUAGUGCAAAAGAUGUUGGGGCUGUUUCUCCAAAUCUGGUAGAUGAAGAGAGUUCACCUAGUUCUAAUGAAGGGAUAGUUAGAAGGCCACUAGUUUGGAUGAGAGAUUAUGAAACGGGUGAGGGUUUGUCUGAAGAAGAAGAUGAGACUAAUCUAGAAUUGUUUGCAUCUGGAAAUCCCUUUUAUUUUGAAGAAGUUGUGAAAAGUGCAAAGUGGAGAGCUGCUAUGGAUUCUAAAAUAAAAUCCAUAGAAAAGAAUGAUUUCCUGGGUGCUAAUUGACUUACCUGCAGGUGCAAAGAGGACUGGUGUCAUGUGGAUUUACAAAACAAAGCUUAAUGAGCAUGGAAAGGUAGAUAAGUACAAGGCACGCCUUGUAGCAAAAGGCUAUACGACGAACACAAGGGGAGUUGAUGGACACGGCCAACCCUUCGAUCUACCAACAAUCUCCUCCCCAGUGACACUCCUGGGGUUCGAACCCGUGACCUUCACUCUGAUACCACUUGUAGGACCUCAGGCUCUACCAACUCUUCUAAAAGCAAUUGUUGUUAGAAAAGGUGCAUACCCUAGCCUUAUAGUGCAUUUACCCAAGCACCCAUGGUGAACAUAAGGGGAGUUGAUGGACACGGCCAACCCUCCGAUCUGCCAACACUCUGGACCAUUCCGAAAUAAUCAGCCUUGUAGAAUUGAAAAUCCGUGAGCUUGACCUCAUCCAUUUUAUACCUGAUCCUCUCGGGCUUGGCAUGGGUCUUCUUCUCGCACUUCUUAGAUCCUUCAGGUACCACAUGUCUCCAUGAAAUUCGGCACGGGUUUAGGCACAUCAACAUAUCUAUGCCGCUUAACCUCAUCAAAAUCCAACAUCCCGACUGUCUCUUCCUCACUUUCAAUCAAACCAUGUCCCUGUACCAUUUAGGAUUUCUGAGGUUGUGCCUCAUCACAUGCUUGUACAACAUAUACCCAACUUCGGCCAUGCCGAAGGCAUUCUAGGGCGCCCAUCCUUGGCGGUUUACAUGGCGUCCACGAUCAACAUCCUAGCAUUAUCCACGCAUCGCAUGUCAACCUAUUCCUAGAAGAAUUCGUUGUCUUCUUCAUCAUCCACGUCCAAGUCUUGGUUGGAUAGCUGGGGUUGGAAUGAGAUAUGGGUUUAGUAGUGGUGAUAAUGGGUAUUGAAGGAUGAGAUGGUGAAUGAGUUAAUGAGAGAAAGAGGGGUUCGGUGGUGGUGGGUAUGAGGAUAUACAGAGGGAUGAGGGUGGUGUUGAGUCGGGUAUGGCAUGAGAUCUUAAUGGAGGCUUUAGUAGCUUUUUUUAUCAUUAGCUAGUUCACCACAGGCACUUCUUGAAAUUAGUUUGCUUUUAGUUAUAUGCCUUUUUUUUUCAAUAUAUAUCCUAUAUACUUAAAAGCUAAAUUUUGUUUUGAUCAUUAUAUGUAUUUGCAGGAUCACUUUCAAGAGUGCUAUAUGCAUUGCUGUUUUGCUCGACAUAAAAGUGACGUUCCUACCAGCAAUUGAUAAGUCUAAUCACCAGCUUGUUGCCAAAGCCAUGUAUGAAGUGCGUUACAUAGAUUUGGAUGACCGUUGAAAAGUGACGGGAGUGUCUUAUUAUAUGAUCCAACACCUAGUUCAAAGAGAAGUCCAACUCCAUACUUUGGUCAUAUGAGAUGCAGGGGAGGCAGAAACUACCAUUGUAGGGGUAUUUUUGGGGUAAAACUGGUACUGAUGCAGUGAAAAUUCUUAUACUAACUAUAUGCCAUAUGCCAUUGAGUCAAGAUUCAGAUGCAAUUUAGAGGGCUUUACUGAAGUUCAUUGAAGAAAGAUAAGUUCAAUUUUCUAUUGAUGAAAGAUCCAACUAUCGAGUGCCACUUGAGAAUUGGAGAAGUUGGGGGGUUGUUCCAAGUUGUAGCUAUUGGAAGUCAAAAGUGGAAAAAGUUUAUUUAGGAGGGGUAGAGGCUUUUGAAGAACAGAUGAAUAUGGUAUAUUCUAUUAAUGGAGGAUUAUUUUCUAAGCCCCGUAUCCUUUGUGGACUCCUUUGGGUGGUGAUAUGAUAUUUUUGAUUCUUAGAAAAUUUGAAAAAAGAUGCAAGGAAAAGAAAAUAGAGGAAAAGAAGAAGGAAAGAAAAUGUGAAAAAAAAUAAAAAAUAGAUUUAAAUUUAAUAAAUUAUUUUUAUAUACUAAUUUAAACUCAUUUCACAUACUUUUCCUCUUCUAAACAUUUUUUUCUUAAUAUAUUUGAUUUUCUUACAUUUUUUUUUUAUGUAGAAAUCAAACAAAAGAAAAUAAUUUUUCUUACCAUUUUUUUCUUUUUUCUUAAUACUUUCUAGGAACCAAACAUACCUUGGCAUUCUUCUUGGAAUGUGAGCUUGUAUUUUCUUUCCUAUCAAUUAGUUCUAUGUUUUCGUACUAUCUCCAUGUCAAUUAAUAUCAAUGCUCUAGGGUGCCAUGGUUGGUUGUAGUGUGCAACAUGUUGAAGAACAUCUUUCUUGAGAAUGAGAUCUCAAGAAGAAUAUUCAAUAGGUGAAGAAACCAAAUGCUCGAGGAGUUAAGAAACCAAGUGUUGCAACUGCAACAACAUUUAGAAUAGUUUAACCUUUUCAACACCAGAUUUUAGGUGAAGAAAGUUCUAAGAAUGAAGAAGAAAAUAUUAACACCCCUUCUAUCAAACUCAAAACCCCUAAAUAAGAGAUGGUUCCUUUCCAACUUAUGUUGGAAGAAAUCACCACUUACAACAGGACUUUGUAGUCAAAGUAAAUAUCCCAGAGUUCGGAAGAAAAAUGCAACUAGAUCACGAGUUUUUGGAUUGGCCUAGCUUCACUAUGUUGAAGAUGUAUUUGACUACAAGGUGGUGGCAGAUGAUCGCAAGGUAAAACUAAUUGCUAUGAAAUUAAAAAAAUAUGCCUUAUUGUGAAGGGAAAAUCUUAAAAGCCAAAUGAUUGAGAAAGAAAAAUAAGGAUUGUGACAGGGGAAAAAAAAAAGAACUUUAAGAAAAUAUUUGCCAUGAGAAGUUUCAUAACCUCAAACAAUAGUGAAAGAUUAUAUAAUAGAGUUUGAUCAUCUUAUAGUAAAAUGUGAUCUUGUUGUACAAGAAGAGGACACUAUAGCUCAUUAUCUUAGAGGGUUAAGACCAAAAGUUGGCAACAUGGUGCAAUUGUAACCUUAUUGGACUUAUGAUGUUUAUAGAUUUUCCCUUAAGAGUAGAAAAACAACAAAAGGAAGAAUGUAGGAAAAAUUGGUGAUUCUUAGUGCAAGAUAAUUCUUCUAACAAAGAGAAUGCUUCCAUUUCUAAAACUAGCUCAAUUGCAAAGUCCAUUCCUUGAAUCUUAUCAAAAGAUAAUAGUAAGGUUGGUUUUAAACAACAACCAUACUUCUCCAAUACCAAUUCUUAUCAAUGCUUCAAGUAUGAAGGGUACAAGCAUAUUGCUUCUAAACGCCCCAAUUGUAAAAUUAUCAUACUAGUUGAGGAAGAAAGUGAUAAAGAGAGUGAAGGAGAUGUCUAAGGUAACUUUGGAACCCCAACAACAAAAGAAGUCAUACAUGCGGAUCAAGGAGAAUAUCUUGUAGUUCAAAGAAGUUUAAGGAGUUGUUUAUUUCUUUUACUUAAAUCUAAAUUGAACUUAAGUUUAAGGAGAAUAUUUGUUUUUUCACAAUUAGAGUAGGGUGUGAGGGUUAGAAGUGUGAAUCAACUAACUUUUUAGAUUAACAAAAAAGCCACAUAUUUUAGCUUUUUAUAUUCAAUUAAAAAUAAUGGUAAAAAAUACUAGAAGUUAAAAAAAGAAAUUUUUUUAAAAAAAGAAACAACUAGUCUGAAAGUAAAUUGCAUUCAACAUUAAGUUAAAAAAAAAAAAAAAACACCAUCUAAGUGUUCUCCAAGAAGAAGAGACAAAUUGACUGUGAAAAAAAUAUUUGUUUACACUAAGUGCACUUCCAAGGACAAGGUCUGUAGUGUCCUCAUUGAUAGAGGAAACUUUGAGAAUUUGGUGUCUAUUGAAAUGGUGGAGAAUUAGGCCAUAAAAUGGAAAUGACUGAAAGAAAAAAAAAUAAAGAAGCUAAAAGAAAGAAACAUGUUCUUCAAGAAAUGGCCUAUGUAAUGAUCCACGCUCAUGACACUCCUGCUUACUUUUGGGCUGAGCCAUUGGCAUUGCUUGUUACAGUGCCAAUAGUCUUUCAUAUGAAUUAUGGUAAGAAAAGAAGCCUAAUUUGAAAUAUUUCAAGAUCUUUGGCAGUAGAUGUUAUAUUCUCAAGGAUGGGAAAAAACUAGGCAAUUUUGAUUCUAAAUUUGAUUUAGGUAUUUUCCUAGGUUAUUCUACCAUAAGUAAAGGCUAUAAGGUUUAUAAUCUGAAUACCAAAAUUAUCUAGAAAUCAUAUAAUGUGCUUAUUGAUGACUAUGGGUCCAUUUGAGAAAAACAUUAUUCAUAUAUAUUGCCCUAGGGUUCUACUAGAGAUGUCCUUGAAGUCAUCCAUGAGCUAAUGGAUGAGACUAGAGAUAUUCCUAAGACCAUCCCUGAAAAGGUGAUUGAUCCCAAAAGUGACAUGAAGGUAGAUGAAGAUAUAGGAAAUAGUGAAGUGGGAAAUAGGAAUAAAUUGAAGGUACCUAAAAAUCACCUUAUCUUUAGUGUCAUUGAAACCAAGAAAGGUUCCAUGGUAAUAAGGAGACAAUAAAGACUUAAGAGAUAGAUUUCAUUUGCUACACCUCUGAAUUAGAACCUAAGAACAUUGAGGAAGCUCUCAAGUAUGAAUCUUAGGCUAUCAUACUAUAGGAAGAACUAAACUUGUUUGUUAGGAAUGAAGUGUUGUAUUUAGUAUCUAGGCCUAAAGACAAAGAUGUGAUAGGUAUCAAAUGAAUUUUCAAGAACAAGCAAAAUGAAAAUGGGAUAAUAGUGAGGAACAAGACUAGACUAGUGGCAUAAGGAUAUUCCCAAAUUAAGGGAAUUGAUUAUGAGCAAACCUUUACUCUUGUAGCUAGGUUAGAGGCCAUUAGAAUUUUCUUAGUUAUAGCAUGCUCAUUAAGGAGAAAGUUAUACCAAAUGUAUGUAUUGCCUUUUUGAAUUAAAUCCUUAGGGAAGAAGUAUACAUAGAGCAACCCAAGGGCUUUAAAGAUCCUAAAUUUCUCAAUGAUGUGUAUAGAAUAAAGAAAACCCUCCAUCGACUUAAGCGAGCUCUUAGAGCUUAGAAUAAGAGACUUACUACUUACCUUUUGAAAUAUGGUUUCGAGAGAGAGGAGUUUAUAGGACUUUAUUUGUCCAUAAGACUAAUACUAGACUCUUAGUGGCAUAAUUUAUGUUGAUGAUAUUGUUUUAGAGCCACUUUAAAUAAACAUACCCUUAGUUUUACUGAGGAGAUGAAAAAGAAAUUUGAAAUGAGCAUGAUAGGUGAACUCAAUUUUUUCGUUGGCUUUCCAAUUAGAUAACUUAAGAGUGAUUCUUUCUUUCUUACUCUAAAUAUGCAAAGGAGUUAUUGAAAAAGUUUGGUCUUGAGUCAGCUAAGCACUUUAGAACACCUAUGAGCACUAUCAUAAAGCUUUACAAGGAUAAAUCUAAUAAAUAUGUUGAGCAAAAGCUUUGUAGGAGUAUGAUAUGAAGUCUUUUGUACCUCACUGCAAGUCAUCCUAAUAUUUCUUUUAGUGUUGGGGUGUGUGCUAGAUAUCGGGUUAAUCCUAAAGAGUUAUAUUUAAAAUUAGUAAAAAGAAUAAUCAAAUAUGUGAAUGAGACUUUAGAUUAUAGCUUGUGGUAUCCUUUUGACUUUACACUUGUUAUCAUCGAUUAUUUCGUUGCUGACUAGGCCAAAAAUGUAGAAGAUAGAAGAAGUACUUUAGGUGCUUGUUUCUUUGUUAGCGACUAUUUAGUUGCAUGGCUUAGUAAAAAACAAAACUUGGUAUCUUUCUCCAUUAUGGAAGCAAAGUAUAUUGUAGUAGGAAGUUGUUAUACCCAUCUUAUUUGGAUGAAGAAAAUGUUUAGUGACUACGACAUUGAGCAAGACACCAUGAAUGUCAUGUGUGACAACAUGACUGCUAUAAACAUCUCUAAGAAUCUUUUCUUUCAUUCUCAAACUAAAUAUAUUGAAAUUCAACAUCAUUUUAUUAGGGAUUUUAUAGAAGACAAGGUAAUUUCCUUAGAGUUUAUACCCAUUGAGCAUUAAUUGGUUGAUAUCUUUACAAAGCCCUUAGAUUAUCUUAGGUUUGAGUUUCUAAUGAAAUCUUUGGGCAUCUGCUUCAUUGAUUAAGAGCUUGAGAUGUGGGCCUAAGGAUCAUUUUUCUUUUUAAAAUGGUACAAUUUUUUAGAAUCCUAGGUCCAUUUCUAACCAAUUUUAGGUUUCAUAAGUUUUUUUUUUAAUUUGUUUUUUUAGUAUCUACUUAAAUAUCUCAAUAUUAUGCUAUAUAAGAUCUGAUAACUUUCCUUAGAAUAUCAUAAAUCACUUUUUAAGCCAUUAAAACAAAGUAAAUAAAAACUUUGUAUGUUAGAAAACCUUAAAAUUUUCUAUGGCAAGUGAUUAAUAAGCCUUCUUAAGUUUAAUUAAUAUAGUAGAUUUUAAGUUCUUAAAAGUAAGGAAAACCAUGCUUGUUUUUAAAUUCACAUAUCAUGUUUGACUUAGUCUAAAAUUGUUUCUCGAAGUGAUCUUUGACAUAUUGGCUAAAAUUAAUUUAAUAUUCUUUCCCAGAAAAUAAUGUCAUCACUUGCGAAAUUUAGAAACACCCCGACUUGGAAAAAGACAACCAUGGUUGAAAGUAUGAUUUCCAUACCAUAUAUAAUGCUUCUACCAUUCAAAAUAAAAUAAAAUAAAUAAAAAUGAGGAAAAUGAUGAGAUCUAAUUGAGAGGGAGAAAAAGUUAUGAUUUAUGUAGAUCAACAUUUAUUGUAUUAAAUAAAAAUUCGGCAAACUAUGUUCAAAUUGAUUAAAUGUUAAAUAAAUUACAUUUUGACAUGAUUGAAUGAUCUUCUAGAAUUCAAAAUUUAAAUAUGUAAGCUAGAUAUUAAGUUGAUAUAUACCCUUGACAAUCAAUAUUUUUGGUUUAUUUUAGUCAUAGUAUACCUUGUUUGGUAUUGAAAUAUUUUCAAGGUUGACUUAGUCAUUAAUGAUUUCCUUUGGAUGAUGUUGAUUCAUUCUUGAAAUCUUGGAUUUUAAUUGUAUAGCUAAUUACUUGAUUUAUUUUCAUUCUUGCUAAUAUCUCAAGUUUCUUUGGUUUCUUAGAACUUUAGGUUGUAAUUGUUGUCUCUCAUAUCUUUCCAAGGUUUUUUUUAGUAUAAAGGGUUGUUCUUUUGACCUAUUUUACAUAAAAAUAAAAAAUAAAAAUGAUGUUUUGAAAGCUUAAAGGAGUGUUGUUAUUGAGAUUAGAUCUUGAUGAUAGGAAUGAAGAGGUUAAGUGCUCCUUAUAGUACUCAAGCACUCUUAAGGGCUUCUAGCACCCUUCGAGAGCUCAAUGGCUCAAAUUUGCUUCCAACACCCUUCUAGCGCUCAAAGUGCUUGAGCUCUAAUCUAACUUGGAGUGCUCUUGUGCAUCCUAAAGGCUAUAAAAUGUAUUCCAACACCUUGUUGUGUUCAUUCCCUCUAUCCCCAAUCAUUUUCUACGCUCUUUCUUGGUGUCUACUUGUCUUUUAUCAUUUUUUUGGUUUGGUUUUCACUUGUUCCAACUUUGUAAGAGUGUUGUUGCUUUCUUCUUAAGCAUUUCUAAUGGUUCAUUUUUACCAAGUAGCUUCUAGAUUUUCAGGUGUCUUCAUUUCUCACUCUAGGCUAAGUGUGUCGAGUCAUAGGCAUCCUAGGGAGUCAUCUUCUACCCCUUUAUUCCCUGAGCCUACCAUGGCCAUCCCCUUGACCUUGAUGAUCUUUCAAUUGAGUGUUUCUUCUUUUUGGCGUCUUAAGAGUGAUACCGUGCUCAAUUCUUUGUUCAUAGGAUUGAGAUCAAGUGGGGUAUUGCCUUGAGCACUUUUUGUGACACUGCUCUUCCAACUAUUUUCGGUGAGAGAGGUUGGAAGCCUUUUACAUCACUUUUUAUAUACCUUUUUCAAGCUUAAUUAAGGUCUCUACACUUGAAAUCAUUAAUCAAAGAAGGGAUACCCAAGAGCUUGAUGAUAUGUUGUCCAUGCACAAAAUUCAAGGUUCAUAUUGGUGACUCAUGCACUCUUCAAAUAACUAAUCAUCAAGUACUCAAACAACUCCCCAGCCAUUCCACAUGAAUCACUAGAAAAUUCCCUAUAAUUGGAUAAGUUAAACCUUCCUAAUUAACCAAAAGCAAGUUACUAAGUGAACCUUUUGUUAGUGCAAAAAUAUGCAAUGUCUCUUACUGAUACUUUAUCAGAAUGGCUCAACCAUCAAGGUUUGUUAAUUAACCAACUCAUGUUUGUAAACUAAAAGAAAGUUUUAUAUGACCUUAAGUAGGUACCUCAUGCCUAAUAUCAUGAGUUGCAACAAAUCUUAGUCUCAAUAGGUUGUCACCUCUCACUCUGUCACAUCUUUAUUUAUUUUUCUCAAGAGCAUUCCACCCUUUAUUUGCUUGUCUAUGUGGAUGAUCUCUUCCUUAUAGGUAAGAAUGAUUAUUUGUUAACUCUAUACUCUUUUAAAGAUCUUGGUGUGUUAAUCUACUUCUACAGUGCAAAACCACCGAAAGUCCAAUAAGGAAACACCUGGGGGGAGGUGCAUGGGUGAUUUGAAAAAUUUUAAUAAAAAUUUAUAAAUUAUACCCAAUUCUUGUAACUUAAGAGAUAUAAGGGGUAUCCCAAUUAACUAAAUGGGUUAUAUCUAAAAUCUUUAGGUAUAUCAAAUCUGAUUUUUACCUUUUAGGGAUACCCUGCAAGAUAUUAGGGAUAAUCAUUUCAACUAAUACUAGGUCAUUAAAACAAAAUAUCAAAUAUAAAGAAAUAGACAAUAAGGCACAAGAUUUUUAUGUGGAAAACCCCCACACUAAAUAUGGAGAUAACAAACCAUGAGGUCUAAGACUGCUAAUCUAAAUUCAUUAUUCGAAAUCAAAUUACACAAAGUUACCUAGUUGUUUUUCCUUAAAGACUUACUCUCUAGGGUCUAUAACUUGAUUCAUGUCCGCAACGUAGAAACCUCCAAUUGAUCCCUAGUAGAUCCUUUAACAACUACAAAGGAACGAUGGUAUUCAAUCCAAUAUUCAAAGAACAAUCCUUGAAUGAGAGAUAGAGAAUGGUAUGACACUUAAGGCGCUCUCUAAGAAAUCCUUUAUAAGGAAUGAAAGGUCUCUAAAACAAUUUCAAUGUGAUAUCUGCACAAUCUGUCCAAUCUCCAUACUUUUUAGGGGUUAUUAAGUAGGUAUCUAUAUGUAAAAGCCCAAAGAGUCUCAAUUUUGGAAGGUUUUUCAAUUGAAUUUGCGUGAAAAAUUUGGCAGAACCUGCAUGACAACUCAAGCCAACUCAUGGACUGCUUGAGUGAUCCUAAGCACUUGAGCACUCUAGGUCGCUUGAGCAGUCCUACACUAUAUAUAUAUAAAAAAAAUCAUUUUAAAAAAAAUUUUAAGUACAAAAUAAAAAUCGAUCUUGUUAAUACCUCAACGUAGUCCAAAUUUAUUUUUCUAUUAGUUUUGAGCUCAAUUUUAUUAUCAAAUUUCAAACUUUUUUUGGCUUACUCACACCUUUUUAUUCUUAGUUUUUAUUAUUUUAUUUUAUAUAUUUUUUUAUUUCCAUUCUCUUCUUUUCUUUUGAUUUUUUUUUUUCCUUUUUCUUUCCAUCUCUCCUCUCUUUUCCUACUUACCCCGUCUACCUACACUCUCUCUCCCCAACUCCCACUCCCCGCGACCCCCCCUCCUCUCUCUCUCCUCUUCCUUUCCCUUUUCCUUUCCUUUUUUUUCUCUCUAAUUUUUUUUUCUGUUUUUCUCCACCCCUCUCUCUCCCUUUUCUAUCUUUUCUCUUCUUUCCUUUUCUUAUUCCUUUUUUUUCUCCAUUCUUGUCCUCUUCAUUCCAUCCACUUCUUCCCAUUUACAGCACAACACCGUCUCUCUCCAUUUUUUUUCUCCUUUUUUCUUUCAUUUCCCUCAGUUCUUUCUCUGUCUCAAAACCCACAACACCCAAACCCACUAGGCUUCAAACGUGAGAUAAAAUUUUUAUUUUUAUUUAUUUUAUUUUGCUCUGUUCUUAUUAUUAUUAUUAUUAUUAUUAUUAUUAUUAUUAUUAUUAUUAUUAUUAUUAUUAUUAUUAUUAUUAUUAUUAUUAUUAUUAUUUGAUUCUAAAGUAGUGGUUUGGAAGUUUUGGUCUUACUUAAUUUGUUUAGUUAUUUAUAUAUUAAAUUGGGCUUAAAUUAUGAGAUAUUAAAUUUAGGUCUUAUUGAAUUUAUUUUGUUUUUUCAUAUUUUAGGGUUGGUUGAUUAUGCUUGUAUAUUGACCAUUAAUUUGGAAUUUUGGACUAGGGAUUGUAACAUGUAGGAUAUUUUUGUUGGGUUAUACUUGCUAAUUUAGGCCAAUUUUUUAUUGGUGAAAUUUAUUGAACUACUUUUCUGAUUACUUUUGGGUUUAUUUAAUUUGGGCUCUAUAUAUUUUUGGAUAUUUACGUUUAGGCUCAUUUUUGUUUUGCAUGGCCCAUUCCACUAUUGGUAUUCUGUUAGCUAAGCACGGAUUUGUGACGCGUGGAGAACCAAAUUUCAUGAAAGAAAAUAAGGCUCAGGAAGGAGCAUGUUAUUUCCCCAUUUCUAUUUAGCUUUAUUUCUAUUAGUUCAUGUAAAUGUUCUUAUGUAUGUAUUUGUUGGGUGUAUAUAGAAUUGAAUGAUUGAUAAAUUAGAAAUUAUGUUUUAAUAAAAGAAAUUGUUGAGUAAUUAUAUUUUAAUAAAAGUAAUAGUUUAGAAAAUAUUAUUUUUAAUGAAAGAAGUUUUCUUAAUAAAAAAAAAUUGUUUUUAGGAAAAUGUAGAAAAUUGUUUUUAAUAAAAUUCAAAAAAAAAUAUUUUUAAUAAAUACUGUUCAAAAUUUUUUUUUUAAUAAAAAUAGUUUCGUAAGUAAAAAUUGUCCCAAAAGUUAAUUUUUAAUAAAAUGGCCCAAAAAGUGCUUUUUAAAUAACUUGUGUUUCCCCAAUUAGAAUUAGAAUGUGAUUAAAAUAAAUUUCUAUAAAUAGAGAUUUUAAUUUUUUUAAUGAAAAUAGGAUGAAAGUCUUUUUUACAAAUUAAAGCUGUAGAAAUCAUUUUCCUAAUAAAAUUGGAUUUAAACAUUUUCAAAAAUAAAGUUUGUAAAGAAAUUAAUUCUUUUGUAAAUAAAAUCAAAUUGAAAUACUUUUGUAAAUAAAGUUGUAAAAUUUCAUUCCUUUUUUGGUAAAAGUAAAAAUCUUUUUAUUGCCAAAUUGAAAUUUUCGUAAUAAUUUUUUUUGAUACUUUCCUGAAAAUUGAAUACAAAUAAAAUUGAAUCAAAUUAGUUAUUGGAAAUGGAUUGAAACCUUUUUGUAAGUAAAUAAAUUGAAAUCAUUAAUUCGAAAUUGUUUUGGAAAUUUUUGAAAAGGUAUUUUUUGAAACAUUUUUCUUAAUCAAUUUAAAAAAAAUUAAUUUGCAUAAUUCUCUUAUCAUUUAUNNNNNNNNNNNNNNNNNNNNNNNNNNNNNNNNNNNNNNNNNNNNNNNNNNNNNNNNNNNNNNNNNNNNNNNNNNNNNNNNNNNNNNNNNNNNNNNNNNNNAUUUAAAAAAAAUUAAUUUGCAUAUUUUUCUUAUCAUUUAUCUUAUACAUUCUUACAACUGGCUUUUAUCAUUAUUUUCUUGUAUUUUGAUUUGUAUCCUUAAUCUUGGUAUCUAUGAUUAAUUAAUUAAUUGUCAUAAUUCCCUCAAUUUGUUUAGUAGAGAUCGUAAGUAUAUGGGCUUAGAGAGGUGCUACGACUUUUCACCAUACUUUCCUAAUAGGUAACUUGACCAUCGAAUCUAGACUCGAUUUUUGUAGACAUGUAAUUUCCAACAAAAUGAGUCACACAGGGUUUUCUUUGGUUUCCCUUUAAAAAUAAAUUAAAAUAAGUGGCGACUCCAACUUUUUUAAAAGAAAAAUUAAUUUUUUCACAAAUAAAAAGUGAGUAUUGCCGUUUCAAGUGGGGAUGCAAGUGAAAAAUGUGGGUUCACACUCUUCUAAAUUUUUUUUUUUUAAACUGUUUUAAAAACAUUUCCAAGAUAGCCUUAAUAUUUUAUUUUAUAUUUUUUUUUCAUGUUAUUUGAUUUUCAUUUUAUUGUAUUAUGUUGUUUUUUAUUUUUAGGUUUUGGCAAUACUUUGUUAGAUAGUAUUAUUGACAUUGAAAUUGAAGAGUGAACGAAUUAUAGUUAGAAAAUGAACAGAUGAAUUUAGAUCAAGGUUUUCAGGCUCCAAUAUUUUAGAUAAUAAUAUUAGGUUGAUAUUCUACGUGAAAUGUCAUCAUCUUUUGUAAAUAAUAUUGGUAAACUCUUGAGACCAAUGUUUUCAUAACUAGAUUAGUCAUUGAACCGGAAAAGUUACUGGUUCACGGUUCACUAGUUGGACUGGUAGUUGAACCGAUGAUGUCAUAAAUAUAUAAUUUAUAAAUUAUUAAAAUUUAAAUAAUUAUAAAAAUAAAAAUUUAUAUAUUAUUUAAAAAUUAAAAUUUUAUUUGAAAAUCAUAAAAUUAGUUUUAAAUUAGAAAUUUAAAUUUAAUUCAUAAUUUUAAUUUAAAUUUUGAAAUUUGAAAUUUUAUUUUUAAAUCAAAAACUUAUUUUAAAAUUAGAAAUUUAUUUAAAAUUGUAAUGUUUUCAUUAAUUAAAUUCAUAAGUUUUAAAAAUCAUAAAGUAAAAAAAAUAAUAAAUAUAAAAGAAAAUAAAUAAUAAUGAGAUGAGGUAAAAAUAAAAUAAAAUAAAUCUGGAAAGAAAAGAAGGAGAGGGGCGGCCAAAAAGGGAAGAAGGAAGGAUUUGGGAUGGGGGGUGGACAUUGUGGCCGGCGACAGUGGAAGGGGUUGUUGGAAAAAAAAAGUCAAGGGGUUGUUGGAAAAAAAAAGUUGAAUUGGAUGAUUCAAAGAGAACCAUUUGGUUUGUUUAGUUCGUCAAUCUGACCAUUAGUUCAACCAGUCCAAUUUCGGUCCGAUUACUUUUCGACCCAAUUCACCGGAUCAGAUUGGAAUCGUGAAUGAAAAAUGGUCGGAUCGGACUGGUCUGGUCCGGUUUCUAAAACCAUGCUUGAGACAUUUGAAUUCAAUUAAAAUAUUUUUUUUUUCAAAUAAAUUGUUGUAGUAUAUUUUAAUCUUUUUCAUAGUAUUUUAUGCAAUUGAAUCGACAAAUAAGAUAAAAGUAAUUUGAUUCAACUAAACUGGCUUUGAUACUAAGUCUAUGCAUUGAUUAUCUUGUCUUGUAUUUAAAAAAUAAAUAAAUAUGAUUUUAUUGUGUGAAUUGCCUUUCAAACAAAGAAAUAGACUAACUUCCUUAUAUAUGAAGGAAGAAAUUAACCUAACAUAUAUUCCUUAACAUUAAUAAACCAAUUUUUUUUUUUUUAUCUAUAAACAAAGAACCUUGAGAAAUAUACAACUCAACGAUGAGAAAAAAACAUUAUUGAUAGAAGCAUAAGUCAGCCUUGAUAUAAGAUAAAUUAACCUUCAUGUUUGUUUGAUCCAACUUUGACAUAUUUUGGAGUCAACCUUGAUAAAUGUAAACAAAAUCUUGACAUAUGUUAUAUAGACAAAAUUUUGUAUACUUGGUAAAAAUAGAGACAAUUUUAACAUAUGUAUAUGUCAAUCUACCUUUAAACUUUUCUUAAUAGUUACAUAACUGAGAUAUAUAAAUAUUGACAACCUUAACAGAUAUAACUUACCUUGAUGAUAAAAAAUUAUUAACGAAUAUGAUUUUCCUUGUUGUGAGGGUUGUGCUAAGUUUGUGUGCAUAAACUCGUGCAUGGUCAUUGAUCAAUUGAUGAUGUGCGUGUGCAUAAAUGGUGCAUAGAGGUGGUGCUUGAGGGUGCCUAUGUAGAGGAGUUGUGAGCUUGAGUAGCAAUGUUGUGUGCAAACCUUUGCAUGAGUAGAACUUAAUUGAGCUUGCGUAGACACCUAUGCAUAGGCCUCUACUCAGGUUGGAUUGAUGUGCCUAGUUACACCCUUGUGCACAAAGCUCUGAAAACCUCCAAAUCUUCAAUUUGCACAAUCUUUUUCCAAAUUUCUUCACAAACCUCAAUCAUCAUCCAUGGUUCACUAUAUAUAUUUUUUUUAAUCUAUCACACCUGGAUUACUCAAAAAAUACACCUACAAACACUAAAGAAACAAUCAAAUGCAAAAGUUAAAGUUUUAACAAGAGGAUGAAUAUAUGAUCCUCACUUCUAGCUACUCCCAUCAUAUGAUUUAAUGUAUAUUAUCAAAAUUUAGUAUUGGAGAUGAGAAUAUGAAAGAACAAAGUAAUAAUAACAUGGAAUGCAUUUCGACUAUUCUUUUACAAUAGAAUCAAUGGUUAGGAAAACAUUUAAUAUGAGAGAAGUUUGAAAAGGAGGCUGAAAAUCUUAACUCAUAAGCACAUGAAAAAUCUUCAAAUCGGUUUGGUUUUAUCAAUCUAAAAAGGAAAUAAUGCACUCUCUCAUAUUUACAACUAUUUACAAUCAAAAUUAGUUCACACGGAAUCGAUGCUCUAUGAAUUUCAUGAAUUAGAUCAUCAAACUCAAUGCAUGAAAUAGAUCCCACUAGACACCAUCUGCUCUCCAUUUUGGGAAACCACAUGAUCUAGAAGUCACUUUAAACAAUCUGUGUCCAGAAUAUUCUACACAAAAUAAAAGCAAACUUGGUCUACAGAAGAAACAAGUAGUGAGUCCCAGAAGUAAUUUGCUACUGAUAAAUGACAAGAGAAAAGGUGCACUUCCCUAGUUUAAAGAGAAAAUUGAAGCCGAUCAAAAGGCCCCAUGGAUGUAAAAGCGGCACAGAUGCUUGUGGUCCUAAAAAUAUUCACCGGAGAAAACAUCAAAAUAUAUGAUACUAAUAGUUUUAAAAUGUAUAAGAUUCGAGAUAGUAAUUCUACUUUUAGAUUCCUCGCUUAUAUCACAUAAAGGAGAACCAACAUAAGAUCUAGAAAGCAUAUGGGAAUCAAGAAAGUAGCAUUUUGAGGAUUUCCAACUUAAUUAUGUCAUAUAAUCAGUGAAUAGGCUUACAAAUUGCUUCUCUUAUGUUUAUUUCGGUAUGAUUUUAUGAUGGAUCACUUCUUUGCCAUUGAAUAACAUGACACUAUGAAAUUUGGUUUUCAAAUCAAUUGAGAAUUACAAAUAGAUAUUAUCUUGUUGAUAAGUUUCCUGAAAAAAGGGAAACAAAUCUCUAAUAAAAAAGAGAUAAUAGAUAAUAUUUUGUUUGUAAGAAGAAAAUUUGAUAAUAAAUUUAGAAUUAAGCAAUUAAAUCAUGAAAAUUAAAAAUUCAAUUCCCUAUUUUUACCUAUUCCUUCAAGGACAAAACGAUUAUACAUGAGAAAAAAAUGUUUCAUAAAAAAGAAAAGGUUUCACAAAAUUUUUCUAUAAGUUCUAGAAAUUACAAAAGAACCAUAUGCGUGUUCUUCACCUUUUGACAAAGUUAUCUAGGAAUAAAUCACUUUAGAGUCUUAAUUGAUUUUCAAAAUAAAAAAAAACAAUUUCAUUGUCUACUUUUAGAUUAUGAUCAAAGCGAAAAAAUAAGGGGAAAAGUAUUUUUUUGUAAAAAGAAUUUUUUAUCAUAAUAUUGUCUAUUUUUACAAGACUUUUUGAAAUUUGUGUGUGCAGUGGAUUCAAAAGAAUCCUUAGAUUUCAUUUUGUGCCAAUGUUUAUAAGUCCAUUUUUAACAUUAAAAAAAUUAAAAUUUUAGUUUACAAUUGUAAUUUUAAAAGAAAAUUUGAAAAUAUUAAAUUACGAAGAGACAGUAGAGUAGCAGUUGAUUGAGGGUUUUUUUCUAAGGUAUUUUCUAAAAUUUGAAAAUAUUAAAAUGUUUGACCUUUUAUUGUCUGUGUAUGUCAACAAAGUCUACACAAAUUUAAAGUCUCGAGCUAAUGGAAAAAUUGAUAUACCCAUUGCUUUCAUUUUCAUUAAGCAAUCAGUUAUUACUCACCUACUCUACCUGUUAGCUUUUAUUUUCUUUAAGCAAUCAGUUAUUACUCACCAACUUUGCUAUGUAUUUUUAAUUAUGGUAUUUUUUUCAAAACUCCCUGCUAUGUAUCAUAUUUAUAACUAUCAAAAGUUAAAAAAGAAAAACACUCAUUAGCCAUUACCUCUUGGUAAUUCAGUCUAAAUUCUAAAAUUUAAAUUACUUCAAAAUUGGAUGCUUUUAAUUGAUUUUUCAUAAUUUAAUGAUUUUUAAUGGGUAUUCAUUUCUAAAGAAAAUAUUCUUUUCCUUCUUCCAAAAUAUAAAAUUCUCAAUCUAAUAAUACAAUUUAGAGUUAGAAGCAGUUCGGUCUGCGUCUUUCAUCUCAAAAAAUUGAGUAUAUAUUCUUACAAUAAGCAAGUUGGAACAAGAUUUUCAGGGUAUGCCCUUUGCAAUGCAAUGCACCUAAAUUUAGUGGGGUGUAAUACCUCAUUGAGGAAGGGAACAAUGGUACUAAUUCUGGUUGCUCAACAGUCAGCCACAAAAGGUUGCACAAUAAGGUUUAUCAACAUAUCUUGAAAUUUAUCAAUUCUAGUUGACAAUUAUGUUUUAUUUUUUAAAUCCUUUGAGACUUUUUUUUUUUUUUGGUAAUGCUUAGGUUCCAAAAAAUAUUUUUUUCAUGGUUAUUUUAUGAAAAAUAUAAAAAAAAUUAAAUAUAAUUAAAAUUAAUUAUAACUUUAUUUAUUUUUAAAUUGUUUAAUUUUUAUAUCAAAAUGUUAAAAUAAAUAAAAUAAAUUUAAAAUAACAUAUAAAAAUUAUUUAUUCAUUUUAAAUUUAUUUAUUUAUUUUUUUCUUUAUUUAUUUUUCUUUCUAAUUUUCUUAUCCUAUACACGUGCAUUUUCUGUAAAGCACAUUCAAUAAUGAUGUUUAGGAUUCAAAAUUUUAGAAACAGGUCUAGAAAUCAAUUAUAAGUGGGUGAAAUUAUUGAAAGACUUUUUUGCACAUUCGAAGUGAUUUCUGCCUCUUUAGUAGCUUUGGUGCUUUUGGAUCUAAUUAUGUCACCAAUCAACUAUUGGAAAAUUUAAAUAAAAUUAGAUGAGUGAAAUUUGAAAAUAAAGUGUUAAACACAAGUUGGAGGUUUUUUUCUCUAGUCCAGAGACCUUUGCAAUUAAUUGAGUGGAAAAUUUAAAAAAUUAUAUGAUUCAACCUUGAUUGUCUUAAUUAAGCAUAUGGGAAUUGAACAUAGAAAACUAGUGUGGACCCCGCAUUUCGCACAAUGCGUUCCCACUCGAUGGCGAAACUCGUUUUUUAUUUGAGAAUGAUUUGUUUCUUUAGAAAAUGAAUUGGAGUCGUUAUUUAUUUUUGUUUUAUUUUCAAAGGGAAAACAAAAUAAGAAAGAAAAACCCUAAAUGUGACUCCUGAAGGAAAAACAGGUUUGUGAAAAACCUAAAAACGGGUCUCUACUAAGUAAGAUGUAGCAAACAUGAUAAUUAAUUGAUUAAACAUGGAUACUGAAUAGUAAUCAAAUGAAUGAAAAUAAGACACGCAUGAUAACACAUAAAUUAAUAAACACUAUCGAGUACAAGGCGUACCUUAGUCACAAGCUGAGCGCUAUCAUAAGAGACAAGGUUAGUGCACAAAUACAAAAUAACUGCGUGCAUGGUCACAGAAUAAGGCAAACCAAUCAAGUAUAUCAAUCAAAUAGUCAAUGAGAAAAUCACAUAUGUUGGGUCCCACCAAAGCCCAAUCGAUCUCGCAUGAAUUAAUCUCACAAGUUAUAUUAGUUUGGAAUUAUGAAAAUUGUCUUCGUGCUUAUUGAGAAUCGAGAAGAACAAAAGAUUAUUUGGAAACAAGAGUGAACUUAAAACUGUUCGGGAGAAAAUUGGAUUUUCGAAAUUUAUUUGAAAAUUGGAGUCUCGAGGAUUGUUUGAAAAUUGAAGUUUCGGGAAUUAAAUUUAAGGAUCGGAAACUUGGAGAUUAAAUUUGAAAGAAACCGGAAUCGAAAGUUAUUUGAGAAGUAGAAAUUGUGAAAAUUUAAUUAUAUAAAUUAGAAUCUUUGUAAAUCGUUCGAGUCGAAGGUGGAAUUCUUUUGAAAAUAAACAAAUAAAAUGCUAAUAAUAAUAAUAAUAAAUAAAUAAAUCAAUAAAUGUGAAAAUUGGAAUUUUAGAAAUUGAGAGUGAAAUUCAGAAAUUGGAAUUUUGGGGGUUAUUUAGAGAUGAAAUUUUAAAUAAAUGAAUAAAUAAAUGAAUGGAAUAAUAAUAAUAACGAAAGUAGUAAUGAUUAGAUAAAUAACUGUGAAAAUUGGAAAUUGAAUUUAGAGAUUGGAAACUUGAAGAAUUAUUUAGAAAUGAAGUUUUAAACAAAUGAAUAAAUAAAUAAAUAACUAAAGUAAUAGUGAUAACGGAAAUAAAAGUGAUCAACGGAAUAAGUGAAUGAAUAAAUAAACGGAAUAAUGACAAUAAUGAAAAUAAUAAUGAUUAGAUAAAUAAUUGUUAAAACUAGAAAUUGAAUUUAAGAAUUAGAAAUUUGAAUAAUUAUUUAGAAAUGAAGUUUUAAAUAAAUGAAUAAGUGAAUAAAUAAAUAAACGGAAUAAUAGUAAUAACGAAAAUAAUAAUAAUUAGAUAAAUAAUUGUGAAAAUUGGAAUUGAGUUUAGAAAUUGGAAAUUUGAAGAAUUAUUUGGAGAAAGAAUUUUAAAUAAAUGAAUAAGUGAAUGAACAAAUAAACAGAAUGAUAGUAAUAACAGAAACAAUAAUAAUUGGAUAAGUAAUUACGAAAAUUGGAGUUUUAUUGGAAAUUAAAUUUGGAGAUCAGAAUUUUGUGGAAUUGUUGAAAAAUGGAUUUUUUUUUAAAAAAAGGAAUGAAUAAAUAAAGAAAUAAAAUAAUAAUAAUAAUAAUAAUAAUAAUAAUAAAUAAUAAUUAAAUAGACAAACGUGAAAAAUAGGAUUUUGCUGACCUAAAAUUCUAAGGAGGGAUAAGCGUAUGAAGAAUGAAGAUUAUUAGAAGAACUAAAAAUUGGAAAACUAUUUGCAAAAAGGGAUUGGGGGAUUAUUUUUAAAACCGAAAGAAGGAAUUUGGAGAGUGACACAUGGCUCAAAGGUGGCCAUGCAAAAGGUGGCCAUGCUAAAUGAUGUCAAAGAUAGAGAGAAUGAAACCCAAAGAUAGAAGGAUGCUAGCAGGAACGAGAGCUUCAUCCCAUCUCCUUUGCUCGUGCCAUAUGAGAAUCCAAACUUCCUUGAAAUUACAAGACCCAGACCCUCCAUCAUUCCUGCUGGUAAACAUAGGCAAGACUGCACUUGGCAUAAUAGUGUCUAUCCAAGUGGCUGGCCAUGAAGGUACCCACGCAACACUCAGAAUCAAGGCAAUCCCUUCUCAACCUUUGUGUAGGACCUCAAGCGCUACCAACUCUCCUAAAAGUAAUUGCUGUUAGGAAAGGCGUACACCCUAGCCUUAUAGUGCAUUCACCCAAGUGCCCACGACGAACACAAGGGAAGUUGAUGGACACGACCAACUCUCCGAUCUGCCAACAAGUUGAUGGACACGGCCAACUCUCCGAUUUGCCAACAAUCUCCCCCCCCCCCCCCCCCAGCGACACCCCUAGGGUUCGAACUCGUGACCUUGGCUCUAAUAUCACUUGUAGGACCUUAGGCGCUACCAACUCUCCUAAAAGCAAUUGCUGUUAGGAAAGACGCAUACCCUAGCCUUAUAGUGCAUUCACCCAAGCGCCCACGACGAACACAAGGGGAGUUGAUGGACACGGCCAACCCUCCGAUUUGCCAACAACAUGGGGUUGAUUACACAGAGGGUUUUGCACCGGUGGCAAGGAUGGAUACAGUUCGAAUGAUUAUUGCUCUUGCAGCUCAAAGGCAUUGGACAAUUUACCAACUAGAUGUGAAAUCAGCCUUUCUCCAUGGAGAGCUAAAUGAAGAGGUGUUUGUUGAGCAACCAAGAGGCUAUGAGCAAAAUGACAAUCUGCACAAGGUGUACAAACUGAAGAAAACCUUAUACGAACUCAAACAAGCUUCACGAGCUUGGUUUAGUCGUAUAGAAGCACACUUUGUGAAUGAAGGCUUUAAGAGGUGCCACAGUGAGCAUACUUGUUCGUUAAAACAAGAAAAGAAGGUAAAAUUUUAAUUUUGUGUUUUUAUGUUAAUGACCUCAUUUUUACUGGAAAUGAUGAAUCAAUGUUUUAUGAGUUCAAGAGCUCUAUGAUGCAUGAGUUUGAUAUGACUGAUUUGGGAAAGAUGAGGUAUUUUCUUAGAGUUGAAGUGUUAUAGAAGACUGAUGGCAUUUACACCAGUUAAAAGAAAUAUGCCUUAGAUGUGUUGAAAAGAUUUGGGAUGGAGGAGAGCAAUUCUGUCCAUAGUUCGAUUGUUACUAGUUUUAAAGUCUUCAAAGACAAAAAUGAAGUCAAGGUUGAUGCAACAUUCUUCAAGCAAAUGGUAGGGAGUCUCAUGUAUCUAAUAGCAACUCGGUCUGACUUGAUGUUUGUAGUGAGUUUAAUUAGUAGAUACAUGGGGCAGCUAAUUGAGCUUCACUUACAGACUGCAAAGAAGGUGUUAAGAUAUUUGAGAGGCACAACAAAUCUUGGGAUCUUCUACAAGAAGGGAGGGAAUGAUAAAUUGGUUGCCUUUAUUGAUAGUGACUAUGCCGGUGAUUUGGAGGAUAGGAAAAGCACAUCAGGGUAUGUAUUCAUGUUGAGUUCCGGAGCUGUGUCUUGGUCCUUUAGAAAGUAGCCUGUUGUUUCAUUCUCCACAACUGAAGCUGAAUUCAUAGCAUCAACAUCCUAUGCAUGUCAAGCUGUUUGGAUGAGGAGAAUCUUGGAGAAGCUUAGUCAUACACAAGGUAAUUGUACUACUAUGUUUUGUGACAAUAGUUCAACAAUUAAAUUAUCAAAGAAUCCAAUGAUGCAUGGACGAAGCAAACACAUAGAUGUUCGCUUUCAUUUUCUGCGUGAUCUUACUAAAAAAGGAGUAGUGGAAUUAGUUCAUUGUGGUACACAAGAUCAGAUUGCAAACGUGUUGAUUAAGCCUCUCAAACUUGACUUGUUUCUGAAGCUGAGAGAGUUGAUGGGUGUUUGUGAAGUUCCAAAUGUAAACUAAUUGUUGUUAGCAGUUAGUUUAAGGGAGAGUGUCAAGAUUUAAGUUUUCUGAUUGUUUAGUUUUUUCUGUUUUAAUAAUCCCUAUUAAGCAGGGUAGUUUUAUAAGCAGGGUAGUUUUCAGCUUUGACUUAUUCUCUACUCUUUACCACGUUAUUUGUUAGUGUAAAAUGUGGGCUGUUUUUCUUAUCAGUUAGUUAUUGUAAGGCUAUUUUAUUAGCUAAGGUUGUUGAUCAAUAGAUGUGGAUUUUUCCCAGUUUUGUUCCAUUCAGUUUUGAUUCACAACAUUCCGAUAUUAGAGCCAGGUUUAAAGCAGUAGCUUUUGUAAUUUGCAGCAGCAAGACAGAUGACAACUGAAGGGAAUUUUGUGCAACCUGCUAUUCCUCGAUUUGAUGGUCAUUAGGAUCAUUGGAGCAUGUUGAUGGAAAAUAUUUUAAAAUCUAAGGAGUAUUGGAGUCUUGUGGAGACUGGUUAUGUUGAGCCAAAAAGCGGAGCAGUAUUGAUAGAGGCGUAACAGAAGAAGCUUGAUGAGAUGAAGCUAACAGACUUGAAGGUGAAAAAUUAUUUGUUUCAAGCUAUCGAUCGAACGAUUCUAGAAACCAUCCUACAGAAGAACACAUCCAAACAGAUAUGGGAUUCCAUGAAGAAGAAGUAUUAGGGCAAUGAAAGGGUGAAACAAUCCAUUAUUCAAGCUCUUCGCAAAGAGUUUGAAACUCUUGAGAUGAAAUCUGGUGAAGGUGUCUUUGACUAUUUCUCAAGAGUGAUGUCUGUAGCUAAUAAGAUGAGAGUUCAUGGUAAACAAAUGAGAGAUGUUACAAUAGUAGAAAAAAUACUUCGAUCAUUGAGUGACAAAUUCAAUUAUAUUGUUUGUUCAAUUGAAGAGUCAAAGGACAGUGAUCUCCUAUCAAUUAAUGAAUUGCAAAGUUCCUUAAUUGUUCACUAGCAAAAGUUCCAUAGGCACAAAGGAGAAGAGCAAGCACUCUAGGUAAUUCAUGAAGAAAGUGUAGGAGGAAGAGGUCGUGGUCACGGAUCCUCUCGAGGAGGAGAUAGAGGUAGAGGACACUAAUCCUUCAACAAAGAUACUGUAGAAUGCUACAAAUGUCACUAACUUGGACACUUUCAAUAUGAGUGCCCAAGUUGGGACAAAAAGGCUAAUUUUGCUGAGCUUGGAGAAGAAGAAGCGAUGUUGUUGAUGUCCUAUGUUGAGAUAAAUGAAGCAAAAAAGGAGGAUGUUUGGUUUUUAGAUUCUGGUUGCAGUAAUCAUAUGUGUAGAGAUAAAAUUCUCUUCUGCGACUUCAAUGAACGCUUCAGGCAGAUAGUGAAGCUGGAAAACAACUAAAAAAUGAAAGUGAUGGGUAAGGGUAAUGUAAGGUUGAAAGUGAAAGGAUUCAAUCAUGUAGUCACUGAGGUUUUUUAUGUGCCUGAGUUGAAGAACAAUUUACUGAGCAUUGGGCAGCUGCAGGAGAAAGGUUUAGCAAUUCUUAUUCAACAUAACAAGUGUAAAAUCUAUCAUCCUGAGAAGGGCUGAUCAUUCAAGCAGAGAUGUCUGCCAAUAGAAUGUUUAUUUUGUUGGUUGCGCCACAACCAAAGAAACCAGCUUGCUUUCACACAACUACAAAAAACUUAUCACAUCUCUGGUAUUACCUGGACACUUGAGUCACAAAGGAUUAAGGACUCUUCAAAACAACAAAAUGGUGAAUGGACUACCACAAUUCGAAGCUUCAAAAACUGUAUGCACUAAUUGCAUGGUUGGAACGCAGUAGAGAAAUUCAAUUCCAAAGAAGAGCACUUGGAGAGCUUCUUCAAAACUUCAGCUCAUUCAUUCUGACAUAUGUGGCCCUAUCACACCGAUCUCACACAACAAAAAGAGGUAUCUAAUUAGCUUCAUUGAUGAUUUUAGUCGAAAGGCAUAGAUUUACUUCUUGAUUGAAAAAUCUGAAGCUUUAGUUAUCUUCAAACAAUAUAAAAGUUGUGUUGAGAAAGAAACAAGUUCCUAUAUUAAGUGUUUGCGUACUGAUCAAGAGGGUGAGUUGACUUCACAAGACUUUAAUGAAUUUUGUAAAGAAAAUGGCAUCAAGAGGCAGUUGACAACAACUUACACUCUGCAACAAAACGGAGUUGUAGAAAGGAAGAAUCGGACCAUCAUGAAUAUGGUUUGAAGUAUGCUUUUAGAGAAGAAGCUUCCAAAGACUUUUUGGCCAGAAGCUGUGAAUUGGACAGUGCAUAUUCUAAACCGAAGUCCUACUCUAACAGUGAAGAACAUGACUCCGGAUGAAGCUUGGAGUGGAGUCAAGCCUUCAGUUGAACAUUUUCGAGUGUUUGGUUGUAUCUCACAUGUUCAUGUACCUGAUAUCAAGAGAACCAAGUUGGAAGAUAAACGUUUUACUUGUGUGUUGUUGGGAGUUAGUGAAGAGUCUAAAGCUUAUAGGCUUUAUGAUCCAAUAGCCAAGAAAAUUGUAAUUAGCAGGGAUGUAGUUUUCGAAGAGGACAAGUCUUGGGAUUGGGAUAAGAGCUAUAAAGAACAGGUGAUAGCUAUGUUAGAAUGGGGAGAUAAUGAAGAAAAUGUUGCUGCAAAUAAUGAAGGUGAGGUCGAGAGUGAAGAUGGAAGUAGUGUAGAAGAGGUUGGGGUUGUUUCUCCAAAUCUGGUAGAUGAAGAGAGUUCACCUAGUUCCAAUGAAAGGAGAGUUAGAAGUCCACCAGUUUGGAUGAGAGAUUAUGAAACGGGUGAAGGUUUGUCUGAAGAAGAAGAUGAAACUCAUAUAGCAUUGUUUGCAUCUGGAGAUCCCUUUUAUUUUGAAGAAGCUGUGAAAAGUGCAAAGUCGAGAGCUGCUAUGGAUUCUAAAAUAAAAUCCAUAGAAAAGAAUGAUACUUGGGUGCUAAUCAACUUACCUGCAGGUGCAAAGAAGAUUGGUGUCAAGUGGAUUUACAAAACAAAGCUUAAUGAGCAUGGAGAGGUAGACAAGUUCAAGGCACGCCUUGUAGCAAAAGGCUAUAUGGCGAACAUAAGAGGAGUUGAUGGAUACGGCCAACCCUUCGAUCUUCCAACAAUCUCCCCCCUAGAGACACCCUUGGGGUUCGAACCCGUGACCUUGGCUCUGAUACCACUUGUAGGACAUCAGGUGCUACCAACUCUCCUAAAAGCAAUUGCUGUUAGGAAAGGUACAUACCCUAGCCUUUUAGUGCAUUCACCUAAGUGCCUACGACGAAUACAAUGGGAGUUGAUGGGCACGACCAACCCUCCGAUUUACCAACACUCUGGACCAUUCCGAAAUAAUCAACCUUGUAGAAUUGCAAAUCAACGAGCUUGACCUCAUCCAUUUUGUACCUGAUCCUCUCGGGCUUGGAAUGGGUCUUCUUCUCACACUUCUUAGAUCCUUCAGGUACCACAGGUGUCCAUGAAAACUGGCACGGGUUUAGGCACAUCGACAUAUCUAUGCCGCUUAGCCUUAUCAAAGUCCAACAUCCCGACUAUCUCUUCCUCACUUUCAAUCAAACCAUGUCCCUAUACCAUUUAGGAUUUCUGGGGUUGUACCUCAUCACAUGCCUGUAGAACAUAUACCCAACUUUGGCCAUGCCGAGAGGCAUUCCAGGGUGCCCAGCCUUGGCGGUUUACAUGGCGUCCACAAUCAGCAUCCUAACAUUAUCCAUGCAUUGAAUGUCAACCUAUUCUUGGAAGAAUUCAUUGUCUUCUUCAUCAUCUGUGUCCAAGUCUUGGUUGGAUAGCUGGGGUUGGAAUGAGAGAUGGGUUCAAUAGUGAUGAUAAUGGGUAUUGAAGGAUGAGACGGUGAAUGAGUUAAUGAGAGAAAGAGGGGUUCGAUGGUGGUGGGUAUGAGGAUAUAGAGAGGGAUGAGGGUGGUGUUGAGUCGAGUAUGGCAUGGGAUCUUAAUGGAGGCUUUGAGAAGGAAAUCGGGUGGAGGAUAGAGGGUAUGGUGGGGUUCGAAGGAUACAUGUGCAUGGUUCCCAUUCAUGUGGGUAGGAGCAAGGAUGAAAAUAUCGGUAAUCACGGAUAUAUCGGUACUUCGAUUUUACGGAUAUAUCGGAGAUAUAUUUUACGGAUAUUUUGGAAAAAAAUAUCGGUAAGCUUAAAAUUGUUAAAAACUCAUGAAAAUGUAAGGAAAACCUCAUAAUAAUAUAAUUAGAAGUAUAAUAGACAUUUUAAAGUUAUUUUAUUGAAAAUUUUGAUAUAUGUAUAACAUGAUUUAUCAUAUUUGAUAAUAAUAUCGUAUGCAUCGAUAAAAAUAUGAAUUUUAUAAGUGUACAUUUAUUAUUAAAUUACAUCUAAUAUUAUGAUAUUUGAUUAUAGUAUGUCUAAUUUAAAAAUAUAUAUUAAUAUUAAAAUUAUGAUCCAUUUAAUUCAAUUGUAUUAAACAAUAUAAAAUAAAUUAUGAUAUAUAUAUAUAAUUUAUUAAUAUUUAAUUAAUUAUUAAUGAUAUUAAAAACAUUAUGAAGAAAAUUAUAUAAUUUUUAUAUUUUUGGUAACCAAUUAAAAGAAAAUUUUGCAUUUAAUGAUAAAAUAAUUAUAAUUAAUUUGCUCUUUAAAAUAUUCUUUUAAUAUUUUCUUUAUAUAACGAGUUUAAGUAUAUAUAAGUUUAGUGCAUAAUAUAUAACAAGGGCAAGUUAGCCUAGAUGGUAAGUGGAGUGUACCCCAAACCUUUUGGUUUGGGGUUUGAAUCCCCUCAGAAGCAAAAAUGAUAUUUUCCUCCUUGGGUAGGAGAGUGUAGAGAGAGAAUGGGUUUAGUGGCGCGGCUAGGAGGGUGGCGAACAUGUUGGGGUAGGAAUGAAAGAUGGGAGAUGGGUACAUGGGUAUGAAUAAUGAGAGAUAUGAGAGUUGAGAGGAUCGACAGGGUGGUGGGUAAGUCGAGUCUUAAGAAUGGGUUUAAUGGUGUUGAUAAAUGGAGAGAUGAAAGUAGUCGUGGUGAUGAUCUGGAUGACGAAGCUGACAUCUCCCUUUAUUUUACCUUUUCUUCAUCUGUCACUUUCACCACUUCAUUAUCCUUCUCAGCAACAGACCUGCUCCCUCUGUCCCAGCCACCCAUUCUUUCCCAUCAGCUUUCUUUCUGCUUAGCUAUGUCUCAUCUGUCCUAAACAACUAUCUUUGAUUUUUGGCUCCGUUGUGCGUUCUGAAGAAGAAGAAAAGAAGAAGAAAAAAAGAAUAAAAUAAAAAGAAAACGACCAUGAGGGGGUCUACAACUAGAAAGUUACAAUUUAUUUGUGGCUGAUAUGUCUGUUUAUUCUCCCUAUUCCUCUUUGUUAUUUAUUUGUGCCCUUUUAUUAUAUUUAUAAUACUGUUGUUUAGAAACUUUUCAGUUUACUAAUAUUUCUGCAUUUAAAUCUGUAUUGCUUGUGUAUAAAUUAUUUUUAUAUGCUAUUUUAAAUUCAUUUCACUAAUUUUAACUCUUUAAUAUAAAAAUUAAAUAAUUUAAAAAUAUAUAAAUUUUUAUACUGAUUUUAAUUAUUUUUUAUUAUUAUUGAUACCAAAAUAAUUUGAGAACUAAAUAUAACCUAAGUUUUGAUGUUUACAUUAUCUCCACAAUUCAAAAGGGAGCCAAUUAUUGAAGUAGGAGGCUUUAGUAGCUUUUUUUUUUUUUUUUUUUUUUUUUUUUUUUAUCAUUAGCUAGUUCACCAUAGGCACUUCUUGAAAUUAGUUUGCUUUUAGUUAUAUGCCUUUUUUUUCCAAUAUAUAUCCUAUAUACUUAAAAGCUAAAUUUUGUUUUGAUCAUUAUAUGUAUUUGCAGGAGCACUUUCAAGAGUGCUAUAUGCAUUGCUAUUUUGCUCGACAUAAAAGUGACGUUCCUACCAGCAAUUGAUAAGUCUAAUCACAAGUUUGUUGCCAAAGACAUGUAUGAAGUGCGUUACAUAGAUUUGGAUGACCGUUGAAAAAUGACGGGAGUGUCUUAUUAUAUGAUCCAACACCUAGUUCAAAGAGAAGUCCAACUCCAUACUUUGGUCAUAUGAGAUGCAGGGGAAGUAGAAACUACCAUUGUAGGGGUAUUUUUGGGGUAAAACUGGUACUAAUGCAGUGAAAAUUCUUAUACUAACUAUAUAUCAUAUGCCAUUGAGCCAAGAUUCAGAUGCAAUUUAGAGGGCUUGUUUGAAGUUCGUUGAAGAAAGAUAAGUUCAAUUUUCUAUUGAUGAAAGAUCCAACCAUCGAGUGCCACUCGAGAAUUGGAGAAGUUGGAGGGUUGUUCCAAGUUGUAGCUAUUGGAAGUCGAAAGCGGAAAAAGUUUAUUUAGGAGGGAUAGAGGCUUUUGAAGAACAGAUGAAUAUGGUAUAUUCUAUUAAUGGAGGAUUAUUUUCUAAGCCCCGUAUCCUUUGUGGACUCCUUUGGGUGAUGAUAUGAUAUUUUUUAUUCUUAGAAAAUUUGAAAAAAGAUGCAAGGAAAAGAAAAUAGAGGAAAAGAAAAAGGAAAGAAAAUGUGAAAAAAAAUAAAAAAAUAGAUUUAAAUUUAAUAAAUUAUUUUUUAUAUACUAAUUUAAACUCAUUUCACAUACUUUUCCUCUUCUAAACAUUUUUUUCUUAAUAUAUUUGAUUUUCUUACAUAUAUAUUUUUUUUAAUGUAGAAAUCAAACAAAAGAAAAUCAUUUUUCUUAAUAUUUUUUUCUUUUUUCUUAAUACUUUCUAGGAACCAAACAUACCUUGGCAUUCUUCUUGGAAGGUGAGCUUGUAUUUUCUUUCCUAUCAAUUAGUUCUAUGUUUUCGUACUAUCUCCAUGUCAAUUGAUAUCAAUGCUCUGGGGUGCCAUGGCUAGUUGUAGUGUGCAACAUGUUGAAGAACAUCUUUCUUGAGAAUGAGAUCUCAUGAAGAAUAUUCAACAAGUGGAGAAACCAAGGGCUCGAGGAGUUAAGAAACCAAGUGUAGCAAUUGCAACAACAUUUAGAAUAGUUUAACCUUUCUAGCACCAGAUUUCAGGUGAAGAAAGUUCUAAGAAUGAAGAAGAAAAUAUUAACACCCCUUCUAUCAAACUCAAAACCCCCAAAUAAGAGAUGGUUCCUCUCCAACUUGUGUUAGAAGGAAUCACCACUUACAACAGGAAUUUGUAGUCAAAGUAAAUAUCCUAGAGUUCGGAAGAAGAAUGCAACUAGAUCAUGAGUUUUUGGAUUGGCCUGGCUUCACUAUGUUGAACAUGUAUUUGACUACAAGGUGGUGGCAAAUGAUCGCAAGGUAAAACUAAUUGCUAUGAAAUUAAAAAAAUAUGCCUUGUUGUGAAAGGAAAAUCUUAAAAGCCAAAUGAUUGAGAAAGAAAAAUAAGGAUUGUGACUGGGAAAAAAAAAAAGAAAAUAGAACUUUAAAGAAAAUAUUUGCCAUGAGAAGUUUCAUAACCUCAAACAAUAGUGAAAGAUUAUAUAAUAGAGUUUGAUCAUCUUAUAGUAAAAUGUGAUCUUGUUGUACAAGAAGAGGACACUAUGGCUCGUUAUCUUAGGGGGUUAAGACCAAAAGUUGGCAACAUGGUGCAAUUGUAACCUUAUUGGACUUAUGAUGUUUGUAGAUUUUCCCUUAAGAGUAGAAAAACAACAAAAGGAAGAAUGUAGGAAAAAUUGGUGAUUCUUAGUGCAAGAUAAUUCUUCUAACAAAGAGAAUGCUUCCAUUUCUAAAACUAGCUCAAUUGCAAAGUCCAUUCCUUGAAUCUUAUCAAAAGAUAAUAGUAAGGUUGGUUUUAAACAACAACCAUACUUCUCCAAUACCAAUUCUUAUCAAUGCUUCAAGUAUCAAGGGUACAAGCAUAUUGCUUCUAAACGCCCCAGUUGUAAGAUUAUCAUACUAAUUGAGGAAGAAAGUGACAAAGAGAGUGAAGGAGAUGUCUAAGGUAACUUUGGAACCCCAACAACAAAAGAAGUCAUACAUGCGGAUCAAGGAGAAUAUCUUGUAGUUCAAAGAAGUUUAAGGAGUUGUUUAUUUCGUUUACUUAAAUCUAAAUAGAACUUAAUUUAACUUAAUUUUAAAUGCAACUUAAUAGUAUUAAAUAUUGAGUUAUUUUUUUUUUCACAAUGAGAGUAGGGUGUGAGGGUUAGAAGUGUGAAUCAACUAACUUUUUAGAUUAACAAAAAAACCACAUAUUUUAGCUUUUUAUAUUCAAUUAAAAAUAAUGGUAAAAAUACUAGAAGUUAAAAAAAGAAACAACUAGUCUGAAAGUAAAUUGCAUUCAACAUUAAGUUAAAAGAAAAACACCAUCUAAGUGUUCUCCAAGAAGAAGAGACAAUUUGACUAUGAAAAAAAUAUUUUUUUACACUAAGUGCCCUUCCAAGGACAAGGUCUGUAAUGUCCUCAUUGAUAGAGGCAACUUUGAGAAUUUGGUGUCUAUUGAAAUGGUGGAGAAUUAGGCCAUAAAAGGGAAAUGACUAAAAAAAAAAAAAAGUAGCUAAAAGAAAGAAACAUGUUCUUCAAGAAAUGGCCUGUGUAAUGAUCCACACUCAUGACACUCCUGCUUACUUUUGGGCUGAGCCAUUGGCAUUGCUUGUUAUAGUGCCAAUAGUCUUUCAUAUGAAUUAUGGUAAGAAAAGAAGCCUAAUUUGAAAUAUUUCAAGAUCUUUGGCAGUAGAUGUUAUAUUCUCAAGGAUGGGAAAAAACUAGGCAAUUUUGAAUCUAAAUUUGAUUUAGGUAUUUUCCUAGGUUAUUCUACCAUAAGUAAAGGCUAUAAGGUUUAUAAUCUGAAUACCAAAAUUAUCUAGAAAUCAUAUAAUGUGCUUAUUGAUGACUAUGGGUCCAUUUGAGAAAAAAAUUAUUCAUAUAUAUUACCCUAGGGUUCUACUAGAGAUGUCCUUGAAGUCAUCCAUGAGCUAAUGGAUGAGACUAGAGAUAUUCCUAAGACCAUCCCUGAAAAGGUGAUUGAUCCCAAAAGUGACAUGAAAGUAGAUGAAGAUAUAGGAAAUAGUGAAGUGGGAAAUAGGAAUAAAUUGAAGGUACCUAAAAAUCACCUUAUCUUUAGUGUCAUUGAAACCAAGAAAGGUUCCAUGGUAAUAAGGAGACAAUCAAGACUUAAGAGAUAGGUUUCAUUUGCUACACCUCUGAAUUAGAACCUAAGAACAUUGAGAAAGCUCUCAAAUAUGAAUCUUAGGCUAUCAUACUAUAGGAAGAACUAAACUUGUUUGUUAGGAAUGAAGUAUGGUAUUUAGUAUCUAGGCCUAAAGAUAAACAUGUGAUAGGUACCAAAUGAAUUUUCAAGAACAAGCAAAAUGAAAAUGGGAUAAUAGUGAGGAACAAGACUAGACUAGUGGCAUAAGGAUAUUCCCAAAUUAAGGGAAUUGAUUAUGAGCAAACCUUUACUCUUGUAGCUAGGUUAGAGGCCAUUAGAAUUUUCUUAGUUAUAGCAUGCUCAUUAAGGAGAAAGUUAUACCAAAUGUAUGUAUUGCCUUUUUGAAUUAAAUCCUUAGGGAAGAAGUAUACAUAGAGCAACCCAAGGGCUUUAAAGAUCCUAAAUUUCUCAAUGAUGUGUAUAGACUAAAGAAAACCCUCCAUCGACUUAAGCGAGCUCUUAGAGCUUAGAAUAAGAGACUUACUACUUACCUCUUGAAAUAUGGUUUCGAGAGAGAGGAGUUUAUAGGACUUUUUUGUCCAUAAGACUAAUACUAGACUCUUAGUGGCACAAUUUAUGUUGAUGAUAUUGUUUUAGAGCAACUUUAAAUAAACAUGCCCUUGGUUUUACUAAGGAGAUGAAAAAGGAAUUUGAAAUGAGCAUGAUAGGUGAACUCAAUUUUUUCGUUGGCUUGCCAAUUAGAUAACUUAAGAGUGAUUCUUUCUUUCUUACUCUAAAUAUGCAAGGGAGUUAUUGAAAAAGUUUGGUCUUGAGUUGGCUAAGCACUUUAGGACACCUAUGAGCACUAUCAUAAAGCUUUACAAGGAUAAAUCUAAUAAAUAUAUUGAGCAAAAGCUUUGUAGGAGUAUGAUAUGAAGUCUUUUGUACUUCACUACAAGUCAUCCUAAUAUUUCUCUUAGUGUGGGGGUGUGUGCUAGAUACCGGGUUAAUCCUAAAGAGUUAUAUUUAAAAUUAGUAAAAAGAAUGAUCAAAUAUGUGAAUGAGACUUUAGAUUAUAGCUUGUGGUAUCCUUUUGACUUUACACUUGUUAUCAUCGAUUAUUUCGUUGUUGACUAGGCAAAAAAUGUAGAGGUUAGAAGAAGUACUUUAGGUGCUUGUUUCUUUAUUAGCGACUAUUUAGUUGCAUGGCUUAGUAAAAAACAAAACUUGGUAUCUUUCUCCAUUAUGGAAGCAAAGUAAUUGUAGUAGGAAGUUGUUAUACCCAUCUUAUUUGGAUGAAGAAAAUGUUCAGUGACUACGACAUUGAGCAAAACACCAUGAAUGUCAUGUGUGACAACAUGACUGCUAUAAACAUCUCUAAGAAUCUUUUCUUUCAUUUUCAAACUAAAUAUAUUGAAAUUCAACAUCAUUUUAUUAGGGAUUUUAUAGAAGACAAGGUAAUUUCCUUAGAGUUUAUACCCAUUGAGCAUUAAUUGGUUGAUAUCUUUACAAAGCCCUUAGAUUAUCUUAGGUUUGAGUUUCUAAGGAAAUCUUUGGGCAUCUACUUCAUUGAUUAAGAGCUUGAGAUGUGGGCCUAAGGAUUAUUUUUCUUUUCAAAAUGGUACAAUUUUUUAGAAUCCUAGGUCCAUUUCUAACCAAUCUUAGGUUUCAUAAGUUCUUUGUUAAUUUAUUUUUUUAGUAUCUACUUAAAGAUCUCAAUAUUAUGCUAUAUAAGAUUUGAUAACUUUCCUUAGAAUAUCAUAAAUCACUUUUUAAGCCAUUAAAACAAAGUAAAUAAAAACUUUGUAUGUUAGAAAACCUUAAAAUUUUCUAUGGCAAGUGAUUAAUAAGCCUUCUUUAGUUUAAUUAAUAUAGUAUAUUUUAAGUUCUUAAAAGUAAGGAACACCAUGCUUGUUUUUAAAUUCACAUAUCAUGUUUGACUUAGUCUAAAAUUGUUUCCCGAAGUGAUCUUUCACAUAUUGGCUAAAAUUAAUUUAAUAUUCUUUCCUAGAAAAUAAUGUCAUCACUUGCAAAAUUUGGAAACACCCCCACUUGGAAAAAGACAACCAUGGUUGAAAGUAUGAUUUCCAUACCAUAUAUAAUGCUUCAACCAUUCAAAAUAAAAUAAAAUAAAUAAAAAUGAGGAAAAUGAUGAGAUCUAAUUGAGAAGGAGAAAAAGUUAUGAUUUAUGUAGAUCAACAUUUAUUGUAUUAAAUAAAAAUUCGGCAAACUAUGUUCAAAUUGAUUAAAUGUUAAAUAAAUUACAUUUUGACAUGAUUGAAUGAUCUUCUAGAAUUCAAAAUUGAAAUAUGUAAGCUAGAUAUUAAGUUGAUAUAUACCCUUGACAAUCAAUAUUUUUGGUUUAUUUUAGUCAUAGUAUACCUUGUUUGGUAUUGAAAUAUUUUAAAGGUUGACUUAGUCAUUAAUGAUUUCCUUUGGAUGAUGUUGAUUCAUUCUUGAAAUCUUGGAUUUUAAUUGUAUAGCUAAUUACUUGAUUUAUUUUCGUUCUUGCUAAUAUCUCAAGUUUCUUUGGUUUCUUAGAACUUUAGGUUGUAAUUGUUGUCUCUCAUAUCUUUCAAGGCUUUUUUUUUAGUAUAAAGGGUUGUUCUUUUGGCCUAUUUUACAUUAAAAAAAAAUGAUGUUUUGAAAGCUUAAAGGAGUGUUGUUAUUGAGAUUAGCGCUUGAUGAUAGGAAUGGAGAGGUUAAGUGCUCCUUAUAGUACUCAAGCACUCUUAAGGGCUUCUAGCACCCUUCGAGAGCUCAAUGGCUCAAAUUUGCUUCCAACACCCUUCUAGCGCUCAAAGUGCUUAAGCUCUAAUCUAACUUAGAGUGCUCUUGUGCAUGCUAAAGGCUAUAAAUUGUAUUCCAACACCUUGUUGUGUUCAUUUCCUCUAUCCCCAAUCAUCUCCUACGCUCUUUCUUGGUGUCUACUUGUCUUUUAUCAUUUUUUUGGUUUGGUUUUCACUUGUUCCAACUUUGUAAGAGUGUUGUUGCUUUCUUCUUGAGCAUUUCUAAUGGUUCAUUUUUACCAAGUAGCUUCUAGAUUUUCAUGUGUCUUCAUUUUUCACUCUAGGCUAAGUGUGUUGAGUCAUAGGCAUCCUAGGGAGUCAUCUCCUACCCCUUUAUUCCUUGAGCCUACCAUGGCCAUCCCCUUGACCUUGAUGAUCUUUCAAUUGAGUGUUUCUUCUUUAUGGUGUGUUGAGAGUGAUACCGUGCUCAAUUCUUUGUUCAUAGGAUGGAGAUCAAGUGGGGUAUCACCUUGAGCACUUUUUGUGACACUGAUCUUCCAACUAUUUUCAACGAGAGAGGUUGGAAGCCUUUUACGUCACUUUUUAUAUACCUUUUUCAAGCUUAAUUACGGUCUCUACACUUGAAAUCAUUAAUCAAAGAAGGGAUACCCAAGAGCUUGAUGAUACAUUGUCCAUGCACAAAAUUCAAGGUUCAUAUUGGUGACUCAUGCACUCUUCAAAUAACUAAUCAUCAAGUACUCAAACAACUCCCCAACCAUUCCACAUGAAUCACUAGAAAAUUCCCUAGAAUUGGAUAAGUUAAACCUUCCUAAUUAACCAAAAGCAAGUUACUAAGUGAACCUUUUGUUAGUGCAAAAAUAUGUAAUGUCUCCUAUUGAUACUUUAUCAAAAUGGAUCAACCAUCAAGGUUUGUUAAUUAACCAACUCAUGUUUGUAAACUAAAAGAAAGUUUUAUAUGACGUUAAGUAGGUACCUCAUGUCUAAUAUCAUGAGUUGCAACAAAUCUUAGUCUCAAUAGGUUGUCACCUCUCACUCUGUCACAUCUUUAUUUAUUUUUCUCAAGAGCAUUCGACCCUUUAUUUGCUUGUCUAUGUGGAUGAUCUCUUCCUUAUAGGUAAGAAUGAUUAUUUGUUAACUCUAUACUCUUUUAAAGAUCUUGGUGUGUUAAUCUACUUCGACAGUGAAAAACCACCAAAAGUUCAAUAAGGAAACACCUGGGAGGAGGUGCAUGGGUGAUUUGAAAAAUUUUAAUAAAAAUUUAUAAAUUAUACCCAAUUAUUGUAACCCAAGAGAUAUAAGGGGUAUCCCAAUUAACUAAAUGGGUUAUAUCUAAAAUCUUUAGGUAUAUGAAAUCUGAUUUUUACCUUUUAGGGAUACCCUGCAAGAUAUUAGGGAUAAUCAUUUCAACUAAUACUAGGUCAUUCAAACAAAAUAUCAAAUAUAAAGAAAUAGACAAUAAGGCACAAGAUUUUUAUGUGGAAAACCCCCACACUAAAUAUGGAUAUAAAAAACUAUGAGGUCUAAGACUGCUAAUCUAAAUUCAUUAUUCGAAAUCAAAUUACACAAAGUUACCGGGUUGUUUUUCCUUAAAGACUUACUCUCUAGGGCCUAUAACUUGAUUCACGUCUGCAACGUAGAAACCUCCCGUUGAUUCCUAGUAGAUCCUUUAACCACUAUAGAGGAAUGAUGGUCUUCAAUCCAAGAUUCAAAGAACAAUCCUUGAAUGAGAGAUAGGGAAUGGUAUGACACUUAAGGCGCUCUCUAAUAGAUCCUUUAUAAGGAAUGAAAGGUCUCUAAAACAAUUUCAAUGUGAUAUCUGCACAAUCUGUCCAAUCUCCAUACCUUUUAGGGGUUAUUAAGGAGGUAUCUAUAUGUAAAAGCCCAAAGAGUUUCAAUUUUGGAAGGUUUUUGCUAUUGCAAAUCUUCACUAUAUGGAGAAAAAUAGCCAUAAGUGUUUACAAACACUACUCCUCACAAACCCAAAACCCAAUUACACCUAAGAGAAUAAUAUUUCUCUAACUCUUAAGAGAACCUCACUUUUUCACUCAAAAAGUUGUACCACUCUUUUUCUCUCAACUCUAGAAUGGGUAAAAUGUGGAAAAGAGACCUCUAUUUAUAGGCUUCUACCACCACCAAGUUUUCAUGUAGAUCACACGCUAUUGCCAAAUAUAUGAAUGACAAUAUAUGAUUCGGAUUUGAUUUACAGACUAUUGCCAAAUAUAAAUGGCAAUACAAGAUUCUAAUUUACCUAUGUACAUAACUUCCUCAUCCAGCAUUCUUUAUAUAUAUCAUACACACACAUAUAUGGUUGUGAUAUUUGUCGUGUAUAUUUCGUGUCCUAAAAAUAUUGACUUUCCGGCCAACAUCAUUCCUACAAGUAUUUUAAAAAUCCAAGUUAAAUUUUUGCUAACUCUUCAUAUAUCAAUGAAAAAUUGGUAGAUAUUGAUCAGAGCUAUUGAAGCAAGAGAUGGGUAAUGGAGAUCACCAAGAAUGGUUAGAUUGACCCAUGUACGGGUUGCCUAUUUAGAUAAAGGUGAGAUCAAAGUGUUUGCAUUUUCCAAACAAAUAUAUCAAAAUUGGAGUGAAUACAUGGUUUUGUAAAACUAUCAGUAUCAUAUAUUUUGAUGUUUUCCACCAUGAAUAUUUUUAGGGCCACAAACAUCUAUGCAAACUUUUUCAUUUUCAACUAUUCGUUUGCAAAUGCAUUUCCUAAAUACACAUUGUCCUUCUAUAUAUAUUUUUUUUUAAUAUUUUUUGGCAUAUCCUAGUUCUUAUUUUGGUGAUUCCAAGUAUUUCAUUUUUCAUUUCCUUUUUCAUGCUAUGAUCUAAUCCUUAGUUCAUUUUGUUGAUACUCUAUCUUUGAUGUCUGUUACUAAGAAUAAUUUCAGGACUAUGAGCAUCUAUGCCACCUUUACAUUCAUGUGGCCUUCUGAUCAGCUUCAAUUAGCUCAUUAUAGUAGGAUUGCACCUUUUCUCUUGUCAUUUAUCAAUAAUUUCAGGACUGUGUUUUUCCCUCCAGUUAGUCUUAUGUUAGAAUAAAAUGUUGGUACUCAAAAUAAUAAUCAUAAAAAUGGCAUAAGAGCAAAACCUAUAAAAUAAUGAAUUUUUCAACAUUAAUUGUUAUGAUAGGAAUGGAUCAUUUAUUUAAAAUUUUACUGUUUUGAGUGUUUCUUUGUCAUUAAGGACUUAUUUGACAACUAUUUUUUUAAACGACCUUCUGUUCUUCAAAACAAAAAACCUGGAAAAUAAUUACACAGACAUUUAGAAUGAUUGAAAAUAAAAUACUAUACAUAUAAAUUAAUUUUAAAAUAUAUUAAAAAUAAGUUAAAAACAUUUUAAAUUUUCAAACAAAUAUUUGUUUUACAAAACAUCAUAAGACAGUUUUCAAAACUAUUCUUAAAACUUUUUUUUAAAAUCUAUUUUGGAAAACAGUUACCAAACAUACCCUAAAUAACUAAAGUUAUUUAUUUAUUUAUUUAUUUAUUACCGUGGUUUAACAUGUAUCAAAUCAAAGCAAAAAGCAACUCAUAUGCCAUGCACCUCCCAUUAUCAUUAAAUCAAAUUUAAAAUAAUUAGAUGAGAUCUUAUGAAAUUAGUAAAGUAAAUAUGGGGUCCAUCUCCCACUGUCACUACAACCAAAGUGGAGGAUUUAAUAAUUAAAUGGCCAUCUUUGGCUCUUGGAAAACUCAUAAAAUGAAUUGGGUCCCACAUUUCGCCAGUAUUAUUGGGGUCUGAAAAGCCAAAAAGCAAGAUUGCAUCUUCUUUGCCUCAUAUUAUGCUUAGAAUCUAGACCUAUACCAUUUAAUAUUUAAUUACGUCAAUAUAAAACUUUAUGUUUGUAAAGGAAUAAUAACAAGAAAUAAAAUAAAAUAUAGAGAGGAGAUUAAAGAGAACUGGAGACAAUCGUUUUCUCCGCCAUGAUUUUAAUAGAUGGAUGAAGAAUCUUAAAAAUGCCUUUUAUAGGUUUAUAAAAGGAAUAUGAAUGUGUUAUAUUUAAUAUUGACCCUUAAGAUGAGCAAAGGAGAGAAUGUGGUGACAUCCUCAUUUGUUCUACUUACGAUACUCCAAUUUGGAUGUACCAUACAUUAAUAAAUAUAUAUAUCUUGUGGAAAUCUUGUUAGAAAAAAUUAAUAAAAAAAUAGAGUACAAUAUUUUGUAAUUCUUUAAAAUAAUCUUUAACUAUUAGGAUUUCCUUGUUAAAAAUCUUUCUAAUUCAAAUCCAUUGAGAUAAAACUUGGCUAAACAAAAAAUCUUACAAGUUAAAAAUCUUGUUGUAGAGAUCUUCAUGAUAUAGUAGUCGCCACAAAUAAAUAUAUAUCCUCUUUGGGAUUGACUUUAUGAGGAUUCGAAAAAUAAUUUGCAUUUGCACAUCUAAGUACUUUUGAUUUUAAAUUUCUUGAAUAAAAUGGACUCAUAUUAUUUAUCCCGCAAAGAUUACAUAAUACAUGUUUCAGAUCAUUCUAAUAUCUUUUAGUUAGAAUGAAGUUAUAUCUUAUUAGUAAAUUAACAUAAAAAACAAUAUCUAGUGUUUACAAGUUAAAAGAUAAAUAAGGGUACCAAUUACAUUGUGAUUAUAUAUUUUGGGACCAAGCAAAUCUUUGUCAUCUUCACAAGGACGAAAUGAUUUUUUUUCUUCAGCUCAAGUAAAUGGAAAACCAUUAGGGAGUUGAAUAGAAAAGUUGUCCAAAUGAGAGCACUUUGGGACUUUCUCUAUGUAUGUUAAUGGAAAAAUAUUAAACUUCAAACAUGCUCAAACAUGUCAAGCCAAAUUUUUUCCUUUCAAGUAUUUUCAUCUCAAAUUUCUUUUUCAACUAAGUCAUUGUUUUUGUAAGUUCUUCAAGAGUUCCAAUAAGAUUUAAGUCAUCAACAUAUACUAUAAUAAUUGUUAAUUUGAUUUUUGACUUAAUAAAUAUAUGAAUAGAUUGGACUAUUUACAUGUCCUUUUGAUAAGAUAUUCAUUAAGGAGGUUAUUGUACCACAUGCAUUCUGAUAACUUCAUUCUGUAUAAGGAUUCUUGUAGUUUACUUGAGUACAAACUGGGAAGUUCUAAGAUAAAUGCUUCAAGUAUUUUAAAUCUAUCAAAUAUUUUUACAUAUCUAUGCAUGUGGUUUGUUUUAUCUUUACGUUCUUACAUUAAAAUGUUAACAUUAAAAGCAUAAUCACUACACAAUUUUAGGGGUGCAACUUGGGUGGGAUAGCUCUAUCAAACUUGAACCUAACCCAACAUUUAGGCAAACUUGAACAAUCAUUUUCAAUCCUCAAGUUGAGUUUUGGUUAGAUUUUUUUCAACUUAAACUCAAUUUGGGUUAGUGUUUGGCUAAGGUUAGGACAACCGAGCCUAAUACAAACCCAAUUUAAUGUUUUUAUAAUAUUUAUAAUGUUUAUUAUCCUAUAUAAUAAUAAUAUUCAUUUUCUUUUUAGAUUUAAAAAAACUAUCAUAUUAGAUUACACCAUAUAUAUAUAUAUAUAUAUAUAUAUAUAUAUAUAUAUAUAUAUAUAUUUACUUUUUAGAAAGAUAAAUAAAUUUAUCUUUACUUUGUUGUUGCUAUCUUGGAAUUUUGUUUUAUUUACUAUUUAAUUAUUUUGUAAAAAUAUAUAUAAUUUUUUUUAAAAAAAAAAAAUACUAUAGAUGGAUGUUCAAUUAUGUAGCUCGAUUAAUUUGUACAACCUGGGUCUAACCUGACCAACCCGAAUUCAAUCCAUGUUUGGAAAAAAAUGAGGUUGAUUUCAACCAAGACGAGCCCAACCAAAUGAGACUUGCUAAGCAAGUUAUUAGAAAUUGCCCAAACUUCGUAGAGGCAAUGCUCUCUACUAAAAGCCAAGAGGCAGAUUUUGACAUAAAAAAUAUAGGCUAAGCAUGCACAAACGCAUAACAACAAACCACCAAGAACAUUCAAAAGCAGAAAUAGCAAAUGCAAUCUCCAAAAUCAGAAAGCUCAAACUCAAAGAAAUCUAAAUGUAGCAGUCGAAUAUUGCACUACAAUGAAGACCAUGAGAUAGAAAGCACUAACCUAAAAGGAGAAAGAUUGUCAAUGACAGUGUUGAAAGCCAAUGGUUAAGUCAAAAUCACCGGCGGCAAUGGCGAAACAUUGGACGUAAAACCUUUGAAGUGAAAAUAGGAAGAGAAGCCCAUAAAGCAACCCUAUAUGAGGCAUGGGCACCUGCAUCAAGGCAUUCAAGGGGACACGUUACCUGACAAGUCGCCCUAUUAUGACCCCUUGUGAUGCGCACAUUGGACGUGUGUCCCAUGGUGUCAAAAAUUUGAACCUAGUGGGCAACAAAAUUCUUUUCUUUGGCCUUUUGGAGCCUAGUCGGACCCAACUGCAAGAAUUAGGGGGCAUUGUGGGGUGCUCACUAUCGUCCAACAUAACACAUGUUGUGACACUCACCGCGCAACACCAUCCAUCUACCUUAUGGUACAGAGACAAACUAACUAGGUACCAUGCAUUUCUAUUUGACAAGCAUUUAAUGCAAUAGGCAUUAAGUGCAUUGAUUGACACAACCUUUACGAAGCUAAAAAAGCAAAAUUCAAGGCUCAUCAAGGCACAAUAACCAUUAUGAGUUGACAAUCAUUGGCAUUAAAGAUGGUAAAAGCAUAAUCAAAGGCACAAUUAAGGUACUAAGAAGACGUUACUCUUGAGCGAGGACAAAUAGCCAUUAUUUACCAGAAGAAAGGUGUGCUGCCAAUUUUCCUAAAAAAUCACUUGCUCAAGUAUUCCAUCUCUAACUUAAGCUUUGGAGGGGCAUCUUGGAAAACCCAUCCGAACAUUCCUUUAUGCAAAUCCAUUCAUCGUCUAGGUUAAGCGGAGACUAGCCAACACUAAAUUGUUGGCCAUGCACCAACACCUAGGUCAUUUUUUUGUGCUUUAGUACCUAGGUCGCAUUUUUUGUACCUUAAUAUCUUGGUUGCAUUUUUCAUCCCUUAGUACCUAGGUCAUAUUCUUUGAACUUAGGUCAUAUAACAAAUAAUAAUAAAAUAUUAUUUCUACAAAAUAUAAAAAAUGAGCUCUAAAUUAAUAUUUAAUUUUUUUUAUUAAUUUUUCAAAUUAAUAACUCAAAUUCUAAACUUAUAUUAUUUAUUUAGUAAUAUUAAGUGGUUUUUAUUUGAAAAAAAAGUUUUAUAACAUCAAAUGUGUUGGGUUUUGUGGAGCCUAGUUUUGUUUGAUCCGGUUUGACGACCCGACCCGAAUAAUAUUGCAUGGCUUUUUAAUGGGAGAUUUAUUGAGGCCUGUUGGGCCCGUUUAGCCCAUUGUGGAACCACCUUUUGUAAUUAGGGUUUUUUAGUAUGGUGGGGUUGCCGUGCUAUAUAUAUAUAGAGAAUAUUGUAGCCGCCAGGUUGUACUCUUUGUAUUCUUCCCUGAUAAUAGUGAUAUCCCUGCAACUCCGUGGACGUAGGCAAAUUGCCGAACCACGUAAAUACUGUCUUGUGCGUGUGAUUGUUUUUCUUUGGCGUGUGUUUUCUCUAAUUUUUAUUUCUCACGGGUUGGGAAUUCGGUUUAAUUCCCUACAACUGGUAUCAGAGCCUAGGGUUAGGUUUGAGUGAGAGCAAUGGCAGAGGAAGCAGGAAAGGCGUCUGGAAUAGAAAAGUUUGAUGGCACAGACUUUGCGUAUUGGAGGAUGCAGAUUGAAGAUUAUCUCUAUGGGAGGAAAUUGCAUCUGCCUCUUUUGGGGACAAAACCUGAGAGUAUGAAGGCUGAGGAAUGGGCGCUUCUUGACAGAUAGGUUUUAGGAGUUAUUAGGUUAACUCUGUCUAGGUCUGUUGCACACAAUGUUAUAAAGGAGAAGACCACAGCAGAUCUGAUAAAAGCUUUGUCCGGUAUGUAUGAAAAGCCGUCCGCAAACAAUAAGGUGCAUCUGAUGAAGAAAUUGUUCAAUUUGAAGAUGGCAGAGAAUGCAUCAGUAGCACAACAUCUGAAUGAAUUUAAUACAAUCACAAAUCAAUUGUCGUUUGUAGAAAUUGAUUUUGAUGAUGAGAUUCGUGCUCUGAUCGUCUUGGCUUCUUUGCCAAACAGUUGGGAGGCAAUGAGGAUGGCAGUAAGCAAUUCUACGGGAAAGGAAAAGCUUAAGUACAAUGAUAUACGAGAUUUAAUUCUGGCUGAGGAAAUUCGCCGAAGAGAUGCAGGUGAAACCUCAGGAUCUGGUUCUGCCCUAAACCUUGAGACAAGAGGUAGAGGUAAUAACAGAAAUUCAAAUCAGGGUAGAUCAAAUUCCAGAAAUUCUAAUCGGAACAAAAGCAAAUCUAGAUCAGGCCAACAAGUACAAUGCUGGAAUUGUGGGAAAACAGGUCACUUUAAAAGGCAAUGCAAAAGCCCUAAGAAGAAGAAUGAAGAUGAUUCUGCUAAUGCUGUAACAGAAGAGGUACAGGAUGCAUUACUUCUUGCAGUAAACAGUCCACUUGAUGAUUGGGUUUUGGAUUCAGGAGCUUCGUUUCAUACCACUCCACACCAAGAAAUCAUACAGAAUUAUGUUGCAGGUGAUUUUGGUAAGGUGUAUUUGGCUGAUGGUUCAGCCUUGGAUGUUGUGGGUUUGGGAGAUGUCCGGAUAUCGUUGCCCAAUGGGUCUGUUUGGUUACUGGAGAAGGUUCGACAUAUUCCUGACCUGAGGAGGAAUCUGAUUUCUGUUGGACAACUUGAUGAUGAAGGACAUGCAAUACUAUUUGUUGGUGGUACUUGGAAGGUUACAAAGGGAGUUAGGGUAUUGGCUCGUGGAAAGAAGACUGGCACUCUGUAUAUGACCUCAUGUCCAAGAGACACAAUUGCAGUUGCUGAUGCAAGUACUGAUACAAGCCUUUGGCACCGCAGACUUGGUCACAUGAGUGAGAAAGGGAUGAAGAUGUUGUUGUCAAAAGGAAAACUACCAGAAUUGAAGUCCAUUGAUUUUGACAUGUGUGAAAGUUGCAUCUUAGGAAAGCAAAAAAAGGUGAGCUUCUUGAAAACUGGCAGGACACCGAAGGCUGAAAAAUUGGAACUAGUACACACUGAUUUGUGGGGGCCUUCUCCGGUUGCAUCCCUAGGAGGUUCAAAGUACUACAUCACCUUUAUUGAUGACUCAAGUAGAAAGGUAUGGGUUUAUUUUCUGAAAAAUAAAUCUGAUGUAUUUGUAACUUUUAAGAAGUGGAAGGUCAUGGUUGAGACAGAAACAGGUUUGAAAGUAAAAUGUUUGAGGUCAGAUAAUGGAGGAGAGUACAUAGAUGCAGGAUUCAGUGAGUAUUGUGCUGCACAGGGAAUUAGGAUGGAGAAGACCAUUCCUGGGACACCACAGCAGAAUGGUGUGGCUGAACGCAUGAACAGAACUCUCAAUGAGCGUGCUAGAAGUAUGAGGUUGCAUGCUGGACUACCAAAAACUUUUUGGGCUGAUGCUGUUAGCACUGCAGCUUACCUGAUAAACCGAGGACCAUCAGUUCCCAUGGAGUUCAGACUUCCUGAGGAGGUUUGGAGCGGUAAAGAGGUGAAGUUUUCACAUUUAAAAGUUUUUGGUUGUAUUUCUUAUGUUCAUAUUGAUUUUGAUGCUCGUAGUAAACUUGAUGCAAAGUCAAAAAUAUGUUUUUUCAUUAGCUAUGGUGAUGAGAAAUUUGGCUAUAGGUUUUGGGAUGAACAAAACAGGAAAAUCAUCAGAAGUAGAAAUGUGAUAUUUAAUGAACAGGUUAUGUACAAAGACAGGUCAUCUGUAGUGUCAGAUGUUACAGAGAUAGAUCAAAAGAAAUCUGAGUUUGUCAACUUAGAUGAAUUGACUAAAAGUACUGUCCAAAAAGGGGGUGAAGAAGAUAAGGAGAAUGUAAAUUCACAGGUAGAUCUGAGUACACCUGUAGUUGAAGUUCGUAGAUCUUCUAGGAACACUAGACCUCCGCAGCGUUAUUCACCUGUUUUAAAUUAUCUCCUGUUGACUGAUGGUGGUGAGCCAGAGUGUUAUGAUGAAGCCUUGCAAGAUGAGAAUUCAAGCAAGUGGGAGUUAGCCAUGAAGGAUGAGAUGGAUUCCCUGUUGGGGAAUCAGACAUGGGAACUGACUGAAUUGCCAGUAGGAAAGAAGACUUUGCACAACAAGUGGGUAUACAGAAUAAAGAAUGAGCAUGAUGGUAGCAAACGUUACAAGGCCAGAUUAGUUGUUAAAGGGUUCCAGCAGAAGGAGGGCAUUGACUACACAGAGAUAUUUUCUCCAGUUGUGAAGAUGUCAACAAUUAGGCUUGUACUUGGAAUGGUGGCCGCAGAAAACUUACAUCUUGAGCAGUUAGAUGUGAAGACAGCAUUCCUUCAUGGUGACUUGGAGGAAGACCUUUACAUGAUUCAGCCAGAAGGGUUCAUUGUUCAGGGACAAGAGAAUCUAGUUUGCAAACUGAGAAAGAGCUUGUAUGGCCUUAAACAAGCUCCUAGACAGUGGUACAAGAAGUUUGACAAUUUUAUGCAUAGAAUUGGGUUCAAGAGAUGUGAAGCUGAUCACUGUUGCUAUUUUAAGUCCUUUGACAAUUCUUAUAUCAUAUUACUAUUGUAUGUGGAUGAUAUGCUUAUUGCAGGGUCUGACAUUGAGAAGAUUAAUAAUCUGAAGAAGCAAUUGUCCAAACAGUUUGCAAUGAAGGAUUUGGGAGCUGCAAAGCAAAUCCUUGGUAUGAGAAUCAUUAGAGACAAGGCUAAUGGUACAUUGAAGCUUUCACAGUCAGAGUAUGUGAAGAAAGUUCUCAGCAGGUUCAACAUGAAUGAAGCUAAACCAGUGAGCACACCCUUGGGUAGUCAUUUCAAACUAAGCAAAGAACAGUCACCAAAGACAGAAGAAGAAAGGGACCAUAUGAGCAAGGUGCCCUAUGCCUCAGCUAUUGGCAGCUUGAUGUAUGCUAUGGUGUGUACAAGGCCAGACAUUGCACAUACAGUGGGAGUUGUGAGCAGAUUCAUGAGUAGGCCUGGAAAGCAGCAUUGGGAGGCAGUCAAGUGGAUUUUAAGAUAUCUGAAGGGUUCAUUAGAUACAUGUCUUUGCUUCACAGGUGCAAGUUUAAAAUUGCAGGGUUAUGUAGAUGCUGAUUUUGCUGGUGAUAUUGAUAGUAGAAAGAGUACUACUGGGUUUGUUUUUACUCUAGGUGGUACAGCUAUAUCAUGGGCUUCAAAUCUACAGAAGAUUGUUACUUUGUCUACCACAGAAGCUGAGUAUGUUGCAGCAACUGAAGCUGGAAAGGAGAUGAUUUGGCUACAUGGUUUCUUAGAUGAAUUAGGUAAGAAGCAGGAGAUGGGCAUUCUACACAGUGACAGUCAGAGUGCAAUUUUUCUUGCCAAAAAUUCGGCUUUUCAUUCAAAGUCGAAACAUAUACAAACAAAAUACCACUUUAUCCGUUAUCUUGUUGAGGAUAAACUGGUAAUACUUGAGAAGAUUUGUGGAUCUAAGAACCCUGCAAACAUGUUGACUAAGGGUGUCACUAUUGAGAAGUUGAAGCUGUGCGCGGCUUCAAUUGGUCUUCUAGCUUGAGGACAGGAGGAUGAGUUGUAGGGAUGAUGGAUUGUUUCUUGGAGGAUAGCGGUUUGAUGUUGGUGAUUGGACUAGUCUCCAAGUGGGAGAUUUGUUGGGUUUUGUGGAGCCUAGUUUUGUUUGAUCCGGUUUGACGACCCGACCCGAAUAAUAUUGCAUGGCUUUUUAAUGGGAGAUUUAUUGAGGCCUGUUGGGCCCAUUUAGCCCAUUGUGGAACCACCUUUUGUAAUUAGGGUUUUUUAGUAUGGUGGGGUUGCCGUGCUAUAUAUAUAUAGAGAAUAUUGUAGCCGCCAGGUUGUACUCUUUGUAUUCUUCCCUGAUAAUAGUGAUAUCCCUGCAACUCCGUGGACGUAGGCAAAUUGCCGAACCACGUAAAUACUGUCUUGUGCGUGUGAUUGUUUUUCUUUGGCGUGUGUUUUCUCUAAUUUUUAUUUCUCACGGGUUGGGAAUUCGGUUUAAUUCCCUACAAAAUGUUAUAUCAAAUUUGUUUGCAUUAUGAUAACAUUAUUUAUGUCAUCAUCAAUCUGGAUCAAUCAAGCUUUUUUUUCCCCCUAUAUUUAUACAACUCUUUUUCUAACUCAUUGGAUGUUCCUUUAUCAAUAUAUUUUUUAAUAUCUUUAUAUAAUUUCUUAUUUUAUAUAAUAUUUCUUGAAUUUUGUUUUUUAAAUUUAUAUAAGUUUUGAUUUUUUUUUUCAAAUUUUUGUUCCAUUUUUAUAGUAUUUCUCAAAAACUUUAUAAAAUCCAAUAAUCUCCCAUAUUUUAAUCCUUACUUAAAUCAACCUACUUUCUUUUUUCUUUUUUCUUUUUUUUUUCUCUUUUAAAUUUUCUUAUGAUUUUCUAUAAAAUGAAAUAAAAUAAACGAAAAAGGAAUAAUAGAAAUGAAAAUGAAAAUAACAAUAAACAAAUAAUUUUUUUUAAAAUAAUAAUGAAAAGAUAAAAGAAUUAAUUAGUUAAAAGAGAUGAAUUAAUCUUCAUAUUUGUAAAUUUAAUUUCUUCCAUGUUUUUGUUUGAAGUGUAAUCCAUUAUUGACAUAAAUGUCCUUAACUAUUUCAAGUAUUUACAUGCAUGUUUUAAAAGAAUUGGUUAUUUUUACAAAGAAAAAAUGAAGGCAUUUUGUCAAAAUAAGGCUAAAAAAGAUAAAGGAUUAGAUUUUUUAAAUUGGGUAUUCAAUGAACUUUUUAAUCAAAUAAUCCAAUUAAUAAAAUUGGGUUUAUAUUAUUCAAUGAACAAUAUCAAGCAUAUAUAAAAUGUUUGAACCCAAUGAAAAAUUAUUUAGCUUUCAAUAACUUUUUUCUUACUUUGACAUUAUUCUCUUUCAAAAUAUAUCAAGAAAAGUUAUCAUAUAAAUUUUACAUAAAGAAUUAUUAUCAUAUAACGAGCAAUAUUUGUGAAGUUUGUAUUAAUCUUCAAAACCACGUAUGCUUUUCGUGAAUGAUUUUUAAAAAUGGUGUCCAUUUGUUCAAAUAAAAAAUUUAGUAACAAAUUUUAACUUUCUUUCAAAGUUGAUUUUAGAUUGAAUACAAUUUUCAUAAUAUAGAUAUGCAUUAAAUGCAUUUUUAAUGUUAACUGGCAUUAGGAGAGUAUGGAUAUCCUAAGAAAAAUAAUAACAUUUCCACCAAUUUUGAUGUCAAGUUCAUACCAAAUUAAUUUUCAAAAUACAUAAAAUGAGUAUAAAACUUUAUCUAGUAUCAUAUACUUAACAUGACAACUUUCUUUUAAAUUUCAAAGACUAGAAUAAGGCUAUGUUUGUGGUGAUAACAUGUUGAAUAUUCCAAUGUGGUAAAUUCGCAAGUUAGGAUAUUGGAAGAUACCAAAAAUUUUCUAAGGAAGAUAAUUUAAUUAAUUUUUUUUAAAGCAAUUAUUUGAAAAAAUUAUUCAUCAUUUUCAAACCAUGGAGUAUGAGAAAAUAUAAUUUUAAACUUUUUUUUUUUUACCAAUAAAUUAGAAAAUUUAAAAAAUUUCUUUAAACCAACCAAUUAGUAAGUUUUAUGAUCAAACGGGUUUACUAAACCAUUAAAUGAGGUACUUAGAAAAUUUAUUUAAUUUUUCACAUGAUUAAAUCAGCUAGAAGAUAGAAGCUUAAUAACCCUUUAAGUUAGUCUGGAAUUAAUAUGGUCAAAAGAGCUUAAUUGACCAAACCGUUAUUUAAAAGGAAAAAAAAUAAAAUUGGGAACUAAAGUGGUCAUUUGAUUACACUUCUACUUUUUAUUUUUAAAGUGAGAAGCUUGUAUGUAAAAGUAAAAUAUUUUAUAUCAAAAGUAUAUAUUUAUUUUAUAUCUUUAAAAGUUAUUUUCAAACAUUUAAAAUUUGAAAUAGUAAAUAAGUUUUUUAUUUCAAAUUUUUUAAAUUUGAGAUAUUAAAUAAGUUUAUGAUACCUUAAUUUUUUAAAUAAUUUUUAAUAUCUUUAAUGUAAGAUUUUACUACUAUUUUCUGAUUUUAUAAACACAAACAAGAAAUGUAUCCAAAAUAGAUCCUAAGUUGCACAAUUAAAUAAUGUGAAUUGAUUUUAUAUUGAUGAUUAUUUCAAUUAAAUCAAAAUUUUGGUGGUUGAGAAUAGCAACCAUGGCAAUUGUUACAAUAAUCAAAUAUUAAGAAGAAGAAAAAAUUGAAACCGAUUACUUAACAAGGAAAAAUAAUUAAUAAUUAAGAAAAUAAUAGUUAGUUCGAUUUCAAGAAGGACAAAUUGUCAUUAUAAUAAUUAUCUUUUUAAUAAUAUUUAUAUAAAAUGUUUCUAUAUGUAAUUAUUUUUUGUUUUAAGGAUGCAAUAAUUAUCAAUAGAUACUUGUACUUUUCAAAUUUGUAUUAGUAAUUAUAGUUGCCAUAAUUUGUUAAAAUUUUGUUUGCUUUUUUUUUUUUGUUGGAAAUCUUAAUGGACUUUAAUUUAACUAUGUAUUAAUAUAGUUGAAUGUCAUUAAAUACUUAAAGGUUGUGUUGUUUGUUUUAAAUCAUGUCUCAAUGCUCAAUAUGGAUUUUAUAUUUUAAAAAAUCCAAAAAAUUAAUUAUUAUAUUUCUUACUAUUUUAAUUUGAAAAAAAAUGGCAUUUAACAUUUUUCCAAAUAUCCUAAAUUAUUAAAAUUUAUUACCAAACUAAAACUUUAUCAUGAUUAAUUAUGUAUUUAGUUAGGAAAUUGAUAAUUGGAUAAUAAUGAGGUUCUUCAUUAUGCUUGGUUGGUAAGAAAAUGUUAGAAAUUUUUUCAAAUUAGGACUUAUUUUUUAUGUAUUGCAUCUUUAAAUUUAUGGAUUUGUAAUUGAAAUAUGUAUAUCAAGUUUAAUUCAUUAAUUUUUAGAUUUUUAAUUUAAGAAAGACAAUCAAAUCCUAACUUAAGGUAAAAUUUAUCCAAAUUAAAAAAAAAUGAAUUUGGGUUUAUUUCAUAUGAAAAAAAUGGAUUUAAGUAUCACAACAAAAUUAAAUAUUUAAAAAAAAGAUGUAAGAAAAAAAAAAAUUCUUCGAUUAAGAUGAAAAUUUAAAAUAAAAUAAAAUUUUCUUUUUUCCAUUAAAAUGAAAUUAGCUUAACAAGUGAUAAGUUAACAAAAAUUAACUUUAAAAAACAAAUGAACUAUUUGAAAGGACAAUACUCAUCGUUGGAUAUAAGGAUAAUGUGAAAAAUAAUUAUAUACAUUAAUUUGCUUUUUUACAUUACAAAUGUAGUCUUACUUUUCUUCUUUUGAGUUAAAUAAAAACCCCAACUCAUCUAAUCUCAACAGAAGUUGCCUUUAUUGUCGAUUUGAGUAAAAAAACUUCCCCUCAAAAUGCCUUUAUUUCUGUUUUCAAUAUAACACCACAAGAUCACUAAGAUAAGUUAUAAUUAUGCAAACAUAAUAUCUAACUUUCUAAACUUAAGGGGAAUAAAAUGGUUUACAAGAUUUGACAACUAAUGUUCCUUAUCAUGCCAUUCAUAGAUGAUGUUUCCAUGAAUAAUACCAAUCAUGUCACAAAGAAGGUGAUGUUGUUGCCUAAACAAGAGCUUUGUUAGUGCAUUUGCACGUUGAUCAGAGGUGGAGACAUGAGAGACAUGAACUUUACCACUUUGAACUUUAUCACAAACAAAGUGAAAAUUUAUUUUGAUAUGCUUCAUGUGGGAAUGAAAAAUCAAAUUGGCACAAUGAUAAGUUAUACACACUUUGUCACAAUAAAUGAUAAGUUGUUGGGUCAAUGAAACACCAAGUUCAUGAGUAAGUAUAAGACCCAAAUAGCUUUAGAGGUUAUGGAUGCAGCGACUUGAUAUUUGGUUUUAGUAGACGAGCGUGCAAUAGAACGUUGCUUUUUAAAACUUUAGGAAAUGACAUUAUGAUUGAGAAACAAAAUGUAAGCACUAGUAGAAGUCGUAUUAUCAAUGUUACUGACCAAGUCCGCAAUAGAAAAGGCAUGAAAGGAGAGAGAGCAACCAGGAUGAAAGGAAAGACCAAGAUGAGGAGUACCACGUAAAUACUAAAAUAGUUACUUCACAACAAUUUAAUGGGUCAUUAUCAAAUGUUGCAUGAACUCAGACAAUUUGUUGACAACAAAGACAAUGCCAAGUCUUUUGAGUAGUAGGUGUUGAAGACCACCCACAAUGGAGCCAUAGAUAGUGACAUAAGUGAGAGACAGUACAUGCAUAAGAGCAAGAGCAAGAGAAAGAGACAUAGCCAUGUUAGCUUUAGCAAAAAGGUCCAUAAUACAUUUGUGUUAAGACAACAACAAUCCUUUAAGAGUAGAAAGUACCUCAAACACUAAUGAAGUAUGUUAAUGCACUAAGAUCUUUAAGAAAGAAUAUAUGAGAGAGUUAAUGAAUAAAAUUGGUAAGAAGAGGUUCAUUGUUACCUAUAAGGAUGGGAUUAUGCACAUAGACAACUAGAUAGAGGUCAAAUGCUCUCGAUGGAAAAUAAAUAGAGAUGUGUUAGAAUGGGAGAUGACAAAACCUAUUGAGAGCAAGAAUUGUUUUAACUUAUGAUAUCAAGUACGAAGUGCCUACUUAAAGCCAUAUAAAACUCUCUUUUAGUUGAAAAACAUAAGUUGAGAAAUUUUGAUCAACAAACCUUGAUGGUUGAGUCAUGUAGACAUCUUUAGACAAGUAGCCAUGCAUGAAUGCAUUAUUGAUGUUAAGUUAGCAAAAAGGUCAUCCACAAGAAACAACAAUGCCUAGAAUAAAAUGAAUCAUAGUGGUUUCUUGAAAAGAUUGAAUGUAUUUCACAAUAAGACUAAAGGUAUUUGACAACAAGACUAAAGCUAUCAUGGUAGUUAAUAUCGGGUCAUUGAGUAAAGUCUUUAACAACAUGACAAGAUUAAUUUGUAACAUUCAAUAGCACUAGUAGGAGCACACUUGAUUUGAAACAUCCAUUUGUAACCAACAAGAUUUUGGGAAGAAUAAGGUGGCAUCAAAUCACAUCUGUUAUUUUAGAGGAGAGCAUCAAACUCUUAUGACAUAGCAUGGUACCAUUUUAGGUGUUUAAGAUCCUAUAUUACAGAAGUAGGUUUUAAGGGUGGGGUGAGAGGUUUGAAUGGUAGUGAGGAAGAGUUUAUGGAUUAGUUUAUAAAUAUGUUUUUGGCAUGUGUGAUCAUGAGGGUGGUGAUUCCGUAGGCUAUAGUGAGGAGAGCGUUCAUGGAAGAGUGGAAUGGCUAAGUAAAAAAAGGAGGAUGGCAUGAGUGGGGUUGUGUGAGGUUUCAUGAGAGUGUUGUUUAAUUGGAUUUACUUGAGUAUUUGAAUGAAUGGCAUAGUGGGAGAGUUUGAUGUAAGUGGGAUGGCGGGAAAGGUUCAUAAUAGUAGGGUUGCAUGGGAGUUUGAUUUAAAUGUUUUUGAAUGAGAGUUUGAACUUAGUGGGAGUAGAUAAUAGUUUGGUAUAAAUGGGGUAAUAAGAUGUUGGAUCAGUUUUAUAUGAGUUUGAUAAGAGAGUUUGAUGGUAAUGAGGUGGGUUGUAUGGGAGGUUACUUGUAGUGUAAGUACAUGGUGUUGAAGAAAACAAGUACGAUUGAAGUUAUUUGGUGAAGAAGCAAUAUAUUAUUCCAAUCCCUUAAGCAACAUAUAAUCAUAUAUUUAUUUACUCAUUUAAUUUUUGAAAUUAAUUGCUUAGAUCUAUUCAUCUAAGAAAAUUUUGAAUUUCCCUAUUUUCAUCAGUGGAACAACCUAUAUUCAUUAUUUCAAUAUUUUGACCUAAAAAUUUUAAAUAGAUUAACCCUACCCUAAAUCAAAAUCAUUCAAAGAAUUAUUUUUUUCUUUUUUUUUUUCAUCUAAAAACUUAAGAUUUCCUAAUUUCCAACAAUAAAUCAACCCAUAAACUUAAAUUUCCAAUAUUUUGAUAUUAAAAAGAAUUAAAUAAACUAACCCUAAUCUAAAUUGAAUUUUUUUUGAAAGAAUAUGUAGCGUGUUCAUAACUAACUAAUGAAUAUAAUAUUUUAAUUUACGGUUAGAAUCUUACAUGAAAAAAAUUUGAACUUCAAACUCUGAACCUCUAAACCUUCAACCCUACGAUCUCCAAUUCUCUAAUUUUGGUUAAUAGAGUUUUCUGAAUAAAGAAGGCAAGAGGAAAAUCUAAUUUAUACCUAGGAUUAUUAAUUGUAAAAGGACUUUUUUACCUUUAAUGAGUUUAAUUAAUUAAUUAAUUACUUUGCAAUUUAUUAUUUUGCCUCUCGAGUUAAUUUUGGGGUAUUACAUCCUCCCUUCUUUAACAAAAGUUUAGUCCUCCAAACUUGACAUACCUGGGUCUUGAAAAAGAUGUGGGUGUUUUUCUCUCAGCUCCUCUUCUAAUUCCCAAGUGGCUUCUUGAAUACUUUGAUUGCUCCAUUGGAUCUUUACUAACUUGACAACAGUAUGACGUAGUACCUUGUCCAUCACAUCCACAAUCUGAAUUGAUACUUCUUCAUGAGUCAAGUCUUUAGAAAUCUGAAUAGGUUUCAACUCCAUAAUAUGAGAGGGAUCAAAAACAUAUUUCAUCAAAGUUGAAACGUGGAAUACAUUAUGAAUCUUAGACAGGCUUGGGGGCAAGGCCACUUUAUAUGCCAAAGUGCCUACUCUUUCUAAUAUUUCGAAUGGACCCACAAAUCGAGGAUUGAGCUUUCCCUUUCUCGCAAACCUCAUCAUAGAUUUCAUAUGCGAAACUUUUAAGAAAACAUGAUCACCUACCUCAAACUCCAAAUCUCGCCUGUUAUUGUCAGCAUAACUUUUCUAUCUACUUUGAGCUGCUCUUAAUAUCUCUUUAAUUAAGGCAACUUUUUCAACAUUCAACUGCACAAGUUUAGGCCUUAGAAGUUUCCUUUCUCCAAUGUCAUCUCAACAAAUAGGAGAUCGACAUUUCCUACCAAUAGCCCCUCAAAAGGUACCAUCCCAAUGCUAGCUUGAAAGCUAUUAUUAUAGGCAAACUCUACUCAAGAUAAGUAAUCAUCCCAAUUACCUUUUAGGCCUAAAGUACAAGCUCUUAACAAAUCUUCCAAAACUUGAAUUAUCCUUUCUGAUUGACCAUCAAUUUGAGGAUGGAAAGCAGUAUUGAAACUUAACUUAGUACCUAAAACUUUCUGUAGACUAUGCCAAAAUCUAUAAGUAAAACGAGGAUCUUUAUCAGAUACUAUAGUAAUAGGUACACCAUGCAUUAUUACAAUCUCCUUGACAUAUAAAGAAGCUAGACGGUCCAUAAAGAAGUUAACUUUCGUAAAUAGAAAGUGAGAAGACUUUGUCAAUCGAUCAACAAUCACCCAAAUAGCAUUAUUGCCCCAUAAGGUCCUUGGUAACCCUAUCACAAAAUCCAUAGUAAUAAGUUCCCACUUCCACUCAAGAAUAGAAAGUGGUUUGCAAAAACUCUACCGGUCGUUGAUGCUUAGCUUUCACUUGUUGACACACCAAACAUUAAGCCGCAAAUUGUGCAAUAUCUCGCUUCAUACCUUACCACCAAUAAUUUUGUCUCAAAUCUUUGUCUCUCUUGGGUGGAUCACAAGCCUAGAAUAAUGAGCUUCCUCCAAAAGCUCAUUCCUUAAGUCUCCAUCAUUUGAGACACAAAGUCUAGUCCUAAACCUCAAAAUCCCAUCAUUUGAUAAAACAAAGUCAGGCUUAUUGCUUUUUUUAACCUCCAUCAUAAGUUGCACUAAUUUCAAAUCGUUCUUUUAUAGGUCCUUAAUUCUCCCAACUAAGUCUGGUUGCACUCUAAAAUUCACCACAAGUGCUCAUGAGUCCAAAACUCUAAUAUGGACAUGUAAACUCCCCAAAUCCUUUAUUAAUUGCCUCUGACAACCUUUAAUAGCAGCUAGAGAACCAAAUGAUUUCCUACUUAAGGCAUCAGCUACAACAUUCACCUUCCCUAGAUGAUACUGAAAAUACAAUCAUAGUCCUUGAGUAGUUUUAUCCAUCUUCUCUGUCUCAUGUUCAAUAUUCCUUUUGGGAAAACAAAUACUUCAAGCUCUUAUGAUUGGUGAAUAUUUCACAAGUUUCACCAAUAAGAAAAUGUCUCCAAAUCAUAAGUGCAAAAAUCACUGCAACUAACUCCAGAUCAUGAGUGGGGUAAUUUCACUCAUAAGACAUCAACUGUCGAGAAGCAUAAGCUACAACUUUUCCAUGUUGCAUAAGGACACAACCCAAACCCUAAUGAGAGGCAUCACUAGAAACUAAAAUCCUCCUGAACCUAAAGAGAUAGUCAAAAUAAGAGUUGUCACUAAUCUAUUCUUUAACUCCUGAAAGCUAUGUUCAUAGUCAUCAAACCACUCAAACUUAACCCUUUUUUUUGUGUCAACUUGGUCAAAGGUAGGGCGAUCUUAGAGAACCCCUCAAUAAACCAUCUAUAGUAACCAACAAGUCCCAAGAAACUUUGGAUCUCAAUCACAAUACUAGAUCUCUUCUAAAUUGCUAUAACAUAUACCUUUCCAGGGUCAAUUGAGAUGCCAUCCUUAGUUGCCACAUGCCCAAGAAAAGAGACUUUAUCUAACCAAAACUCACAUUUCUUCAAUUUAGCAUACAACUGCUUAUCUCGUAGAGGCUGCAAUACAAUACUCAAAUGGCACUCAUGCUCUUAUCCACUCCUUAAGUACACCAAAAUAUCAUCUAUAAAAACCACCACAAGCUGAUCUAGAUAGGGUUUGAAUACCCUAUUAAUUAAAUGCAUAAAAGUAGCAGGUGCAUUAGUCAAACCAAAUACUCAUAUUGCCCAUAUCUAGUUUGAAAAGCAGUUUUGGGUACAUCCUCACCUCUGAUCCUCGACUGAUGAUAUCUAGACCGAAGAUCGAUCAUAUAGAAUACACAAGCACCCUGAAGUUGAUCAAACAAAUCGUCAAUUCGAGGAAGAGGAUACUUAUUCCUCAUAGUCACUUUAUUCAACUCUCUAUAAUCAAUGCAAAGUCUUAUUGAUCCAUCAUUCUUCUUCACAAGUAAAACAGGAGUUCCCCAAAGUGAAACACUAGGUCUAAUAAAACCCUUAUCUAACAACUCCUGAAGUUGAGCCUUCAACUCCUUAAGCUCCACAAGUGCCAUCUUGUAUGGAGUCUUAGAGAUAGGAGCUAUUCUUGGUACCAAAUCAAUGGCAAACUCCACCUCUCUUUUUUAUGGCAAGCCAGGCAAAUCAAUUGGAAAAACAUUAGGAAAAUCCCUUACAAAGGGUAUGUCCUCCAACUUUAAAUCAUUUUCACCACUCAUCACAUAAGCCAAAAAGCCUUGACGAACCCUUCCUAAGCAAAGAACUAGUUCGUAAGGCUGAGAUCAUAUGUAGUGGUCUAUUUGCAUACUUCUCCUUAAAACUGAACUCAAGCUAACUAGGGAUGUCAAAUAUCACCCUUUUCCCAAAACAAUCAAUAGAAACAUGAUAAGAAGCUAACCAAUCCAUCCCUAAAAUUACAUUAAAAUCCUGAAGGUUAAGGAGUACUAAGUCAACUAGCAUUUCCUUAUAACCAAUCAUCACAAGACAACCUCUAAGCAUUUUACUAGUCACAACAGAAUCUCCCAUAGGAGUAGCAACAAUCAAAUCAAAGUCCAUGCUAACAAUAGGCAUACCCAACAAACCAACUGAAGAUACUAAAACAAAAGAGUAUGUUGAGCCUGGAUCAAUUAGGGCUUUAGCAAAUAAAGUGUGGAUUCAAAUAGUACCUAUCACCAUAUUAGAAGUAGCCUGAGCAUCUUGAUGAGUCAUAGCAAACACCCGCCCUUGGGCCCUAGGCUUCUAUUUAUCUUAUUUAUUUUCCUCCUCAGGCUUCAUAAUGAUAAUCAUUUUAUUCUCUGGACAAUCCCGAAUCAUGUGUCAUUACUUCCCACAACCAAAGUAAGCUCCAGUCUCUCUAUAGCAUGGUCUACCCUCAUACUUCUUACCACAAGUAGGAUAGAUCACAUCUGAAUUUUGUGUUGUCUUCUCUUUAUUUUUAUUUCUAGUUUAGGAAGACCUUUUCUGUGAUUGGUUACCAUGAGCACAAUCACUCCUAUUCCUUUUUCUUUGUUGUUUCCUAUACUGAUGAAGCUCUUCAUUAUCUCAUUUCCUGCAAUAAGGGCUCUGUCCACAACCUUUGAAUGGAUGCCAAGUUUUAUAAUAGAUAUCUUGUUCCUCAGGUAGGGCUUUAACCCAUCUUGAAACUUUAACGCUUUUCCCUCCUCCAUUGCAAUCAACUGUAGGAUAAAACGUGAUAACUAUGUAAAUUUGGCCUCAUAUUGGGCCACAAUCAUCUCUCCAUGUUCCAAAUGAAUAAACUUUCCUUCCUUUUGUUGUCUAACAUUGUCAGGGAAGUAUUUCUUAUAGAAAGCGUCCCUAAACUGUCUCCAAGUUAUAGAUCCCUAAUCCUCCAAAAGCCUCUUGGUCAUACACCACCAAUGAUUUGCUUCUUUAUCUAACAUAAAUGUUGUAUAAAAAGCCUUUUGCUCCUCAGAGUAAUCUAUGACAUCAAAGAAUUUCUCCAUCUUAUCCAUGCCUUUGCUUCUGUUGGAUUUGAAGUGCUAGAAAAAUAAGGAGAACCUAGUUUCUUAAAGUCAUCAAAGGAGCUACCCCUAGAAGAUGAGGAUUGUCCCUAAUCAUUAGUCUCAAUGGCUCUAGCCUGACGCUCAACCAAACUAGCUAAAGUUCCGAGAUACCUAUAAAGCCAUUAUGCAUUCAUGAGGAGAAAACCCUCAAGUGGUAGAAGUACAUCAUCAUUAGUCUGACUAUUUUGGGAAAAUGUUUUUCUUCUUGGUGGGAUGAUCUCCCAUAAAGCAUAAGGUAUAGCUAAAUUAGUCACUAAGAAACCAAUUAGAAAAUUUGGAUUUAUAAUGAAGAAUAAGAGUUUAUACAAGAUGAAUUAAAACUUAAACUAAUGCAUCACUCAUCUAUCCCCAAAGUAAACUAAAACAAGUUCCCAACAAGAUCAUAACCUAGUGCUCUGAUACCACUCUGCCACACCCCAAAAUCCACUCUAGGGGCAUCACAGUCAUUUCACACUUCAAACCCAAAGGCUCAAAGUGGAAACAACACAAACAUUCGUCUUGUAACUGGAAAUUUUCAAUUACCAAAUUGCUGUUCAAAGUAGUAGAACAAAAAAUUUUAAAUCUCCAUAUAUCAAUUUUAAAACUAACACAUCAAACCAAGUGUUAUUGUCCAAAUAACUCCAAACUCAAAUAAUUCAAAAGGGAAAUAAAUUUUAACAUCUAAACUAUGCUCAAAAUAAAAAGAGUUUUGAUAAAUGUCCUAACAAGCCAAUUUCCCAUCCUAACUGUCACUUUUCGCCCAAACUUAGGGUACCUGAAAAAUUAUCAACAAAGAGGGGAUGAGCUCAAAGCCUAAUAAGGAACAUUAACACAAUUUCAUGGAUAAAAUAUUUUCAAUUAUACUUACAAAAAGAAUAUAUAACAUAUACUCUAUUUAUAAAACUUUUGAGUUAAACAUGCUAAUACAUUUAAAUUGUUCAACCAAACAUUUUUAUAGAUAUAAAAAUCAUUUCACAUCCAUUUCAAAUCAAAUACAUUUCAAUUCUUUUUACUCUGGUUAUCAAAUAACAAAUAGUGCCCAAUUAAGAGGGACUUUACAAAUGGGUGGCUAGCCUCAAAUAUUCUUUUUUAAGGUGGAAGGAACCAAACACUACUAGUGAUAGUAACCUCUAACCAAACCCUUAGAGGUUGGGGUCCAAAUUAAUUACAUUCCCCACCACAAAAAUGUAAAGGUCAACUAUUAUAUCCCGUUUACAAGAGCCAAAAAGUCAAUUAUUAUAUCCUGUUGAUAAGGCCCGAACAAACCAAAGUCAAAUUCUUUGUUUUAUUCAUUCAACUUACAAAAACAGAAUAUUAUAUCUCCACAAUUUUCAUUUUUUAUAAACAAAGAAAAUGUUCAAACAUAUUUUUCAUACAAAACAUAUAUUUGAUCCAUGUAUAGAAAUAAAAACAACAUUUUUACACAUUUCAAAAUACAAUAUAAAAGAAAAUUAUUUUAUUUUACAAAAUCUGCAUUAAUUUCCCUUACCUCAAAAGUAGUCUUCAAAAACUUUGGAGAAAAAUAAUUCUGUAAAAUCUACUCUUCACCUAACAAAGCAUAAGAAGAAUAACCAUUACUAUUUUUCUAAAAUUAUAGGUUUGACAAUCCUAAAAUUUUAUUUAUUCAAAUUAAUAUUUUUAAUUAUGAAAGAUAAUUUAAUCUAUUCCUAUUUUAGAAAAAUUAAUAAAUUUCUAAUUCAUAUAAAACUUAAAUUUUAUUUUCAAUUUAUUUCUUGGGACACAACAUAAUUUAAUUAAACUACAAUUUAUUUCACUAAUUAAAUUCUAUGCUACUUAUUAACUUAAUAUUUAUCAUUAAUCUAUUUAUAAUACUAGAAGCUUAACUAAUUUGUACUUCACCUCAUUUUAUUUAUGCAUAAUUUAUUUUACUACUUUCAUAUUUUUCAAACACAACUACCAAUAUAAUAUAUAUAUAUAUAUAUAUCAUCCACCACACUCACACUCCACGCACAGUGCAUGUCUUCCUUAUUAUUAUUAUUAUUUUCAUCAUUCUUCCUACACGUCCACUAUGCACAUUGUCUCAAAACUUGUUUAUUAUUAUUAUGCACUUAUAGAAAUCACCUAAUACAUUGAAAUCCUUUUUUUUUUCUUCCUAAUAUUUUCCAAUUCCUUAAGCCACAUAUAACCAUAUAUUUAUUUGCUCAUUUAAUUUUUGAAAUUUCAUUGCUUGGAUCCAUUCAUCUAAGAAAAUUAUGAAUUUCACUAUUUUCAUCAAUGGAACAACCUAUAUUCAUAAUUUCAAUAUUUUGACCUAAAAAUUUUAAAUAGAUUAACCCUAGCCUAAAUCAAAAUCUUCCAAAUAAUCUUUUUUUUUUCAUCUAAAAACUUAAGAUUUCCCAAUUUCCAACAAUAAAUCAACCCAUAAUAUUAAAUUUAUAAUAUUUUGAUAUUAAAAAGAAUUAAAUAAACUAACUCUAAUCUAAAUUGAAAUUGUUUCAAAGAAUAUCUAGCAUGUUUAGAACUAACUAAUGAAUAUAAUAUAUUAAUUUAGGGUUAGAAUCUUACUUGAAAAAAUCUGAACAUCUAAAAGUUCAGCCCUACGAUCUCCAAUUCUCUAAUUUUGGUUAAUUGGGUUUUUUGAAUAAAGAAGGCAAGAGGAAAAUCUAAUUUACACCUAGGAUUGUUAAUUGUAAAAGGACUAUUUUACCUUUAAUGAGUUUAAUUAAUUAAUUAAUUAAUUACUUUGUAAUUUACUAUUAUGUCCUUAGAGUUAAUUUUGGGGUGUUACACAAGCAAUCAGAAAUGGAGGCUCGCAGAGUGUAUGGUUGGCAAUAUAACUGCAUGGUCCAUAAGUUGCAAGUUGGCAUGUUUAAGAACCCCAAAAACCCUAAACUUGCCAUGCUUUGAGGAAUAACACUAGAACAAAUUUGUAAGUUUGUUCAUAGAAAAAUGGUGAGACCCCAAAAAUAGUAGGAGUCUAAUCUCAUGAGGAAUAUCUCCUUGGAAAUGAUUCUUAGACGGCUCACUUGCAAAGUCAAUGAAUUUAACUCUUUCAAAUAUCUUAGAUUGGUAAGGUGCUUUUCAAGAACAACACCUUUGAAAAGGUUGUUGGAGCACGAUGGAUAUUAGAAGGGCCUAAGGAUUUUAUUUAGUCCUGAGAAGGAUGACUAUAGAAUUUAUUUGCCAAAUUGGACCAACAAGCAAUAACAGUGACAAUUUUCUAGGGCUAGGUUUGUGGUGUUGUGCUUGAUUUAAAUUUUCAUUUACACCAAAUUUGCUUAAUAAAAUGAGUUAUUAGCAGCCAUUAUAAGAAACUAGGGCUAUUAGACAGUGAUGUGUGAAAGUAUUGCUACAAGUUUAACCAAAAUUUUCAAAUUGAUGAUCUAAAAACAUAGCCUUCUAAUUUAGUAAAUCAAAAGCACUAAAAAUGAUCUUGAAGAUACUUUCAAUUAUAAUGUUUUAGACAAUUAAUUGGUUGAUUUUCUUUGAAUAUGAUUUACUAAAACAUUAAUAAGUUUAUAAUGUUUGAAAAUUAAUCUUCAUAGUUAAUUUUUUAUGGUCAUUUUUUUAUACAUCUUACUGGCAAAUAAAUAAAUGCAUAAGAAAUUAAGAUAAUGUGUUAAAUAGUAAUGUUAAAUUUGAUGCGGCAAUUGAAAUUUUGUGGAAAACAACUCAAUGCUCCAUGAUUACAGGCCUCACCCAAUUAACCUUGAUAAAUUAUUCCUUUCUUCAAAUUUUGGUUUCUUGCAUCUUUAUUCCUAUCUACCUAUUUAGUAGGAUGGCCCUGCAAGUUCAAUGAUACUUUUCAACAACUUUUUUUUUUUUUAACAAUCUUAGAGUAGAUUUGAGACUAUAGAUGCUUUCCUAGCUCUAGUCAUGCCUAACACAUCUAAGAUAAACCUAUUUAAUGGGUCUCAUUUUAAGAAAUGGCAAGAAUGCACGUUCUUAGUUGUUCAUGUGGUUAACUAGGACAUAUAUUUUGACAUUUUAACUAAUCAAAACUUGAUGAAACCUUUGGUAAUUAUACUAAUUGUGAAUAGAGAACAAACAAUUUCACUAUGCAAUAUUGAGUACCCUAUCAAACGAAUUGUUUGAUAUUUACUUCUCUAUGAAAAAUAAGAAAGAUAUAUAGAAACAAUUAAACAAAAAAAUGUCCUACAAAUUUUAGAAAAUUUCAAAUGAUUAAGGAUUUGGGAAUUGGUCAUCUCAUGUGUAGGCUUUCCCCUUUCCUAUUUAUCUUGAAACUUAUUGAAUGAAUAGGUAAUAGGUGGAAGCUACCUCAACCCAAACAAACUUUCCAAUGGCAUUCCCAAGGGUAAGCCAAGAACUAGAAUAGGCUCCCAAUGGUAGGACUGGAUAGCCCUAGGAAAGCAAGUGGUCUUGCAAAUAAAAAGAAAAUUCUUAGUCCCAUGGAAAAUAGUUUUGAUCACAUGGUUGAAACAAUCUAAUGGGAACCAACAAACAAAGAGUCUAAGAGUAUCUACACCAAACAACAUUGUAAAAAUAAUACAUAAAGAAUGAGAGUAAAGUAAAAGCAAAAUGAGGGACAACUAACUACCUUGGCUAUACAAGCUACAAAGUAAACCUAAAUUGCUUCUUGCCUUGGUCUAAGCCUUCUCAUUAACUAGAUAUCAACAAACAACUAUUCUUUUCCCAUCACUUACUAGAAUCAAGAAGGUUAGAUAUCAGAGUUUAAGGAUACUAAUUUCAAUUCUUAUGCAAUUUCAUUUAAUGAAGAAACAAAUCUCUCCAAAACUUAGGUACCAUAGAGUUUAGAAAUGCUACAAACAUUAAUAGUUGAAUGAAAUUAAGGUGAAACCUAGAUAGAUGAAUGCCUGAGAAGUAAUAAAAAUGGGUUAUGAGAGUUGACAUGGGCAAGCGAAAUCCAACCCUGAAGUAGGGUAUAAGGAAGAUGUUGUCUCCUUUAGGGAUGUCAUAGACAUGCUAAUGGGAGAAUGGAUUGCUCAAGAUAAUACCUUUUGAUAUAUGUAACUGUCAGAUUGUGGUCUAAAUUGAUCUUGUUAUGCUACAUAGAAGAUGUUGAGGGUGGAGUUUCUUAUUUAGCUCGCAGAGGUUGAGUUACCUAGUCAACUUGUGAGGCUUAAAGAGGGCAAUACUUCUUUGUUCAGUUGUUGGCAUUCCAGAUUCCAAGCCUUGAAGACUUAGUCUUUACUGAAGAUUAGCUCAAGUUUGUUAUGACUUCGUUUGUUUUAAAUUUCAAAAACAGGUGUAACAGCCUAAAUAAAUAUGCAGGAAAGAUAGGAAGAAUUUGUUAUUUUUCUUGUAUAAAUAUCUCAUCUCAAAUGGAAUAAAAUUUAUCAGCUUCUCUCUAUCAUAUCUGCAACUUUUCUUCUUUAUACCUGUAGCUUCAUACCUGUAAUUUCUCCAACAAGUGGUAUCAGAGCCAUAGUUGGUCUUACAGGACCUGUGUUUUGAGAGAAAACUAAGAACGUUCACUUCAUAACCCAUUUGAAACCACACUAGAAAAUGGCAACUAGCAGCAUCUCUUUGUUAGCUCCUCAAAUCUUUGCAGGAGAAAACUAUCAAAUUUGGUCCGUAAAGAUGCAAACAUACCUAGAAGCAUUUGAUCUUUGGGAAGUUGUAGCUAAAGAUAAACCAAUAGCUCCACUUCCGGCGAAUCCUACCUUAGAACAAAUCAAAGCUCAUACUGAUGAAAAGACCAAAAAGUUUAAAGCUAAGACUUUAAUCCAAAAUUCAAUUGCUGACUCAAUAUUUCAUAUAAUUAAGAAUUGUAAAACAACCAAAGAAGCCUGGGACAAGCUUAAAUUGGAGUAUCAAGGAAGUGAUAGAACCAAACAAAUACAAGUACUGAAUUUGAAAAGGGAUUUCGAGUCUCUAACCAUGCAAGAAGAUGAAACUAUCACCAAGUAUUCUGACAGAAUUGCUUUGAUUGUUAACAAAAUCAGGUCGCUUGGUGAAGAAUUUUUUGAUGCGAGGAUCAUGGAGAAGGUUCUUGUGACACUUCCUGAGAGGUUUAAGUCCAAGAUUUCAUCUCUUGAAGAAUCUAGGGACCUUUCACAAAUUUCACUUGCUGAACUAAUGCAUGCACUCCAAGCACAAGAGCAAAGAAGAGCUUUGUGGCUAGAGAACGUCACAGAAGGUGCUGUUCAAAUGCAGUCCCUACAAUCUAAUAAAGACAAAAACUAGUUUAUCAAGAAGAAAAGUAAAAGCAGAGAGAAGAACAACAAAGAAGGGCCCCAAUAGAAGAAACGUCCAACCUGCUCACAUUGCAAGAAGACUACGCAUCUGGAGAAAUGUUGUUAGUGGAGGCCAGACACAAUGUGCGGAAACUGCAAAUAGCUUGGGCAGGUUACCAAAGUCUGCAAAUUUAAAAAUGAAGGUCCUCAAUCUCAGCAAGCACAAGUUGCUUAUGCAGAUUUGCAGGAGGAGAAACUCUUUGUAACAUCAUGUUUCUCAAUUUAAGACUCUUAUAAUGAUUGGCUCAUUGAUAGUGGAUGCACACACCACAUGUGUCACAAUGCUACAAUAUUCAAGGACCUUGACAAAACCUACAACUCUACGGUGAAAGUUGGCAAUGGUGGAUACGUGGAUGUUAAGAGAAGGGGCACGAUUGCUAUCAAAACAAAUUCAGGUAUCAAGCUCAUCUCUGAUGUGUUAUUUGUACCUGAUAUUAGUCAAAAUCAAUUGAGUGUAGGUCAAAUGCUUGAAAAGCAAUAUUCCAUGGAAUUCAAAGACAACCAGUGCAUCAUCUUUGAUCCCUAUGGAGAGAAAUUGCUUUGUAUGGAGAUGAAAAACAAGAGUUUUGCCAUCAAUUGAGAGAAUGUUGUUGAAUAUGCAUAUGCUGGAGUUACUCAAAGUGUUUCAGACCUAUGGCAUAAACGGUUUGGACACUAUAACCAAAUGAGCUUAGUAGAGCUAAAAAAACUUGAGUUGGUGGAAGACAUGCCAAACGUAUCUGAUGAAGCUCAAAUAUGUGAGAUUUGUCAACAAGGCAAACAAGCAAGGUUGCCAUUCAAAAAUAAUCAAUCAUGGAAAGCCACCGAAAAGCUUCAACUCAGACACACCGAUGUUUGUGGUCCCAUGAAAACAACUUCUUUGAGUGGUAACAAAUGCUUCAUUCUCUUUAUAGAUGACUAUACCAAAAUGUGUUGGUAUAUUUAAUCAAACUAAAGAAGGAAGUAUUCUAUGUUUUCAAACAAUUCAAAGCCCUUGUAGAAAAUCAAAGCAACUUGAGCAUUAAAAUCUUAAGGUCCGACAAUGGUACGAAAUAUACCUCCAGUCAAUUUGUUGAGUUUUGUAGUACUUCAGGCAUCAAACGUCAGCUAACAACUCCAUACACUCAACAAAAAAAUGGUGUCUCGGAGAGGAAGUUAUGUAGAAGCCAAAGAUUCUGAAGCAUGGAGGAGAACAAUGCAAGAAUAAAUGAAGAUAAUUUAUAAGAAUGAAACCUGGCAGGUUAUGGAGAGACCUAAAAAUCACAAGGUGAUCAGAGUGAAAUGGGUUUUCAAAAUAAAACUCAAUCCUGAUGGUUCGAUAUGCAAGCACAAAGCUAGGCUAGUGGUGAAGGGAUAUGCUCAAUAGUAUGGUGUUGAUUAUUAGGAGACUUUUGCUCCUGUGGCAAGGUAUGACACUAUCAGGUUACUUUUUGUACUUGCUGCUCAAAAUUCUUAGCAUAUUCAUCAGUUAGAUGUUAAAUAUGCCUUCUUAAAUGGAUUUGUUGAUGAAGAGAUAUGUGUAUAGCAACCAGAUGGGAUUGUGGCUCCAGGCAAAUAGGACUAUUGUACCUUCUAAGGAAGGCAUUGUAUGGCUUGAAACAGGCUCCCCAGGGCUUGGUAUGAAACCAUGGGCAAACAUAUGACUAAACUUGGUUUUGUUAGAAGUCAGAGUGAAGUAACCUUAUAUGUAAAAACUGAUUAUGUCCAGCUUUUAAUAGUCUCUCUUUAUGUAGACGACAUGCUUGUUAUAGGAAAUUAACCCGGGUUAAUUCAAAGUUUCAAGGAUGAGAUGAACAAAGUCUUUGAAAUGACUGAUCUUGGAGUUAUGAAGUACUUUUUGGGAAUGGAAGUGAUGCAAUCAUGUUCAGGAAUUUUCAUAUGCCAACAGAGGUGUGCUAUGGAUGUGCUGAAAAAAUUUAAAGUGCAAGAUUGCAAGCCUGUGUCUACUCCUAUGACAACCAACGAGAAGUUAAGCAAGGAUGACGGCUCCGAGAAAAUAGAUGAAGGCUUAUAUAGAAGCUUAAUUAGUAGCAUUUUAUACCUAACAGCUAGCAAACCUAACAUACUAUUUGUUGUUAGUGUGCUUUCCAAGUUCAUGCACUCACCAAGUGAGAAACAUUUUUCGGCAGCUAAAAGAGUAUUAAAGUACAUCAAGGUAACUAUUGCUCUUGGAGUUCAAUUUUCAAAAUCUGCAGAAGGUGAUUUAAAGUUGUUAAGCUACUCCAACAGCGAUUGGGGUGGUUGUGUUGAUUAUUCAAGAAGUAUUUCAAGGUACUUAUUCUCCCUAGGCUCAGGUUUUUUCACUUGGAGCUUAAAGAAACCAAAAACCACAACCCAAUCCAUAGUAGAGGCAGAAUACGUUGUUGUUGCAUCCGCUGUAAAUCAAGCUUUAUAGUUAAGAAAAAUACUGAAAGACUUGGGGCAAGAGUAAGUUGAAGCAACCAACAUUAUGUGUCACAACAUUUCUGCAGUAUCAAUUUCGAAAAAUCCUAUGUUUCAUGGUCGAACAAAGCAUAUUAAGAUCAAGUAUCAUUUUAUUAGAGAAGUUCAACAAUCCAAUGAAGUGUUACUUGUUCAUUGUUCCUCUGAAAAUCAACUCGUAGAUAUAUUCACAAAGCCUUUACCAAUGGUAAGGUUUGAAGCUCUUAAGAAGAAGAUAGGUGUUUGUCAUCUGAAUGCCAAGGAGGAGUGUUCAGUUGUUGGCAUUCCAGAUUCCAAGCCUUGAAGACUUAGUCUUUGCUGAAGAUUAGCUCAAGUUUAUUAUGACUUCGUUUGUUUUAAAUUUCAAAAACAGGUGUAACAACCAAAAUAAAUAUGCAGAAAAUAUAGGAAGAAUUUUUUAUUUUUCUUGUAUAAAUAUCUCAUCUCAACUGGAAUAAAAUUUAUCAGCUUCUCUCUUUCAUAUCUGCAGCUUUUCUUCAUUAUACCUCCAGCUUCAUACCUGUAAUUUCUCCAACAUUCUUGGAGAAUUUUUUUAUUUUUUUUAUUUUUUUUAUUUUUUGAAAUAAUAAUUUUGUCCUUUUAGUUAUUGCAUUUAACCCUUUUAUAAUUUAAGUUUUUGUAAAUAAGUGAAAAAAAAAAUACUGUGUGUAGUUGCAAUUGAGAGGAGAAAGAGAGCCUUCAUCAUUGUAACUUUUCUAUCUUUAUUUAAUUAGUGAAUUCUUGAGUGUUGGUGUGCCCCAUAAUAGUAGGGAUGACAUUGAUUGUCGGACCACAUUAAAAAUAUCUUUCUUUUUUCUUAUUUUUGUUGUGUAUGUGUGUAGUUGUGUUAGCAAAUAGUAUAAGAGCACCUAGGUUCACAAAUCCAAACUUAACGUGUUUGACCAAUCGCCAUUUCUGUGGAAGUAAUGGGAUUAGAGAAGGAUUCACACAAAAUAGAGAAGUUUGAUAGUAUGAAUUUUAGUUUCUGGAAGAUGUAAAUGGAGGAUUAUCUAUGUAAAAAAGGUUUAUAUCUAUUUUUACGAGGGAAACCAAAGUUGAUGGAUGAAAAGGAAUAGGAUUUGCUCAAUUGCAAAGCCAUUAGUGUGAUUAGAUUAACCUUGUAGAAAUCGAUUGCUUUCAAUGUAAAAAUCAAAAACACAAUAGACCGCCCUAGCCAGUAUGUACUAAUAGCCUUCUACAACAAAUAAGGUACACUUGGAUAAGAAGCUAUUUAAUUUGAAGAUGUCUGAGAAUAGGAUUUCAAGCAACACCUUAAUAAAUUUAAUGAGACCAUAGGUGAAUUAAAUUCAAUUGACAUUAAAUUUGAUGAUGAAAUUCAAUCCUCAUUAAUCCUUAUUACUUGAGAGUUGGAAGGGAGUUUUUACCUCAAUCACUAGUUCAUCUAGGAAAUCCAAAUUGGUGCUUUUGAAGAUAGUGGACAUGAUCAUAAUUGUGGUGAUCAUGAAGCAUGAAAAAUGUAUUUCCAACUCAAAAUCAAUAUUAAACAUGGAGAGCGGAGGUAGAAAUAAGAAAAAAUGUAAUGGAUAGGACAUAUCUAAAUUGAGAAAUGGCAUGUGAAAAUCAAGAAAUCCUAGGAAUGUCUAGCAUGACAAGAGUAAGAAAGAAAGUGAAUAUUAGAAUUGUUGAAGGUUGAGACACUAUUAGAAUAAGAGUAAGGCUGCCAACAAGGAUAAUGUCAACAAGAUUGACACUAUUUACAAUGCCUAUCUAUUUUUUAUUAUUGUUUUUGAAAACUUAUUCUUGGAUCACUCUUUUUUCUAUUUAACAAAAGAAAAUUUGCUUUUAGGUUUUUUUUUUUUUUUUUUUUUGUUACUUGAGAUUGAAAAAAGAUGUUAAAUUAAGUGGAGCGGCUUAGUCGAGUGGGGAAUGCAUGGAAUUUACUUCUAUGGACAUAAUGAACCAACAUUAGGUUUCUGUCUUUUUGAGAAAAUUGAGGGCAACCAAAAAAAAAAAAAGAACGAAAAAAAGAAAAAAGAAAAGUAAACAAAGGAAAAAAAAGAAGGCUACUGCAUUUAUCUUGUUUGCGGUUUUUGUUAUUCUUAUUUGAUGAGAAAAUUGUGGGAACUAAAAGACCACUUUGAGUCUAUUUGUUAUGUUAUUUUGAUAUUGAAUUUUAUUCUAUUUCUUUCACCUUUGAUUGGUUGUUGAAAAAAUUAAGGAAAAGGAAGAGAUGAAGAUAGGCUUAUGACUAUAUAUAUUUAUUCAUUUUUAUGUAUGCUUGUUUUUAAUUAUCUUGUCUUGAUUUAUGGUACCAUUCACAUUAAUUUUUGUGCAACAUGCAAAUCAAGUUCUCCUUAUGAGAGGCUGCUGGCUAACUUUGUCAAUUUUUUGAGCAGAGGCUGUUGCUGAUGCAAACAGAGCAAUUUCUAAAGCAUUAUUAAAAUGCAUGUUUACAUUUUUAUUUUUUAUUUCCCUUGUAGACAUGGAUUAACUCAAUGGAAAAUAUUAUAUUUCUCAUAAUCGUUUUUAGGAAUAAAAUUCUCUAUGGGAAUUUAAAUAUGAAAAAAUGCCUUGUAUGCUUAUAUAUAUUGAAGAAACCAUGAAAAAGUGCCUUGCGUUUCAUAAUCAAAUUUCCAACACAUAAUCAUCUCAGUGGUAAAACUUUGGAUUGGCCCUAAGGGUUGAUCAGGACUUUCCUUGAAGUCACUGUGAAGAACACACUUUCCCAGCACUCUUUUGUCCCAUCAGACUAGCUUUUCUCGGCAACCAAAAGGAGCACACAUGAAAAAUCAAUGAAUGGUUAGCCGUGUGUGAUGAGUCUACAUCCAAAGAGACCCUUAAAUUUGCAUUUAUGAAACACAAAUAACAGGAAAUCGGCAUCCCUCCAUGCCUUUCUGAUUGCCAAUGGACCCAAAAUAGCCCAAAAACCAACUACAAACCCCAGUGGCAUGCUCAUAUAGAACCACUUCAUUUCGAUUCAAUCAUCAUCGUCCUCUUCAUCAGCAGGCCCUGGUAUUGGAACCUCUGGGAGAUCAUCUCCAAUACAAGUUUCUCUGAGAGGCGGCCCACAGAGCUCAAGAUUACCAAUAAAACAGCUCGCAUUAAAGCCUUGGAUUUGAGUGCCUGAUGGAAUUCUGCCUGAGAAGUUAUUGUACGACACAUUUAAAUGGCUCAAGAAUGAUAUACCUGCAAGGCUUUGUGGAAUAACACCCGAAAGUUUGUUCCUGGAGAGAUCAAGAGACUCCAAGGAUGUCAUGGCGCCGAUCUCCAUAGGAAGUUGUCCUUCAAGAUGAUUUACAGACAGGUUCAAGAACAUCAAACCUUGAAGACGGGUCAUUUCUUCUGGUAUCUCACUCGAUAAGUUGUUGCAUGAGAGGUCUAUUAAUCCAGUUAGAAGGGGAAGAGAACCACCGUACUCAUACUCUGGAUAUGUCUAGAUCCAUCUGAUCCUUUUGCGUUUGCAGAUGCAGGAAAUAAAGGCCCCAACUGCCAAUAUCCCAUUUUCAAAAUUUCUAGUUGGAAUGGAGGAUUCCAGUCAGAACCUACUUGCAAUGUAAACGAGUUUGAAGAAGCAUGUAAAUAUUUCAACCUUGUCAAAUUAGCGAAGUACUUUCCAGACACUAUACCCUUCUGAGAAUUCCCGGACAUAUCUAAGUAACUCAAGGAUGACAAGCCUCUUACAGAUACAGAUGUUGGUCCAGAAGAUGAACUAUUCCCAUCAGAAAGAACUGAUAAGCAUUUCAAAAAAUGACCUGAAACUUCAUCUGCACCAAGGUCUAGAAACUCUAAACCUUUGACAAGUUUAUUAGAUGACAAAUCUAGCCUUUGUAGAUUGCAAUGUUCUCCCAAUGAUCUUGGGCUUUCCCCUUCAAGGGCAUUGUUUGACAGGUCUUCAGCUACAAGUGAAGUAAGGUUUCUGAUGGAAACCAGAAGGAUUCCAUUAAAAUUGUUUUAUAAAAAGUCGAUACUUUCAAGGCUAGUUAGGUGCCUCAAGCAAUCAGGUAUAGUAGAAGUAAGCUGUUAUUGAAAAGAUGAAGGGAUCUUAGAGCAGUUAAGUUGCAAAGAGUGGUAGGAAUUGGUCCAUGGAAGUUAUUGGAACUUAGAUCAAGUGAAGCAGUGAUCCAAGGUUAGAAAACCAGUCAAAUGUUGGAGAAACAAAUUGAUUCUCUGAGAGGUCAAGGACAGUGCAGGAGAGACGAAAAAUUCACAACUGGAAGAGGAUUGAUGCUAUCGAGCCCACAGUCAGACAAGAUUAGAACUGACAAAGAAUGGAGCGUAUUCAUUGCUUGUAGCCAAUUAGACGCUUUGUUUAGGUCCACCCAGCUCAUGUCAAGAACUUCAAGGACGGAAAGAGGAGAUCCAGUCAAGGUUCUCGGUAUCCAGAGAAAUGCCUCCAAUAUCAAGAUACUGUAAGCUCGACUGUUUUCCAAGUUGACGAGGAACAUCACCAGUCAAACCUGCAUUGGAGAGAUUAAGAUACCUUAAACCUGUCAGGGAACCAAGGAAUUCUGGAAUCUGAAGUCCUUCAAAGCUGUUCCAACUGAGGUCCAGGUACUGAAGAUGGUUCAGGUCCAACAAAGAAGUACUUAUAUCCCCACCCAAGAAAGCUCCUUCCAUGGGCUCACGACUGAGGUUGAUCUUGACAACAUGCCUAGUUAUGUUGUCACAGCCAAUGCCUUUCCAUGAACAGCAGGCUUCACGGGUCCAUGAAGAGAGGUAGUUUCCCUGAUCCACAAGGCCUUGUUUGAUUCUCUGGAGUGCUCUUCUUUCUCUUGCACUGCAGAUGACAUCUGAAGUUCCAUCACUCAAACUAAACUGGAUGUUUAUAGUUGCUAAGGACAGAAACCAAAGCCACAGAACCACCACAUCUCCAAUACUUUUCCUCUCCAUAGAACUAUUUCUGCAACAGAUGAAUCGGCAAGGAAAUUUUCCAAUGGUGCGUUGUAGGAAGCAAGGGCUUAGGCUAUAUACUUAUAGUGAUACCAGGAAUAAAGAAAUCUGCCAUAAGCCUGACCUUAAUGUGUAUUUCAUGGAUCAAAACUUUCAUAUUCUGAAUUAACUGAUUUAUUUUUCUUUCUGUCAAUGUGCCUUUAUCAAUUGUUACUCAUAGCCGGUCUCAAAGAAACUUUCAGUCUUUGCCAUUGUUAAUCCUUUGAUCUGGCAUUAUGAUUAAUUUCCUUCUUUGACAAGCAAUCAUUACAAACGUUUGAACUAAGGCAUAAUUAAAAGUUUGAAGGAUUCUAAAUCCUAUUCGAGAGCAGCUACCACAAACCAUGGUAAUCAACUUUGUGGAAACUGAAUGGAGUGAACUGCAGUGAGGUUACAAAGUACUUGGGCAGCAAGUUCAUGAAAAAAGACAAGUCCAAGUUGAAGCCACAAAUAGAUAAUAAAUGGUAAAUCAAAGAUAGAGAAUGGAGUCAAGAUGAUAAGAUUGAAUAUGCGAGCAGGUUGAAAUAAAUAUGAAUAUUGAUAAAGGAAACUCCAACUCAGCCAGCAUACAAUCCAUGCCAAAGUAGAAUCUCUACAUGAGAAGUAGAUAAUGCAAUCUGCCAAUGUGCAAAGAAAGUAGGUAUUGUUUUUAUUUUAUUUUUUCAACGUUGUAACAAUAUAUGUAAGAAAAGAAAACAAUCAGCAAAUUCAACCUUUCAAAAAUAGUUUAUGUUCUUCAAUUAUCAUUGUGGAAGUUGCUUGAAAAUGCUGAACUCAGAUACUUCAACCGUGGAUCUUGGAUUUUUCCUUGUUUGUAAAAAAGAAAACUCCAUUAAAUAUAAGAACAACAACAAUUACAAUAGAAAGGAAUCUAUUGAAAAAGGAGCUGAGCUACACCCAUUUUUGGCUGCCAAAAAAAUUGAGUAAAGGUUAGGAAAGAAAAUAAAAUUUUUAAAUCAAGGAACCACUUGGGAUGGGUGUCAUCUAGGAAGAAAGAAACAAGGAAAGUAGGACUUUUUAAGGGGCUUUUUGCGAUUACUCAAAAUUUUAUUUCACAGAUUUACAUUCAUGGCAUGAGAUCUGUUUGCAAUGCAUAACAUUUCUCUUAAUCAGAUGUGUUAAGACUGACAUUUCUAUCCAGAUAUUUAUUUUUUCACAUCUAUGAGUAAUGAAAACUCCAUGUUAGAUUUAUCUCAGCAACCAAAAUGAAAAGUCACAACGGGAAAAUUAGGAUAUGAGUGGAAGAAAACUACCAAAUACUAUUUAUAAUACCACGGAAACAAGGUCUUAAAACUAUCUGUAUUUACAACCAUCCCAAUAAUUUGGAUUUCAUAUCAUCUAACAAUUGAAAAUCAAGUAUGGCCCCACACCUUGUUGAAUACUAAUGGACCCAAAACAGGCCAAAAACCCACCACAGACCCCAAUGGCAUGCUCAGAUAGAACCACUUCAUUUCGAUCCAUUCAUCAUCUUCAUUAACAUUGCCCGAUAUUUGGCUUUGUUGUGCAUAAUCUCCAGCACAAGCAUCUGUAAGAGGAGCCCCACAGAGCCCAUCAUUGCCAAUGAAAUUGCUAGGAUUAAAGCUUCUGAUUUGUGCAUAACUCGUGAGUAUAGAUAUGUUGAAAACUGAUAAAUUCAAACUACGGAUAAUUAAAAAACAUGGAUGGAAGAAACUCAUAAAAGUGCUAUUGAUCACACAUGGAAAAGAAGGUUGCCAAAUUUAUUUACAAUUAUUAACACCAUCCAAGAACCGAAAAUAAGCAUAUCUCCAAGCUCUGUUGAAUGCUAAUGGAGCCAAAAUGGCCCAAAAGCCAACCACGAAACCCCAUGGCAUACCCAAAUAGAACCGUUUCAUAUCAAUCCAUCCAUUGUCCUCUUCAUCAUCAUCGUCUGGAACUGGACCCUUUGGCUUACCAUCUUCACCACAACCAUCAGUCAAUGGAGCUCCACAAAGCUUCGGGUUGCCAAUAAAACUGAGAGGACUAAAGCCUUGGAUCUGGGUGCCUGAUGGAAUUUUGCCAGAGAAGUUGUUGUAUGACAAAUUUAAAUGGCUCAAAAAUGAUAUUUUUGCCAUACCUUGAGGAAUAACACCAGAAAGUCUAUUCAUGGAGAGAUCAAGAGAUUCCAGUGAUGUCAAGGCUCCAAUCUUCACAGGAAUCUUCCCUUGGAGAUGGUUAUUAGACAGGUUCAAGAAUAUCAAUCCAUGGAGACCUGUGAGUUCUUCUGAGAUCUCAUCAGAGAACUUAUUGCUUUAGAGGUCUAUGCCAACUAGGAGGCCAAGAGUGUUGCCGUACUCGUACUCUACUCCUUUCAUAACCAGCGUUGCUGUGUCGGUUGAUUCCGAAUCAAAAUGACGUGCAUUAUGAAAAGGAAAGGGGGAACUUGAAUUUGAUUGUUUGAUCAUGCUGCUGAAAUUACCAAAGCAUCUGGGAAUGGUUCCAGAGAGAUUGUUGUUUCCCAAGUCCAGGAUUUGAAGGGAAUCAAGGUGGCAGAGUUCAAGAGGAAUACUUCCUUUGAACUUAUUCGAAUGAAGGACAAGAACCAUUAGACCCGGUGUAUAUCUAAUCUCACCAUCCCCUGGUAAUGUUUCAAUGAACUUUCCAUCGAAGUUCCCCAUCCAUGCAUGGUCCCAGUGAAUUCAUUCUCACCAAGGUCUACAACCACUAGACUAGAGCAAUUUUUCAAUGGAAGUGGAAAAUUUCCGGAGAGAUGGUUGUUGCGCAAGUGCAAUGAACCGAGCCAAAUUAGAGAACCCAUGGAGCUAGGUAUAUGUCCCGUCAGAUUAUUAUUUCCCAAUUUUAACCUCGUUAAUUCUCUCCAAUACAUCCAACAAUUGGGAAGUUCUCCUGACAGAAGAUUUCCUGAGAUGUCUAGAGACUCCAAUAAAUUUACUUCUUUAUCAGUUCUCCGACACAACAUGGGUGAAAGAGAUCCACAGAAUAAAUUAUUGGAGAGGUCUAGUUUUGCUACAUCAGAAGAGAUUCGGGGCAGUGGACCAGUGAAAUUGUUUGAGCCCAGAUAGAUAUGGAAUGAAUGUAAACUUGGAAUAUUUCCAAUGAUUUGGUUGUGAGAUAGAUCUACAAUAAGAUAGGAUUGUGUCCAAAACCAAGCUGGGAUGACACUGGAGAUUCCUGCAUAGGACAUGUUUAGAUCUCGCAAAUACUUCUGUGUUUGAAGCCAUGCAGGAAAUUGAGGCCCUAGAAAGCAAGAACCCAAUUCUAAUCUUGUGAGUUGAAAGGGAGGAGUCCAGUUGGAGCUGACUUGCAAAGUUAACAGGUUUAAAGAUGCAUCCAAUUCUUCUAAACUUGUUAGAUUGGCAAGGUGCUUUUCAGACAUAAUACCGUUGAAGAAGUUUUCCCUAAUGUUUAGAUAACUUAGGGAUGAAAGUCCUCCUAACGAGAUAGGAAUCUGACCAGAAAACAAGUUUCCAUCAAUAGAAAGGUACGAUAAACUUUUUAAUUGGCCAAGUUCACUGGGCAAAUGACCUGAAAGCCGAUUUUUUCCCAAGUCUAAAUGUUCUAAACAUUUACAUUCUCCAAGAGUUUCUGGAAAAGAACCUAAAAGUUCAUUUCCUCUCAACCUUAAACGCUCUAGACCUUUUCCAGGCCUAUCAUAUGACAAACUCGAAAGUUGGCCAGUACAAAGAUUUCCUAGAAAUCUCAGUAUGUCUCCUUCUAGAGAAUUGUAUGAUAGGUCAAGAUAUGUGAUAGAAGUGAGAUUUUCAAUAUCAUUUGGUAGCAUACUAUGAAAAUUGUUAGAUUCAAUAUAGAGGGAUGCAAGAUUGAGGUGUUCAAGGUUGGUUAUAUGAUAUAACCAAUUGGGAAUAGGAGAAGCAAAAUUGUUAUAGAAAAGAUCUAGGAAUCUAAGAGAAGUCAUGUUACGAAGACCUGAUGGAAUUGGACCAGGAAUAUUACUGCCUGCUAAAUUAAGAGUAACAAGAGAGUUAAGAUUAACAAACCAAUCCAAUGAUGAAGAAAUAAAAUAAUUAUAUGAAAGGUCAAGGAUGGCUAGAGAUGAAAAAUUGACAUGCGGGAGAGGGUCAAUACUAUGAAGCUCACAAAAAGGCAAGCGCAAGUCAUAUAAAGAAUGGAACUUAUUCGUUACCUGUAGCCAAUUUGAUGCCUUUCUUAGGUUCACAUUUGACAUGUAAAGGAACUCUAGGAAGGUAGGACCAGAAAUCCAUUCAAGAUCCUCAGCAUUCAAAGAAUUUCUUGGGUCGUAAUAAGAAUUCCCAAUGUCAAGAUAAUGCAGCUUGGAUAAAUUUCCAAGUUGAUGAGGAAUAACACCACCAAAACCUGCUGUAAAGAGGUUAAGAUAUCUUAAAUUGGAGAGGGAACCAAAGAAUUUUGGAAUGUUAAGGAUCCCAAAGUCAUUACAGCUUAGGUCCAAGUAUCGAAGAUGCUUCAAGUCCAACAAAGAACUACUUAUCUCACCACCCAGAGAACCGUGAUCUUGACAAAGAUCCCAUCGGAGGUUGAGCUUGAGAACAAUUCCUGUUGUGUUAUGACAAUGAACUCCUUCCCAAUUACAGCACUCUUCACUGGCCUAAGAAGAGAGUCUGUUUGAAGGAUCAUGAAUGCCUCUUUUGAAGCUCAAAAGGGCUUCCCUUUCUUCUUCUCUACAAAGAGCCUUUGGACUAUGCCCAACACAACAACCAAACUUUGUGGCUAUAGUGAAAAGAAAAUAGAGCAAAAGAACGACCAAACCUCUCAUGUACAACUCCAUUAGGCUAGAUGAUUUUAGAGCACACAAUGUGAAGGGUUUCAAGCAUUAUCCAAUAUUUAUAGUCAUUAGAGGCAUGACCCCCAAGACUAUAGUGUUGCCUUAUUCUAAAAAUUUCUGAUGUUGAUAGGUCAAUUAUUGUGUUAAAAAAGGAUAGUUGUGGAGUGUGGACUAGUUGUGCAUAUGGAUAAGUUUCGUGGAAGAGAAAAUACAUGACAUGACAUAGUUACACUUGCUAUGAUGUAAAUUUAGAAAAGUAUUUCCAUUUUCUGCAAUUUUAAGUAAAACCUAAUACUAUAUUAAAGAUGACAUAAUUAUAUAUUUUAUUAAAUAUAUAAUAUCGAUCCUGUCUCCAAUAACUUGCCUGUUGGAGUCCAUGCUGGCUUUGAUAUUUUUACAAACUAAAUAAUUUUUAUUUAAAGGGAAUCUUGUUACUAUUUUUAUUUUUAUCAUUUUUCAUGUUAUUCAAAUAUAUGCAAAUCAUUUUCUCUUAUAUUUUUCUCUUUUAUUUAAUUAGCAUGUUUUAGGAACCAAACAUCGUAUUAAAAUUUUAGAAUAAGUUCAUUACAUAAAUAAUUAAAAAAACAUUUCAUACAAAUGAUGGUUAAUAAUAUAUAGAUAUAUAUAAUUAAAUAUCAAUAGUAAAAAAUUAAUAAGAAACAAAGAAGAUUAAAAAUACUUAUAUUUCUUUUGUGACAUUUGCUAGAACGAAUUCUAAUAAAUGCUUUUGGAAUUUGAUCGAGAGACCAAGAUUUUAAACUUUGAGCGGGUGUAUAAAUAGAUAUAUAUAUAUAUAUAUAAGAAAUCUACAUUUGAAUUCUAACCGUGACAUUAAAUAAAAAAGUACAAGACAUUAGUUUUUAGAAAAUAUAGGAUGGGGAUGGUAGCGUGGCGAGUUCAAGAUGGAUCAUCCCCAUCCUAAUCCUAUCUUGUUUAUUUAUAUCUAUUUCAACCCAUCCCCACCAAAAAAAAUAAAUUAAAGAGGGUAGUAAAUGAGAAAGUAUAAGAUGUUAGUUUUUAGAAACCAUUGGAUAGGCGUAUACCCCAAAAUUUGUCCCAAUUUUAUUUUUACAUUAAUUUUGAGUCCAAUUUUAUUCUUAGAUUUUAAAUCUCAAUUACAUGUGAUUUUUUUUUACCCACUCACCAUUUAAUUUUUAGUUUUUUUAAUCUUGUAUAUUGUUUUAUUAUUAUUAUUAUUAUUUAUUGUAUUUUAUUAUUUUAUUAUUUUUUAUUUUUCUCUUUCCUCUCUCCUCCACCUACUCUCACCUACUCCCGUACCUCCCCCAUUCCCAACACCACCGACCCCAUCUCAUUGUCCUUCAUUUUUUUUUCCUUUUUUAUUUGAUUUCUCCUUCUUCUUUCCCAUUCUUCUCCAUCUUUUUCUCUCCCCCAACACCGCACUUGCCGGCCACACACCCACUCUCUCCCCUCUUCCCUCUUCUCUCUCUUCUCUCUCUACUCAUUUCUCUUUUUUCCUUCUAGUUAUUUUUUCUUCCCAUCUUUUUCUGGUAGCUGACUCCCCAUCAUCUGCUCUCUUCCUUUUUUUUUUCUUUUUUUCUUCCCUCUCCGGACUCCCACACAUGGUCGACCCCCAUUUUAUCUUCCAUUUUUUUUUCUUCUCUCUACGACCCUUCCCAAACACUGCCCUGACACCCAUUUUCGGUGUCUCUUUCAUCCCUUCUUUUUUCCCAUUUUCUUCCUCCCAUUUUCCCAUUAACUUCAUUUUCUUUUUUUAUUUUAUUUUCGUUUUUCAAAAAGCCAUCAACCUUCAUUGUCGCUAGCAAAGCCACCAGCCAGUCGCCACCAGUGAGCCACUACCAACCGACGACCCCUUCCUCUUUUCUCUCAUUCCCUCAUUUCUUCACUUCGCAUCACAACCAUUUUCCAUUAUUAUUAUUAUUAUUAUUAUCAUUAUCAUUAUUCAUUUUUUUAUUUAAUUUUAAUAGUAAUUGUUGUUGGUGAGAUUUGAAUUAUUGAAUUAAUAUGAAAUUGGAGUUUUGUUAAGUAAUAUGGAAUUUGAGUUAAUUUGUUAUCAGAGAAUUAAUAUGAAAUUUGGGUUAAUUUAUUGUUGGUGAAUUAAUUUGAAAUUUGUUAAUUUGGGCUAGAUUAGUAGAUAAUUUAUAUGGUUGUACUCGUUUGAAUUAUUUCAUUUGGACAUGAUAUAAUAUUGUGGUAUAUUUUGGAUGUACGUUUGCAUAUUAAAUUGGGUUUGGAUUAUGGGAUAUUAAAUUUAGGCAUAAUGGGAUUUAUUUUAAUUUAUCAUGUUUUGAGUUUGAUUAAUUGGGCUUAUAUUUUGGCUAUUAAUUUGAAAAUUUUAUAUUAGGGUCUAUGACAUGUGAGAUAUUUUUGUUGGAUUCUACUUGUUAAUUUGGACCCAUUUUUAAUUAGUGAAAUUUAUUGGACUAAUUUAAAAUUUGAAUUUGAGUUAUUUUUGUUUUUGCAUGAGCCCAUUUUGCAAUUCUGUUGGUUGAAUAUGAAUUUAUGACACGUGGAGUAUGGAAUUUCGUGGAAGAAAGUGAGAUUCGAAAAGUUAUAGGAAGACAUUGAACUUGUUGUCAACUUAUUUGGGUACAUAUUUGAUUUUUCACUUAUAUUUGGUUUUAUUUCUAUUAGUUUUUGUAAAUAUUUAUUUAUGUGUGUUUACUUGUUAUGUACAGAAUUGAAUAUCGAACAAAUAAAAUUUUUUGUUUAAAUAAGAGGAAUAAUUCAAUAAAUGUUUUUUUAAUAAAAUAAUAAUUUUAAAAUAUUCUUCUUAAUAAAAGAAAGUUUUUUUAUCAAUGAAAAUUUAAAAAAAAUGCUUUUAGAAAAAAAAAAUGUUUUUAAUAGAAUUUGAAAAUUUGUUUUUAAUAAUAAUUGUCCAAAAAUUUCUGUGUUUAAUAAUAACUAUCAAAAUUUUUUUUUGUAAAUAAAGUUUUCCCAAAAAUUAAUUUUUAAUUAAAAAUUCUUUUGCUAAUAAAGUUAUAUUUUUUUUAAUAAAUUGUAUAUGCCACUUUUAUUGAAUGACAACAAAUUGAAAUACUUUUGUAAACAAAAUAGUAAAAAUUCGUUCAAUUUUUGUAAAAUAAAGUAAAAGCAAUUUUUGUGCCCAAAUUGAAAUUUUGUAAUAAAUUCUUUGAUACAAUAAGUGUAAAUAACUUUUUUUUUAAAAAAAAAAAUUGAAUACCAAUGAAAUUUGAGAAAAUAAAUUGAAACCUUUUUUUUUUUUGUAAACAAAUAAUUUGAAAUUGUUUUUAAUAAACUCCUUUGAAAUUUCUUGAAAAAAAAAAGUAUAUUUCUUUUUAAUCAAUUCAAUAAAUCAAUUUGCAUAAUCCUCUUAUCAUUUAUUUUUUGUAUACUUGUAAUUAGAUUUCAUUAUUAUUUUUGUGUAUAUUGAUUUUCACCAUGAUUUGUACAUUAAUUAUUUUUCUUGGCAUCCAUAAUUAAUUAAUUAAUUGUUACAAUUCCCUUAAUUCGUUUAGUAGAGGCCGUAUGUAUACGGGUUUAGAGGAGUGUUACGAUCUUUACUGUAUCUUCCUAAUAAGUAACCUGACCUCGAACCCAGGUUUGGUUUUUCACAUGUCAUAUUUUCCAAAUAAGGACUCACACUUAGGAUUUCCUUUCUUAUUUUAUUUUCCCUUUAAAAAUAAAACAAAAAUAAGUGGCAACUCCAAAUCUUUUUCUAAAAAAAAUAAAUAUUUUUCAAAUAAAAAAGUGAGUUCACCAUCUAGUGGGAGCGCAUGCACAGAAAUGCGGGGUCCACAAUAGAGAUGCUAAAGGAGCGAAUUCUAGAUCGAUCACUCCCAUCCCAACCUUGUCCCGUUUAUUUAUAUUAUAUUCAUCCUCACUCAAAAAUAAAUAAAUAAAUAGGGAUAGGUAGGGUAUAGGAAAUUCCCAUACCUACCCCAUCUCAUCCUGUUUAUUUUUAUUUUUAAAUUUUUAAAUAUAAUUUAUAAAUAAAGAAAUCUUAUAAAUAUCUAUAAUUUUUUUUUAAAGUAAUAUUUUAUGUAUGUUAAAAAAAUUUGAAAAAUUAAAAAAAAGAUCAACUAAAAUAAUUUUUUAUUUAGAAUUAUACAUAAUCGGGGUGGGCGAAGUGGGAUAAAGUUGUACCCAAACUCGCCCUAAACCCAUCUAGGUUUUCAAAAACUUCACAAACCUGUCCUGAACCCAUUUGUCUUUAUACCAAUCUCUUCCUAUUUGGGGUGAGGCGGGUAGGUAUUCGGAAAAACUAUCUCAUUGUCAUCCCUACUAUUGGAUCAUGAUGAAAUUAUCAUUCAUCUUAUAUUAAAAAGUAAAAUUCACUUUAUAAAAGUAGAGAUACAUGUAGCAGGCACCAUGUAUAAAUCUAAUGUAUAUACAUACAUUAAUGUUAUCCCUAUAACAGUAUCAUGACCUCUGCUUUCUCCAUGUGAAAAAUUUUAAAAUAUCAAGGAUUAUUUCUGGUAUUAGAAGGAUGACUCUUUCCUGCCAUGGUUGACUUGCAAGUAAUGAGAGGGACCGUGACAAAAUUUUCCAUGAAAAGAAGAAAAGAAAACCAUAUGAUCUUGUCCUUCUUGUGAUUUGCUCUACCAUAUUUCCCAACUAGUAAAAAACAAUGUCAUGAGAAUAUGGUCCGUUUGCAAUUAGGCUUGGCCAUGCUUGACUAGCAAAGCGGCAAAUGACAAAAUCUUCUGGGUUUUGCAGUUUGCUGAGUUUAUUUAAAAGAAAAAUGCAAUUUUACAAAUGAAAAUGUAAUUUAUAAGAGGAUACAUAAAUUUGUCUCUCCUCACUCAAUAUGCCCUAGACACAAAGUAGUUUUAGGAUCAUCAUUUUUUUCUCACUAAAAAAGAAGCUAUUGGCAAACAAUGAUAAGUAUAACCAUUAGCAGCAAAAAGAAGAUUGCUGCAACCUUUAAUCACAGUUACCUAAAAGUCCAUUAAAACUUGCUUGUAUUUUAUACAUGUAUUUUCAUCUUCAUGUCCAUUAAAAGGACAUCUAUUCCUCUAUUUCCAUACAUAAUAUAAUCCAAAUUAUAUGUUUUAAUUAUUUGGGUCAACUUUCCACAUGGUUAGGAACAAAUAACGAAAAAAAAGAAGUCAUCUAUUGACUCUUCUCGCUACCCAACAGCAGAAGCAGACAAUUGGCCCGUAGGCAGUCGGGCAUGAGCUUAACCCAUAGGCUAUGAAAACGAGAUGGCUUUAAAAAACUGCAUGCAGAAAUUGAAAGAAAUGACAUAAUUAUAUAUUUUAUUAAAAAUAUAAUACCGAUCCUGUCUCCAAUAACUUGUCUGUUGGAGUCCAUGAUGCUGGCUUUGAUAUUUUUACAAACUAAAUAAUUUUUAUUUAAAGGGAAUCUUAUUACUAUUUUUAUUUUUAUCAUUUUUCAUGUUAUUCAAGUAUAUGCAAAUCAUUUUCUCUUAUAUUUUUCUCUUUUAUUUAAUUAGCUUGUUUUAGGAACUGAACAUCGUAUUAAAAUUUUAGAAUAAGUUCAUUACAUAAAUAAUUAAAAAAACAUUUCAUACAAAUGAUGGCUAAUAAUAUAUAGAUAUAUAUAAUUAAAUAUCAACAGUAAAAUAUUAAUAAGAAACAAAGAAGAUUAAAAAUACUUAUAUUUAUUUUGUGAAAUUUGUUAGAAUGAAAUCUAACAAAUGCUUUUGGAAUUUGAUCGAGAGACCAAAUAAUCUUAUAUAUAAAUAUACUUAUAUAUAUCUAUUUCAGCUCAUCCCCACCAAAAAUAAAAAUAAAAAUUAAAGAGGGCAAUAAAUGAGAAAGUAUAAGAUAUUAGUUUUUAGAAAUCAUUGGAUAGGUGUAGACCCCAAAAUUUGUCCCAAUUUUAUUUUUACAUUAAUUUUGAGUCCAAUUUUAUCAUUAGAUUUUAAAUCUCAAUUACAUGUAAUAUUUUUUACUCACUCACCGUUUAAUUCUUAGUUUUUUUUAAUCUUGUAUAUUGUUUUAUUAUUAUUAUUAUUAUUAUUAUUAUGUUUUAUUGCAUUUUAUUUUUUUAUUAUUUAUUAUUUAUUUUUCUCUCUCCUCUCUCCUCCACCCAUCCCCAUACCUCCCCCAUUCCCAACACCACCGUCCCCAUAUCAUUAUCCCCCAUUUUUUUUCUUUUUUUUAUUUGAUUUCUUCUUUUUCUUCCCCAUUCUUCUUCAUCUUUUUCUUUCCCCCAACACCACACCCCACCGGCCACACGCCCACUCUCUCCCCUCUUCCCUCUCCUUUCUUCUCAUUUCUCUUUUUUUCUUUUAGCUUUUUUUUCUUCCCAUUUUUUUUUUUGGUGAUCGGCUCCCCAUCUACUCUCUUCCUUUUUUUUCUUUUUUUCUUCGCCCUCUGAACUCCCACACACGACCGACCCCCAUUUUGCUCUUCCAUUUUUUUUUCUUCUCUCUACAACCCUUCCCAAACACUGCCCCAAUACCCAUUUGUCGAGUCCCUUUCAUCCCCCCCUUUUUCCCAUUUUCUUCCUAACAUUUUCUCAUUACCUUCAUUUUUUUUUUCUUAUUUUUUUUUCAUUUUUCAAAAAGCCAUCAACCUUCAUUGUCGCUGGCAAGCCACCACCAGCCGGCAACCCCUUCCUUUUUUCUCUCAUUCCAUUAUCAUUUUUCUUAAUUUGAUUUUAAUAGUAAUUGUUGUUGGUGAGAUUUGAAUUAUUGAAUUAAUAUGAAAUUUGAGUUUUGUUAAUUAAUAUGGAAUUUGGGUUAAUUUGUUAUCGGAGAAUUAAUAUGAAAUUUGAGCUAAUUUAUUGUUGGUGAAUUAAUUUGAAUUUGUUAAUUUGGGUUAGAUUAGUUGAUAAUUUAUAAGGUUGUACUCAUUUGAAUUAUUUAAUUUGGAUAUGAUAUAAUAUUGUGGUAUAUUUUGGAUGUGGCUUUGCAUAUUAAAUUAGGUUGAUUUUGGUUGUGGAUUUAGGUUUGUAUAUUAAAUUAAGUUUGGAUUAUGAGAUAUUAAAUUUAGACCUAAUGGGAUUUAUUUUAAUUUAUCAUAUUUUGAGUUUGAUUAAUUGAGUUUAUAUUUUGGCUAUUAAUUUGGAAAUGUUAGAUUAUGAUCUAUGACAUGUGAGAUAUUUUUGUUGGAUUAUAUUUGUUAAUUUGAGCUCAUUUUUAAUUAGUAAAAUUUAUUGGACUAAUUUGAAAUUUGAAUUUGGACUAUUUUUGUUUUUGCAUGGGUCCAUUUUGCAAUUUUUUUGGCUGAGUACGAAUUUAUGACACGUGGAGCAUGAAAUUUCAUGGAAGAAAGUAAGACUUGAAAAGCUAUAGGAAGACAUUGAGCUUCUUGUUAGCUUAUUUGGAUACUUAUUUGAUUUCCCACUUAUAUUUGGUUUUAUUUAUAUUGGUUUCUGUAAAUAUUUAUUUAUGUAUGUUUACUUGUUCUGUACAAAAUUGAAUAUGGAACAAAUAAAAAAAAAUUAAAUAAGAGGAAUAAUUUAAUAAAUAUUUUUUAAUAAAAUAAUAAUUUUAAAAUAUUCUUCUUAAUAAAAGAAAGUGUUUUUUAUUAAUAAAAAUUCAGAAAAAUGAUUUUAGAAAAAUAAAAAAAAAAUGUUUUUAAUAGAAUUUGAAAAUUUGUUUUUAAUAAUAAUUGUCCAAAAAUUUCCGUGUUUAAUAAUAAUUGUUGAAAAAUUGUUCUGUAAAUAAAGUUGUCCCAAAAAUUAAUUUUUAAUUGAAAAUUCUUUUGCAAAUAAAGUUAUAUUUUUUUAAUAAAUUGUAUAUACCACUUUUCUUGAAUGACAACAAAUUGAAAUACUUUUGUAAACAAAAUAGUAAAAAUUCAUUCAAUUUUUGUAAAAGAAAGUAAAAGCAAUUUUUGUGCCCAAAUUGAAAUUUUGUAAUAAAUUCUUUGGUACAAUAAGUGUAAAUAAUUUUUUUUUUUUUAAAAAAUUGAAUACAAAUGAAAUUGAGAAAAUAAAUUGAAACUUUUUUUUUUUGUAAAUAAAUAAUUUGAAAUCAUUAAUUUGAAAUUGUUUUUAAUAAACUCCUUUGAAAUUUCUUGAAAAAAAAAAUAUUUCUUUUUAAUCAAUUCAAUGAAUUAAUUUGCAUAAUCCUCUUGUCAUUUAUUUUGUGUAUUCUUGUAAUUAGAUUUCAUUAUUAUUUUUAUGUAUAUUGAUUUUCACCAUGAUUUGUACAUUAAUUAUUUUUCUUGGCAUCCAUAAUUAAUUAAUUAAUUGCCACAAUUCCCUUAAUUCGUUUAGUAGAGGUCGUAUGGAUAUGGGCUUAGAGGGAUGUUACAGUCUUUACUAUAUCUUCCUAAUAAGUAGCCUGACCUCGAACCCAGGUUUGGUUUUUCACAUGUCAUUUUUUCCAAAUAAGGAGUUACACUUAGGGUGUCUUUUCUUAUUUUGUUUUCCCUUUAAAAAUAAAACAAAAAUAAGUAGCGACACCAAGUCUUUUUCUAAAACAAUAAAUUUUUUUCAAAUAAAAAAGUGAGUUCACCAUCUAGUGGGAGCGCCUGCACAAAAAUGCGGGGUCCACAAUAGGGAUGCUAAAGGUGCGAGUUCUAGAUGGAUCACUCCCAUCCCAACCUCGUCCCGUUUAUUUAUAUUAUUCUCAUCCUCACUCAAAAAUAAAUAAAUAAAUAGGGCUAGGUAGGGUAGGUAUAGGAAAUUCCCAUACCUACCCCAUCUCAUCCUGUUUAUUUUUAUUUUUAAAUUUUAAAAUAUAAUCUAUAAAUAAAGAAAUCUUAUAAAUAUCUAUAAUUUAUUUUUUUGAAAAGUAAUAUUUUAUGUAUAUUAAAAAAUUUUGAAAAAUUAAAAAAAAAUCAACUAAAAUAAUUUUUUAUUUAGAAUUAUGCAUAAUCGGGGUGGGGCGAAGUGGGAUAAAGUUGUACACAUACUCGCCCUAAACCCAUCCAGGUUUUCAAAAACUUCACAAACUUGUCCUGAACCCAUUUAUCUUUAUCCCAAUCUCUUCCUAUUUGGGGUGAGACGGGUAGGUAUUCGGAAAAACCUAUCCCAUUGUCAUCCCUAUUAUUGGAUUAUGAUGAAAUUAUCAGAUAUCUUAUAUUAAAGAGUAAAAUCACUCUAUAAAAGUAGAGAUACAUGUAGCAUGCACCAUGUAUAAAUCUAAUGGAUAUACAUUAAUGUUAUACCUAUAACAGUAUCAUGACCUGUGCUUUCUCCGUGUGAAAAAUUUUAAAAUAUCAAGGAUUAUUUCUGGUAUUAGAAGGAUGACUCUUUCCUGCCGUGGUUGUCUUGCAAGUAAUGAGAGGGACCGUGACAAAAUUUUCCAUGAAAAGAAGAAAGGAUAACCAUAUGAUCUUGUCCUUCUUGUGAUUUGCUCUACCAUAUUGCCCAACCAGUAAAAAACAAUGUCAUGAGAAUAUGGUCCGUUUGCAAUUAGGCUUGGCCAUGCUUGACUAGCAAAGAGGCAAAUGGCAAAAUCUUCUGGGUUUUGCCGUUUGCUGAGUUUAUUAAAAGAAAAAUGCAAUUUUACAAAUGAAAAUGUAAUUUAUCCGAGGAUACGUAAAUUUGUCUCUCCUCACUCAAUAUGCCCUAGACACAAAGUAGUUUUAGGAUCAUCAUUUUUUUCUCACUCAAAAAGAAGCUAUUGGCAAACAACGAUAAGUAUAACCAUUAGCAGCAAAACGAAGAUUGCUGCAACCUUUAAUCACAGUUACUUAAAAGUCCAUUAAAACUUGCUUGCAUUUUAUAGAUGUAUUUUCAUCUGUAUAGAACUUCACAUCUAUUCCUCCAUUUGCAUACAUAAUAAUCCAAAUUAUAUGUUUUAAUUAUUUGGGUCAACUUUCCACAUGGUUAGGAACAAAUAACGAAAAAAAGAAGUCAUAUCUAUUGACUCUUCUCACCACCCAACAGCAGAAGCAGACAACUGGCCCGUAGGUAGUGAGGACAUGAGCUUGACCCAUAGGCUAUGAAAAUGAGAUGGCUUUAAAAAACUGCUUGCAGAAAUUGAAAGAAAUGAAAUUUUACUCAGCACGCCAAUGUGGAAUUCUCAUUGUCAAUGCGUUUGAUAACAAAUUUCAGACUCAUUAAUCUAAAAGUUCAGAGUAAAGAGAGAAAUUGAAGUUGAAGGUCAAGCCAUGAAAAGCCUGGGAACUUGAGGGAUUAAAUUCAGCCGGUGACCAAAGCCAUAAAAGGAACUUGGUUUCUCCUGUUGAGUAAUGGUGUUUACAUAAGUCCACCCUAAAUUCCCAUGGCAAACUUAUGCUUAGGUUAGAUGCUCAUGUUGUGUCAGAUUCUUUACUUUUCGUGAAGUCCACCAGGAAAUUUGCAACCAUGCCUUUGUUAAUUAUUAAUCAUAGCUGAUCUUGAAGUAACUUUCAGUGUUCUUGCCAUUGUUAUAAUCCUUUAAUCUGGCAUUAGGCUUUCGUCUUUGACAAGCAAACGUUCAGAAUGAGACCUUUGGGUGAUAAAAUGAUUAUGCAAAUUGCAAAGGUUUGAACAAAGGUAUAAUUAAAAGUUUGAAGGAUUCGAAAUCCUAUUCGAGAGCUGCUACAACAAACCAUGGUAAUCAACUUUGUGGAAACUGAAUGGAGUAAAUUGCAGUGAGGUUGCAGCGAGGCAGCAACUACAUGAAAAAAGACAAGUCCAAGUUGAAGCCACAAAUAGAUAAUAAAUGGUGAAUGAAAGACUAGAGAAUGGAGUCAAGAUGAUAAGAUUGAAUAUGUGAGCAGUUGAAACUAAUAUGAAUAUUGAAAGUAUAAAGCUUGAAAAUGCUGAACUCACCUACAUCUGAAGAAACUUUAACUGUGGUUGCCAAGAAAAUUGAGUAAAGGCUAUGAAAGAAAAUAAAAAUUUUAAAUCAGAGAACCACCUGGGGCGGGUUUCAUCUAGGAAGAAAGAAACAUUUUAAGGGGCUUUUUGCAAUUACUCAUAAUUUUAUUUCACAGAUUGCUUCUCUUACAUUUACAAUGGCAUGAGAUCUGUUUGCAAUGAAUAACAUUUUUCAUAACUAGUUGUGUUAGACUGACAUUUCCAUUCAGAUAUAUUUGACUAGAUUUAUAAUGCCACGGAAAAAAGGUCUUAGAACUAUCUGACAAUUACCAUCCCGAUAAUUUGGAUUUCAUAUCAUCCAACAAUUGAAAAUAAGUAUACCUCCACACAUUGUUGAAUACUAACGGACCCAAAACAGAGCAAAACAACCCACCAGAAACCCCAAUGGCAUGCUCAGAUAGAACCACUUCAUUUCAAUCCAUUUAUCAUCAUCUUUAUUAGCAUUGCCUGAUAUUUGGCAUUGUGGUGCAUAAUCAUUGCUAAAAAAACAGCUAGGGUUAAAGUUUUGGAUUUGUGUUCCUCGUGAGUAUAGAUAUGUUGAAGACUGAUAAAUUCAAACUACAAGAACAUGGAUGAGUAUAGAAAAGUCAUAGAAGUGCUAUUUAACACACUUGGAAAACAAGGUUCCAAAUUUAUUUACAAUUACAAACACCAUCCUAGUAGUUUAUACUUGAUGUCAUCCAGGAACAGAAAAUAAGCAUAUCUCCAAGCUCUGUUGAAUACUAAUGGAGCCAAAAUGGCCCAAAAGCCAACCACAAAACCCCAUGGCAUACCCAAAUAGAACCAUUUCAUAUCAAUCCAUCCAUUGUCCUCUUCAUCAUCAUUGUCCGGAAUUGGACCUUUUGGUUUACCAUCUUCACCACAACCAUCAGUCAGUGGAGCUCCACAAAGCUCGGGGUUGGCAAUAAAACUGAAGGGACUAAAGCCAUGGAUUUUGGUGCCUGAUGGAAUUUUGCCAGAGAUUGUUGUACGUAUGACAAAUUUAAAUGGCUCAAAAAUGAUAUAUUUGCCAUACCUUGAGGAAUAACACCAGAAAAUCAAUUGAUGGAGAGAUCAAGAGACUCCAGUGAUGUCAAGGCCCCAAUCUUCACAGGAAUCUUCCUUUGGAGAUGGUUAUUAGACAGGUUCAAGAACAUCAAACCAUGGAGACGUGUGAGUUCUUCUGGGAUAUCGCCAGAUAACUUUUUGCUUGAGAGGUCUAUGCCAGCUAGGAGGCCAAGAGUUUUUUUGGACUCGUACUCUACUUCUUUCAUAACCAGUGUUGCUGAGUCGGUUAGCCCUCAUAAUAUCAUGUUCAUUAUGAAAAGGAAAGGGCGAACUUGAAUUUGAUUGUUUGAUCAUGCUGCUGAAAUUACCAAAGCAUCUGGGAAUGGUUCCAGUGAGUUUCCCAAGUCCAAGAUUUGAAGUGAAUCAAGGUGGCAGAGUUCAAGAGGAAUACUUCCAUUGAACUUAUUUGAAUGAAGGAUAAGAACCAUUAGACCCGGUGUAUAUGUAAUCUCAGCAUCCCCUGGUACCAUGUCAAUGAACUUUCCAUUGCAGUUCCCCAUCCAUGCUGGUAUGCUCCCUGUGAAUUCUUUCUCACUAAGGUCUAGAACCACUAGACUAGAGCAAUUUUUCAAUGGAAGUGGAAAGUGUCCGGAGAAACGGUUGUUGAGCAAGUGCAAUGAACCAAGCCAAAUUAGAUAACCCAUGGAGCUAGGUAUAUGUCCCGUCAGAUUAUUAUUUCCCAAUUUUAACAUCGUCAAUUCUCUCGAAUACAUCCAACAAUUGGGAAGUUCUCCUGACAAGAUUUCCUGAGAUGUCUAGACUCCAAAAAAUUUACUUCUUUAUCAGUUCUCCGACACAACAUGGGUGAAAGAGAUUCACAGAAUAAAUUAUUGGAGGGGUCUAGUUUUGCUACAUCAGAAGAGAUUUGGGGCAGUGGACCAGUGAAAUUGUUUGAGCCCAGAUAGAUAUCAAAUGAAUGUAAACUUGGAAUAUUUCCAAUGAUUUGGUUGUGAGAUAGAUCUACACUAAGAUAGGAUCCCGUCCAAAACCAAGCUGGGAUGACACUGGAGAUUCCUGCAUAGGGCAAGUUUAGACUUUCCAAAUACUUCUUUGUUUGAAGCCAUGCAGGAAAUUGAGGCCCUAGAAGGCAAGACGCCAAGUCAAUCUUGUGAGUUGAAAAGGAGUCGUCCAGUUGGAGCUGACUUGCAAAGUUAACAGGUUUGAAGGUGCAUCCAAUUCUUUUAAACUUGUUAGAUUGGCAAGGUGCUUUUCAGACAUAAUACCGUUGAAGAAGUUUUCCCUAAUGUUUAGAUAACUUGAGGAUGGAAUCCUUCCUAAUGAGAUAGGAAUCUGACCAGAAAACAAGUUUCCAUCAAUAGAAAGGUACGAUAAACUUUUUAAUUGGCCAAGUUCACUGGGCAAAUGACCUGAAAGCCGAUUUUUUCCCAAGUCUAAAUGUUCUAAACAUUUACAUUCUCCAAGAGUAUCUAGAAAAGAACCUAAAAGUUUAUUUCCUCUCAACCUUAAAAGCUCUAGACCUUUUCCAGGCCUAUCAUAUGACAAAUUCAAAAGUUGGCCAGUACAAAGAUUUCCUAGAAAUCUCAGUAUGUCUCCUUCUAGAGAAUGGAACUUAUUCAUUACCUGUAGCCAAUUUGAUGCCUUGCUUAGGUUCACAUUUGUCAUAUCAAGAAACUUUAGGAAGGUAAGACCAGAAAUCCAUUCAAUAUCCUUAGCAUUCAAAGAAUCUUUUCUGUAAUAAUCAGAAUUCCCAAUGUAAAGAUAAUGCAACUUGGAUGAAUUUCCAAGCUGAUGAGGAAUAACACCACCAAAACCUGCACUAGAGAGGUUAAGAUAUCUUAAAGUUGAGAGGGAACCAAAGAAUUCUGGAAUAUUAAGGCUCCCGAAGUAAUUACAGUUCAGGUCUAAGUAUUGAAGAUGCUUUAAGUCCAACAAAUAACUACACAUGAUUAUGAUUGAGGUGAUCAAGAAGAAUGAAAAAUGUAUUUCCAACUCAAGACAAUAUUAAACAUGGAGAGCACAGGUAGAAAUAAGAAAAAAAGGUAAUUGGCGCAAUAGAUCUAAAUUGAGAAAUGACAUGCUAAAAUCUAAAAAUCCUAGGAAUGUUUAGCAAAACAAGAGUACGAAAGAAAGUGAGUACUAGAAUUGUGGAAAGUUGAGACACUAUUAGAAUAAGAGUAAGGCUGCCAAAAAGGAUAGUGUCAAUAAGAUUGACACAAAAAGAAUUAGAUGAUGCUCAUAUUUGCUCUUUGGAGAGCAAGACUGAAUCAUGGGUGUAUGAUUCGACUAAUAGUUCCAUGUUACCUCAAGUAGAGAAUCAUUUAUUAACUAUAUCUUAAAUAAAUUAGGGAAACUGUAUCUAGGUGAUGACUAAGUGUGUGAUGUUAUUGGAAAAUGUGAAGUGCAGAUCAAACAAAAUGGGUUUAUACGGUUCUUCCAAACUUGAGGAAGAAUCUGAUUUUUAUUGGGCAAUUGACAAAAGAUGGCCAUGUGACAAUAUUUGAAAGUGGCACAUGGAAAAAAAAAAUCUUAAGGGGAGCUAUAACUACUACCCAUGGUAAGAAGAAUGGUUCUCUUUACAUGGCAACAAAUAGUUGUAGGUCUAUUACAAUUAAAGAAGAUCCAAAUCUGCGGCACCAUAGGCUUAGCCACAUAAGUAGUAUGUAAGAGGCUGAAAAUCAUGCGCUUGAAUGGGAAGUUGUUAGGUUUGAAGUUGGUUGACCUUGGCAUGUGUGAAAAUUGCAUAUGUAGGAAAUCAAGAAGGUAGCUUCAAGAAAGUUUGAAAAACCCUAAAAGAAGAAAAUUUUGAGUUAAUUCAUACGUACGUUUAGGGACCCCCUUCAAUUUCAUCAAUUGAUGGAAGGUCUUAUUUUGUGACUUUCAUUGAUGAUCAUUCAAGGAAAAUAUGAGUAUACUUUAUAAGGCAUAAAUCAGAAAUGUUUGAUAUAUUUAAGGGGUGGAAAACAAUGGUGGAGAAUAAGACAAUAAUGAGAAUCAAGAAGCUAUGGUCUAAUAAUGGUGGAGAGUAUGAAGACUACGAGUUCAAGAAGUUUUACUAUGAAAAUAGAAUUAAAUUGGAGAAGAUUGUGCUAAGGACACCCUAGCAAAAUGGUAUAGUAGAACGAAUAAGCAUGACACUAACUAUUAAGGCAUAAAAUACUAGAAAAUAUAUGGACUAGAAAAAAGGUGAACCUUUCUCAUUUGAAGGCAUUUGACUGUGACUCAUAAGUACAUAUUAUUAAUCAUGGUAGAAACAAACUUGAUGUUAAGUCACUAGAAUGUAUUUUCAUUGGUCAUGGUUUUGGUUAUGAGUUUUGGGAUGAUAAAAAAAGCAACUUUAAGUUGAAGCUCUUAUUUGAGUUGAACCAUGACGAUUAAGACUAUGUUUUAUUACCAAAAAAAAUUAAGAAAAAAAUGUUAAAGAAAACAAUUUUCUAUGUUUGGUUUAUCUUGAAAAAUAUAAAAAUGAUAUCAAAUAUAAUUAAAAUCAAUUAAAAACUUAUAUAUUUUCAAAUUAUUAAAAAUGAGUGCAAUGAGUUUGAAACACACUUGUGCACAUGUAAAUUUUUCAACAACCAAACAUAAGGUAAAAGAAUUUAUUUUUAAAAAAAUAAGAAAAGAAAUUUAAAAGUAAUUAUUGUUUAGUAAAGGAGUUAUAAGAGAUAAUCACUGAUCCAAAAUCAUAAGUUGCUUGAAAAAGUUGUUUUCUUGUAAAUAGAUUUGAACAUUCAUAGAAGAGUAGCAUUUUGAUUUCAUCUUUAAAAAGAAUCCUAUUAUUAUUUGUUCUUAUUUUUGUCAUUUUCCUUGUUAUCCAAAUAUACGAAAAUAUUAAUUUUUUAUAAAUAUUUUUCUCUUAUAUUAAAUUAGUACUUUUUAGAAACGAAAAUAAUAUUAAAGUUUUAGAAUAAAUUUUAUUACAUAAAUAAAAAAAAUCAUAGAAGUGAUGACUUACAAUAUAAAUAGGCUUUCCUUGAAUUUAACAGCUCACACUAAUUUCUAAUUAUAAGGACUAAAUAUGAAAAUUUUAAAUUAUUGACAACGACAAAUGAACAUGAGAGAAACAAAAAUAAAAAUACUUCUAUUAUUUAGUGAAAUUACUAGAAUGAUGAAUUCUAAAAGUUUUUGAAAUUUGCUCAAGACACCAGGAUUUUAAACUUCGGGAUUUUUAAGUUGAACCCGAAGAUAUUAUUUUUAUGAUAACUAACAAAUCUAUAUUUGAAGUCCAAUGACAUUAAAUGAAAAGACAUUGCACAUAUAUUUUUUAGAAACUACACCAUGAUGAAAUUAUCAUGUGUUAUAUUAAAGCAUAAAAAUCACUAUAAAAGUAGUAAUACACAUAACACUAUGUAUGAAUUUAAUGUCUCAUUGAUGUUACACCUAUAACAAUAUCAUGGGUUAUAGCUUUAUCCUAUUUCCGCCAAGCUGCUCAGCCAUAAUACAUUUCCAAGUUGAAUUAUUGUUUAUAGAAGGAUGACUCAAGUCUUUUGCCUAGUUUGACUUCCAAGUAAUGAGAGUGACCAUGAUAGUUUUCCAUGAUAGAAAAGAAAAGAUGACCAUAUAAUAUUGGACAAGCUUUUAUAAUGAAUUGUGAACCAUAUUGUGGUAACAGUAGAUUGUGGUGGAGGUAUUAUGAUAGGGAAAUAUGAUUGUUCCCAAUCACACUUUUGGAAGGAUAUAAAGUGUCAUUAAUGCCAUAAAAAAAUCUAUAAGAAGGUACUAUGAAGGAUUGACAAAACACCUAGAAGUAAGGAAAAAUCUUGAAUCCAAGAGACUAUAGAUUCUACUUCUAUUGUUGAUGGAGAGUGGUGAGAAAUGUGAUGUUCUUUCUAUUAUAGUUGAUGAAAAUUUCGUUGACUCUUGAAUUUUAAAUUCUAAAUGGUUUAUAUAUAUAUAUAUAUAUAUGUUCAUAUAAGAAGUGAUUUGAUGCUUGUAGGAAUGUAAUGUUUGUAUUAUUUAAAUAGGCAAUGAUUCAAGCUCUAAAAUCAUUCUUAUUGAUGCAAUAGAAGUGACAAUACUUGAUGAUAUUGUAAGGACAUUCAGUAAUGUCAAACAUGUUGAUAAGUUGAGGAGGAGAUUAUUCUUUUUGGGAGGUUUGGAAACUUUGGGCUAUGAUUUUUUUUUUUUUUUUUUGCAAAUAAUGAUAUUAUAAAUAUCAAUAAAGGUGCUUUGAUAGCUAUGAAAGGGAAAAUGUUGACAUAUAUCUUGAUUGGAAAGACAGUUUUAGGUCGAGAAUGAAAGUGGAACAAUGCCAUAAAAAGUCUUUUGCUAGUAUUAAAGAAGUUGUCGAAGUAGAUGAAGAUGACAAGAUGAUCAAAACUCCGUUUUCAACUAAAAGUACUUGUCAUUGACACAAAAAUGAGAGUAAUUUCAAAAUAAAUGAAGUUAUGAAGAAAACAAAGAUGGUUUCUAGAGUCAAGUUCAAUGGGAGUUUGAACUUGACACAUUUAUUCUCAUUAAAUGCAUAGGAUUGAGAGAACUUGAGUCAAGGAGGAGAUUGUUAGUAUUUGACUCAAAUUAUUUAUUUUAAAUUUUUAGGAAGGUCAAAAUUUAUAGAGCUUGUAUUUUAUUAAAUUACUUUCUUUAAGUUACUAGAAUUGAUAUAUGUGUGAUGAUGAUCUAUUUCUCUUUCUCUUAUGUGCUUUCCCAUGUUUAUGUUUAUUAUGCUUUGCCAUUUUUGUGACAAAGAGGGGAAAAUCAUUAAAUAUUUUUUUAAUUAAAAUAGGGGGAGAUCACUUAAAUAGGGGGAACAUAGGCAUAAGUAUAGAGAUAUUUGAGAAAAGAUAAAGAAACUCCCUAAAAAAUUAGGAAAACUAAUAUUUUUUUGAGAAAAGAUUAUUCAAUUCAUUCAUUCAUUCAUUCAUUCAUUUAAUUCUUAAGGGAAAUUAACUGAAAUAUUAGAGGAAAUUAAAUUUGAGACAUUAGAGAAAACCAAAUCAACUGUUAAAAGCAUAACUUCGAAAGUUUAGAGUGUCCAACAUGGAUGUUUCCUGCAAGAUAUUUAUGCUUGAAUUGACUAUCUCUCCAGAACUAUUCUAAGUCUCAAAAUCUCCUUCCCAUGAACUUUAAUGCAUCUAUCAUGUUUGGUGAUAGACCUCUAGGUAUCAUUGUUGAUCUACUUUGUCUUAUCAAGCUUCUAUUAUAUUUGGUUGAUUUGCAUACAUAUAUAUUCCUCUCAAGAUUUGCUAUACACCUUGGUGUCAUUAUAGGAAUUUGUGAUUUUUUCAUGCUUUUACAAGGCAUCAAGCAAAACCUCUAACUAUCUUGUUUUGCAUUCUCAACAUUAUUUUAUCCCUCACACUGCUUUACUUUUGGUAUGUUUUUUGUUAUGUUUGUAGGUUACAGGGCUGGAAGAUAAGUACUAUAAACUGAUGCAAAGCAUUCUCUUAAUUUAGUUUUAAUUGAGCAUUAAUGUGUGUUAUGUAAACUCCGUUAUGAGAGUUUGGGUAGGUUUAUGUAACAAUGUUUUGUCACAAAUUGCCAAAAUGGUAGAUUAUUAAGACAUUGAAUAUUGUUUUUAUGUUGGCAAUUUAGUUAUUUUUUAUAUUUGGUCAUAAAAGUCUUUUUAGAUAGUGACUUGCUCUCCAUUAAAAAUCAAGAGUUGUUAACGUCAUAGAUACGUCUAAAGAGGUUUGGUUUGUGACAAAUUAGGCUUCGUUGAGGUAUUAAGCGGAUUGAUUUUUGGUUUUGAACUUAAAAUAAUUUUAAAAUUGAUUUUUAAAAGAAAACAUGACUACUUAAGCAAGCCAUACAGCUCAAGCACCCAAGGCAUUUAAGCGGUGGGUGAGUUAGCUCAAGUAGUCAUGCUAAUUCUAUUAAGUUUUUCAUGCAAAUUCAAUUAAAAACCUUCCAAAAUCAAACUCUUCGAGCUUUUGCCUAUAAAUGCCUCCCUAUUAAACCUUUGAGGAUUAAAGAUCGAAGAGAGAUCUUUUAAGUGAUUGAAAGGAGAUCACAUGCAUAUUCUCUAGAAAGGGUUUCCUAGAGAGAAAGCCUAAUGUGUCACACCAUUCUCGAUCUCUCAUUUAAGGAUUAGUGAUUCGUUCCCAAUUGGUGUCUCAGCUGAUUCAUGUCCUCUCAAUGGUCCCUGACAGUGGUGCCAUUUGAUUCGUGUCCAGCUGGUGUCCCUUAAUUGUGGUCCUCAGGGAGUAAUCAACAAAAUUUAUAACCUAUUACACCAUGUACUAGGAUAGCCUUAGCUAGCAUAGCAUAGUGGCUCUAGGGUCGUUCACUGGGAUGGGCUUUCACUCUACAAUUGAUAUUAAUUCAAAGUUGAAUUAGUGCCUUUUCAUUUCAAGGUUAGCUUUAAAAGAAAACAUAAAUAUGUUUAAAUGAAAAAGGUUUGGUUUUAAACUAACCAAAAAUAGUAACUGAUUUUACUUACAAAGAAAAGUGUUUCUUGGAUUUUAGAUCACUAGGUUCAGGUUCCUUAUACAAAAAGGAGAGUUCCGGUCACUUUUUUCUUUUCCUCGCAUUAGAGAAUUAACAUAUAGUUAAUUCUCUAACCGGUGUGGUACAGAUGCUUCCCCUUAAUGGGUUCAAACACUAAAUCCCUCUCACUGAUGCACCUUGCAAUGACUCGUGCCUCUCACCUAGCAUUUGCCAUUCAAGGUGAUCUUUAACCUUGGAUUACCCGUCAAAAGCUCGCAAGAGAUAACUAAUGGAUGUCUCCUUAGAGUCCAAAAGCUUACCAAGUGUUGGCUAUUUUAGAAAAUCCUACCUUCAAACCACCUCCCAAAGGCUCUCAAGAGAUAAACUAGUGCAUCUCAAUGAACGGAGAUCACUUGCCUUAUCAAGUGUUGGCCCAAGUGAGUUAAAGGCGUUUUAAGUUAACUAAAAAGAUAAAAACCAUUAACGGGUCAUACUUUCUCUUCAUUAAAAACUAAAACAACAAAACUUCCAAUUUAUGCAUGAAGAAACUUACCCGGCUUUCUUCACUCCAAGAGACGAAGAGCCUAGCCACUCAUCCUUUGAGGAAAAAUCCUCAGAGUUUGGUUGGCUAGAAAUAAAAAGAACGAGAAAACAAAAAUAUAUAGGAAAAACAGAGCAAGUGCUCUGUAAAAUAUAUUUCUUGCUUAUAUAAAAGGUUGUCUCCAAGAACAAGCUCUCGAGAUCUAUAUUCUAUAUUCUCCGUUUGUAAAGAAAAUUACAACUAUAUAUAAGAGGUUAUUCACCCCUUUGUUCUUACUUAAAGACUAAGGAAUCCUAUGAUAGGUGGGUUACAAGGAGACUUUGGGGAUUUAGACAACAAAUAUCUAAAGCAAUUCCACUGCACUGUGCAAAAUGGAGACUUGGUCAUCAGUAUUAUCAGAGUUUGCUUUUUUAUUGUGGGCGGAAAUAGAUCUGGCAAAUCAUGAAUGUCUGACGAGCCAAGCUAUCCGGGAAAUCUGAAUUGGGGGCUGUGGAUGCUUUCCGGAUAAGCGCUAUCAUAAGAUCCAGACAUGUCUGACCGGGGAAGUUGAAACGUCCUCCUCUCCCAUCCGGAUGUGAGAUAUCCGAUUAGAGGAUCCGGACAUGUCUGACCGGAGAAGUUGAAACGUCCUCCUCUCCCAUUCGGAUGUGAGAUAUCCGGAGAAGGUGGAAUGUCAGCUGGACAGAAUUCCUCCCCUGGUGGAAUGAGCUAUGUUGCAAGGGGGACCGUCUGCGUGUGCAAGGUGUAGGGACCCCUCCCCCUGAUGACACGGAGCGCGCAAGGCUAUCCGGAUCAACUCCAUCCAGAUUCCCCAAGAGGACAUGUGGCGCUCUCCUAUCCGGACUCCCUCAGGGAGAAGCACACGACACUCGUGAACAUCACACCCGGACGAUAGCAUAUCCUAUCCAGAUAUGUUGUCCGGAUCAUUGACUUAAAGUGAGCAAGUCUUGCUACGUCAUUCCGCCGCCCUCCGAUGGUGUGUUCGGGGAUCUUUUGCUCCUUGCAUUCCGGAUUUGCUUAUGGAAAAGGACUUCAAAGCUUCGGUUCUUCAUGUUUCUGAGCUUUCCAUUGCUUUGCCAUGGAUUCCAAAGAACUCUCCUCAAUCACGGAUUGCUUUGGUGAUAAAAAAGUUAUCAAAACACCAAAAUUUAACACAAUUUGAUUAGAAUUGAUUGCAAGGGUCCUUAAUAUGUUAAUUGGGUUAAAAGGUGAUAAAUACUACUCAAAAGUGUUUAAAAUAGUUAAUUACAAGCUAUGAAAUAGCACUUUUUGAGUAGUAAUCACUCCCCCCAACCGACAUAUUGCUAGUCCCUUAGCAAUGAAGGAGAGAAAAAUAAAAAUAAACAGUACUAUAAUUUACAACAUCAUGUUGAUCAAAAAACAAUUUUCAAGUGGCAUGAUGAUCUAACUCUCACAUGGAACAUUAAAGAAAUAAAACUCAAACUUCAACAAGAGUUAUCAAAUAACUUGUCUAAUCACAAUUCUUAAAGAGAAGGCAUUAUGCAAAUUUAAGCUUUAAAAGAGUUUCCACUCCCAAAGGGUCAAACCUUACUCUUCCACAAAAAUCUAAGUGUUAUUUAUUAGCUUCCGAAUAUAGUAUGUUGAACUAAUCUCUCCCCCAAACCUAGUUCUUUUUCAAAGCUUAGCAAACUGAUCAACCUCCAAUAGGCUAAGAACGCACCUCUUGUUUCACAAUUUUUUUUCAUUGUAGGAGUACAAGGCUUAAAGGUAUUCUUUUCUAAAUUGUCCAUGUAACGGGGGUCCAUCGAUGACUCCCAACCAAUUAAGGUUUAGGGCAUCAAGUUUUAAGGAUCUUUCAACCACUAACUCCUCGGAUUUUACCCCGGACUUUUGAGAAUGAAUUUUAAUACCCAAGCACCUACAGUAUGUUAAACUCCACCUAUCCACCCUUGUAACAAGCAUUGAGGUCGGUGACUCCCAACCAAUUAAGGCUUAGGGCACUAGGUUUUAAAGAUUUUCACCAUAUACCUCUUGGACCUUGCUCGGGUUUCAAGGCAAGCAAACAUUUUUCUUUUUUUCUUUCUUUAUCUUUUUUCAAAGGCUCAUUGGCCUUUUAUAAGGUGUCCCAACACUAUUAAAAUGAGGUCAAAGGUACCAAGUCUAAAAUUUUCCUAAGUCAAGAGGGAAAUAGUUUUUCAUCUUAUACUCGGAACCUAUUGUGCACAGUGUGUGAAUAACUUAAAGUGGAAGAACUAAGGUUGAAUUCAAUAGAAGUUUAAACAAUUCAUCAACUUUAGUAAGCAUAAUACAAAAUCUAAGUCAAGUAAAAAGACAAAAAUUCAAUUUCUCUCAUUUCAUUUUGAAAAUUUUUCCUUAAUAACCAUGGAGAGUAGAAUAAAAACUUAAAAAAUUUUAAAAUUAAGCAAAAAGCAACUAAAUUACCAAAAUAACUUAGCAUUUAUAACAAAAACUUCCUUCCUCAACUCUCCCCCCAACCAAGCUGAACAUUGUCCUCAAUGUGAUAAAAGUGAUUGAAAAAUAGGGAGGAAGUGGUACCUCCUGAGUGACAUGGAGUCUGAGUCGUAUAGGAGAAACCACAUGUUAAAAAAAAAACAAAAGAGUUAGUGAGUAGAGGAAAUAGAAAAAUGCCAAGUUUAAACAAAAAUAAUGUCUAUAUAUGAUGUAUCAUCAGUAAUACAUCCAAUCCUAGAAUAUAAGACAUCAAAAUAUGGAAUUAUGUAUACUAAUAUAAUAUGUAAAGACAAAAAGUAAAAGAGAUGAUCAAGUAAUGGUAGGGUCCUGUGGAGCUGAUGCAUCUAUGGUGGCUUCUUGAGUGGGUUGGAUCAGGACUUUGGCCUCUGUUCUGGUAGUCUCCUUAGGUGGCAUAGUCUCCUCAGCUGGAGUUAUGGGCCUUGAUGGUUUUAAGGAGGUCAGAAAUGGAAUGAGAGGCUUCAUGUGUGUGAUCUCAGUGAGAGGGCUUUCCUCUUUAGAUGCAUGGUUGUGAGGCUCUAUUGGCAUUUUCACAAUUUUCCUUGGCUUCACAAGGUGUUUUCACAAACCAUUUCGUUGCUUGGAGAUCAUCUUGCAGCGGAAGGGAAAAAAGAAAAACAUUUUCGUAGCCCAUUUUGAAGCUUGAAAAUCAUUUUACAGUCAUUUUGAAGCUUGGAGAUCAUUUCACAACCAUUUGGAAGUUUGGAAAUCAUUUGGCAACAAAAUGGGAAUUUCGCAGCCCAUGUUCUCUCCUUGCUUUUGAGCUCCUCUUGAUUCCUAGCUUCCUUCUUUCACCUCUUUUGACAUUCCUCCUGAUUUUGAUCAUCCAAAAACCUAUAUUACAUCAAAACAAAUUAGGAUUAAAGCAUUAAAAUCAAAAUUAAAACAUUGAAAUCAAAAUUAAAACAUGGAAAUCAAAAUUAAAACAAGUAAUAAGUAAAACAAAAAGAUAUGGACUAGCUAGUCUUUAGAAAGACUAAGUCCAUCAAAAAAUUUGAUCCUGAUUUAGCUUGCCCAGAUCCCAUAUGAAGUUUGCAUCCCUCACUUGAGACUUGCUUUGUAUGAUUUUCCCAUACAAAGCUUGGGGGAAAGGUGGAGGCAUGUGUUUCUUCAUUUCUUCCUUGAUGACUAUCUUCUGUGGUUUUCCUUGUAUAUUAACAUCAUAGCCAUCUUUCUCUAUCCUUUUCCCCUUUUUCUUUCCUUUGAUUUCCUCCCUCUUUUCUUUCUCUGUUUCACUCUCUACCUUAUGCUCUAGCUUAGAUGUGGGCAUAUCAACCUCUUUAUCACUCCUCAAAGUGAUAACCGUUUCAACUUCCUUCACCAUUGAAGAUUCUCCCUUUUGAGCUUCCACUUCAUGGAUACCCUUGGAAUUUUGAUAAGGUUGAGAAGGAGAGUUUCCUUUUUCUUGCACUGUGUUGAGGUUGGCAAACCUUGAGAUUGAAUAUUGGAGAUUAUUUAUCUUCUGAGAUAGAUCAUUUUGCAUUUCAUCCAUCUUUUUGUUCAAUGAACUCUCUACACUGUCAAUUCUUUGAUUGAGCUGAGCAUUGAUGGAUUUUUGAGCUCCAACAAAGUCUCCCACGACCUUGCUAAGAUUCACCAUAGCUUGAUGAAGGUUUGAGGCUUGCUGAGGUGCUUGAGCAGGUUGCUGGUACUGAGGUGGUUGUGGUUUCCAAGAGAAAUUUGGAUGGUCCCUCCAAUUGGAAUUGUAGGUGUUGCAAUCACCAAACAUUUCUCUCAUCGUUGGAAUGGUAGGAUACUCUUCCACCAAGUGCUCAUAAGAUAGACAAAUGGCACAAGGCAUAGCUUGCAAUGGUGUCUGAGAGAUGGCUUGCACUUCUUGCAUCUUCUUCAUUUCUAGCUCUUCCAAUCUCCUUGCCAUAGCUGCAAUCUUUGCCUUCAUGUCUAUGUUGUCAUUCAAAAUAUACAUCUCACCCUUAGCAUUAGGUUGAGACUUCAUUCUUCCAAUAUCUCUAGCAUUUGGUUUAUCCCAUCUUCUUGAAAUUUCAUCCACAUAACUCAUGAAGUUCAUGGCUUCCUCUGCUAUCUCGUAUUCAACAUGGCAUGCACAACUAGCAAUUUGAGAAUUAAAAACAGAGAAAACAAAAGAAACAAAAAUUCUAAAGAAAAAAUUAUUAAGAUUAACUAAAGCUAUACUAAAAAUAUGAACAAAGAAAAAGAAACAAAUAAAAAAAACAUUAGUAAAAAGAAAAGAAAAGUCACCAAACUUGUGAUGAAGAUCACAAGUACUCUGAAAAGGUCAUAUCACUAUAAAGUGGCACCAUCCUUGGCAACAACACCAUUUGAUUCGUUCCCAAUUGGUGUCUCAGCUGAUUCAUGUCCUCUCAAUGGUCCUUGACAGUGGUGCCAUUUGAUUCGUGUCCAGCUGGUGUCCCUUGAUUGUGGUCCUCAGGGAGUUAUCAACAAAAUUUAUAACCUAUUACACCAUGUACUAGGAUAGUCUUAGCUAGCAUAGCAUAGUGGCUCUAGGGUCGUUCACUGGGAUGGGUUUUCACUCUACAAUUGAUAUUAAUUCAAAGUUGAAUUGGUGCCUUUUCAUUUCAAGGUUAGCUUUAAAAGAAAACAUAAAGAUGUUUAAAUGAAAAAGGUUUGGUUUUAAACUAACCAAAAAUAGUAACUGAUUUUACUUACAAAGAAAAGUGUUUCUUGGAGUUUAGAUCACUAGGUUCAGGUUCCUCAUACAAAAAGGAGAGUUCCGGUCACUUGUUUCUUUUCCUCGCAUUAGAGAAUUAACAUAUAGUUAAUUCUCUAACCGGUGUGGUACAGAUGCUUCCCCUUAAUGGGUUCAAACACUAAAUCCUUCUCACUGAUGCACCUUGCAAUGGCUCGUGCCUCUCACCUAGCAUUUGCCAUUCAAGGUGAUCUUUAACCUUGGAUUACCCGUCAAAAGCUCGCAAGAGAUAACUAAUGGAUGUCUCCUUAGAGUCCAAAAGCUUACCAAGUGUUGGCUAUUUUAGAAAAUCCUACCUUCAAACCACCUCCCAAAGGCUCUCAAGAGAUAAACUAGUGCAUCUCAAUGAACGGAGAUCACUUGCCUUAUCAAGUGUUGGCCCAAGUGAGUUAAAGGCGUUUUAAGUUAACUAAAAAGAUAAAAACCAUUAACGGGUCAUACUUUCUCUUCAUUAAAAACUAAAACAACAAAGCUUCCAAUUUAUGCAUGAAGAAACUUACCCGGCUUUCUUCACUCCAAGAGACGAAGAGCCUAGCCACUCAUCCUCUGAGGAAAAAUCCUCAGAGUUUGGUUGGCUAGAAAUAAAAAGAACGAGAAAACAAAAAUAUAUAGGAAAAACAGAGCAAGUGCUCUGUAAAAUAUAUUUCUUGCUUAUACAAAAGGUUGUCUCCAAGAACAAGCUCUCGAGAUCUAUAUUCUAUAUUCUCCAUUUGUAAAGAAAAUUACAACUAUAUAUAAGAGGUUAUUCACCCCUUUGUUCUUACUUAAAGACUAAGGAAUCCUAUGAUAGGUGGGUUACAAGGAGACUUUGGGGAUUUAGACAACAAAUAUCUAAAGCAAAAUAUCUCAAAAACUCGGUCGGAAAUAUCAGGAAGCUUCAGGAGAAAUUCUGCUGCACUGUGCAAAAUGGAGACUUGGUCGUCAGUAUUAUCAGAGUUUGCUUUUUGAUUGUGGGCAGAAAUAGAUCCGGCAAAUCGCGAAUGUCUGACGAGCCAAGCUAUUCGGGAAAUCUGAAUUGGCGGUUGUGGAUGCUCUCCAGGUAAGCGCUAUCAUAAGAUCCGGACAUGUUUGACCGGGGAAGUUGAAACGUCCUCCUCUCUCAUCUGGAUGUGAGAUAUCCGAUUAGAGGAUCCGGACAUGUCUGACCGGAGAAGUUGAAACGUCCUCCUCUCCCAUCCGGAUGUGAGAUAUCCGAAGAAGGUGGAAUGUCGGCCGGACAGAAUUCCUCCCCAGGUGGAACGAGCUAUGUCGCAAGGGGGACCGUCUGCGUGUGCAAGGUGAUUACUACUCAAAAAGUGCUAUUUGAUAGCCUAUAAUUAAUCCUUUUAAACACUUUUGAGUAGUAGUUUUGGCCUUUUAACUCAAUUGGCAUGUUAAGGAUCCUUUAAAGCAAUUUUAAUCACUUUGUGCAAGUUUUGGUGUUUUUGUUAGUAUUUUGAUCACCAAAGCAAGUCAAGACUGAGGAGAGCUAUGAGGAAUCUUGGGCAAAGCUUAGAAGUCAUUUGCCAAGAGUGAAUCCGGAUUGCAAGGAGAAAAAGCAAAGAGAAUCUGCCAUAAAGCAUAUUCUUGAUGACAGUCGUAGCAGUCGCUUUUGGAGCACUUUCUGAAGUCCAAAUAAUGCAUGCUAUAUACCAUUUCAAAGUUCAGGAAGUCAAAAAUCCAAUGCUUCAAACGGUGUGCAAUUCGAAGUUGAAACGAAGAAGUUGUAGCCAUUACAAGCCAAUCACUCCGAGCUGAAGGAAGCAUUUUGCAAAGAGUUGCGAAAUCACCCUUUUGUUGCGAAGUGAUUUCGCAGCAUUUUUGUACAGUAAGGUGUUUCUCCUUCUGACGAUGCACGAUUUAUGCCGCGAGAAAAGCUUGGAACCUCAAGGUGGAAGCCAACUUCGCAGCCCUGUGAAGAUAGCUUGGUGUUGCGAAAAUAUUUCGCAGCCCUCUUGAGUGUCUGCGAAAUCUUGCAGACACCAUUUUUCCCCUGCGAAAUGGUUCCUGAAGCCUCCCGAUAUUUGCUAUCGACAUUGGGAGAUAUUUUCCAUUAGAUUUUUGUUGUCUAAAUCCCAAAAUACUCCUUGUAAACCACCAAUUACAUGAUUCCUUAGUUUUUAAGUUAGUAAAAAGACUAAAUAUCUAUGUAAUAAUUAGUUUUAUAUUAUGUUCAUAUAUAUACCUCUCGGGAGCCUGUUCUCAGAGAGGAGUUCCUUCUGUAAAAGUUUGGGUAAGCAAGUAAAGUCUAUUUUCUUUCUACUGCCUUACCUUCUCACUUUGUAUUUUCAUUUUAUUUCUAACUUAUGAAUUCUUUGAGGAGUUUUCCCCAGAGAAUGAGUAACUAAACCUCUAAUUCCUUGGAGCUAAGGUUGCCGGGGAUGGUUCCAAGUGCAAGAAUGCAAAGCUCUGUGGUUUUAGCUAGUAAUGAAGAGAAAGUGAAAUCCUUUAGUGAUUUCUAUGUUUUUAGUUAACUUAAAACACCUUGGAGUCACCUGGGCCAACACUUGGUAAGGCAAGUGAUUUCCAACCAUGGAAGUGCACUAGUUUACCCCUUGCGAGCCUCUGGGAGGUGACUUCAGGGUAGGAUUUUCUAGAAUAGCCAACACUUGAUAAGCUUUUGGACUCCAAAGAGACAUCCAUUAGUUAUCUCUUGCGAGCUUUUGACGGGUAAUCCAAGGUUAAAGAUCACCUUGAAUGGUUAAGGCUUAGUGAGAGGCUUAAACCAUUGCAAGUUGCAUCAGUGAGAGAAUUAAAGUGAAAUCUAAUUGAAGGAGUCUCUGUACAACACCGGUUAGAGAAUUAACUAUAUGUUGAAUCUCUAACACGAGGAAAUGAACCAUCUGACCAGAGCCGUGUCUUUUGCAUGAGGAACCACCCUAGUGAACCUAACUCUCCAAGGAAUGUUUUCUUCCUAAAUUAUUCCAAACUUCUGUUAUGUUAGUUAGUUUAAGUCUAAAUCUUUACCAAUCAAAGUUUGUGUUUUACUCUUAAGCUAACCUUGAAAUGAAACAAGACCAAUUCACUUGGAAUUGGUAUCAUUGAUUGCUUGUUAAUCAUUCCCAGUGAACGACCCUAGAGCCACUAUACUAUAGUAGCUUUUUCUUUGCUACCCUAGUGUAUGGUGUUAUAGGUAAUAAAUUUUGUUGAUCACUCCCUUAAUCAAGGAGCACCAGCUGGACACAAAUCAGCUGAGACACCAAUUGGGCAUGAAUCAAAUGGCGCCGCUGCCGGGGAAUGAGUGUCAAGUUUAUAUUGAUACCAUUUUUGAGCACUUGUAAUUUUCAUCACAAGUUGGUAAAGUUUCUUUCACUUUACUAAUUUUCAUUCUUUCUUUGUUUAUUCAUAAUCUAAUUUUAUCUUUUAAAAUUUAGUCUAGUUUAAUUUUGCUGUUGUAGCCUUGUUUCUCUUGUUGUCCUCUGUUUUUAUUUAAGUUGCAGAUAGAUACUAGUUGUGUAUGCCCAAGUGGAUACGAGACAGUGGAGGAAGGCUUGUUAAGUGUGAUACACCUCAGAGAAGAGAAUUGGAAGUAAUCUUGAAUAUCAUGGAAGCUACACCUAAAGAUCAGCAUAGUCACCAAGGUCGUCAAGAUAAUCUCAAUGAAUUCAAAUCAAUGAGGGACCGUAUGCAUCCACCUCGUAUGAGUGCACCAUCAUGUAUAGUGCCCCCUACAGAGCAGCUAGUGAUCAGACCGUAUCUUGUUCCACUUCUACCAACUUUCCAUGGGAUGGAAAGUGAGAAUCCGUAUGCACACAUCAAGGAAUUUGAAGAUGUUUGUAAUACAUUUCAAGAGGGAGGAGCUUCAAUUGAUUUGAUGAGGCUUAAGUUAUUUCCUUUUACUUUAAAGGAUAAGGCCAAAAUUUGGCUUAAUUCUUUAAGGCCAAGGAGUAUCCACUCUUGGACUGAUUUACAAGCUGAAUUCCUCAAGAAAUUUUUUCCUACUCAUAGAACAAAUGGCUUGAAAAGGCAAAUUUCAAACUUCUCAGCUAAAGAGAAUGAGAAAUUCUAUGAGUGUUGGGAAAGAUACAUGGAAGCUAUAAAUGCUUGUCCUCACCAUGGCUUUGAUACUUGGCUAUUGGUGAGUUAUUUUUAUGAUGGUAUGUCCUCCUCAAUGAAGCAACUCCUCGAGACAAUGUGUGGAGGAGAUUUCAUAAGCAAAAAUCCAGAGGAAGCUAUGGAUUUCUUGAGCUAUGUAGCUGAUGUUUCAAGGGGAUGGGAUGAACCAACUAAAGGAGAAGUGGGAAAGAUGAAGUCUCAGUUGAAUGCUUACAAUGCAAAGGCUGGGAUGUAUACCUUGAAAGAGGAUGAUGACAUGAAAGCAAAGUUGGCAUCUAUGACAAGAAGAUUGGAGGAGCUGGAGCUGAAAAGAAUACAUGAAGUGCAAGCUGUUGCUGAAGCACCAGUGCAAGUGAAGCUGUGUCCCAAUUGUCAAUCAUUUGAACAUUUGGUGGAGGAAUGCCCUGCAAUUCCAACUGAAAGGGAAAUGUUUAGAGAUCAAGCAAAUGUUGUUGGACAAUUUAAGCCCAAUAACAAUGCGCCAUAUGGAAAUACCUACAACUCAAGUUGGAGGAAUCAUCCAAAUUUCUCAUGGAAGGCCAGAGCAACUCAGUACCAACAGCCGGAUCCACCAUCUCAGCAAUCUUCAAGUAUUGAACAAGCAAUGGCUAAUCUCAGCAAGGUAAUGGGAGAUUUUAUUGAAAAGCAAGAAGCCACUAAUGCUCGAGUCGAUCAAAUAAUUGAUAGAGUGGAGAGUAUGUUGAAUAAAAGGAUGGAUGGAAUGCAAAAUGAUAUGAAUCAAAAGUUUGAUAACAUCCAAUAUUCAAUUUCAAGGCUUACAAAUUUGAAUACACUGCAAGAAAAGGGAAGAUUUCCUUCUCAACCUCACCAAAAUCCCAAAGGUGUCCAUGAAGUGGAAAGCCAAGAGGGAGAAUCAUCACAGGUGAAGGAUGUCAAAGCCUUGAUCACUCUAAGGAAUGGUAAAAAAAUUGAGCAACCAACACCCAAGCCACAUGUUGAGAAAGAAGAAGAGAUAAAGAAAGGGAAGGAAAUGGAAGAUAAAGAGAGUGAGAUCAGUGAAGAAAAGAAGGACUCUGAUUUAACAAUGAAUGCAAUUCCACAGAAGGAGCUUCUGAAGGAAGAAAUGCUGAAGAAAUCAACUUCUCCACCUUUUCCUCAAGCAUUACAUGGGAAAAAGGGGAUUAGAAAUGCAACUGAAAUCCUUGAAGUAUUGAGACAAGUGAAAGUUAAUAUUCCACUGCUGGAUAUGAUCAAACAAGUUCCAACGUAUGCAAAAUUCCUAAAGGACUUGUGUAUUAUCAAGAGAGGGUUGACUGUAAACAAGAAAGCCUUCUUGACUGAGCAAGUAAGUGCAAUCUUACAAUGUAAGUCUCCUUUGAAGUACAAAGACCCUGGAAGUCCUAACAUUUCAGUCAUGAUUGGAGGAAAGGUAGUGGAGAAAGCCUUGCUAGAUUUGGGAGCAAGUGUGAAUUUGCUUCCAUAUUCCGUCUACAAGCAAUUGGGACUUGGAGAGUUGAAGCCAACAGCAAUCACUCUAUCUCUGGCAGAUAGAUCAGUGAAAAUUCCAAGAGGGGUAAUUGAGGAUGUAUUGGUUCAAGUAGAUAAUUUCUACUAUCCAGUAGAUUUUAUUGUUCUUGAUACAGAUCCUACUGUAAAGGAAGCUAAUUUAGUUCCUAUCAUCCUUGGAAGGCCAUUUCUUGCUACUUCAAAUGCAAUUAUCAAUUGUAGAAAUGGGCUUAUGCAACUCACUUUUGGUAACAUGACACUGGAUCUCAAUAUUUUCUAUAUGUCUAAAAAGCAAAUCACUCAGGAAUAAGAAGAAGGUCCAGAAGAGCUAUGUAUUAUUGAUACUUUGGUAGAGGAGCACUGUAAUCAAAAUAUGCAAGACAAGUUGAAUGAAAGUCUUGAGGAUAUUGAGGAAGGUUUUUCUGAAUCUCCUAUUGGGCUUGCUAAUCUACAAAGUUGGAGAAAGAUAGAAGAGAUUCUACCUUUGUUCAAUAAGGAAGAGGAGGCAGCUGUUGAAAAAGAAAUUCCAAAACUCAAUCUGAAGCCUUUACCUGUGGAGCUGAAAUAUACAUAUCUUGAAGCAAAUAAUCAAUGUCCUGUUGUAAUAUCUUCAUCUCUGACCAGUCAUCAAGAGAAUUGUUUAAUGGAAGUUCUCAAGAGGUGUAAGAAGGCAAUAGGAUGGCAAAUAUCUGACUUGAAAGGCAUUAGUCCUUUAGUUUGUACUCAUCAUAUAUAUAUGGAGGAGGAAGCAAAGCCAAUCCGUCAAUUUCAAAGAAGGUUGAAUCCUCAUCUACAAGAGGUGGUGCGAGCUGAGGUGCUGAAGCUACUUCAAGCAGGAAUCAUUUACCCUAUAUCUGAUAGCCCUUGGGUGAGUCCUACUCAAGUGGUAUCAAAGAAGUUAGGGAUCACAGUGGUUCAAAAUGAAAAAGGGGAAGAAAUUACUACACGCCUCACUUCAGGUUGGAGGGUGUGUAUUGAUUAUAGAAAGCUGAAUGCUGUAACCAGGAAAGAUCAUUUUCCAUUGCCAUUUAUUGAUCAAGUGCUGGAGAGAGUCUCUGGACAUCCAUUCUAUUGUUUCUUGGAUGGGUAUUCAGGGUAUUUUCAGAUUGAAAUUGACUUGGCAGAUCAGGAAAAUACCACUUUUACAUGUCCAUUUGGAACAUAUGCUUAUAGAAGAAUGCCUUUUGGUCUAUGCAAUGCACCUGCUACAUUUCAAAGAUGCAUGUUGAGUAUUUUCAGUGAUAUGGUGGAGCGAAUUAUGGAGGUUUUCAUGGAUGACAUCACCAUAUAUGGAGGUACAUUUGAGGAAUGCUUGGUUAAUUUGGAAGCAGUUCUUCAUAGAUGCAUUGAAAAAGACCUGGUGAUCAACUGGGAGAAAUGCCAUUUUAUGGUACGUCAAGGAAUUGUCCUUGGCCAUAUCAUCUCUGAAAAAGGCAUUGAAGUUGAUAAAGCAAAGGUGGAGCUUAUUGCCAAAUUACCAUCUCCAACAACUGUGAAAGGAGUAAGGCAGUUCCUUGGCCAUGCAGGGUUCUAUAAAAGGUUUAUAAAAGGUUUUUCAAGUCUUUCAAAACCUCUUUGUGAGCUGUUAGCUAAGGAUGCUAAGUUUAUAUGGGAUGAAAGGUGUCAGCAUAGCUUUGAUCAACUGAACAAAUUUUUAACAACAACUCCAAUAGUGAGAGCCCCUAACUGGCAAUUACCUUUUGAAUUGAUGUGUGAUGCCAGUGACUUUGCUAUAGGAGCUGUGCUUGGCCAAAGAGAAGAUGGGAAGCCCUAUGUGAUUUACUAUGCAAGUAAAACACUAAAUGAAGCUCAGAGGAACUACACAACUACAGAGAAAGAAUUGUUAGCUGUGGUAUUUGCUUUGGACAAAUUUCAAGCUUAUUUAGUGGGGUCUUUCAUUAUUGUCUUCACUGACCAUUCAGCCUUGAAGUAUUUAUUGACAAAGCAAGAUGCAAAAGCAAGGUUGAUUAGAUGGAUUCUUUUGUUACAAGAAUUCGAUCUUCAAAUCAAAGAUAAGAAAGGAGUGGAAAAUGUAGUAGCUGACCACUUGUCAAGGUUAGUUAUAGCACAUAACUCCCAUCCCUUGCCUACCAAUGAUGAUUUUCCUGAAGAAUCACUCAUGUUCCUAGUGAAAACUCCUUGGUAUGCUCAUAUUGCUAAAUAUUUAGUAACUGGUGAAAUUCCAAGUGAGUGGAAUGCACAGGACAGGAAGCACUUCUUUGCCAAAAUUCAUUCAUAUUAUUGGGAAGAGCCCUUUCUCUUUAAGUAUUGUGCAGAUCAGAUUAUUAGGAAGUGUGUCCCUGAAGAUGAGCAGCAAGGGAUUCUAUCUCAUUGUCAUGAGAAUGCAUGUGGAGGCCACUUUGCCUCUCAGAAAACAGCCAUGAAAGUAUUGCAAUCAGGGUUUACUUGGCCAUCUCUUUUCAAAGAUGCCCACAUCAUGUGUAGAAAUUGUGAUAGAUGCCAAAGGCUUGGAAAGCUAACAAAAAGAAAUCAAAUGCCUAUGAACCCCAUUCUGAUAGUUGAGUUAUUUGAUGUAUGGGGCAUUGACUUCAUGGGACCUUUUCCAAUAUCUUUUGGUAAUUCUUACAUCUUGGUGGGGGUGGAUUAUGUUUCUAAAUGGGUUGAGGCAAUCCCCUGUAAACAAAAUGAUCACAGGGUGGUUCUCAAGUUUCUUAAAGAGAACAUAUUCUCAAGAUUUGGGGUGCCCAAAGCUAUAAUUAGUGAUGGAGGUGCUCAUUUUUGCAAUAAACCUUUUGAAGCUCUGUUAUCCAAGUAUGGAGUGAAGCAUAAGGUAGCUACACCUUAUCAUCCUCAGACUUCUGGGCAAGUUGAGCUAGCUAACAGGGAAAUAAAGAACAUCUUGAUGAAAGUGGUGAAUUCCAACAGAAAAGAUUGGUCUAUUAGGCUUCAUGAUUCAUUGUGGGCAUAUAGAACAGCUUAUAAGACUAUUCUUGGGAUGUCUCCCUAUCGUCUUGUCUAUGGCAAAGCAUGCCAUCUCCCUGUGGAAGUUGAAUACAAAGCUUGGUGGGCAAUAAAGAAGCUGAACAUGGACUUGAUCAAGGCAGGAGAAAGGAGAUUUCUAGACCUUAAUGAGAUGGAGGAAUUAAGAAAUAAUGCUUAUAUCAAUUCCAAAGUUGCAAAACAGAGGAUGAAGAAGUGGCAUGAUCAACUCAUCUCCAACAAGGAAUUUCAGGAAGGGCAAAGAGUUUUGAUGUAUGACACAAGACUCCAUAUCUUUCCUGGGAAGCUCAAGUCAAGGUGGAUAGGCCCGUUCAUUAUUCACCGAGUAUGGUCCAAUGGAGUGGUGCAAUUAUUGAAUUCAAAUGGCAAGGAUAGCUUUAAAGUCAAUGGAUAUCGUCUCAAGCCAUUCAUGGAGCCAUUCAAAUCAGAAAAGAAGGCAAUCAACCUCCUUGAGCCUCAAAAAGCCUAAGUGAAAAAGGGUUUGCUGGACGUGGUUUAACCACAGUCCAAAAUUUUUGUAAAUUUUGUAAAUUUUCAAGUUUUUUCCAUACAUUUGAUUUUAGUUUUUUUAUCUUAAAUCAUGUUUUUAGGUGUGUUUUAAUUGUUUUGAAUGAUCCCAGGUGGAAGAAAUUUCAAGGAGAUUGAAAGAAAAAAAAUCGGGUCGAAAUCGGAGCCAAAACAGGGGAAAAACAGAGCUCUGCGAAAUUUCGCAGAGUGAAGGAAACUUCUGCGAAAUGAGCAUUUUGUUGCCAAACCAUUCCACAACACUGUAGAAGUCUCUACGAGGGUAUUUCGUAGCUGCGAAAGCAAAUUUGGCACACGAGUGCCACUUCGCAGUACAGUAGCAUCCAUUUGGCAGCUGCGAAACGCAUUGCGAAGUGGAAAAGCGUGAUUUCGCACCAAAAGUCCCAUUCCGCAGGGUAUUUCGCAAUUGCGAAAGUGGUUUUGGCACACGAGUGCCACUUCGCAGCACAGGAACUCUCAUUUCGCAGCUGCGAAACGCACUGCGAAGUUGCUGCGAAAAUGGCAUUUUGCUGCGAAAUUGGCGUUUUGUUGCGAAACUUAAACUGACCCUUAGGCUUCCGUUUUUCCUAUUUAUACCGGUCAUUUGAGCUGCGAAAAGGGUUUCAAAAAUCAGAGCACCAUUUUCGCAGACCUUUCAUCUUCUUCAUCAAGCUUCGCCGUCCAAGCCUCCGGUCAUCUCCUCCGAUCAACAACCACCGGCCAAAGUUCGAUAUCCCAAAAUGGCACGAACACGAGGGGCUAAGUCUUCAUCUCCUUCGAACCGCAAGAAGAGUCUGCAAAAGGAGCCAAGUCCAGCUUCUGCUCCAGAGCCUUCGCCGUCAAGGCCAAAUCCUCCUCCGGUGAAGCCCAUGCCACCAAAGCCGCCGGCAAGACGAUACCUUACCAGGUCAGGCGGUCGGCCAUUGCAGAAGAAACCCAGGGUGGAGAGCUCAGAACCCAUCGAUUUGACUGAUCAAUCUCCAGAGCCUUCCCCAAUUCCAUCACCGGUUCAAACUCCAGUGUCGUCUCCGGUUCCCUCACCGAGUCCCCUGCCAGUUCCAUUGCCGGUACCAUCUCCAGCGCCGCAAGAAAAAUCUCAGGAGCCUCAAGCGCCACUUCCCGAGCCCCAAAUUCAAGCUGAAACAGCUCUGGAAGAAGUAAUUAGGAGGCCAAUGCUACCUCAGCCCCCAAUAGAGGGAAACUUUGAUUGUCGAACUCGGGCAUUCCAUUCCGAGCUUUGCUUCGACUUACUGGCAUUCAGAGUGAGGCCAGAGCUUGCCCAAUCAUUCCAGCUGCUGAGGAGGUAUCAUAUGGAGCAACUACUAUCUCCAAGAGACUUUUUCUAUCCCCGGAUAGCCACGGAUUUCUACCAAUCCAUGACAACCAAAGAGGUCAGGAAUCCAACCUUGAUUCAUUUCACAAUCGAUGGGAGACAUGGCAUAUUGGGAGCACGACAUAUUGCUGAAGCCCUGCAAAUUCCCUUUGAGCCAACCCAAUUCGAUAAUUUUAGAGCUUGGGCAAAUCCUACUGAGUUAGAGAUGGUUCGCACCAUUUCCAGAGGAGCUGCAAAUCGAUCACAACUGCUGAGGGGGGAGCUUCCUCCAAUUAUGUUUUUGAUUAAUGCCUUUUUGCGUCAUAAUAUCUAUCCAUUGCAUCAUUGGACCCAAAGAAGGGGAGUUCUCCUGGAAGCUCUUUACAAGAUGUCAGAAGGAUUUUUCUUUGGGCCUCAUCAUUUGAUCAUGGCAGCCCUUCUCUAUUUUGAAGAGAAGGUUCACAAGAAGAAGCUUCAGAGAGCAGAUUGCAUUCCCCUCCUCUUCCCAAGGCUGCUAUGCCAAAUUUUGGAGCAUCUGGGAUACCCCUCUGAGCCUCAGCUGGAGAGAAAGCGAAUAUGCCGUGAGCCAUUCACUCUUGAUAAAUGGAACAAUAUGACGGCCUACAAAGUUGAUCAGCCUGGGCAGCCUCCCCAAGACAUAUACCUGAGGGUAUAACAGUUGCUGCUCCUGCCAUUCCUAGAGCUCCACCAGCUACACCUGCUUCAUCUCAGCCAUCCACAUCAGCUGAGCCGAGGAUGGCCAUUCCUAUAUCUGAAUAUCGAGAGUUGUGUCGUGCAUUGGAGACUCUUACAGCUUCUCAGAGCAGUCUUGCUCAAGAGAUGGCAGCCAUCAGAGCAUUCCAAGAGCAGAUGUUAGCCACUCAGGCUCAACAAGCUGCCAUCUUAAGGCAACUCCAAGUCCAUUUCGAUCUGCCACAAGCUGUAGAGCCCUCCACUGAUACACCAGCAAAGCCACACCCUCAUCCUUCAGAGUCUCAUUCUCCAGAGCCCCAAGCCCCAGCUGAUGCACCUACUGAGGAGGCAGAUCCUUCUGCCUAGCACCACCACCCCACUAACCAGACAUUAUAUAUAUCUUCUGUUCAUGUUUUUAUGCAUUUUUGUUUUUAUUUAGUUAAAAUGAAGUCCCAGUAUUUUGGUACUAUAUAUGGGAUUCCUUGUGAUUACUUGUCUUUUGCACUGUACUCGAAUGAAUUGAAAGUAAUACAAGUUGAAUAUUUCUUGUUAAAAGUUAGCAUUAAGUUCUCCUUAUUUCCUUUUCUCACAUAUUCUAUUCUUUUUGAAACAUGUGGUUUUCCCCAAUCAAUAUUCGAAUUUGAUUUCAGCAAGGAGGUACCACUUCCUCCCUUUUAUUACAGUCACUCAAAUCACAUCGAGGACAAUGCUCAGUUCGAUUGGGGGGUAUGAGGAAGGAAGUAUUCUAAAUCUUUUUGGUAUUGCAAUUAUAUUGGUUAAUUAGUUGUAGUUUUUACUUUUUACUCUUUUUUACUCUAUUCUCUAUGAAUUUUGAGGAAAAAUUUUCAAAUUACCAAGAGAAAUUGAACUGUUGUUUUUCACUUGGCUUAGAGUAUGGAUUAUGCUUACUAAAGUGGUUCAAUUGUUGAAGCUUCUAUUGAAAUUGAAGUUAGUUCUUCCACUUUAAGCUAUCCAUACACUGUGCACAUUAGUUUCCGAUUAUAAGAUGAAAAGCUAUUUCCCUCUUGACUUAGGACAAUUUUGGGACUUGGUAUAUUUGACCUCAUUUGAUAAAAAUUGAAACACCCUGCAAAAGGCCAAUGAGCCUUUGAAAUAAAGUAAGUUGUUUGCUUGCCUUGAAACCCGAGCAAGGUCUGAGGGGUAUAUGGUGAAAAUCUUUAAAGCCUGGUGCCCUAAGCCUUAAUUGGUUGGGAGUCAUCGACCUCAAUGCUCGUUAUAAGGGUGAAUAGGUAAAGUUAGCAUAUGGUAGAUGCUUGGGUAUUAGAAAUUCAUUCUUAAAAGUCUGGGGAAAAAUCCGAGGAGUUAGUGGUUGAAAGAUCCUUAAAACUUGGUGCCCUAAACCUUAAUUGGUUAGGAGUCAUCGAUGGACCCCCAUUAGAUGGACAAGUCAGAAAGAGUACCCCAUAAAGCUGCCCUUAAAAAAAAAAAAAAUGAUGAAAGUGUGUUCUUUUCUUAUUGAUUAUGGUCAGAGUAGUGCUAAAGUGUUAAAAAGAGAUAGGUUGGGGGGUGAGAUUAGUAGCAUAUUAUUCUCGGAACCUAAGGAACCAAUACACAUAGAUUUGUGUGGAAGAUUAAAGUUUGAUUCUUAGAAAGUGGAAAUGAUUUUAAAACUUCAGUUUGCAUAAUGCACUCCCUUGAUUGACAGUGUUUAACAUAGGUGUUAUGACUCUUGUUGAGAUUUGGGUUUGUAUUUCUUUAAUGCUUCAUGUGAGAAUUAGAUCAUCAUGCCACUUGAGAAUUAUUUUCUUUCAGCAUGAUGUUGUAAAUUUUAGUAUAAUUUGCUUUUUAUGUUCAUUUUUCUCUCCUAUAUUGCUAAGGGACUAGCAAUAUGUCGGUUGGGGGGAGUGAUUACUACUCAAAAAGUGCUAUUUGAUAGCCUAUAAUUAAUCCUUUUAAACACUUUUGAGUAGUAGUUUUGGCCUUUUAACUCAAUUGGCAUGUUAAGGAUCCUUUAAAGCAAUUUUAAUCACUUUGUGCAAGUUUUUGUGUUUUUGUUAGUAUUUUGAUCACCAAAGCAAGUCAAGACUGAGGAGAGCUAUGAGGAAUCUUGGGCAAAGCUUAGAAGUCAUUUGCCAAGAGUGAAUCCGGAUUGCAAGGAGAAAAAGCAAAGAAAAUCUGCCAUAAAGCAUAUUCUUGAUGACAGUCGUAGCAGUCACUUUUGGAGCACUUUCUGAAGUCCAAAUGAUGCAUGCUAUAUACCAUUUCAAAGUUCAGGAAGUCAACAAUCCAAUGCUUCAAACGGUGUGCAAUNNNNNNNNNNNNNNNNNNNNNNNNNNNNNNNNNNNNNNNNNNNNNNNNNNNNNNNNNNNNNNNNNNNNNNNNNNNNNNNNNNNNNNNNNNNNNNNNNNNNNNNNNNNNNNNNNNNNNNNNNNNNNNNNNNNNNNNNNNNNNNNNNNNNNNNNNNNNNNNNNNNNNNNNNNNNNNNNNNNNNNNNNNNNNNNNNNNNNNNNNNNNNNNNNNNNNNNNNNNNNNNNNNNNNNNNNNNNNNNNNNNNNNNNNNNNNNNNNNNNNNNNNNNNNNNNNNNNNNNNNNNNNNNNNNNNNNNNNNNNNNNNNNNNNNNNNNNNNNNNNNNNNNNNNNNNNNNNNNNNNNNNNNNNNNNNNNNNNNNNNNNNNNNNNNNNNNNNNNNNNNNNNNNNNNNNNNNNNNNNAUUUGCUACCGACAUUGGGAGAUAUUUUCCACUAGAUUUUUGUUGUCUAAUCCCAAAAUACUCCUUGUAAACCACCAAUUACAUGAUUCCUUAGUUUUUAAGUUAGUAAAAAGACUAAAUAUCUAUGUAAUAAUUAGUUUUAUAUUAUGUUCAUAUAUAUACCUCUCGGGAGCUUGUUCUCAGAGAGGAGUUCCUUCUGUAAAAGUUUGGGUAAGCAAGUAAAGUCUAUUUUCUUUCUACUGCCUUACCUUCUCACUUUGUAUUUUCAUUUUAUUUCUAACUUAUGAAUUCUUUGAGGAGUUUUCCCCAGAGAAUGAGUAACUAAACCUCUAAUUCCUUGGAGCUAAGGUUGCCGGGGAUGGUUCCAAGUGCAAGAAUGCAAAGCUCUGUGGUUUUAGCUAGUAAUGAAGAGGAAGUGAAAUCCUUUAGUGAUUUCUAUGUUUUUAGUUAACUUAAAACACCUUGGAGUCACCUGGGCCAACACUUGGUAAGGCAAGUGAUUUCCAACCAUGGAAGUGCACUAGUUUACCCCUUGCGAGCCUCUGGGAGGUGACUUCAGGGUAGGAUUUUCUAGAAUAGCCAACACUUGAUAAGCUUUUGGACUCCAAGGAGACAUCCAUUAGUUAUCUCUUGCGAGCUUUUGACGGGUAAUCCAAGGUUAAAGAUCACCUUGAAUGGUUAAGGCUUAGUGAGAGGCUUAAACCAUUGCAAGUUGCAUCAGUGAGAGAAUUAAAGUGAAAUCUAAUUGAAGGAGUCUCUGUACAACACCGGUUAGAGAAUUGACUAUAUGUUGAAUCUCUAACACGAGGAAAUGAACCAUCUGACCAGAGCCGUGUCUUUUGCAUGAGGAACCACCCCAGUGAACCUAACUCUCCAAGGAAUGUUUUCUUCCUAAAUUAUUCCAAACUUCUGUUAUGUUAGUUAGUUUAAGUCUAAAUCUUUACCAAUCAAAGUUUGUGUUUUACUUCUUAAGCUAACCUUGAAAUGAAACAAGACCAAUUCACUUGGAAUUGGUAUCAUUGAUUGCUUGUUAAUCAUUCCCAGUGAACGACCCUAGAGCCACUAUACUAUAGUAGCUUUUUCUUUGCUACCCUAGUGUAUGGUGUUAUAGGUAAUAAAUUUUGUUGAUCACUCCCUUAAUCAAGGAGCACCAUCUGGACACUGAUUACUACCAAAAAGUGCUAUUUUGUAGACCUAAUAAUAAUGGUUUUAAGCACCUUUGAGUAGUAAUCAUAUUCAUUUAACCCAAUUAAUUCAUUAAGGUCCUUAGUAAUUAGUUUUAACCAUUUUGUGGCAAGUUUACAUGUUUUUAUCAGCUUAUGAACCAAUUCAAGCAUGCCAAUUGAUGGAGGAGCUAUUUGGGCGAGUUAAGCAAGGAUUUUGGAUGAUUACAGGCUUGAAUUUCAAGUGGAAACACGAGCACAAGCAAUGGAGAAGAGGAAAACAGAGUGAAGAAAAUAGCUGCAGUCUUCUUUCACACUUUUGAAGCACUUCCCGAAGUCCAUUUUCUACAUGCUAUAUACCAUUUCAAAGCUCAGGAAGUCAAGAAUCCAACGCUUCAAACCGUAUAUGAUUUGGAGCUAAAAUGAGGAAGAUAUGGCCUUCGGAAGACAACUGCAUCAUGCCAAAUGAUCAAUUUCGCAAGGUGAAUUUUACCUUGCGAAAAUUUCGCAAGGAGAUUUUCCUCAUGGUGCGAAAUUUGGCCAUUUCGCACCAUGAAGAAAUACCUUGCAAAAAUUUCGCAAGGAGGAUUUAGGCACCUUGCGAAAUUCCUUUGAAUCCUUUGUUUCUCCACGCACGCACCACCGACUUCCCAAAUAUUUUUAGCUUGAUAUUUUCUCGUGUAAAUUCCUUUUGUAACCUUGUAUUCAGCCGACAUAAAGCUUUAUCUUGUAAUUUUGCUAUAUAUAGAGGUGCACAACACCUCCAAAACAGGGAAGGGGAAUUGGGGGAUCGAUCCUCUGUACAUUAACUUAGAAAUAUAUAAAGCUCUGUUUUUCUUUCUUCUCUUGUUCUUCCCCAUUUCUAUUUUCUUAGUAGCCAAACAGCCUCUGAGGGCUUUUCCUCAGAGGAUGAUUGGCUAAAACUUUUAGUUUCUCAAAGUAUGGAUGUUAUGUGAUGGCUUGGAUGCAAUCCCAUGGAAAUUUCUCACCUGGAAGGUAAGGUAGUCAUUUUUCAUUAAUGGUUUAUUAAUGCGAAGUUUGGUUUUUAUUUCCUUUGGACAACUUCCAACGGCCAAUACUUGAUAAGCUUUUGGAUUUCUAUCCAUUAGUUAUCUCCUACGAGCUAUUGGAAGGUGAGGUUUUCAAUUCCAAGUUUUGCAUUAAUCCGUUAGAACCAAUUUCAAUGGCCAUUGAAAGGUGAGUUUAUCACCUGGAAUGACUUUGAGUUGCCAAUAUUUGGUAAGCUUUUGGCUUUAGACCAUUAGUUAUCUCUUACGAGCCAUUCAAAGGAAGUCUAAGGUGAAUAACCAUUGAUGAAAUUCACUACCAUCUGUUUUGCCAUUUUAAAGGAUUAAAACUUGAUUUGCUAAAUCCAUACCGGUUCGGGAAGCAAGCAUCACCAUAGUUGCAACCCCAACGCGAGGAGCCUAUCCUGAGAUUUCCAAUUUGCAUAAGAGCCAGAGCAUAGCUAUCCUAUCUUUGAGAAACUUGUUUUUACACCCUUUCAUUUUAGUCUUUAAUGUUAGCUUAGAUUAGUUUAAAUCUUUCUUAAACAUUUACAUCUUCUUUUAAAGCUAACAUCCAUAAGAAAAUCACCUAUUUUCCUAAUUUGAAUAUCACUAGUGUUUGCGAAAACCCUUCCCAGUGAACGAUCCUAGAACCACUAUGCUAUAGUAGCUUGGCUACUUUAGUAAUAGUAUUUAAGGUAUAAAUUUUGUUGAUACGCCUUUAAAGCUAAGCUACCAUGAGUCGCAUCAGACACAAAUCAGCUGAGACACCAAUUGGGCAUGAAUCACAAGGUGUAGGGACCCCUCCCCCUGAUGACACGGAGCGCGCAAGGCUAUCUGAAUCAACUCCAUCCGGAUUCCCCAAGAGGACAUGUGGCGCUCCCCUAUCCGGACUCCCUCAGGGAGAAGCACACGGCACUCGUGAACAUCACACCCGGACGAUAGCAUAUCCUAUCCGGAUAUGUUGUCUGGAUCAUUGACUUAAAGUGAGCAAGUCUUGCUACGUCAUUCCGCCGCCCUUCGAUGGUGUGUCCGGACAUCUUUUGCUCCUUGCAUUCCGAAUUUGCUUAUGGCAAAGGACUUCAAAGCUUCGGUUCUUCAUGUUUCUGAGCUUUCCAUUGCUUUGCCAUGGAUUCCAAAGAACUCUCCUCAAUCACGGAUUGCUUUGGUGAUCAAAAAGCUAUCAAAACACCAAAACUUAACACAAUUUGAUUAGAAUUGAUUGCAAGGGUCCUUAAUAUGUUAAUUGGGUUAAAAGGUGAUAACUACUACUCAAAAGUGUUUAAAAGAGUUAAUUACAAGCUAUGAAAUAGCACUUUUUGAGUAGUAAUCAAUUAGUUCUUUGAAUCUUGGUUGAAAACCUUCAUCCUUUCGGCAAGGCUGAAGUGAUCCACUAGAACAAUCGAGGGUUGUUGCAUUGAAAUAUGAAUAAAGUUGUAGGUACUAGAGAGUAAGUCUUUAGUGUAAAGUGGCCAAGUAAAUUUGUGUAACUUGAUUUUGUAUAAUGGAUUUAGAUUAGUAAGUCUUAGACCUCAUGUGUUUUUUUUUUCCACAGUUAGUGUGGGUUUUUGACAUAAAAAUCUUGUCUCAUUGUUUAUAUCUUUUAUGUUUGAUAUUCUAUUUGAAUUACCUAAGAUUGAUAGAAGAGAUCAUCCCUAACAUCUUGUAGGGUAAAAGAAUUGGCUAUAACUUAUAAAUAUUUAUUGAAAAUUUUUAAAUCACCCAUUCACCCCUCUUGGGUUCCCUAUUAGACUUUAUGUUUUUUCAUGAUAUAUGGAAGCUAACUAAUCUAUCAGUUCAAAAGAAGCCUAUAGGUGUUAAAUGGGUUUAUAGGACAAAAUAUAAACUUGAUGGUAAAGUUGAUCAGUGUAAGGCAAGAUUGGUUGCAAAAGGCUAUAAAUAGAAGUCAGGUAUUGAUUAUUUUGAAGUUUUUGCACCAAUUGCUAGACUAGACACCAUUCGCAUGAUAAUUGCACUUACAACUCAAAAAAAGGUGGAAAAUUCACAAAAUGGACGUGAAGUUAGCUUUUCUUAAUGGUGUACUUGAAGAAAAGGUUUUUGUUGAACAACCACUAGGGUAUAUUAAGGAAGGACAAGAGAAACAAGUUUAUAAACUCAAUAAGGCAUUAUAUGGGUUAAAGUAGGCACCACAUGCUUGGUACAUGCAGAUUGAUACCUAUUUAUUUCGACAUGAAUUUCAAGAGAGUCUUUUAAGCAUACACUUUAUAUCAAAUCAAAUUCUAAUGGUGAUGUAAUUGUUAUAUGCCUCUAUGUAGAUGAUUUAAUUUUUACAAGAAACUAUUAACAGAUGUUUAAAGAUUUUAGGGAGGCAAUGAAACAACAGUUUGAGAUGAUAGAUUUGGGAUUAAUGUCCUAUUUUCUUGGAAUUGAAAUCUAACAAAUAGAUAAUGGUAUCUUUAUCUCACAAAAGUAUGCUAUAGGCAUUCUAAAGCAAUUUAAGAUGGAAUCAUCAUCAACAAUCCAUACUCAUACUAUAAAGCUACUAGAAAUGAAAAAUGAAAGUACUAGAGAAUGAGUAAAUCUCACAUAUUUCAAGGGCAUGGUAGGAAGUCUUUGUUAUUUAACUUCUACUAAAUCAGAUAUUGUUUAUGGAGUGGGAAUUAUCAAUCCAUUUAUGGAAAAACCAUAUCAGUCACACUUGCAAGUGACAAAGAGAUUUUUGAGGUAUGUAAGUGGCACUCGUGAUGAUGGAAUUUUCUACUCCUAUUAAAAAAACUUCAGUUUAGUGAGCUACAUAGAUAGCGACUAGGGAAUUGAUAUAGAUACUAGAAAGAGUACCGUUAGGUAUUUUUUAAAUCUUGGAACAAGAGCAUUCUCUUGGUCAUCAAAGAAUAAACAAGUUGUAGCAUUAUCAACUAUAGAAGUUGAAUACAUGGCCAUUACUUCCGCAACAUGUCAAGCAAUUUGGCUUUACAAAGGGGUCCUACAAAGAUUUUGUGUAAUAAUAAGUCUGCUAUUGCAUUGAUAAAGAAUAUGAUGUUUUAUGGUAGAAGCAAAUACAUAAGCAUCAAAUUUCAUUAUAUUAGGGAACUUGUGAAAAAUCAAAGAGAUCGAACUUAGGUUUUAUAGAUCAAAGAUCAAUUUGCAAAUAUUUUUACAAAGCCACUAAAGACGGAUGUGUUCAAGAAGUUGAAGAUGAUGCUUGAUGUGAUUGACUUUACAACUAAUAUUAAGGGAGGUUGUUGAAAUUAUAAUCCAAUCUAAAGUCAAAUUAGAAGAAUUUUAGGAAUUAUUAUUUAUUUAAGUUUCUUAUGUUAAUUUGGACUUUUGAUUUAAUAGGAAUUGGAGUCCUAGUACAAAUAUAAUUAGUUUAUUAUAAAUAGGUUUGUUAUUAUGUUGAAAAGAAUAAUGCAAUAAAGUAUUAUUUUAGCAAAAAAAUUAUCAAUACCCAACAAUUUUUUUGUUGUUCAUGUCUCUACCAACUUUGUUAUUUUGUUUCUAGGGUUUCUUAUUUUUAUUUUUGUUUUGAUAUGGUUAAUUAAUUAUAUACCAUUUUUAAAAACUAUGAUAAAAAAUAUUAUUUGUGCUUUUUGUACAAGAUCAAAACUACUCCUUUCGCCUUGAAUUUUAAGAUGUGAUUUGGUAUUUGUUAUAGGGAGAAUCAUGUAAUGAUGCAUUAUCUAAAAUAAAUAAAUAACAUUUAUGAGAAGUUUGAUUUUUGAGUUUCAAAGUGCAUACAAUUUGGGGAAAAUAAUCCUCAAAACACGCACUCUAAUAGUUAAAAUCAUCAACAUGCCAAAACUUUCCUCUAACCCUCCUCUCACCCUCUUGUCAACUACCACAAAUUUUUCUUUUUGAUUUCUUUGUUUUACUUUGACAUGACAAGUCAACAGCUCAUCAUGGUUAAUUUUUGUUUUUUUUUUAAACAAAAAAAAUUUGACAUGUGGCAACCAACCAUGCCACAUGAUUUUUCUUUUUUCUUUUCUUUUUUCUCCUCCAUAAUACCUUCACCUUUUUGCUUUUUUGAAUGUGUUGACUUCAUGAAUUUUUUUUAGUUUCAAUUUUUUUCACAAUUUCACCUUUUCAUAUUUAUUGAUUUUAAUUAUGUAUGAACAUUUUAAACAUAAAAUAAUAAUAUAUAAUAAUUAAUUAAUGAGAACAAAUUUAAUAUACAAAUAAAUAUAUAAUGAACAAGUUUAGAGAUUUACGACAUAAGAUUUUCUAUAUUCCUAUUAAAGAAAUAUUUAUUUACUUUAUAAAUCUUAUUACAUUGUCAUAUUAUUUUAUUGUUUGUAUUUUAAAAAAAUUUAAAUUUUUGUGUGAAAAUCAGAGUUGAUGAUUAUGGUUUUAGUUUUACUUAUGGAUCUAACUUAACUACAAUUUUAACUUUUUUCUUGGUUAAAAUAUUUAAAAUUUUUAAUUAAAGAAGAUAAAAACUUAGUUCUAGUUAAAACAUUUUGCGCUAAAAUUUUUAAUUUUUUAUCUACAUAAAAUAAAAAAUGAAAUAUAUUUUUCAUAAAAAAUGUAUUUAAUCAUUUAUGUUAACUUUUUCUUAAUUUUAUUAAAAAAUAUAUUUUUGCAUAUUGAAGUUACGCAUUGAUCAACUAAAACCCUUAAAAAAAGGUACCAUUCUUUUAUGAAAAAGUAACACCGAAGUGUGUUGAAAAUACCACUAGGGUGGGAAGGAUGUACGACUAAUAAUGAAGUUAUGUACUGAUCAACACAACCCUAAAAAAAAAGGGUACCACUCUUUUAUGAAAAAAGUAUGAGUGAUAUAUCCUUCCUACCACAGUGAUACUUUUAACAUAUUUCAAUGUUACUUUUUUCAUAAAUGAACGUUACUUAUUUUUCAAGUGUUCUGUCGAUUAAUAACUUUAGUAUGCAAUUUUUUUUAAACAAAAUUUAGAGAAAAUUAAUGUAAAAAUUAAAUAAUUUUUUUUAUGAAAAAAGUAUUUUUUAUUUUUUAUUUUAUAUAAAUAAGAAAUUUAAAAAUUUUAACAAAGCAAAAUAUUAUAAUCACAACCAAGGUUUUAUCUUCUUUAAUUAAAAUUAUUAAAUAUUUUAAUUAAGAAAAAAGUUAACACCACAAUAAAGUUAUAUUCAUAAAUAAAAAGCUAAAUUUGUUUAUUGUGCAUUUAUUUUUAUAUUAAUUUUUUGCUCAUUAAUUAUUAUUAAUCAAGUUAAAAUCAUACCCAAAUAAAUACAAGAGAGGCAAUUUGUAAGCCUAUUGACUAAUUAUAUGACAUAAUUAAGUUGGAAAUGCUUUGAAGUGUUGCUUUCCUGAUUUUCACACACUUGAUGUUGGUUCCAAUCUACCAUCCCUAUAAGAAUCAUUGAGACAAAGGAAUAAGGCUUGUUCAAAGAGGCUUGUAUACAAAAACAUCUUGAAAAAAUAUGUAGAGUAGGAGAUUCAAUUCGCUAAAAUUAAGAAAUCCAAAUCUCUCAAGCAUCAAAGGCAACCACUGGUUUUGGUUCCAUUGGACCUAUUUCAAAGGCAAGUAGUGUAUUUAGGUGUUUUUUAGCUUUAGAGGUCCCAUUGGAGAACCUCGAGGGAUUGAAAUCUUUGCCAUAUUCUCUCUAGUAUUAAUUUCUCCAUCCAAUAUUUCACCAUUGGAAUCGAUAUGCAUGUACCUUUUGGGAUUAUCAAAUUCAGUCUUUUUGCUUGUUUGAAGGCAAUUAUUUGUAAGCCUAUUGACUAAUUAUAUGACAGAAUUAAGUUGGAAAUGCUUUGAAGUGUUGCUUUCCUGAUUUUCACACACUUGAUGUUGGUUCUCUUUUAUGUGAUAUAAGUGAAAAAUAUCAAGGUGGGAUUACGGCAUUGAAAUUUUCGUGGUCUCUCAUUGGGAUAGACUAAAAGUUGAAUCAAUCAUUAUGUUUAUGAAUUGUCGCCAUUCAUUCUUUUCCGUUUUCUGCUAUUUUAUUUGUUGCCAUGCAUUGCUCUUUGUUUACAAAAGCUGGUUUCAUUCUUUUUCAUUUUCGAUUUUUGUUUUUACUCAUAUGCAAAUACAUUUUCUGGAUAGACACAAUGUCUCUUCAGUUCUUUAUUUUCCUUUUUUUGGUCACGUCUUAGUUCUCAUUUAAUUUGUUCCUUUUUACCUUUUCUUUUUCAUGCUUGGUUUAUGCACCGAGAACCUAAAAACAANNNNNNNNNNNNNNNNNNNNNNNNNNNNNNNNNNNNNNNNNNNNNNNNNNNNNNNNNNNNNNNNNNNNNNNNNNNNNNNNNNNNNNNNNNNNNNNNNNNNAUUUUCAGUGAUAAAAAAACUAGUGGGUAGGAGAUUUUGUGGGUGUGGUUUCAAAGUGUGGAUAGUGAGAUGUAAGAAGAUGAAAGUCGUGAUCUAAUAAUUAUUUUUUUAACAAAAAAAAAAAAAAAACUAUUUUUAUCCCUGCUUGAACUUUCUAGUCUUUUCUUUUUGUUGAAAGAAAAUAAAAAUCCAUUACAUGUAAAUAUAAUAAUGGUUAACUAUUAUAAAUGAAGUAAUGAAUGCCACCACAUUUAUUGUAUUAAAUAUUAAUUAAUAUUAUUUAUAACUUCUAUUAAUAUUGAAUAUUAAUGGAAGCCAUUUAGAAUGCCUAUAAAAUGACUUCUCAUCCCCUGUAAUAUGCAUCCUGAGCAAAAGAAAGAAAUUCUCUCCCUUAUUCUCUCUUCCUUUCAUUCUCUCAGUUCUCUCAAUUUUCUUCUUUUAUUCCUUCCUCCCCAUUAUAUAUUAUUAUCAAAAUAAUAUAAUUGUUUUUAUUUUUAUUUGCAUUGCAUUUAUCCUCGUUUUACAACAUUAACAAUAUUUUAUUUAAAAUGAAAUUAAAACUAAGCAAAGUUUAUUUUUAAAAAUAUAAAAGUAUGGUGUUUUCACUACACAUACACAUUUAGUACUUAAUUAGGUACCAACAAAGUAUGUUGGAUCAAUUUUGAUUAAAUUUGCUAUUGAUUAUAUUAAUAUUUCUAAUUGUAAAUUAUUCUUAAGAAGUUAUAAAUUUAUUAAAAAAAAAUCUAAAGCAUUAAAUGUCACAUGAUUUGGUCUAUAUUUACCUAGUCAUAAAAUUAGGAAAAAUAUAAUUAUUUACAAAAGAGAAAUAGUAAAAUUAUGAUUUAUUGUAAACUAAUUUUGAUCAUUGUUUUUUAGUAUUAAUUAAUCUAUUUUGAAUUCCAAAUUAUUUUCAAAAUUUACUGGACUUGUUAACAAAUCCAACACAUUAAGUUCUCUUAAUUUGGAGUUUGCUUGCAAAGCAAGAAAAUUCACAAAAUUGUAGUUAUUUAUAUAGAAGAAACAAUUCUAAACAAAUUUCAGUCCAUGAAUUCUUUUUAGUAAUUUGGUUAUUAUUUUUUUUUUUUAGUUUUAGGCUAUUUUUUUAAAUUUAUAAACUUGUUAAUAAUUAAAUUCAACUCACUAAGUCUUGCUCGAUUUCGAGACUCUUUGUCUAGUAAGAAAAUUCAGAAAAAUUUACUUCUAUGCAAAAGAUAAACAACAAAUAAACUCUAAACCAAUUUUUAUCUAUAACUAAAAAAUUAUCACAUAUUAAUGAAUCUAAGUGAUUCUAAAUCAAUUUUUAUCCAUGACUUUUUAGAAUCAUAUUAAUGAAUAAUGCAUGAAGCUUACUUAAUUUGGACUUGUUUAAUGAAAAAAAAAAAUUAUAGUUAUGUUUAAAAAAGAAACUAGCUAGCAAAGUCAUUCAAGAUGAGUUUUGACCCAUUAAUUUUUAAUAUUAAUGUGAUCAGUUUUGAAUUCUUUGACUUUUUAAUAUUACAUUAGGUUUUGAGUUUUAAAUUACUUUUAAAAAUAAUGAAUCUUAUGUAUCAAGUGUCUCUUGCUUUCAAAUCUAUUUAACAUAAUGAUAAUGAAAAAAGUAAGAGAAUUUAAAGGAAAAUCAAGAAAAUAUGUGUGAUUCAAAAAGAGAUUAUAUUUGAGGAUUUUAAGUAGGUAGUAGAGAGAAAACAAAAGAAGAAAAAGAUCAUGUUCUACUUUAUUUGCUUUUGAUGAUUUUCUAAUUAUUUAUUUUUUUUCAUGUUUUUAUUUACUUUUUUAAAUAUAUGCAAACAACUUUGAAAGUAAAUAGAUCUUGUUAUAAACCUACAUAGAGGGAGAAGAAUAGGUAGUUAUUUUCUUUUAGCUUAACUUUUCAUUUUUUAAAAAUUAGAGAAGAAGAAGAGCAUAAUCAAACAAGGAGAUAUCAAUUUACAUGAAAAACAACCAAUAAAAUCUCUUAGAAACUUUGCGAUAUGGGAUCCAAAGAUUGCAAAGCAUUAAUCUACUAUUGAAAGAAAAGUGUAUAAAUUUACCUAGUGAAUGUUGUCCCCCAAGUCUUACUCCUCAAUACCUAUACUAGUUUUCAUAUCUAUGAUACAAUACCACACAGUGCACUUAGUGGAAACCUCAACACCUUGAGAAGAUAUGGAUCUUUCUUAUGAACCCAAAAGAGGAAAAAAAAAAAAAGACUUGUCAAGAGUGUUGAGAUACGAGAAAGGCUAAAAACUCUUUUGACAAAAAAUUCAAGAAUAUUAUUUAUAAGGAUGAAAACCUAGUAGGCAAAAAACUAAAAUUUCCAAAUACUGAUUUUUUGAAAAUGGAAAGAAAUUAAAGAAUCUUGAUGUAAAAUUUUAGAAAAUCUGCAUUGAAUACUUGUAAGUGUUUGUUAAGAGCACUUCCAAUGCUUAAGUUAUUUUUGUAAGUGCUUGAGUGUAGCACUCGAGCACUUAAGUUUAGAGCUUAAGUGCCAGGUUCAACUCUUAAGUGCUUGAUCCAAUUUUAUUUUAUUUUUAUUUUAAAAAUAAAACUUAAUUAAAAUAUCCUAAAGUCUUUAUACUCAAUUAAAAUACUGUAAAUUCCACAUUGUGUCACAAAUUAGAAUUAUCAAUCAUGCACAAACCUUUUUAUACUUAUCUAUGCUAUUCUUGGUUGAUUAUGCAACAAUCUUGAGUCUUUAGUGUAGAGUAAGACAUAGUAAAUCAGAAAAGGCCUAAGAAUGGAUAGUACAAAAUUGACAACUUAAACUAAGCAACCUAAUGCAUUAACAAUCUCCCCAUUUGGCAAUUUCAUGACCAGAUACAAAUUAAAAAAAUCCCUUAAUACUUUCCAACUAAAUUUACAAAUAUUUUAAUACCACUCAUCUAAACCAAACAUCCAAAAAUUGAUGUUCAAUAACCACAAUGCAUCCAACAAAUAAACUUUGUGAUAUGCACAUAUGAACUAAAAACAAAUACUUGGUUAAAUUAGUGUGUAGGAAAAAUAAUAUAAGAGUAUAAGCAAUGGAUCACAAUACAACUAAGAUGCAUAUUGAAUAUAGAUAUCCAAAAGAUAUAUUUCCUAAUCUUUGUCACAAAAAUGGGAAAGCAAUAAAUAACUCAAUGAACACAAGAGGAGCAAAAGAAGGCAUGGAUAGAUAUAUAGAUAAAACUCGAUUUUGGAUACCAGUAAUGAAAAUACAAGUACUUCUUAACUAAAAAACAUUAAAAAAAAACAAAGAAAAGAACUACAUGAACAACAAUCUAACUAUCACUAUGUUGGCAAUAAUGGUGCACAGUGUGAGCUCAAGCUUGGCUUAAAGAAAAUGCACACAAAGAUAGAUGCAAGGUGACCAUCCAUAUGUUGGGACUAAUCAUACAGCUUAGUAAUGCAUGCAUCAAAGUGAGUUUGAAGGUGAUCAAUUUUGCAUCCACCUAAUCUAGGCAAGCAUCAACCCUAAGAGGUAGUUGAUCAAUAAAGGAUAGGAUUCACUUAAGUGCUAAGUGCUUGGAACUUCAAAUUACUUUGUUCCCUAAUCCUGGAUCAUAUAGGGUGCAUGCUAUCUAUCUUCGGCUUUUUUAGACUAAUGUUGUGGAAAUAUGGUAUCAAGACCAAAAAUAAAACCUAGAUCUAGAGAUAUAAUGAACAUACCUGCAAUUUAGAUGUUCCUAGAUCAAUUCUAAGCUGGUGAAUAUGUCGAAAAUGUCAUAAAACUCAUCUACCUAUUGUCCUUCCACACAAACUCUCCUCAUAAUGGUUUAGACACAAGAAAAGUGUAGGCUUUUUCUUUUUCCUUGGGUAGCAAGGGUUUCUUUAUGGAGGCUCUCUAAAAGAUGAAAAAUAAAAGUUUAAAACCUUAACCUUAACCGUAUAUUUAUAGGGCUCCUUGUAGGCUUAAGUGACUUGAGCUUAAAUUGGGCUUAGGUCACCUAAUCCAACCCACCUGGGUCCUAAUUGAUUAAUUAACCUAAUAAAUCUCCAAUUAAUUAAUUAGCCCCAUCCAAAAAGUUAAUUCAUAAGAUCUAGUGCAACCUUACAUUUUAUCAAAACACUCGUAUGCACACUUAUAAACUAAAAGCCCAAAUCCCACACAUAAAAUGUGUCUCCAUGAAUUAGGAGCUUAAACGGGGACCAGUGGGACCAAUUGGAAAAUAUUGGCUCCCUCUGAAUCUGAUUUUAUAGUUGAUUUAGUAUUCCAUUAAAGGUAUAAUUAACUGCACUCCAAUAUCCUAUUAAAUUACAACGAGUUGAAGCUUAGGCUCGUGACAUACUAUCCACUACAUGUAAAUCCCUCAUGAACUCGUAUCUGUAAUCCAACAAGGUAGCACUAUCAACCUAUUAAUAUUACCUCUUGCAAGGAACUGAUUCGUGCCCAAUUGGUGUCUCAGCUGAUUUGUGUCUAGCUGGUGCUCCUUGAUUGAGGGAGUAAUCAACAAAAUUUAUAACCUACUACACCAUAUACUAGGGUAGCAAAGAAAAAGCUACUAUAGUAUAGCGGCUCUAGGAUCGUUCACUGGGAAGGGUUUCCAAAUUACAAAUGAUACCAAUUCAAAGUGAAUUGGUACUUUUUCAUUUCAAGUUUAGCUCAAGAAAUAAAACAAAAACUUUGAUUGGUAAAGAUUUAGAUUUAAAGUAACUACAAAACAAGUGAUGGAAAUUACUUAGGAAGAAAAACAUUCCUUGGAGGGUCAGGUUCACUGGGGAGGUUCCUCAUGCAAAAGACAUAGCUCAGGUCAGUUGGUUCAUUUCCUCGCGUGAGAGAAUCAACAUAUAGUCAAUUCUCUGACCGAUGUUGUACAGAUACAUCCUUUAAUUAGAUUUCAGCUUUAAUUCUCUCACUGAUGCAACUUGCAACGGUUCGAGCCUCUCACUAAGCCUUAACCAUUCAAGGUGAUCUUUAACCUUGGACUUCCCUUCUCAAGCUCGCAAGAGAUAACUAAUGGAUGUCUCCUUGGAGUCCAAAAGCUUACCAAGUGUUGGCAAUUCCAGAAAAUCCUACCUUAAAGUCACCUCCCAGAGGCUCGCAAGGGGUAAACUAGUGCAUCUCCAUGGUUGGAGAUCACUUGCCUUACCAAGUGUUGGCCCAGGUGACUCUAAGGUGUUUUAAGUUAACUAAAAACAUAUAAAUCACUAAAGGAUUUCACUUCCUCUUCAUUCAUGGCUGAAACCACAAAGCUCUGCAUUCUUGCACUUGGAACCUUUCCCGGCAACCUUAGCUCCAAGGAACUAAAAGUUUAGUUACUCAUUCUCUGGGGAAACUUCCUCAGAGAGUGCAUAACUUAGAAAAAAAUGAAAAAUACAAAGUGAGAAGGUAAAGCAAAACAGAGGUCCUGAACUUUACUUGCUUUCAAACUUUUACAAAAAGGGUUCCUCCCUGAGAACAGGCUCUCGAGGGGUAUUUAUAUGAACAUAAUACAAAACUAAUUAUUACAUGGAUAUUUACUCUUUUUCCUAACUUAAAAGCUAAGGAAUCUUGUAAUUGGUGGCUUACAAGGAGAAUUUUGGGAUUUAGACAACAAAAAUCUGAUAAAAAAUAUCUCCCAAUGUCGGUAGCAAAUAUCGGGACGCACUAAGGAUCAUUUCGCAAGAGAAAAUGAUGUCUGCGAGAUUUCGCAGACACUCAAAAAGGGUUGCGAAAUCACUUCGCAGCAAAAGGCUAAUCUCGCAGCGCUGCGAAGUUGGCUUUUAGUUUGCGGCUCUCAGCUUCCAACUUGUCGCAUAUAUCAGGCAACUUCAGGAGGAAAUCCUCAACACUAUACAAAAAGGCUGCGAAAUCAUUUCGCAACAAAAGGGUGAUUUCGCAACACUUUGCGAAAUGCUUCUUUCAGCUUAGAGUGAUUGACUUGUAAUGGCUGUAACUUCUUCGUUUCAACUCCGAAUUGUGCACCGUUUGAAGCAUUGGAUUGUUGACUUCCUGAUCUUUAAAAUGAUAUAUAGCAUGUAGAAAAUGGACUUCGGAAAGUGCUCCAAAAGUGGCUGAUAUGACUGUCAUCAAGAAUAUGCUUUAUGGCAGAUUCUCUUUGCUUCUUCUCCUUGCAUUCCAGAUUUACUUAUGGAAAAGGACUUCCAAGCUUUGGUUCUUCAUGUUUCUGAGCUUCCAAUUGCUUUGCCCAAGAUUCCUCAUAACUCUCCUCAAUCUCGGAUUGCUUUGGUGAUCAAAAAGGCUAUCAAAAUACCAAAACUUAACACAUAUUGAUUAGAAGUGCUUGCAAAGGUCCUUAAUAUGUUAAUUGGGUUAAAAGGCAAUAACUACUACUCAAAAGUGUUUAAAAGAGUUAAUUACAAGCUAUGAAAUAGCACAUUUUAAGUAGUAAUCAAACUCAUGACUUGAAUCCUCUAUAUAACUCCUAAUGCACUAAAGUAAUGUACAAUGCAAGUGAUAUGAGCUUGUAUACUCAUAUAACCAAUUCAAUGGUGACCCUCAUCCAAAUUCCACUAAAUUCUAGACUUGUUCUCCUUAUAUUUUCAAGAAAAGCUUCAUAUGAGCCUUACAAUGUGAAUGAUGGGAAAAACCCAGAUCUUUCCUUUUCCCAAGCCCGAAUCAGGUAAGAAACAUGCAUAAUCCUAUGCCUUUUCUAAAUCCUAUGCACAAUAGAACAUAACAUUUUUAAACUUUAAAGAGAUACUAACGAAAACCAUACCUCAGAUUUGGAUGUUCUCGAAACAAAUCCACGUGGUGAAGAUGAAGAACGAAAUCGCAGAAGUCUCAUAAACCCGAAGUCUUCCGCCUCAUGACUUGAACCUUGAUCUUGACGCACUUUCGAUGGGGAUGGAAGGGAGGGUGGAGGUAAUGACUCUUUUUCUCUUUGGAUGAUGGAAGAAAAAAGUUAUGGAAACCCUAACCCCUAGGGGGUAUUUAUAGGGUUCCUAAGUAGGUUUAAGUGACUUGAGCCCAUAUGGGCUUAGGUCACUUAAUGUAGCCCAAAAUGGGUCUUAAUUGAUUAAUUAACCCAAUAAGACAUACUAAUUAAUCAAUUAGCCCAAUCUAAAAACCUUGUUCACUUACCCUUAUGUAACCUUACAUAAUUACCAAAAUGUCCUUAUGCACAAAAGUGAACCUAGAGCCAAUCCAACCCUCAUAAUUUAUGCCAAUAAGGUAUAUGAGCUUAGAGCAACGACUAUUGGGACCUGUAGGAGUACUAGCUUUCUCAUAAUCUAAUUCUGAAGUUGAUUCAAUAUCCGACUAUAAAAAAUCAACUAACUCCCAUAUCCUAUGUAAAUAACAAUGAAACACCAAUUGCUUGGGUUUGUGACCUGCUAUCUAUUAUGUUCAAUCUCCCCAUGAACUGAUGUCUGUAGUCUAACAAGGCGAAAGCUAUCAGCUUUUCAAGACUACCUCUACCAUCCUUGAAUUACAGAGCCUCCUAUUGUGUAUUCAACUAAUAUGUCUUAGCUCUCAAAGAGCCUAUGUCAAGUUCCACUUAAGGAACUACUAUGGCCAUAGUUUCCAUGAACACAUCUCCUUAGGAUCACCCAAGGGGACACACUAUCUCAAUCCCAUGAGAUAUCAUGGCGCCUCUAUUGAGAAUACAUAUUUCUACUGGGUUCCAUCAAUAGUGACCCGAUCCAUAGGGAAUAUAUAAUUAGCUUAUGAUCUCACCCGUAGGUCAAAGCCACUACUAACUUUAGCACAAACUCAAUAUUCUCUCAAGGUUGAGAAACAACAUAAUGAAGCACCUUGGUGAGGUUAUGACUACUUGAUAGCCUUAAGUCAUGACUCAUCAUAGGUCUUGUCCAUUGUGUAACCACACACACUAAUGCACUCACCAUGGGAAACUUAUCUCAAUAGCCAAGACCAGUCAUCCCUUUAAUUAGGAGGUGGUGCACUACAACCUCUAAGGGGUUGCCUAAACCCAUGAACCAGUUGUGAACAAGUCAUCUAUUUUCAGGGAACCCAUGACUUAGAUCUUCGGUGUAAUGAUUACUACUCAAAAAGUGCUAUUUGAUAGCCUAUAAUUAAUCCUUUUAAACACUUUUGAGUAGUAGUUUUGGCCUUUUAACUCAAUUGGCAUGUUAAGGAUCCUUUAAAGCAAUUUUAAUCACUUUGUGUAAGUUUUGGUGUUUUUGUUAGUAUUUUGAUCACCAAAGUAAGUCAAGACUGAGGAGAGCUAUGAGGAAUCUUGGGCAAAGCUUAGAAGUCAUUUGCCAAGAGUGAAUCCGGAUUGCAAGGAGAAAAAGCAAAGAGAAUCUGCCAUAAAGCAUAUUCUUGAUGACAGUCGUAGCAGCCACUUUUGGAGCACUUUCUGAAGUCCAAAUGAUGCAUGCUAUAUACCAUUUCAAAGCUCAGGAAGUCAACAAUCCAAUGCUUCAAACGGUGUGCAAUUCGGAGUUGAAACGAAGAAGUUGUAGCCAUUACAAGCCAAUCACUCCGAGCUGAAGGAAGCAUUUUGCAAAGUGUUGCGAAAUCACUCUUUUGUUGCGAAGUGAUUUCGCAGCAUUUUUGUACAGUAAGGUGUUUCUCCUUCUGACGAUGCACGAUUUAUGCCGCGAGAAGGAAGCUUGGAACCUCAAGGUGGAAGCCAACUUUGCAGCCCUGUGAAGAUAGCUUGGUGUUGCGAAAAUAUUUCGCAGCCCUCUUGAGUGGCUGCGAAAUCUCGCAGACACCAUUUUUCCCCUGCGAAAUGGUUCCUGAAGCCUCCCGAUAUUUGCUACCGACAUUGGGAGAUAUUUUCCAUUAGAUUUUUGUUGUCUAAAUCCCAAAAUACUCCUUGUAAACCACCAAUUACAUGAUUCCUUAGUUUUUAAGUUAGUAAAAAGACUAAAUAUCUAUGUAAUAAUUAGUUUUAUAUUAUGUUCAUAUAUAUACCUCUCGGGAGCCUGUUCUUAGGAGGAGUUCCUUCUGUAAAACGUUUGGGUAAGCAAGUAAAGUCUAUUUUCUUUCUACUGCCUGACCUUCUCACUUUGUAUUUUCAUUUUAUUUCUAAGUUAUGAAUUCUUUGAGGAGUUUUCCCCAGAGAAUGAGUAACUAAACCUCUAAUUCCUUGGAGCUAAGGUUGCCGGGGAAGGUUCCAAGUGCAAGAAUGCAAAGCUUUGUGGUUUUAGCUAGUAAUGAAGAGGAAGUGAAAUCCUUCAAUGAUUUCUAUGUUUUUAGUUAACUUAAAACACCUUAGAGUCACCUAGGCCAACACUUGGUAAGGCAAGUGAUUUCCAACCAUGGAAAUGCACUAGUUUACCCCUUGCGAGCCUCUGGGAGGUGACUUCAAGGUAGGAUUUUCUAGAAUAGCCAACACUUGAUAAGCUUUUGGACUCCUAGGAGACAUCCCUUAGUUAUCUCUUGCGAGCUUUUGACGGGUAAUCCAAGGUUAAAGAUCACCUUGAAUGGUUAAGGCUAAGUGAGAGGCUUAAACCAUUGCAAGUUGCAUCAGUGAGAGAAUUAAAGUGAAAUCUAAUUGAAGGAGUCUCUGUACAUCACCGGUUAGAGAAUUGACUAUAUGUUGAAUCUCUAACGCGAGGAAAUGAACCAUCUGACCAAGGCCGUGUCUUUUGCAUGAGGAACCACCCCAGUGAACCUAAACCUCCAAGGAAUGCUUUUCUUCCUAAAUUAUUCCAAACUUCUGUUAUGUUAGUUAGUUUAAGUCUAAAUCUUUACCAAUCAAAGUUUGUGUUUUACUUCUUAAGCUAACCUUGAAAUGAAACAAGACCAAUUCACUUGGAAUUGGUAUCAUUGAUUGCUUGUUAAUCAUUUCCAGUGAACGACCCUAAAGCUACUAUACUAUAGUAGCUUUUUCUUUGCUACCCUAGUGUAUGGUGUUAUAGGUAAUAAAUUUUGUUGAUCACUCCCUUAAUCAAGGAGCACCGGCUAGACACAAAUCAGCUGAGACACCAAUUGGGCAUGAAUCAUGUAACUCCUAAUGCUCCUAAGUCACGUACAAUACAAAAGAUGCAAGCAAGAAUGCUCAUAAAGUAUAAUACAUGAAAUAAUGAUAGAUAAAAGCGAAACUGGAGCAUCAUUAAAUAAAUAAUGAAUUCCAUGUCUAUUAUAUGAUGUCAUGCUUUUAUGGGCUCUAUCUUAACAUUUUCCCAUUAACCCUUAAAGCAUCAUGCCUAUAAAGCAUACUAGAUACUCAUCUAAAAGCUAUGCUAUCCCUGUGACCAACAAAGACUCUCCAUGUCAAUGUCUUAGUGAUGGGAUCCACUAAGUUCUCCAUAAAAGGUAUCUUGUCAACCAUCAUGUCACCCUCUAAGCUAUCUCAAUACUUUGGAGCAUAAGCACAUAAUCUCUCAUUCUCCUAAGACACUUGAGUGUAUGCUUGAAAAUUGUCCAAUGUUCUGGACCUGGAUUAGACUGAUAUCUACUCACUAUACCCACUACAAAGCAAAUAUUUGUCCUAGUACAUAGCAUCGCAUACAUAAGGCUAUCUACUACAGAGGCAUAGGGUACUAACUGCAUGCACUCUUUCUUCUCAAGUGUUUUCAGACACUGAUCCUGAGAAAAGGGAAUUCCAUGCCUAAAAGGUAACAAACCUUUCUUGAAAUCCUGCAUCACAUACUUGACCAAAAGUUUAUCUAUGUAGGUAGCUUGAGGUAGUGCUGGCUUCCAAUUCUUGCAGUCCUAAGGACCUUAAUCCCAAGAAUUUUGUAGACCCUCAAUUUUGUUCUCCUAUCACAUGUCCUAUUAGAUACUUAUUCGAUACUUUACAGUAGUUCCUUGAUGGCCCAUAGCUACACACACUACUUACCUUUCUUGAGCCACCUCGAAGACUCUGGUUAAGGGAUUGCCUAACCCCUUAUUGUGACCCUUGACGGUUUUGAUUUAGACUUAGGCUUUUCCUUUCUUUUUAGGAUAGUUUUUAGGUGCACUUUUAGGAUAGCACACUUAGGCAUUGUCUUAAACACCCUAGGCUCACUUAGGCAGUUUUCUAGACCCACUUUGGUUCGCUAGGUUUGCUUAAGCAUCCUGGCCCACCUAUGUUACCUUUUAGGUAAUUCCCACAUGACUUACAUAAUUUGCAUGAUUUGCACUUUUAAUGCUUGUGUGUACUUGAUUUCUUAUUUAUUUAUUUAUCUAUUUAUUUUAUUUAUUUAUUUACUUAUUUAUUUAUUAUUAUUUGGUUAGUUAUUUGUUUUUAUUUAUUUAUUUUAUAGAAUAUUGCAUGAGAUUGAUGAUUAAUUAUGUAAACUGAUGUCUUAAUUAUUUUUGUGUACCUAUGAUAGACAUAAUGUUUUUAAUUGCAUAAUUUUAAAUUAGUUUUAAUUUUCAAUUUCAUGACUUUUACUAAUUUUGAUUCUUAUUUUAUUUUGGCAUGAGAUUCGAAUGCACACAUUGGAGAAGAUCCUUGAUGUACACGGCUGCAUAUAUGUGGGGAUAUUCUAUGCAACAUGGAAAGGAGAUUUAUAUCCUUAAAGAAAGGAAAGCAGAUCACGACUGAAUGGAGGAUGGAAACGAGAUUUAAAGUAUUAAAGAAAGGAAAGCAGAUCAUGGCUGAAUGAAGGAUGGAAAGAAGAUUUUUUUAUUUUUCUAAAAAACGGGCUGCCAUCUAUUUGGAAGGAAGAUCACCAAAAUUUUGGAGAAAGGAAAGUGACAGCUGCAUUAUUUUAUAAAGUUACCUCCAUAUAAGGAAGACACGGCCACAAGGAAGAGGAAGAAGUUGCUGCCCAUAGAAGAAUAUAUGGAAACUUCCAUACAAAAAGAAAUUUUUGGAGAGACGCAAUCUCCAUGAAUGGACAGAUACAUGGGAAGAAAGGCGAGAUUUUAUGAUUUUCUAAUUAGAGACACGAAUAGCAAGGGGAUUCGAUACUGAGAUCAGGCACUAAAAGGAAGGCAUGCAUUGCAUAAAAAGAGAAAAAGCAUCUCCACGUCUAGAGAGGGGGGGAUUUUCUCAGGGGGAACUCUCUCGGUCGUUUUUGAGAAUUUUAGAGAAAUAGAAAAAUGAGGUUUUUCAAGAGGGAGUGGCAGAUUUGAUUCCAAGAAAAAAAAAGGUGGCAAUCGCAGGAUGGGCAUGACAGAUAGACAUGGCCGACAUCUAAAAGAAGAGGGAGUUUUGAUUCAUUAAGGCUCACCAUCACACAGCCAUAGAAGUGGGGAUGAUAAGGGUGAGAGCAGGAGACUUUUGGAGAGGGAAACGGGUGCACAGUUUGGGGUAUGAGAAUGAGGUGAUCAUGUUUAUGGAGAGAGAAUCAGUGCAUGGUUCAAGGGAGAAGAAGGCAAAAGGGAAGAAAUAAGAGAACCAGGGGAGCACCUUGAGGAAUAGCUAUUGUAGAUAUCGUAUUCAUAUUCGUCAUCACCUCGUUCUUCGUUCAUUGCUUGCGGUUUCUGGUAUGUUAUUUAUUGCUUAUGCAUUAAGUGUUAUUCGUUGCUUACGUACGGAUAUCAUAAGACGUUUGGUGAUUGUUGAAUCUGGAGAUUUCAUCUGUGGUAAUCCUUGAUCUAUCCACCUCAUUCGUUUGAGUAUUUAAGAUGCACCCCUUUGUUCUCUGCUUUGUUUUUUUUUUUAUUUCUUGNNNNNNNNNNNNNNNNNNNNNNNNNNNNNNNNNNNNNNNNNNNNNNNNNNNNNNNNNNNNNNNNNNNNNNNNNNNNNNNNNNNNNNNNNNNNNNNNNNNNNNNNNNNNNNNNNNNNNNNNNNNNNNNNNNNNNNNNNNNNNNNNNNNNNNNNNNNNNNNNNNNNNNNNNNNNNNNNNNNNNNNNNNNNNNNNNNNNNNNNNNNNNNNNNNNNNNNNNNNNNNNNNNNNNNNNNNNNNNNNNNNNNNNNNNNNNNNNNNNNNNNNNNNNNNNNNNNNNNNNNNNNNNNNNNNNNNNNNNNNNNNNNNNNNNNNNNNNNNNNNNNNNNNNNNNNNNNNNNNNNNNNNNNNNNNNNNNNNNNNNNNNNNNNNNNNNNNNNNNNNNNNNNNNNNNNNNNNNNNNNNNNNNNNNNNNNNNNNNNNNNNNNNNNNNNNNNNNNNNNNNNNNNNNNNNNNNNNNNNNNNNNNNNNNNNNNNNNNNNNNNNNNNNNNNNNNNNNNNNNNNNNNNNNNNNNNNNNNNNNNNNNNNNNNNNNNNNNNNNNNNNNNNNNNNNNNNNNNNNNNNNNNNNNNNNNNNNNNNNNNNNNNNNNNNNNNNNNNNNNNNNNNNNNNNNNNNNNNNNNNNNNNNNNNNNNNNNNNNNNNNNNNNNNNNNNNNNNNNNNNNNNNNNNNNNNNNNNNNNNNNNNNNNNNNNNNNNNNNNNNNNNNNNNNNNNNNNNNNNNNNNNNNNNNNNNNNNNNNNNNNNNNNNNNNNNNNNNNNNNNNNNNNNNNNNNNNNNNNNNNNNNNNNNNNNNNNNNNNNNNNNNNNNNNNNNNNNNNNNNNNNNNNNNNNNNNNNNNNNNNNNNNNNNNNNNNNNNNNNNNNNNNNNNNNNNNNNNNNNNNNNNNNNNNNNNNNNNNNNNNNNNNNNNNNNNNNNNNNNNNNNNNNNNNNNNNNNNNNNNNNNNNNNNNNNNNNNNNNNNNNNNNNNNNNNNNNNNNNNNNNNNNNNNNNNNNNNNNNNNNNNNNNNNNNNNNNNNNNNNNNNNNNNNNNNNNNNNNNNNNNNNNNNNNNNNNNNNNNNNNNNNNNNNNNNNNNNNNNNNNNNNNNNNNNNNNNNNNNNNNNNNNNNNNNNNNNNNNNNNNNNNNNNNNNNNNNNNNNNNNNNNNNNNNNNNNNNNNNNNNNNNNNNNNNNNNNNNNNNNNNNNNNNNNNNNNNNNNNNNNNNNNNNNNNNNNNNNNNNNNNNNNNNNNNNNNNNNNNNNNNNNNNNNNNNNNNNNNNNNNNNNNNNNNNNNNNNNNNNNNNNNNNNNNNNNNNNNNNNNNNNNNNNNNNNNNNNNNNNNNNNNNNNNNNNNNNNNNNNNNNNNNNNNNNNNNNNNNNNNNNNNNNNNNNNNNNNNNNNNNNNNNNNNNNNNNNNNNNNNNNNNNNNNNNNNNNNNNNNNNNNNNNNNNNNNNNNNNNNNNNNNNNNNNNNNNNNNNNNNNNNNNNNNNNNNNNNNNNNNNNNNNNNNNNNNNNNNNNNNNNNNNNNNNNNNNNNNNNNNNNNNNNNNNNNNNNNNNNNNNNNNNNNNNNNNNNNNNNNNNNNNNNNNNNNNNNNNNNNNNNNNNNNNNNNNNNNNNNNNNNNNNNNNNNNNNNNNNNNNNNNNNNNNNNNNNNNNNNNNNNNNNNNNNNNNNNNNNNNNNNNNNNNNNNNNNNNNNNNNNNNNNNNNNNNNNNNNNNNNNNNNNNNNNNNNNNNNNNNNNNNNNNNNNNNNNNNNNNNNNNNNNNNNNNNNNNNNNNNNNNNNNNNNNNNNNNNNNNNNNNNNNNNNNNNNNNNNNNNNNNNNNNNNNNNNNNNNNNNNNNNNNNNNNNNNNNNNNNNNNNNNNNNNNNNNNNNNNNNNNNNNNNNNNNNNNNNNNNNNNNNNNNNNNNNNNNNNNNNNNNNNNNNNNNNNNNNNNNNNNNNNNNNNNNNNNNNNNNNNNNNNNNNNNNNNNNNNNNNNNNNNNNNNNNNNNNNNNNNNNNNNNNNNNNNNNNNNNNNNNNNNNNNNNNNNNNNNNNNNNNNNNNNNNNNNNNNNNNNNNNNNNNNNNNNNNNNNNNNNNNNNNNNNNNNNNNNNNNNNNNNNNNNNNNNNNNNNNNNNNNNNNNNNNNNNNNNNNNNNNNNNNNNNNNNNNNNNNNNNNNNNNNNNNNNNNNNNNNNNNNNNNNNNNNNNNNNNNNNNNNNNNNNNNNNNNNNNNNNNNNNNNNNNNNNNNNNNNNNNNNNNNNNNNNNNNNNNNNNNNNNNNNNNNNNNNNNNNNNNNNNNNNNNNNNNNNNNNNNNNNNNNNNNNNNNNNNNNNNNNNNNNNNNNNNNNNNNNNNNNNNNNNNNNNNNNNNNNNNNNNNNNNNNNNNNNNNNNNNNNNNNNNNNNNNNNNNNNNNNNNNNNNNNNNNNNNNNNNNNNNNNNNNNNNNNNNNNNNNNNNNNNNNNNNNNNNNNNNNNNNNNNNNNNNNNNNNNNNNNNNNNNNNNNNNNNNNNNNNNNNNNNNNNNNNNNNNNNNNNNNNNNNNNNNNNNNNNNNNNNNNNNNNNNNNNNNNNNNNNNNNNNNNNNNNNNNNNNNNNNNNNNNNNNNNNNNNNNNNNNNNNNNNNNNNNNNNNNNNNNNNNNNNNNNNNNNNNNNNNNNNNNNNNNNNNNNNNNNNNNNNNNNNNNNNNNNNNNNNNNNNNNNNNNNNNNNNNNNNNNNNNNNNNNNNNNNNNNNNNNNNNNNNNNNNNNNNNNNNNNNNNNNNNNNNNNNNNNNNNNNNNNNNNNNNNNNNNNNNNNNNNNNNNNNNNNNNNNNNNNNNNNNNNNNNNNNNNNNNNNNNNNNNNNNNNNNNNNNNNNNNNNNNNNNNNNNNNNNNNNNNNNNNNNNNNNNNNNNNNNNNNNNNNNNNNNNNNNNNNNNNNNNNNNNNNNNNNNNNNNNNNNNNNNNNNNNNNNNNNNNNNNNNNNNNNNNNNNNNNNNNNNNNNNNNNNNUGGCAACUACCCAUGCACUGAACACUGAAACAAUAUCUGCUCUUCCUUUCUUAUGUUCAGAAUUAAAAUUCUGUGCUAAAGCAAAAUUGAAGACUUGCCUCUCGUGAGCUGACUUGCUAUCCAGAUCGUGAAGGUUUAGAAUUCUGGUUUUUUCCAGCCAAAGCUAAGAGACAGUCCAGUUUACGUUACGGUAAAGGCAUGGAAGCUGAGUUUGAAAGGACAUAUGUUUUGCACGGUAUCUUCAGGGAAGACCCAUCUAGAAACACUGAUAUUUCGACAGUUUCCAUUGUUCAAAGCCAAGAGAAUCAUGGGACCCUGAACAAUCCAAGGAUCCUUAGAUAUAUCAUUUCGGUAAUCAGUUCUGAUCAAGAAAACAGUCUAGAAACUACACUUAGAGAGAAAUCCUGAAGCAUUUGGCCUUCAAAGGUUGAAACAGGUGGAAAAGUCCAAACUUGAUUUGCAGGAAGGAAUUCAAAGGGUCAAAGAAGAAAACCAGAGCUUGAAUGAAUUGAACUUAUCAUCCACCAGUUCAAUGAGGAAUCUUCAAAAUGAAAUAUUCAGCUUGAGAGAAUUUGAAGAAUUAGAUAAAGUCUUGAAUGUUCAAGUUGAGAUCCUUGUCUUGCAUAAAUUUAUACAAGACAUGGAAGAAAAGAACUACUCUCUAUUGAUUGAGUGUCAGAAACACACUGAGGCAUCCAGAUUGUCAGAGAAACUGAUUUCAGAGUUGGAGACUGAAAAUCCUGAACAACGGGUGGAAGCAGAAUUCCUGUUAGAUAAAAUUGAAAAGCUAAGAAAAGGGAUCUAUCAACCGUUCAAGACACUUCAGAUUAAUUUAGAUAAUGUGCAAGAAGAGAGGAUUGAACAAGAGCAAAUACUUUUGCGGCACAUUAUAGGGAAUAUAGUGCACACUAUCCUCCUCUUUUUGUACAUUUCUUGUUCACCUUGUGAUUUUAUAUGCUUUAAAUUGUGCUUUCAAAAUCGUUUUCCUCCAAACAAUCCUUACUUUAAAGAAUCAUCUUCAGACCUUCUUUAAGUAGUGAGACCCAGGUUCUUACAAACUCUUUGCUGCCAAUUUUCCAUUCGGUAUGCAUUUUCAUUGUUUUCAAAUGAUUUUCUUGAUUUUCUGAUUUUCUUGUUUUAAAACAAGCAUGAAUAAACUUCAUAAUUCCAAACAAUGGGAUUCAUAGAAUCAAUUCAAGCAAAAUCAAUUAGGGCUUUGGUGGAGGGCCGACAUCCAUGAUAUUUUCUUCAAUACUUUUUGUUUGAUAUUUAAUUAAUUGUGCUUCCUCUUUGUGGUAUAUAUGAGAUUAUUUUGAAUCCAUUAUUUAUCUAACCUUGUUUUCCAUAAAAGCGUUUAACUUGCUACCCAAGUACACUCUCUCUCUCACUCACUUUAAAAAAUUCUAUGGACAUGUAUGCUAUUGAAGAUCAUAUCCAUGUUCAAUACAAUCCUUGGGUGCUUUAAUAUAUACGCUUCAUUGUGAAAUUAUCUGUGAUAAAAUGCAUGUUGGGUGAUAUAUUAUCUAAACUAAUCAUUGAUGUUUUAUGAUAGCGCUUAAGAAGUGGUUCAGGUAUGCACCCUAACUCUCCUUUAUUGUGAUUUGAUCUUGUUUGGCAUGUUAUUUUUUGUAAUCACCUUAGUCAACCUAGGUAUCCUUAGUUAAUCAAUUAAUUGCCACAUCUCCCUCAACUUAGUCAAUAGAGACCUUUGUAGGGCUUAGAGGGGUGCUACCUCUUUGAGGUACCUUCCCAAUAGGUAACCUGAUCCCUGGACCUAAACUCGGGUUUUUCAAAGACAUGCUUUUCCAAAAAUUAUGGAGUCACUUCUUUAGGGUUUUUCUUUCUUGCUUUAUUUUCCCUUUAAAAUAAAAAUAAAAUAACUGCCGACUCCAACUUUUCUUUCCAAAAAUUAAUUUUUCACAAAUAAAAGUGAGUCUCGCCGAUCGAAUGGGGGCACACAUGAAAAAUGCGGAUCCACAAAUAUACUAUGCUUCUCCUGGAUAUCCUUCAUCAAGUACUAAGUAGACAACCAGAUCUUAACUAAUAACAAUAGCCCUACAUCAUUACCAAUGAGUUGAAUGUCAUCAUCAACAUACAAGAUUAUAAAGACCACCAUGCUUCCUUGCACCUUCUUGUACACACAAGGCCUUUGCUAUAAAAAUAUCCGAUUACAUCAUAUAGAUGCUAAUAUCAAGAUAAUUGUUGAAGAACACUAUCUUGACAUCCUAUUACAAAAUCUCAUAAAUAAGAUACACUUCAAUGGGUAGGAGUACUCUGAUGGAUAUGAAUAUGGCUAUAGGUGAAAAGGUUUCCUAUAUUCAAAACAAUGUUUCAAACUAUAACCUUUAGCUACAACCUACCCACAUAAACCUCAACUUUUCCAUCUACUCCUUUGUUCUUCUUGUAGAACAACUUACUCCUAUGGGUUUUAUCCCUUUAGGUGCUUCUACAGGAACCUAGACUACAUUAGAAUCUCAAUGAUUUUAACUCUGCCUCUAUAGCUUUUUGUUAAAGAUGUGCAUCCACAUCGCCCAUUGUUUCAUCCUAAUCUAUGGGAUCAAUCUCAUGUUCUUUUAGAAUGGUCUUGAAAAACUCUCCCAAAUACAUGAAUCGGUCUGGUUGUUUAACAACCCUUCUACUACAACGAGGCAUCAGUGUACUAGAAAUGGGAAUGGUUGGUAUUGAAUCCAUAGCAUCUUAUGUAUAGUGUGACUAUCUUCUAAAUUCUCCAAUCUAUAUCAUUGUUUGCCUUAUUACAUAUCAUAUAGUCUAUAUAAGAAUUUGGUAUUUGUAGAAACAAACACCUUCUGAUAAUCCUGACUAUAAAGUAAUAAUCCUGAAAUCCUCUUGGAUGUCCUAUAAACUGAUACACCUCUUUAGAAAAAGAAGAGGUAAUACACAGUCUUUAAGAUAUAUCACCAAAGAAUAUGAGAAGUCAUGAGAAACUAGUCACCGAUCUUACUUUGUCUAUCAAAGUUCAAUAUCUUCUUUCCAUUACUCCAUUUUGCAAUGAAGUCCUUGGUGCACACAAAUGGGAUAUGAUCUCAUGCUCCAUUUAAAAAGAAUCAAACCUACUAGACUAACCACCUCAACCUAAUCGAAGUGCCUUGAUAUGUUUACCCAAUAGGUUAUCCGAUUCUGCCUUGAAUUCAAUGAGUUUAUCCAAGGCAUCAAAUUUCCUAUCUACAUAUCCAAAACUAAAGUAUUUAUCAAUAAAAUGAUCAAAUACCCAUACUUUCCAUAUAUAAACACAAAAAGGUUCAUAGACAUGAGUAUGCACUAACUCUAAACAUUCCUUGGUUUCAAGUCCUUUAAAAAUAAAAGGGCCCCUUGUUCAUUUUACCAUCUAUAUAGGAUUCAUAGACUGAAAAAUCUUCUAGAUUAAGAAGGUCCAAACUUAAUUAGUCUUUGAAUCCUAUUUAGAUUAAUAUGACCUAAGCAUUAGAAGCCAAAUGUUUGAUUAGUGCUAGGUUCUUUCUUUUAAUGAGAUCUGACUAUUCUCAUUACUUGGCAAAGUGAUAAUAGAGUCUAACAUAAAAAAUGAAAAAAAAGUAAUACCUUCCACGAACUUGCACAACUAAUCUUGCAACUGGAGAUAUGGUAAGUAUAAUCCCAUCAUGUGACCUUCUCAUUUAUUAAAAACCUUGUAAAGAACCAUAGAUAGUGGACCUGGAAUCUAUCCACCACAAUUAGUGAAAUCCACCACUAUGUAUUCAACAACAAGAACAUUGAUGUGUACUUGACUAUCCUUAGACACUCCAAGCAUUCCUUUUCUAAGUGUCCUAAAAGUUUACAAAGGAAUCAUUGCCCAUGAGUUUGUUUUCUCAUUCAUUUUCUUCAACUUUGUUUAUUUGGUGUUGUUGUUCCUCUUCUUAGUAAAAGCGCCUGAAGAACCUUGACUUCCAUAUGAAAACCCUUCCACUCUUUAAGAAUCUUUUUACCCAUAUCAAAUGAAUCUGGUAAGAUCUCUAAGAUAACAUGAAUCCUAGUGUUCAUAAUAGUCUUAAGGGCAACUUGUUUAAUUAACUUGCCCUUAUCACCAAAUAACCCUUGCAACUUUAAAGAGAAUAUCAUAGACAAUGACAAUAGACAUGUGUUACUUUUGCAACACAUUAUCUAAAGACCAAGUAUGAGAGACUUAGUCUUCUAAUCCGUCUUAUGCCACCUUUGAUAUGCUUCUCUUAUUUUAUGAUAGGUUUGUUCAAAGGAGAUAACAAACUCUACCAAAAUAAGCUUCUAUGCAAUUAAUACUGUAUCCAGAUUAUUUUUAGUCUAUAAUUAGGUCCAAUUUAAAUAAGAGAUAAUAGGUGACAAGUUAAAGACAUGAUAUCUAUAGCAAAUAUAAUAAUUUCAUGCAUUAAUAAAAAAAACUGAGUAUUCAAGGCAAGUUGGUAAUUAAUUUAGCAAAAAUAUAGUGCUCUCAAACUACAUGUCCUUUUGCAAGGUAUCCUAGUAUCAUAAGAAUCAAGCCUACUUGAGGCAGGUCAUGACUCCUAUUGCUAGGGUAGAGGCCCUUUCUAAUUGAUUAACCUGCCUUAAACCUCUAAAGGUUAUCCUAAGGCAUUAAUCAACAUACUUAUAUGUUUAGCCCUUAACCUAUGUAAAUGGGACCACUUUAGGUGCUUCUACCACUUCAUGUCUAAGUUAAGUGUGUAACCAAGAUCCUUGACAUCAAUGUUACCAAAUGAAGAGUUCCCAUAUUUAGGAUUGGCCACUCCUACUACAAACAUAUAUAGUCUUGUCCAUAAAGGAUAGUCCAUAUCCCUUGACUCCUUGGGUCACCCCAUCUUUAAGAUGGUGAUGGGCCCAAAGUCAAGAUGGGCUUCAUCUUAUAGGCUACGAGCAUGCCUAUGGCCCGUUCCCACUUAAUAUUUUGGAAGAGAGACUUUAAGAUAUUUUUGGUAACUAUCUUAAAAUAAAUUAUUCAUCAUGAGAAUUUUCAAAAAGUUUUAUUUAUUACUUGAACUAGGACUCCUGUGCCAAAUAGGAUAUCUUUCAUAUUCCUUAUCCUUAAACUUUCCUUUUGAAACUAAACGGUUUCCUCAUUCUCUUGGGAGGGGGUGAUUUCUACCCAAAAAGUGCUAUUUUACACCUUUAAUUCAUUAUGUUUUAAGCACUUUUGUGUAGUAGUUCUCCAUCUUUAUCCCAAUUGGCAUGUUAAGGACCUAGCAAUGAAUUCUAAUCAUAUUUGUGGCUAGUUUUAGUGUUUUGACAGCUUUUUGGAUCAUUAAGACAAGACAAGCAAAGGAGAGAAGCAAAGAAGAGAAGCAAAGAGAGAGUGAAGAAAACAAAGGACAGCAGCUGCAGUCUUCCUUCGCACUUUUGGAGCACUUUCCGAAGUCUAUUUUCUGCAUGCUAUAUACCAUUUCAAAGCUCAGGAAGUCAAGAAUCUAACGCUUCAAACCAUGUACGAUUUGGAGCUGAAAUGAGGAAGAUAUGGCCUUCGGAAGACAACUGCAUCAAGCCAUGGAAACACCAUUUCGCAAGGAGAUUUUCUUCAUGGUGCGAAAUUUGACCAUUUCGCAAGGUGAAUUUCCCCUUGCAAAAAUUUCGCACGGAGAUUUUCUUCAUAGUGCGAAAUUUGGCCACUUCGCACCAUGAAGAAGCACCUUGAGAAAUUUCGCAAGGUGGCUUUUCACCUUGCGAAAUUUGGACCCUUCAUCUUUCCAUUCCACUGCCGGUUCUCCAAGAUAUUUUGCUUGAUUUUUAGCUUUGUAAAUACCUAUUUUACCCUUGUAAUCAACCAAUGAAUAGGUUGCUUUUGUAAUAGCUCUUGUAAUUUAGCUUGUUAUUGUCUUUAAAUAGAGGUGAAGAGCCUCAAACAAAAAUAUCUUGUAACCUGUAACUUUAUAAGUUAUAAGAGCACUUUUGUUCAUACGUUUUUUUUCUCUUUUCUUUCUCAUUUUCUUAGUAGCCAAACAUCCUUGGGGGAUGAAAUCCCCAAGGAUGAGAGGCUAAAACCUUUUAGUUUCUUGAAGUAAUGGAUGCCAUGUGAAGCUCCCGUGUCAGGAUGGAGAUUUCCAAGCCAUAAAUGUAAGUAGCUGAGCGUCAUAAAUGUUUUCAUUCAAAGUAAAGCUUUUAAUCCCUCUGACUUGCUUUGAAUGGCCAAUACUUGAUAACCUUUUGGUCUCAGUGGAUUCUUAUUGUUAGAUCCACUGACGUUCAUUAGUUAUCUCCUACGAGCCAUUGUAUUGCAAGUCGAGGAGAUGACCUAUAUCAAUAAAAGAGCAUUUAUGAGGUUCAACUACCCUUUUUGUAAGUUUUCAAGGACUAAAACUCAGUUGUUAAACUCAUACCGGUUCGGGAAGUAAGCAUCACCUUAGUUGCUUCCCCAACUCGAGGUGAAAAGUCCCAAAAUCUCCAUUUUUACACAGUAAGUUAAGCAUGGCUAUCCAAAGCUUUGAGAAACUUCUUUUUCCAUCUUUUAACCUAUUUUCAUGUUAGUUUAGUUUACAACACCUUCAUCUUUUUAUGUUUUCAUCUUAACCUAAUUUUUAUUAAGAAAAGUUCACUCCAUCCUCCGAACUUUACCAGUUAAAGUAAAAACCCUUCCCAGUGUUCGAUCCUAGAGCCACUAUGCUAUAGUAGCUUUGCUACUUUAGUGUAAGGACCUUAGGUAUAAAUUUUGUUGAUACCCUUACAUGCCAAGCUACCAAGAGCCAGGUUUAUUAAAUGGCGUCGUUGCCGGGGAAGGUGCUACUUCACUAUGAAUAUAUCAGUCGGAGGUAACUUGUGAGACUUCUCUUGAGUAAGGUGAAUUCUAUCUCAUUUUUCAUUUACUAACUUUUUAUUUUAGUUUUAGAACAUUUUUAACUUAGUUUAGAUAAGUUUCUUUUAGCUUUUAACUUUCAUUUUUAGUUUAUUUUUCAUACUCUGUUUUUCCUUCCGCAUGCUCUGUUUUUUUUUUCUUUUUCUUUGUUUUGUUCCAGUUGAAUCCGUGCAUGCCCUAUUGGAUUAGAGACCAAGAGGGAAGGUUAGUGCGGAUAGAGACUCCACGAGCUACUGAAUUAGAGAUUAUUUUGGAAGUCAUGAAGAAUCAGCCAGAGGAUCAACAUUCACAACACGGGCAGGGGAAUGAUCCGAACUUGUAUAGGUCCAUGAGGGACAGGAUGCACCCUCCGAGGAUGAGUGCACCAUCUUGCAUCAUUCCUCCUACAGAGCAAUUGAUUAUCAUGCCACACAUCGUGCCUCUGCUUCCUACUUUCCAUGGGAUGGAAAGUGAAAAUCCAUAUGCGCACAUAAAGGAAUUCGAAGAUGUGUGCAAUACUUUUCAAGAAGGGGGAACAGCUAUUGAGCUUAUGAGGUUGAAGCUCUUUCCAUUCACAUUAAAGGACAAAGCCAAGAUAUGGCUCAAUUCCUUGAGGCCAAGAAGCAUAAGAACAUGGACAGAACUUCAAGCUGAUUUUUUAAAGAAGUUUUUCCCUACUCACAAAACAAAUGGAUUGAAGAGACAAAUCUCCAACUUCUCAGCACGUGAGAAUGAAAAAUUUUAUGAAUGCUGGGAGAGGUAUAUGGAGUCCAUCAAUGCAUGUCCUUACCACGGCUUUGAUACAUGGCUUUUGGUGAGCUAUUUUUAUGAUGGCAUGUCAUCUUCAAUGAAGCAGAUAUUAGAGACAAUGUGUGGGGGCGAUUUCAUGAGCAAGAACCCUGAGGAGGCUAUGGAUUUCCUAAGUUAUGUCUCAGAGGUUUCCCGUGGAUGGGAUGAGCCCAACAACAAAGAAAUGGGGAAGAGGCCAGUUCAGUAAAUGUCAAGAGGGGGGAUGUACAAUCUGAGUGAAGACAUGGAGAUGAAAGCCAAGGUAGCUGCCAUGGCUAGAAAAAUAGAGGAAAUGGAGUUGAGAAAAGUUCACGAAGUCCAAGCUAUUUCAGAACCUCAACAACAAGCCAAUCCUUGCUCCAUCUGUCAGUCAUUUGAACAUAUGGUGGAAGAAUGUCCCACCAUUCCGGCAGCAAGAGAAAUGUUCGGGGAACAAGCUAACCUGAUUGGCCAAUGGAAGCCAAACUCAAAUGCUCCCUAUGGCAACACGUACAACUCUAGCUGGAGGAACCACCCAAACUUUGCAUGGAAGCCAAGGCCAAACCCAUAUCAGUCACCAGCCCAAUCAAGCCAACAGAGUCAAGGUCAAUCCUCAGUUGAGCAAGCACUCAUAAGCCUUAGCAAGGUUAUGGGUGACUUUGUGAGCGAGCAAAAAUCCAUCAACUCUCAACUAAAUCAGAAGAUUGACAACGUAGAGAGUACAUUGAACAAGAAGAUAGAUGGGAUGCAUAAUGAGUUUUCUCAGAAAAUUGACAACAUCCAAUAUUCCAUCUCAAGGCUCACAAAUUUGAACACUGUCAAUGAGAAAGGGAAGUUUCCCUCUCAGCCUCACCAAAAUUCCAAGGGCAUCCAUGAAGUGGAGGCUCAAGAGGGAGAAUCUUCAAUGGUGAAGGAAGUUGAAACAGUUAUCACUUUGAGGAGUGAUAAAGAGGUUGAUCUGCCCACAUGCAAGCUAGAGCACAAGGUAGAGAGUGAAACAGAGAAAGAAAAGAGGGAGGAAAUCAAAGGAAAGAGAAAGGGGAAAAGUAUAGAGGAAGAUGGCUAUGAUGUUAAUGUACAAGGAGCACCACAAAGGAUAGUCAUCAAGGAAGAAAUGAUGAAGAAUCACAUCCCUCCACCUUUCCCCCAAGCUUUGUAUGGCAAGAUCAUACAGAGCAAGUCUCAAGUGAGGGAUGCAAACUUCAUAUGGGAUCUGGGCAAGCUAAACCAAGGAUCAAUUUUUUUGAUGGACUUAGUCUUUUUAAACUUGGCAUGUUUCUAUUUUCUCUACUCACUUUUUUUUUAAACAUGUGGUUCCUCCUAUACGACUCAGACUCCAUGUCACUCAGGAAGUACCACUUCCUCCCUAUUUUUUAAUCGCUUUGUCACAUUGAGGACAAUGUUCAGCUUGGUUGGGGGGAGAGUUGAGAAAGUAAGUUUUGUUAUUAAUGCUAAGUUAUUUUGGUAAUUUAGUUGCUUUUUGCUUAAUUUUAAAAUUUUUCUAAGUUUUUUAUUCUACUCUCCAUGGUUAUUAAGGAAAAAUUUUCAAAAUGAAAUGGGAGAAAUUGAAUUUUUAUCUUUUUACUUGACUUAGAGUUUGUAUUAUGCUUACUAAAAUUGAUGAAUUGUUGAAACUUCUAUUGAAUUCAACCUCAGUUCUUCCACUUUAAGCUAUUCACACACUGUGCACAAUAGGUUCCGAUUAUAAGAUGAAAAACUAUUUCCCUCUUGACUUAGGAAAAUUUUAAACUUGGUACCUUUGACCUCAUUUUAAUAGUGUUGGGACACCUUGUAAAAGGCCAAUGAGUCUUUGGAAAAAGAAAGAAAAAGAAAAAUGUUUUACUUGCCUUGAAACCCGAGCAAGGUCUGAGGGGUAUAUGGUGAAAAUCUUUAAAACCUGGUGCCCUAAGCCUUCAAUGGUUUGGGAGUCACCGACCUCAAUGCUCGUUACAUGGGUGAAUAGGUGAAGUUUAACAUAUUGUAGGUGCUUGGGUAUUAAAAAUUCAUUCUCAAAAGUCCGGAGUAAAAUCCGAGGAGUUAGUGGUUGAAAAAUCCUUAAAGCUUGAUGCCCUAAACCUUGAUUGGUUGGGAGUCAUCGAUGGACCCCCGUUACAUGGACAAUUUAGAAAAGAAUGCCUUUAAGCUUUGCACUCCUAAAAAAAAAAAAAAAAAUUGUGAAAGAAAAGAGGUGCGUUCUUAGCCUAUUGGAGGUUGAUUAGUUUGCUAAGCUUUGAAAAGAACUAGGUUGAGGGGAGAGAUUAGUUUGACAUACUAUAUCUGGAAACUAAUAAAUAACACAUAGAUUUUUGUGGAAGAUUAAGAGUCGGUCCUUUGGAAGUGGAAAUUAUUUUGAUACUCAAAUUUGCAUAAUGCCUACUCUUUAUGAAUUGUGACUAGGAAAAUUAUUUGAUAGCUCCUAUUGAAGUUUGAGUUUUAUUUUCUUUCAUGUUCCAUGUGAGAGUUUGAUCCAAUCAUGGCACUUGAUUAUUUUUUGGAGUGAUCAGCAUGAUUUUAUAAAAUAUUAUAUUAUCUAUUUUUCUUUAUUUUUCUCUCCUUCAUUGCUCAGGGACUAGCAAUGUGUCAGUUGGGGAGAGUGAUUACUACCCAAAAAGUGCUAUUUUACACCUUUAAUUCAUUAUGUUUUAAGCACUUUUGUGUAGUAGUUCUCCAUAUUUAUCCCAAUUGGCAUGUUAAGGACCUAGCAAUGACUUCUAAUCAUAUUUGUGGCUAGUUUUAGUGUUUUGACAGCUUUUUGGAUCAUUAAGACAAGCCAAGCAAAGGAGAGAAGCAAAGAGAGAGUGAAGAAAAUAAAGGACAGCAGCUGCAGUCUUCCUUCGCACUUUUGGAGUACUUCCCGAAGUCCAUUUUCUGCAUGCUAUAUACCAUUUCAAAUAUCAGGAAGUCAAGAAUCCAACACUUCAAACCAUGUACGAUUUGGAGCUGAAAUGAGGAAGAUAUGGCCUUCGGAAGAUAGCUGCAUCAAGCCAUGGGAACACCAUUUCGCAAGGUGAAUUUCACCUUGCGAAAAUUUCGCAAGGAGAUUUUCUUCAUGGUGCGAAAUUUGACCAUUUCGCAAGGUGAAUUUCCCCUUGCGAAAAUUUCGUAAGGAGAUUUUCUUCAUGGUGCGAAAUUUGGCCACUUCGCACCAUGAAGAAGCACCUUGCGAAAUUUCGCAAGGUGGCUUUUCACCUUGCGAAAUUUGGACCCUUCAUCUUUCCAUUCCACUGCCGGUUCUCCAAGAUAUUUUGCUUGAUUUUUAGCUUUGUAAAUACCUAUUUUACCCUUGUAAUCAACCAAUGAAUAGGUUGUUUUUGUAAUAGCUCUUGUAAUUUAGCUUGUUAUUGUCUUUAAAUAGAGGUGAAGAGCCUCAAACAUAAAUAUCUUGUAACCUGUAACUUUAUAAGUUAUAAAAGCACUUUUGUUCAUACGCUUUUUUUCUCUUUUCUUUCUCAUUUUCUUAGUAGCCAAACAUCCUUGGGGGAUGAAAUCCCCAAGGAUGAGAGGCUAAAACCUUUUAGUUUCUUGAAGUAAUGGAUGCCAUGUGAAGCUCCCGUGUCAGGAUGGAGAUUUCCAAGCUAUAAAUGUAAGUAGCUGAGCGUCAUAAAUGUUUUCAUUCACAGUAAAGCUUUUAAUCCCUCUGACUUGCUUUGAAUGGCCAAUACUUGAUAACCUUUUGGUCUCAGUGGAUUCUUAUUGUAGAUCCACUGACGUUCAUUAGUUAUCUCCUACGAGCCAUUGUAUUGCAAGUCGAGGAGAUGACCUAUAUCAAUAAAAGAGCAUUUAUGAGGUUCAGCUACCCUUUUUGUAAGUUUUCAAGGACUAAAACUCAGUUGUUAAACUCAUACCGGUUCGGGAAGUAAGCAUCACCUUAGUUGCUUCCCCAACUCGAGGUGAAAAGUCCCAAAAUCUCCAUUUUUACACAGUAAGUUAAGCAUGGCUAUCCAAAGCUUUGAGAAACUUCUUUUUCCAUCUUUUAACCUAUUUUCAUGUUAGUUUAGUUUACAACACCUUCAUCUUUUUAUGUUUUCAUCUUAACCUAAUUUUUAUUAAGAAAAGUUCACUCCAUCCUCCGAACUUCACCAGUUAAAGUAAAAACCCUUCCCAGUGUUCGAUCCUAGAGCCACUAUGCUAUAGUAGCUUUGCUACUUUAGUGUAAGGACCUUAGGUAUAAAUUUUGUUGAUACCCUUACAUGCCAAGCUACCAAGAGUCGGCUAAUCAGGGGGAAAGCCCGAAUGACCAAUUUAGGUGUCACUCUCCUCUUUGGGGGGGAGAGCCUAGAGAACCACCUAACCCAAAUAAAGGAAAGUCCCAAAAGGAAUUUGAAAUUCCAAAUGACAACAAACAAUUCCUAAAAUAACUAAUAAUGGAAAUAAAACUCAUGAAAAUUUAUUCUUUUAAGAAAAUCUAAAAUUACCACUUUAAUUUAUUUUAUUUGAAAUAAUAUCUUUGUAAGCUAUCUUAAUCAUGAAUUAUCUAUCAUAUAUUUUUUUCAAAAAUAAGUUGUUUCUUUAAAUUAGAAUCUUGUGCUAAAUAAGAAAGAUUUUAUUUCAUAGAGACUUGGAAAAAUAAAACUUCUUCUUUAAAAUAAAAAAAUUCUUAGAGAUCUAAAAUCUAAAAAGAAUUAUUUAAAAAAUAAAUAAAAAUCUCUAAGAGUUUAGUUUUGAAAAGGAAGUAGGUUCCUUAUUUCUUUCCAACUUGUCUUUUCCUAAAAUUAAAAUUUCCUAAUACUUAGUACAUUCUAAUUUAAUAAAUUAUCUAAAACAAAGGAAAAAUAUGAAAAUUCAUUUACUUAAGAAUACCAAAAUAUAUUCUAUGCCAAAAAUAAAAAGGCAUAAAAGACAUAAAAGGAAAUUAUAUGUGCUUUUCUCUAAAAAUCUCAUGGGAAGUCAUCCCGAUUUUAAGUUAAAGAUGACAAAAUUGUGUUGUCAAGGAUCUCAAAUCAAGACUUUCUAAGAAUCUUUAUUUUCCCUUAAAUAAUCAUAGGAACUUAUGAAAGAAACUUUAAGAAGUCUUAUUUUCUCUUUUUUGGCUACAGAAUGUGCGCGAACACUUUGUGAUGCUUCAAAUUGCUUCCAUACUCUCCAUAGAUUACAAAGAAAGAUAAAAAUAAAUAAAUAAAUAAAUCAAAUAAAAAAUUAUAAUAAAAUCCUAUACUCCAAAGAUUUGAAGUUUACAUAUCAUUCUAAGAUAAAAAUAGGAUUAUUACAAAAGAACAAAAAUCUUAUGCCCAAUCCAAAGACCUUGUUCACUUACCCCUAUGUAAUAUUGUGUAAUUAUCAAUUCACCCUUAUGCACAAAAGUGAACCUAGAGUCAAUCCGACUUCAUAAUCUAUGCCAACAAGGUAUAUGAGCUCAAAGCGGGGACCAUUGGGACCCAUAGGAGUAUUAGAUUCCUCAUAAUCCAAUUUUGAAGUUGAUUCAACAUCCCACUACAGAGAAUCAAGUGAACUUCGGUAUCCUAUGUAAAUAACAACGAGACACCAAGUGCUCGGUUCUAAGACUUCUUAUCCAUUGUGUUUAGUCUCCCCAUGAAUUGAUGUCCAUAGUUUAACAAGGUGAAAGCUAUCAACCUUUCAAAACUACCUCUACCAUCCUUAAGUUACAGAUCCUCCUAUUGUAUAUUCAACUAACAUGUCUUAACUCUCAAAGAGCCUAUGUUAAGUUCCACUUAAGGAACUACUAUGGCCAUCGUUUCCAUGAACACAUAUCCUUAAGAUCACCCAAGGGGACACAUUGUCUCAACCCCAUGAGAUAUCAUGGUGCCUCUAUUGAGAAUACCUAUUGCUACUGGCUUCCAUCAACAACAAUCCAAUCCAUAGGGAAUAUAUAAUCAAUUUACAAUCUCUCCCAUAGGUCAAAGCCACUACUAACUUUAACACAAACUCAAUAUUCUCUCAAAGUUGAGAUACAACACAAUGAAGCAGCUUGGUGAGGUCAUGACUACUUGAUAGUCUUAAGUCAUGUUUCACCAUAGGUCGUGUCGAACAUGUUAACAUACACACUAGUGCACUCACCAUGGGAAACUCAUCCUGAUAGCCAAUACCAGCCAUCGUCCAAUUAGGAGGUGGUGCACUACAACCUCUAAUGGGUUGCCUAGACCCAUGAAUUAGUUGUGAACAAGUCAUCUAUUUGCAAGAAACCAAUGAUUUAGAUCUUAUGUGCAACUCCUAAUGCACAUAAGUCACGUACUAUACAAAAGAUGCAAGCAAGAAUGCUCAUAAAGUAUAAUACAUGGAAUUAGAAUAAAUAAAAGUGAAACUUGAACAUCAUUAAAUAAAUAAUGAAUUCCAAAUUUAUUACAUCAUGUCAUGCUUUUGAGGAUUAUAUCCUAACAGUGAAGAAUUGUUAUCAUCAAAAUAAAAUGAAAUGUUAAUUGAAGAUCCAACCCUCUAUUGUUGCAUUACUUUAAUCUAACAUGAUAGAAAAAAAAAUGAUUUUUUCAAUUUUUCUUGCUUCCAUAUUAAUUAAAAGUUAAUAGAUAUUGUUAUGAACCUACCUAGAGUAGGGUGAAUAGGUAGUUCUUUCAUUUUGAUCCAAAUUUUUAUUUUUAAAAUUUCUCUUUUAGAAUUAGAGAAGAAUAAGAGAAACAUAAUUGCAUAAAGAGAUGACAAUUUACAUGGACAACUACUCAUAAAGUCUCAUAGAGACUUAACAGAUGCAAAAACCAUGUGGUCAAAAGAUCAUAGAGUACAAAUCCACUAUUGAAAGAAAAGUAUACAAAUUUACCUAAUGAAUGUUAUCCUUAAGUCUUACUCCUUGGUGCCUAUACUAGUCUUCACAUCUAUGAUGUAGCACUACACACGUAUCAAAUGGAUACCUUAACAUCUUAAGAGGACAAAUAUCUUUCUCACAAAACUAAGAAAAAGAAAAAUGAACUUGUUGAGAGCGUUAAGAUAUGAGAAAGGCUAUCAAUUACUCUUUUUUUUCAAAAAAUUUUGCAUCGAAAGGAAAAGGAUUUUUAGGCAUAGUAUUUAUAGGAACGAGACCCUAGUGGACAAAGACCUAAAAUUUCCAAAAACCUUUUUUUUUUUUUUUAAAUGGAAAGAAUUUUUAAAAUUGCCAUAAAAAUUUUGGAAAGUUUUCAUCAAACGCUCAAGAGUUUGUUAUGAACACUUGAUUAUUUCCAACACUUGAGUUGUUCUUGCAAGCACUCGAGUGUAAUGCUUGAGGCACUUGUAGUGCUUGCUAGAUUUGAGCACUUGAUCAAUUUUUUUAUUUUAAAAUUUAAAACUUUAUGAUAAAUUAAAAUAGCUUAAAGUCCACAUUAUGCUACAUGUUAGAAUUAUUAGUCUUUUUCGAAUCUUUCUAUACUUGUAUGACCCUUGGUUAAUCAUGUAGUAAUUUUGAGUUUUUAAUGGAGAGUGAUAAAAAAAAAAGUCAUAAAUUAGGAUAAAUUGACUAAAAUUGUAAACUUAAGCUAAGCAGCCUAAUGCAAUAACAAACUCUACUUGAAACUUGUCCUUAUUUGACUUUGUUUUUUAAAAAUUAUUUUUAGAGAACAAUUGUCAAAUUGAGUGUAAUAAUUUUUUAAAAAACAAAAAAAAAACUUUUUUGUUUUAAAUAGACAACAGUUUUUUUUUUUUUUCAAUAUUGAUUAUUAUUAUUAUUAUUUUUAAAUUUUAAGCAAAAACAAGAAAAGGUACAAAUAUAGAAGUUCUUAAUGUUCACAUUUCUUCACACCAAUUUUAAAAUAGUAAAUUAUGAGUCCUAAUUCACCCAUAUCUGAUUUUUCUUUACCAAAUAAACAGCUUUGGCAAUUCACCUGUUACUAUUGAAAUUUAAAAAAAAAAAAAAAACCAUUAAGAAUCAUGAGAAAAAAAAAUUCUAAGAAAUUUAAAAAACAUAUUAGAACUAUUGUGCUUAAUUUGGAUAAACUUUGUAUUUUGAAAAGUAGAUAAAUAUUAAUAAUUGUUAAUUAUGGUUUUAAUUUUUUAAAAUAUUAGAUAUGUUCAGAUAAAUUUAAUUUUUUUAAGAAAAUAAAAAACAAAAACAUAUUUUAUAGUUGUAUAAAAACAAGAGGACCAAUUUUUUUUCAUAAUUUUUUUGCUCAUUCAUUAGUGAGUUUCAAUGUUUUUAUAUCCAUGUAUGAGGCAUCUAUAUUGUUAGUUUUCCAUAAAUAAAUAUAUGUGAAUCAAUAGUGUUAAAUUCUUAAAAUAUAUAUGUUUAUUUUAAGAUGUAAAUGUAGAUAACAUCUAGCUUGGGAUAGUAUUAAAAAAAUGUAAUUUAUUUUACAAAUUUGUUUUUAUAUUAUCUUUAUCACUAUCAUUCCUAAAUAACAUCAUUUUAUUGUAAGAGUUAAGAGACCAAACAAAAAUUAGAAAUAUUUUUUACAAGACAGACAUUGGUAAUGUCAUUUACUCUACAAAUUUGUUUUUAUACCAUUUUUUUAAUGACGGUCAUUCCUAUGUGACAUAUUUGGAGGUCAAACUAGAAUUAGAAAUGUUUUUUUAUGUAUGUGAACAUAGAUAAUAUCAUGUUUAAGAUAACAUUAAAAAGUUGUAUAUUAUUUUAUCUCUUCUCAUAAAAAUGUAUUAAUUUAAUAAAAAAGUUUAUAAUUUUAUAUUACAUGUAUAUUGUUAUUCUUUUAGGACGUAAGUGAAAAAAUAAUAAGGGAGAAAUAAUUUAUUUUUCAAUCAUAAUUAUUUGAAUUAAAGAUUGAAUAUUAGGAACAAUUUAAUUUGAGGAAUAUGGUAAAAAUGGAACUAUGCUUGAAAUUAUAUUACGCGUCCUUUUCUUUUGAUAUUUCCAACAUCAAACACAAGGUGCCUAAUGGUAUACAUUCAAUACCAAUUGCAAAACAAUGGUUGACUUCUCAUUUCAUUUGUCAUCGCAGAAUCAUUUCCAUGGCUGAAUCGUUUUUGUUUAGCAUUGCUGAUAAUGUUGUGGGGAAGAUUGGCUCUCUUACUCUCCAUGAAAUUGGCUUGGCAUGGGGCGUCAAGACUGAACUGACAAAGCUGGAAGCCACCUUAACCACUAUCAAAUCCGUCCUCCUGGAUGCUGAGGAGAAGCAGUGGAAGGAUCGACAGCUACGUGAUUGGUUGGGAAAGCUCAAGCAUGUGUGCUAUGAUGUGGAAGAUGUGCUCGAUGAAUUUCAGUACCAAGCUUUGCAGCGCC
rnacentral:lncRNA from 1 species